UGGCAAACGAUGAGGUGAUUCUGUUGGAUUUCUGGCCUAGUAUGUUUGGCAUGAGGCUUAGGAUUGCACUUGCUGAAAAAGAGGUUAAGUAUGAGUACAAAGAAGAGGAUUUGAGGAACAAAAGUCCUCUGCUUUUACAGAUGAAUCCUAUUCACAAGAAAAUUCCAGUUUUGAUUCACAAUGGAAAACCAGUCUGUGAGUCUAAUAUUGCAGUUGAGUAUAUUGAUGAAGUGUGGAAGGACAAAGCUCCUUUGCUUCCUUCUGAUCCUUAUGACAGAGCACAAGCUAGGUUCUGGGCUGACUACAUUGAUAAGAAGGUAAAUUCUUAAUUCCUCGUCUUAAUUUAGGCAACAUACUUUCCUUUGUAGUCGAUUCAAAAAUGAAUGAUGCAUUUGCUUGCUUGGUAAAUAUCUAAUUGCACUAUUAAAGGGGUUAGAACUUACCCCACUCCGUGUAUACAUCAAGUUAAUAUAUACAUAUUAUGUGUUUGAAUUUAUAGUUCAUGUUACUUAAUUAUGAUUAAUUAACAUGUAUUUUACUUUAUUUAAUGGCUUUCUAUACCGGGUGUGUGUGGAUAAGUUUUUACUCUUUUAGUUAAAAAUUUAUUGCCAAAUGUUCUCAUAUUUCUUGAACUUUAUGUUCAGUCAAAUUACAUACAUAAAUCUGGAGGAAAUAGCUUUUCCCCCUUUCUUUUAGGAUUAUUAGCUGAUCCAAAAUAUUUUGGUGUUAUUGGUUGGUUGAGGGUAUAAAAUGUAAUUUUCAUGUAGUCUUGGUCGAUUGAUACCUGUUAUGAUUCGGACAGAAUAAACAAACUACAAGUAAAAGAAAACAAGAACAAUACACAGAUUUACGUGGAAACUUUUGCGGAAAAAAUCAUGGGCAGAUUCAAAAGAUGUUUCACUGUAAUGAAAGGAGAGGCUUACAAUGUGGAGAAUGAGUAUGUUUCUGGAUACCCAAAAACAACUCACUAAAUGCAUUUAUAUAAUAUGUGCAUACAAAAAAGUCCUUGGCCCUCCAGAAAAACAUAAAGUCCACGAGCCUAUCAGCCUGAUUCCUAUGCUACCACCACAGACCCCAUUGAAAAUCACAAACAUGGGUUGCACUGCAAUUUUGGGCCGGAUCAAUAAAAUUCGAGUCACAACUCUAACAAUCUCUAUCUUGACACGAAUUUUAAUUCAGAACUCAAAUUCAUUUCAAAACAAAUUCUCUCUCUCUUCCACAAAAGCCCCUAAGGGCACAUCUUAACAGCCAACAAUUUUGAGUCCAAGCAAUGCUCAAACUUGGCACUUGGUAGUGUCUUGGUCAUCAUAUCAGCAGGAUUAUUAUGAGUACUAAUCUUGCUCACCAUAAUAUCACACAAGCAAUAAUUUCACGCACAAAAUGAUAUCCAACAUCGAUGUGCUUUUUCCUCUCGUGAAACAUCUGAUAGUACUCUGACUGUCGCAAAAGACUAUAGUAAUCUGUAAGACUUUGCUAAGUUCACCAAAUAGACCCCUCAACCAAAUAGCUUCCUUGAAAGCCUCUGUAAUAACCAUAUACUCUGCCUCAGUAGUGGACAAAGCAACUGUAGUCUGUAAGGUAGCUUUCCAACUAAUAGCACAACCACCAAUGGUGAAAACAUAGCCCUUUUAUCAUGAUCUCCUUCAAAAUUAGAAUCAACAUAUCUGAUUACUCCAUCUCUGUUUCGCCCAAACUGCAAACAACUGAAAAUCCACUGAACUGCUUUCCAAUGUUCUUUCCCAGGAUUUGUCAUGUAUCUGCUAACUGCACUGAUAGCAUAAUAUAAAUCUGAUCGGGAACACACCAUCGCAUACAUAAGAGACCCGACGGCACUAGAGUAUGGAACUCGAGACAUAUAGUCACGCUUCUCAUUUGUCUUUGGAGAUAAAGUGGCCGAGAGUUUGAAGUGAGCUGCCAAUAGAGUACUAACAGGCUUGGUAUUUUGCAUAUUGAACCUGUGAAACACUUUUUCAAUAUAUUUUUUCUGACUUAAGUAUUAACUUACAAUCCUUUCUAUCCUUCAGAAUCUCCAUGCCAAAAAUCUUCUUUUCUGCUCUUAGAUCCUUCAUAUCAAAUUCCUUACUGAGCUGGGCUUUGACUUUUAUGAUCUCUCUAAUAUUCUUUGCUGCAAUCAACAUACAAGAGAAGAUACACGAAUAAACCAUCACUUGCCUCCUUUAAGUAGACACAACUAUCAUAGCUGCUCCUCUGAAACAUAUGGGAGGGCAUAAUAGAGUCAAAACCUCUUAUACCACUGCCUGGGCGACUCUUUAAGCCAUAAAAAGACUUUCAGCAAGCAUACAUAGUUCUUCCUUCUUGAGACUACAAAACCCUCUGGUUGAUGCAUAUAGAUGUCCUCCUCAUGUUCUCCAUGUAAGAAUGCAGUUUUGAUAUCCAUCUGCUUAAGCUCAAGAUUAUGCAUGGCUACAAUACCAAGCAAUGCUUGAAUUGAACUAUGCUUUACAACUACCGGAGAAAACACAUCUGUGAAGUCGAUACCAGAAACCUGACUGUAGCCUUUAGCAACUAGUCUUGCUUUGUAUCUAGCAUCUUUAACUCCUGAUGUUCCUUUCUUCUUUUUAAAUACCCACUUACAAGGGACAACUUUCUUAUCUUUAGGCAAUCUUACCAAAUCCCAUGUGCCAUUCUUACGAGUGAUUCCAUCUCCUCCUGCAUAACAAUCAUCCAUCGGUCAGAAUCAUCACAACUAACUGCCUCUGAGUAAGAAGAAGGUUUUUCAUCGGAAUCAAUACCUUCUGCUACUUUCAAUGCAUAAGCAACCAAAUCAGCUUCAUCAUACUUCUGAGGAGGUCUAGUAUCUCUUCUAGGCCCGUCUUUAGCAAUAGAAUAUUGUGGCGUCACUGGUGGGUAAAGAAGAAAUAGUACCACACUGUAUCUUCGGGCUAGACUGAGAAGUAGGCAUUGGUGUAGACUCUGCUCCAAUCUGCAAUUCAACGUAGGUGCUUGACUGUUGCUGAUUCAUGUCACUAAGCUCAUUUGGAGGCGAAGCACUAGAUUCGGAGGGAGCCUGAAGCAUGGCAGUUUCAUCAAACACAACAUCCCAUCCCUGCUAAUUAUAACAUUUAUGGUUUCUGGGCACCAAAGCUUAUGACCUUUAACACCAGGUUUAUAACCUAUAAAUAAGCAUUUGACAGAUCUAGGGUCCAACUUUUCAUUAUCAACAUGAGCAUACGCAGGACAUUCAAAUUUCCUCAAUUUAGAAUAACUAGCAGGAGUACCAGACCAUACCUCUUGUGGAUUUUUUUAUCAAUCGCACCUGAGGGAGAGCGAUUAAUAAAAAGACAAGCUGUGGAAGUAGCUUCAGCCCAAAUAGACUUGGGUAAACUAGCAUUAGAGAGCAUACAACACUUUCUCCAUUAUAAUCCUAUUUAUUCGUUCGGCCACACCAUUCUGCUGCGGAGUAUGACGAAAUGUUAAGUGCCUCACAAUUCCUUCUGACUUGCACAAGACAUUAAAUUCAUUGGAACAAAACUCUAAACCAUUAUCGGUCCGAAGGCAUUUUACCUGCUUCCCCGUCUACUUUUCAAUCAUAGUCUUUCACUCCUUGAAAAUAGGCAACACAUCAUUCUUUUGCUUCAGAAAGAACACCCAAACUUUUCUAGAAUAGUCAUCAAUAAUAGUUGACAAGUAAUUAACGCCUCCUCUAGACGGUACUCUAGCAGGACCCCAGAGAUCAGAAUGAAUGUAAUCAAGUGUGCCCUUAGUUGAGUGGGAGUGGAUGCCUUUAGUGAAUCUGACUCUCUUCUGCUUCCCGAAUACGCAGUGCUCACAAAACUCCAAUUUGGUAAUACUCUGCCCAUCAAGAAAUCCUUUCCUGCUUAGUUCAGCCAUCUCGUUUUCAUUCAUAUGCUCGAGGCAUAUAUGUCAAAGUUUAACGUCACUUUCUGAUAGAGAGGAGGUAGAAACAAUUGUAUCACUUGUAACAGUAGAGCCUUGCAGGACAUACAAAUUUGCAUACUUUCUCUGUCCCAUCACAACAAAAGCACCUUUAGUAACCUUUAGGAUUCCACCUUCACCAGUGUACCUAUACCCGUUCGAAUCAAGGGUACUCAAGGAAAUAAGAUUUCUUUUCAGGUCUGGGACAUACCGCACAUCACCAAGUGUUCUCACAACCCCAUCAAAUAUCUUGAUCCUGAUUGUUUCAAUACAAGCUAUCUUACAAGGUGUGUUAUUUCCCAUUAACACAACACCUUUAGAGACUGUUUCAUAUGUCAUAUGUUGUAAAUCAAUCCUGAUUACGACACAUAUGAAACGUGCAAGUUGAAUCAAGAAUUCAAUUCUCACAGGGUUUGGAGUUACCAUCAGAAACUACGAAGAGUUCUUCAUCAGUACCGCCAUCUUCCACAAAACUGGUUUCACUGGACUUCUCUGGUUGGUUUUCCUUCAGUUUUGGAGCUUUUCUUUCUCUCUAUUCUGUAGCUUCCAACACUCGGAUUUGAUAUGGCGCUUCUUCUUACAGUAAUUACAGGUUUUGUUUCUUUUUUUGGAUUUCGACCUAUUCCUGUCAUUACCCCUAGAAUUCCUCUCACGAGUCCUUCCUCCUCGAACAAUGAGACCAUUUCCUUGAGUCUCUGACCCAUUCACAAGAUGCUUCAUCUUCUCCUUAGAGAACAACGCAUCAUAGACUUCAUCAAUCGUCAGGGUAUCAUGACUAUAUAAAAUCGUAUCCCUAAAGGUCGUGUAUGAUGCUGACAGCGAACACGACAAAAUUAACCCUAAAUCUUACUCAUCGUACUUAACCUCCAGAGUCUCUAAAUCAGAGACGAUUUUCUUAAAGACAGAUCGGUGAUCUUUCAAAGAUGCACCCUCAGACAUACGAUGGGAAUAAAGUCGUCGUUUGAGAUGCAACUUACUUGUCAGGCUCUUCGUCAUACACAGCGAUUCCAAUUUCAACCACAACGCAGCGGCAGUGGUCUCCUUCAAAACAUCCUGUAGAAUCUAAUUGGAUAAAUUAAGGUGGAUCUGAGAUAGAGCCUUCCGAUCCUUACGCCGUUUGUUAUCAUCCAUUCACGAUGAGGGCAUCUUAUCAAACCCUAAUAGAGCAUCGUCCAAAUCCAUCUGCGCGAGCACACCACAUCUUAACCUGCCAUAAUGAAAAUCUGGUGUUGCAAUCCAACGGCGGAAUAUCAUACUUCAUGGUUGCCAUCCUCGAGAAAACAAUCGAACUGGCUCUAAUACCAAUUUGUUAUGAUUCGGACAGAAUAAACAAACUACAAGUAAAAGAAGACAAGAACAACACACAAAUUUAUGUGGAAAUCCUUGCGGGAAAAACCCAUGGGCAUAAUAAUGAAAGGAGAGGAGUACAAUGUGGAGAAUAAGUAUAUUUUCUGGAUGCCCAAAACAAUCCACUAAAUGCACUUAUAUAAUAUGUGCAUACAAACAAGUCCUAGGCCUAAAAACAUAAAGGUCCAUAUCGGGCCCUAUGCUACCUCCACAGACCCCACUGAAAAUCAUCAACAUGGGUCGUACCGCAAAACUUUCUAGGCCGGAUAACCAAAAGGGCCGGAUUAACAAAAAUCGGGGCAUAACUCUUAACAAUACCUAAUGAGUUAGCCUUCCUAAUUAAAUUAGGUCAAUGCCCACUUUCUUAACAUGCUACGAGAGUUAGGCUCAUUUUUAUUUUUUGUGUGCCUUCUGUUGGCCUUGUUAUUAUACUGUUCACGAUCAAGAUGUUCAGUCCUAGGCAUAGGGUGUUAGAGUUUCACAUUAACUGUACAAAUGGAUUAAUAUUGUCUCACAAUAUAUUCAUUGUUAAUCUUCACUUCUUACGCUAGUUUCCUCGCGCUCUAGAUGCUUAGUCGUAGGCGUGCAGGGUGUUGGAGGUUCAAAUUAGUUGAAGGAAUAGAAUAUUGUUUAGUUAUAUAGUCUUGAGAUAUCCUCAGUUCACAAGCUACUUUCCAAUGCUCGUAGAUGCUCAGUCCAAGGCUUGCGGGGUAUUAAGAGUUUUAUAUUGGUUGAAGUAAUAGAAUAGUCUCUCGUUAUAUAGUCUUGAUUAAUCCUUACUUCAUAUGCUAGGUUUCUUGAGCUUCAGGUACCCUGGCCUAGGCGUGGGUCGUGGGGGUAUUGAAGUGGCACAUUAGUUGAAGAAAUAGAGUCUUGGUUAAUCCUAUUCGUCACUUCAUAAACUAGGUCCCCUCCGCUCUAGAUGCUCAGUCGUAGGCGUGCGGGGUAUUAGAGUUUGACAUCAGUUGAAGAAAUGAAAUAUUGUCUCGUUAUAUAGUCUUGGUUAAUCCUAAUUUCACAUGAGCAAACUCUUUUAUCCUAGUUUUGUGGCAACAACUGAGCCGUUUUCUUUUUCUGCGUGUUUUGAAAUUUCAGAUGUAUGAAACUGCAAGGAAGAUAUAUAUGGUAAAGGGAGAAGAACAGGAGGCAGGCAAGAAAGAUUUCAUAGAAGUCCUUAAAGUGCUGGAGGGAGCACUUGGAGACAAGCCUUAUUUUGGAGGGGAUAACUUUGGUUUUGUGGAUAUUGCUCUCAUUGGGUUCUAUUGCUGGUUUCAUGCUUAUGAGACUUAUGGUAACUUCAGCAUAGAAGCUGUGUGUCCAAAGUUGGUGGCUUGGGCCAAGAGGUGCAUGCAGAGGGACAGUGUGGCUAAGUCUUUGCCUGACCAACAUAAGGUUCUUGAGUUUGUGAAAGUUAUUAGGCAGGCUAAUGGACUUGAAUAAACAUAUGCUUCUGCAGUAAUACAUCAUAAUGUAUGUAUUGAAAAGGCACUUCAUUGUGCCUUUUGAGUUUCAAGAUUUGAAAUGUUUGUUUGGUCAUACUAUAAGUUCUACUUGUAAUAAAGGACACUUAGCUUGUGUCUUGUUUAGGGUUGUCUUUUGUUGUCCUUGUAUGAAAUUCUGGGAUUCUUUUGUUAUGAGAAGUAAUUAAUCACUUUUUUGAUGAGCAGCAUCAUCUACUAAAUUGACAGCUUUUUUAUUCCGAAAGUAUUGCUCUUAUCUUUACCUUUGUACAAUUCAGAUAACUAGGUAUGUUACUCCUUUUUUUUUCUUUUGCGUCCAAUAUUUAUAUAGAAAUUUAAUUAAUUUAAAUCAUGUUGUGGAGGGCUUAUUUGGAAAAAAAUACUCUAUUAAAGAUUUUUUCAUAUUCAGGCACGAGUUCAUUGAUAAAAAAUUAUAUUAUAUGGAGUAUCUUUUAUACAGAUAUGUAAAUUUUGAAUCCCCCAAUAGAAUACUAAAGAUUUGACUCAAUAGUUGAAGGAAUUCAAAAUUCACGUUGAAAUUCUAAAUUCAAAGGGUAGACACUACAUGAGUUGGACAUUCGAGAACAUCUUUUUUUCAUGUAGAAAAUUACAACUUAAAAGUAACAUUGUAAAGUACAUCUGAUAUCUAAAUUUUAGUAAAGUUUAGGUAGAUAACAAGUGGACUACUUCAUUAAUAAUAUUUUGAUAUAGAUUUGUUUUGUUUCGUUUGUUUUCAUCCAAUGUUAAUCAUUUUUUGAGCUUGAUUAAUUUGAAUUUACACCGAAUAGAGUCAAAUCAUAAGACUGAUUCCUACAAAAUAAGAAUUUAUACUCGAAGUCUCGAUACUGAAACCUCUUAUCGAGUGAGAGCAACCAACAAAGCGAUACCAACCACGACUUUCUAUUGAUGAUAUCAAUUAAACUUUGGUAAGACCACCACCCAAAAAAAAAAACAAUGGGCCACCACAGUGAUACUUGUGGACAAAAAGUCGAAAAAAUGGAAGGCAUCCACAUUACUAUAUAUGUGUGGAUGUGUAUGUAUGUACAACUAGCAAUUUUUGGAAAUAUUUUUCUUUCUUCUUCUUAGCAUUUACCUUGUGUUGUUCAUACAACAAAAAUGGCUAAGGAUGAGGUGAUUCUGUUGGAUUUUUGGGCUAGCAUGUUUGGCAUGAGGCUUAGGAUUGCACUUGCUGAAAAAGAGGUAAAUUAUGAGUAUAAGGAAGAGGAGGGAUUGCUCAACAUCAAAAGUCCUCUGCUAUUACAGAUGAAUCCUAUUCACAAGAAAGUUCCAGUAUUGAUUCACAAUGGAAAACCAAUUUGUGAGUCUAUUAUUGGAGUUGAGUACAUUGAUGAAGUGUGGAAGGACAAAGCCCCUUUGCUACCUUCUGAUCCUUAUGAGAGAGCACAAGCUAGAUUCCGGGCUGACUACAUUGACAAGAAGGUAAAUUCAUAUCCUAUCCUGUUCUCUUUUCUAUGGGAUGCUCUAGCUGAUGUCAAGUACUCUAUCCGUUUCAAUUUGCUUGUCCUACUUUUCUUGUUAGUCUGUUUUAAAAAGAAUUUUUCUUUCCUUUUUUGGCAACUCUUUAGUCUCAACCUAGUUUUCCCUAGGAUCCAAGAUCCAUUUUACUUUUAUGGUAGUUUUUGGCGCAACUAGUGAUUAUAACCUUUUUGUUUUUCUAUGUUUGGUGUAAUUUUCAGUUGUAUGAUUCUGCAAGGAAGAUAUGGGGAACAAAGGGAGAAGAGCCGGAGGCAGGUAAGAAAGAUUUCAUAGAAUGCCUUAAGGUACUGGAGGGAGAACUUGGAGACAAGCCUUAUUUUGGAGGGGAUAACUUUGGUUUUGUGGAUAUUGCUUUGAUUGGGUUCUACAGUUGGUUUUCUGCCUAUGAGACUUAUGGUAACUUUAGCACAGAGGCUGAGUGCCCAAAGUUUGUGGCAUGGGCCAAGAGGUGCAUGCAGAGGGACAGUGUCGCUAAGUCAUUGCCUGACCAACAUAAGGUCCUUGAGUUUAUAAAAGUUCUUAGGAAGAAGUAUGGAGUUGAAUAAACAUAUUGAAAAAAGGCACUUCACUGUGCCUUCUUGAGUUGUUGUUUCAAGAUUUGAGAAGUUUGUAAUUUGGGCAUGGUUUAAGUAAUACUUUUACCUGUAAUAAAGGACUCUAUUAAGUUGUCUUGUUGGAGGUUGGCUUGUGUAGUCCUUGUAUUUAAUUCUGUUUUUUCUUCUUUUCUUGUAAUGAGAAGUAAUCACUUUUUUAACGUCUAUAGAUUGAAGAUUUAGUAUACUUAAUUGAAUAGGAAUUUGAGAGAGAUUGUACUUCCAAUUAAAUUAUUUUCACGAAAAUGGUCAUGAAAUUAAAAUUUUACUUUCUAGCCAUUUCAAUUUGCUGGCUUCUUCUAUAUCGUUUUUACACACCUUCUAUACAGUUUCUAUACAUAUCUUAUACAUAUAAAUAUUCAAUACGAAAACGUUUUAAUGCACAAUUUAUACAAUUAUUGUACAUUUUUUUUUACAUAUUUUAUACAAUAAUUAUAUAAUUUUUGUACAAUUUCUAUAUAUUUUUAUAUAUAUAUUUUAUACAUAUAUAUAUUUGAUAGAAUUAUACAAUUUCUAUACAUAUAUCUUAUAUAGAUACAUAUUCUAUAUAAUAAUUAUACCGUUUUUAUAUAAUUAUAUUUAAUUAUUAUUUCUGAACAAUAAAAAAAGUAGAAUAUUUUUCAAUUAAAAAAUUUAUAGCAAAAAAAAAACUUAAAUAUUUUUAAAAGGGCCGAAUGACCCAAGUUGAAAACUGUAUCAGUAUUGUAUAUGGAUUGUAUCAGUAUUGUAUAUGGACUCUGAACUAUAUGAGCCAAAAUGACCCAAAUUAGGAAAUGACUAUAAAAUGAAAAUAGUAUACCCGACUGGUCACUUUUUGACAAAAUCUCAAACUUGGGCUAUUUGUUUUAAAAAGUACUACACAGUGUGCUUUUCCCUAAUUGAAUUACACAAGGACUUCAAUGUAGUCCAAUAAGAAUAAUAAAUAAAAGAGAAAAUGGCCAAAAAAAAUUCCAACCUUUAGUCCAAAUCCCAACUACACACCUAUACUUUGCGGGGGUCCUAUAACCCCCCCUAAACAUUUUAAAAAUUGAAUAUUAACACCCCUAAAGGAUGAUAUGGUAAGAGAGUGCAUUUCACUCUCUCUUGAGAAAGUGAGAACAAUGAAAAUUAUAUAUUAAAAAUUUAUUUUAAAUAUUUUUUAUAUAAAUAUAUAUAAUUUCAAUUAUUAUUUUUUCUUAUUCUUUUCUUUUGUCUUCUUCUUCUCUUUCUUAAAACAAAAAAUUCCAAGAACCCAUUAAUGGUGUUCCUCAUCUUCUUCAUCUCCAAUUUCAUUAUCUUUCUCUAUCUUUCUUGAACUCAUUAAUAAAAAUUAUAGAGAAAAUGAUCAAUUACCCCUCUAACCUUUAGUCGAAAUCCCAAAUAUACAUUCAACCUUUAUGAGAGUCCCAUUACCCAUUUAAAUAUUUUUUCAGUGUAUUUUAUACCCCUCCAAUUGCUGACGUGUCAAUAUAAAUCAAACAAUUACCCAUGCGUGUGUACACGCGUCGGACCCACCUACUUUUUAGUUCCCUCCUAAAAUGCUAUUUUCAUGGAUGCCACUCACAUCUCUCAGCUCUCUACACACACACACCAUCUACAACACUACAAACAAAGAAAUCACACAAUACACAGACUACUCUACACAGCCAAACACGAGAGAGGGGAGAAACAGUGAAAGAAAAGAGUGAAAUAGAGAGAAAAACAGAGGGGAGGUCCAUCGGGAGAGAAAACAACUCCCUUUUCCAUCUUUCGCCGGCGAAAUUUCGCUGGAAUAACUCCGACGAAUUCAUCUUAUUUUUCAUCUUUUUCCAACCAAAUCCUACUAGAAAAUAAUCGUAAACAUCAAAUUAGCGAUGAAAAUGUCCGAAACAAACCCAUCUCGCCAUAAAUCUACCAGAAACACCAAGAUUUCGAUCAGAUAUCUCAUUGAAAACCCCCACUUUCCAUUCACAUUCAGAAACCACACUCAUUCACUAUUCCCCUUUGAUAAUUUUAGUCAUCAUAUAUUAUUGGGAAUACACAUGCAGUGAAGUGAAUUUUGUUUAUUGAAGAAGAAAAUAUCUGUGUAUGAUGCGGAAUUUGUGAACAGUUAGUUACCAAAGAACACUUCGAUUUUUGGAUUGAAAUUGUGGGUGGUUAUUGGGAUCUUUGCUGGAGCUGUAUUUUUUUUGUUUUGAAAUAGUUCCUAUUUGAGUCUAACAACCAGUGUUUGAUAAAUUGAUGGAGAUCAAAAGUGUUCACUCUUGACAAACGGAAACGGAAAGGACCAAAACUGCUCUGCAAUCUAUGUAAGGGACCAUUUGAAGCUACCCCAAGUAAUAAGGGACAACUUUUGUUAUUUUCUAUACAUAGUGCUAUGGGUGAAAGAGUUUUGAAUUUAGAUCUCCAUAAUCAUUUGAAUGAAUUAUGACCUAAGUAGAGCACCAUGCGUACAAAGUUACAUAUAGCUGGCUCCGAUUAGUUUGGGACUAAGAUGUAAUUGAUUGAGCUUUAUAAUCAUUAUAUUUGUUCUCAUAUUCUUUCUUCUAUCACUGUGUAUCACCGCCUUUCGUCGUCGCACUACCACCCAGAAAGGCAAACUCCACCGUCCUAUCAAGGCUGAGCUCAGCCCAGUUAUCUCCAAGGAAAUCCAAGAGAUGAGAUUUGACAUUUGGAGAUAAAGAAUUAUCGUUGGGUUUAAUUGGAGAAGACAAAAUUAGUUAAUAAUAAAAAAUAAUGACAUGUAUUAUACAUGUGGUACUUAAAAAUAUUAAUUUUGUAGGGUUGAAGCCUCAACUGACGCGCCUAUUGGGGUGUUCUCACCUCCCAUGAUACGUCAGUAAUUGGAGGGGUAUAAAUUACAGUAAAAAAAAUAUUUAGAGGGGUAAUGGGACUCUUGUAAAGGUUGAGUGUGUAGUUGGAAUUUUGAAUAAAGGUUGGAGAGGUAAUAAACCAUUUCUCAAAAUUAUAUUAUCAUAUCACUUAAAUUUUUCACUAUCAGUACAGUUACUAAUGAAAUUAUAACUGUUAGUAAGUGGAUUCUUCACUUUCUGAAUCUUUCAACCAAAAAUAUCAAAUUUUUACUUCAAAUUUUUCGUAGAAAAAUGUCCAUCUAGUGACAUUAGUUUGCCAAAGAUGAAAAUUUCCUAUCACACCAAAUUCCCUAGUCACCAACAAUAUGGAGGAAUUUUUAAUUUACGACAGCUCAACAUGCUGGCCAUCAUAAUUGUGUUUUCUUCUAGUGACAUGGUUAGACUUGAAGAUUUCACCUUCAUAUUAUUCUCCCUUAUUUACAUCUUCUUCCUCUCCAAAAUUGCCUUCCCAAAAAUUUCAUCUCAAAUAAAUCCUCCGAUUUUCAACAACAAAAUUCUAAAUCUGUACGUUUCAAUUGGAGCCCUUAUAGGAUUAUUCCUCCCAAUAGUCUAUAUAUUCGAAGGAAUCUACGAGGGCGAUAAAGAAGGUAUCAAAGCAGCAACACCACAUGUUUUCUUGCUUGCCAGUCAUGUUUUUAUGGAAGGUGUUACUUUUAAUGGUAUAUUAAUUUCGUUGCCCAUAAGAGUUUUUGUUCUGGUUUAUAUAAUCCGAGAACAUUAAAGCAUAUACAUGGUGAAAAUAAGAUGGAUACUUCAAUUUCUUGGGGCUAUUAUGACUAUUUCUUUCUAUAUGACCAAUAUCUCCACAGCGGUAACACUUGUUCCUCAUCUCCAAUUUCAUUAUUGGUGGCUCUCCGGGCAUCGGAAUAAUGAAAGACGGGAAAUUUAUAUAAGGGGAAAAGAGAAAAGAGAAUGGAAAAGGGAAGAUAAAAGGGAAAUAUUAAAGAAAAAAGAAAAAUAAUUAUUUUUCUAAUAAAAAUAAAAAAUUACGUGAAAAUAUUACGUAGCAUUACAUGACACACGCGUGGUGCUCACUCUCCAAUACACAUGUGGGUAUGAGUUUUUAAGGGGUUAAUAAUUUUACUUUUAAAUAGUAUAGGGGGGUCAUAGGACUCCCGUAAAGUAUAAAUGUGUAGUUGAGAUUUGGGGUAAAGGUUGGAGAGCUUUUUGACCAUUUUCUCUAAAUAAAAACAUGUGAAAUAUUAGUAGAAAUAAAGAUUUUAGACGCUAUUGAAAGAAAUACUAAAAAUAAAUUUAACCAAAUAUUAAAAUAUCAUAAAGGAAUUUAAAAAGAUAGUAAAAUAUAAUUAUUUAUUUAUAUUUUAAAUCUCUUUGAUUUCUUUACUAUUUUAUUUAUAUCUUGGAUCUCCUUAGUAAAAAUUAUUACCCUAUAAAAAUUAUUACCCUAUAACAUCAAAUUAUGUAAUAUAAUUUUGGCUACUUGGAAAAUUUAGUUAAAUCCCUUUCCACCUAGAGAAAUUUGGCAGUUCAUAGUCAUGGUAAUGGUCCAUAGGGUGGAAUCACUACUAAAAAGAAUAGAAUAAUCGACACAAAAAAUUCGACCAAAUUGACCAUGUGUGAUCGAAUUUUAAUAUUUUUAUUUAUAUAUAUUUUUUAAAAAAUUGACCAUUUGUGACCGGUUUUCAAAAUAAACUAUUAAACCUCUAUAUUCCUGAACUAAAUCAUCACUUCUGUUCAAUCUUAAAUCCGACAACACUAGUACCGCCGCACCCCUUCUCCACCGUCGCGCGCACCAACGCCACCCUCACUUCUCCAUCUCCCAAAUUAAAUCUUCACUUCACCUCUUCACUCUCAAACCCAACACCCUCACUUCUCCACCCUCGUACACCACCCCAACACACAUCACUGCCACCCUCGCGCACCACCGCCGAUAAGCUCGACUAUCAAGAUAAAAAAUUUGUAAUUGCAAAUUGCUACUCUUUUGCCAACUUCUAGAGAUAAAACUAGAAAUUGUUGUUGUUAAAAGCAAUGUUUAGAAGAUGUCUAAAUGCUAUAUAUAUGAGUGAUUGAGCAUUCAAAUAAGAUUCAUUCAGUAAUCUGAUCUACAUUACUAAAAACAUUUGAGGAAAAAAGUUGGCAAUAUGUUCUCAAAUCUUAUUAGGGCGGACAAACACCCCUAGCCUUAAAGGCCCGAGAGCAUCAAUCUAUGACCUUGUACGUCUUGUGAAUGUAAAUAUGAUAACCAAAUGUUCUGUCAAAUAUGAUAUAAUGCAUCGAUGAGAAUAAACCACGUAGGCAAGCACAACAUAUACAAGAUUGGUUGUUGGGGCUACAACAUCUAAAAGACAAGAAACUACCAUGCUUAACUUUACAUCGGUCUACUAGGUUUCUAAAGAUAUAUAGUUUUAGUUAAGGUUGGGACAAACCCCCGCCUUACUCUUAACUACUGUACAAUAUCAAUACAUUUGUAACAGACUCGGAAAGCCACAAAUCAAUUUGGAGCUCACCAAUAGCCGCUAGUUAUCCUGUGCUCCUACUGAGAAGGUGUAUCAGCUGAACCACCUGUGCUUGUAGCAUGAAAUACAGGUCCCUCAUAAGGGACAUCAUUGUGAAAAUACGUACUAAAUAUGUAAGGCUAAAAGUAAAUACACAUAAUGCAAGAGCUCAAUUGAAAUCAGAUACAAGUGUAUAAAUGAUUCUAGUAUAUCACCUUUACAUAUACUUGUAGGAUCAAGUGUAUUACAUUCUUUUCUUCAUUUUAUCCUUAUUACUUUAUAAUCUUUGUAAGCCAUAUGACACAAAUGACUAGCUGAUUAGUUAUAAAUACACAAAUUGAGACCGUCUCAUGCCAGGCUUACGCCCUUGAGCUACCACCCAUAUAUAAACAAAUUGGGAUCGACCCAUGCAAGACUUUCGCUCCAGAGCUGCCACCCACAUAUAAAGGGAUUGGGAUCAGCCCAUGCUAGACUUGUGCCCUUGAGCUGCCACCCGUGUAAUGCAAAUUUGCAUUAUUUAGUUUAACUAACAUUUGAGAUUGUUACUUUAGUAGACAUAAUAUUAUCGGACUUUGGAACAAUAACCAACCAGUAAGAGACACGUGAAUAAACACUUAAUGCAAUAACAAUGAGGUAGGGAGCAGUUUGCACACGAAUGAAAUGUUUAGGAGCUAAAAAUAACAUAUGGGUAUUAUUUGAAAUAAAAGAGAACUCGUGAAACUUGAUAGUGGAAGUAGACAUGCAAACUUGAUAAUAAAUACGUAUUGACAUGUUUUAAUACAUAAGAGAGUGGGAACAAGGUCGUUAGAGAUAUGAGAGAUCAUGACUGCCACUACGUAUCUGUAACGAUCCGAGACUACCCCCUAGUCGUCACACGGUGCUUGGAAGUGAUCCCAAACUAAACCAUGAACUGGCAUACUGUUAAGCAACUGAAAUAUAAUAAAAUGAAUAAUAAGUUUUGCCGUGCAGAAUCAUAGUCAUGUCAUAAUCUGAAUAAAUACAUUUCUGAUAAAGUUUAUAAUCUGAUAAAAACUGAAGGAUAAAACUGAAAUUACAUGACUGAUUCUAACUGACAUCUAUGAAGUCUCUACUAUACUGACUAUAGAUAGCUGGGACAUGCCUCCAACUACCACUAAUCAAUACACAUGAAAGUAAAUGAACAGUACAUAAACUAAAACUGUCUGGAGUUCCAGAAGUAGGAGAACUCAUCACCUGCUGGCUGAAAUCUGUACUGUCUGAUCGUGAUGUGCGGGCAACAACUGGUACCUACUUUAUGAAACAAUGUAUCCACACAGACGCAUAUGCGGAUCAAUACUUCUGGAAUGUACUGAUUAUGUGGGGGUGAAUGCAAUAAGUAAAACUGAUUUCAUACGUAAUCGUAAAACAUGCAUGCUAAGUAUAAGUAGACUCACCAAUAGGCUGGAAUAAACUGAAAACUGAAAUAUCUUAAAGCAUGAGUGACAAACAUUCUCUAAUAAGAUGGUGAAUCUCUAUACUUAUUUUCUGUAAAACUUUACUUUAAUGAUAUAAGUAUAACUGAAGCUGGGAUAUGAUAAAACAUAGAUACUGUAUGAUUACUGGGGCUAAAACUACGUGAUGGAGACUGACAUAAAUUGAGGAUCUGAAUAUACAAUCACACUGAGCAAGAAUGCGUAAACAUACUAACGUGUCUGAUUAACUGAAUGACUGAUAGCUGAAUACUAGACAUGUAAGACUGAACUAUACUUAGUCUGAAUAACUGGACUCAAACUGUAGAGUAUGAUGCACAUGAAGAAAAGACUAACUGAGUAACAUGAGAUAACGGAGCAUGAAUUUAUGAAAAAUUGUAUUAUUUGAGAAUGCAAGACCAAGCGUAUAGCAUGAUUCUGAAAUAGUCUAUAAACUGAGGUACAAAUAAAAUACUGAUAACUGAAUAACUGAUAAUUGUACGCUAUGGAUCUGAAACUGAACUGAGUUACUGAUCUAAUUACUGAACUAAGACGGUAACCGAUACUGUAACUGAGACUGUACUGGAGCUGAAAAUUGAGCUCUGAUAACUGAGUUACUAUAACUGGGUGACUAUUUCUGACAAUCCUGAUUCUGAAGAACUUAACUAAGUUCUAUACUGAGUCUAAAACUGAAACUGUGGGAGGUAUCAUCUAACCGACAUGCCCCAAUCUGAGCUAAUCAGGGUCCAACCUGUAACCCCAGUUGGAAGGGUGCCAGUACCGUGCCACGGGUAAAGACAAGCUGAAGAGUCACCCUCAAUCUGGCAGGUACUCUGAAUGAGAACGGUGGUACCCUCAAUCUGACAGGUAAAACACCUCAUCAACCCUCAAUCUGGCAGGUUGAUGUCUCAACCUACGCUGGCUAUAUAGUUUUGGAACACAAGGACUAUUUCUAAGGAUCACACUCUCUACUGGCAGGGGAAUCCCCAUCCUUGGGUUCACUCGGUGCUGAAUCCUACUCCUAACUGAAUAGACACUGAAUUGAUUUCUAAACCGUACUAGGCUGGACUGAACUAUUACUGAUCGUGUUAACUGACUGAACUGGACUGAGUUCACUGAGUUCUGUAACUGAUUUAGUACUUCUGUUCGUGACAUUACUGAGACUAUUCUGAAGCUACUGUAAUUCUAGGUAAACAACUAGAUUUUCGGGUAUUAAAUACCCCCAGGACUCGAUAACAAUAACACCAAGACCAUACUAAGGUUUUGAGGACAUGAUAGGUUGUCAUUAUUUAAAGAAAUCCAUCACUUAGGCAUUUCAUCAAACACUUGCAAUUUAUUGGUUAAACUAAGCAUGGGGUUAGUUUUAGACAUGUAGCAAUAGCAUGAAAUCAAACAACAAACAAACAACAACAAACCCAGUAUAUUCCCACAUAGUGGGUUCUGGGGGGUAAGAUGUACGCAGUCCAUACCACUACCUCCAGAGAAGUAGAAAGGCUGUUUCCGAUAGACCCCCGGCUCAAGACAUAGAAUAAUACAUAAAUCCUUAAUAAAGCAUGGAACAAGAUGACAGUACAUACCUACGCCACCCACAAGGAAUAAUAAUCAAAAAGCAGUAAACAAACUCGUAAUAAAGCAUGCAACAAGGUGUCAUAAUAAGAAUAAUACCCUACUAAGUAAUGCCCUACCCCAGCGACCCAAAAUGGCACUAGCCUUCUAUCCUAAUUCGCGUCCUCCAGAUCUUCCUAUCUAGGAUCAUGUCCUCUAUGAGCUGUAACUGCUCUAUGUCCCGCCUGAUAACCUCUCUCCAGUAUUUCUUCGGCCUACCCCUACCCCGCUUGAAACCAUCCAAAUCAAGCUUCUCACACCUACGAACUGGGGCAUUCGUGCCCCUCCUCUUCACGUGUCCGAACCAUCUCAAACUGACUUCUCGCAUCUUGUCCUCCACCGAAGCCACUCCAACCUUUUCCUGAAGUCUCAUUUCGAACUCUAUCACCCCUAGUAAGCCCACACAUCCAACGCAACAUCCGCAUUCCCGCCACCCUUAAUUUUUGAAUGUGAGAGUUCUUGACUGGCCAACAUUCUGCUCCAUACAACAUGGCCAGACGGAUUGCCACCCUGUAGAAUUUGCCUUUAAGCUUAGGCGGUACCUUCUUAUCACACAACACCCCCGAGGCGAGUUUCCACUUCAUCCAUCCCUCCCCAAUCCGGUGGGAGACAUCCUCGUCAAUUUCACCAUUCCCAUGAAUCAUGGACCCAAGAUAGCUUCUUACACACCGCUUGGGAAUCCAAUUUUACUACCACCUCAUCUUCCUGCCUCAAGCCAUUAAACUUGUAUUCCAAAUAUUUUGUCUUGCUCCUGCUCAACCUGAACCCUUUAGACUCAAGGGUCUGUCUCACACUUCUAAUUUAUCAUUUACACCCCCCGCUUCUCGUCAAUCAAAACUACAUCAUCAGCAAAAAGCAUACACCAAGGCACCUCUCCUUGAAUACGCCGCGUCAACAUAUCCAUCACCAAAGCAAACAAGAACAGGCUAAGAGUAGAUCCCUGGUGCAACCCUGUCACGACAGGAAAAUAGUCUGAGUUGCCUCCCGCCGUCCUCACCAGAGUCUUGGCUCAAUCAUACAUGUCCUUGAUUACUCUGAUAUACGCCACGGGGACCUUGCUCACCUCUAAGCAUCUCCAAAGAACCUCCCUAGGGACUUUGUCGUACGCCUUCUCUAAGUUGAUAAACACCAUGUGCAGAUCCUUCUUCCUUUCCCUAUACUGCUCCACCAAUUUCUGCACCAGGUGAAUCGCCUCCGUCGUCGAGCACCCUGGCAUAAAUCCAAACUGGUUCUCCGAGAUAGACACUAUCCUUCUCAAUCUCAACUCGACCACUCUCUCCCAAAUCUUCAUAGUGUGGCUCAAUAACUUAAUACCUCUAUAGUUAUUGCAGCUCUGAAUGUCACCCUUGUUCUUAUAAAGAGGGAUCAUUGUACUCCAUCUCCAAGCCUCGAACAUUUUUGCUGACUUGAGAAUAUCGUUAAACAAUUCAGUCAACCACCUUAAGCCCGCUUUGUCAGAAAACUUCUAAAAGUUCACAGGAAUCUCAUCUGGCCCUGUCGCCCUACCCCUACGCCUCCUGCGAACAGCUUCUUUAACCUCUUCUACCUUAAAAUGUCUACAAUAACUGAAAUCACGACAGUCCUCUGAGUGCUCCAGCUCCCCUAACACAAUAUCUCUAUUAAAAAUCGCUAAUUAAGGCUUUAACAUUAGACAAUUUAUCAAACACAUGAGAAUCAUAAACUUGGACAUGAGAAUAUCUUAAACAUGGGAGCAUAACAUGAUUACAUAACUAAAAUCAUGAAUUAGGAAAAUUCACAUGUAAUUUGCUUGGACAUGGGUGUUUCAUCAAAACAUGCAAAGUUCAUAGCUUGAACGUAAGAAUGAAUUAAACAUAAGGGAACAAUAGAGUUUCAUGGCAAAAUUCAUAACUUGGGGAUUCAUCUUAAAAUUGAUUGGACAUGAUAUGGGAAUUUCGUCAAACAUGAAUUUAAAACAUGGAAAUAUUGCUAGACAUCAUGAAUUUAGGAUCUAUCAUGGAAUUUACUUGAAUAAAACAUGAAAAACUCAAAUUCAUAGCAUGAGAAAUUUAAAAUCUUGUAUGGAAUCAUGGGUAAAUUUCAUCCAUGGUCACUUAACUUUGUAUCUAUUACCCAAAAGUCACUUUUCUUUUAUUCAUUUCAUCCAUGGUCACUUAACUUUGUAUUUAUUACGCAAAAGUUAUUUUUCAUUCAUGGUCAUUAAACUUUACUUCGACUAUCACAAAAGUCAUUAUGACCGAAUUUUACAAUAAUUCCAUCAGAAAAAUAAUGUGACAACCUUAAUUAGUUCUUAAUUUUAAGUGAAUAUAUAAUGUAUUGCUCAUAUCUUGACUUUUUUAUAUGUGCACAAUCCAAUUUUCCUUAUGGAUUGUUUAAUGAAAGAAUAACAAUUUCUUAAUAGAUUAGAUUACUUAAUGAAGACGAUUUACAUAAAAAAAUUUGGUUGAUAUUCUUAGAAAUAUUUCAUAAUAUUGCAUUCAUCUGCCAAAAAGGUGCAUCGAAAAAGAGUGAUAAACAAGAUAAAUUCUUUAAAACACAUAAAAUAGAAAUACAUGUAUGAUAUUAUUUUUUUUAAAAAAAUUAUUUUAAUUCUUUGAAGAUAAAUCAACACACUAAAGAUAGUUUUAAAAUAAAAUCUUUUUAAUUGUGUCAUUGAACAAGUAUUGACAAAAUUUGUACAAAUAAUGUUAUAUUAACGUACAAUUUUAUUAAUAAAAGUUACAAAAUAUAAGUACUUUAAUAGAUAAAGAAAUUAUAGGAUAUCUAAUUUUUAUAUUUAUCAAUUAAAUUAAUUAAACAAUAUGUAAUUUAUCAGAAAUUGAAUAUUAUAAUAAAAACUUUUAAGAGAAUUAAUCGAUUAGUCAAACAAUUAAAAAUACAAAGACAAAUUCAAUAAAUAGACUAGUUUAUCAUAUUAUCAAAGACUCAAAUGGCAAGAAAAGAAUAUAUGAAAAAAAUAAUUUUAUCAACUACAUGUCACAAUUUUAGAGGGAGAAAAGUAAUUUUAUCAACUACAUGUCAUAAUGUUAGUGGAAAAAAUAAUUUACCAACACAUGUCUCAACUUUAGAGAAUGUUAAGAAUAUAUAAGUAUAAUUUUAUUUCAUAAAAAUAUCAACCAUUUUUUUUUUAUGAAAAUAAUCUUCAUUAGGUAAUCUAAUCUAUUAAAAAAUUGAUAUUCUUUCAUUAAAUAAUCCAUAAGAAAAAUUGGGUUGUAUAUAUAAAAAGGGUCAAGAUAUGAGUAAUAUAUUAUAUAUUCAAUUAAAUUAAAAUUAAGAACUAAUUAAGGUUGCCACAUCAUUUUUUCGAUGGAAUUAUUGUAAAAUCCGGUCAUAGUGACUUUUGUGACAGUCGGAGUAAAGUUAAAUGACCAUGGAUGAAAUGAAUGAAUGAAAACUGACUUUUGGGUAAUAGAUACAAAGUUAAGUGACCAUUGAUGAAAUUUACUCAUGGAAUCAUACAUGGGCUGAAUUGAAUUAAAAAUAUCAUGGAAACAUGAAAUUCAGUCUUUCUUGAACAUACAAAAUACCAUAGUAAUGGAAAAUUCAUUCUUUAAUUAAAAGAAAAAGGAUUUUUGGGCUCUAUGGAUGAAAGAGGACCCAUGAAUGAAUUCCCACAUACCUUAAAGCUUUAAUCUUGAAGGAGAAACACAAUCUUGAAAGCAUUUUUGAAUUAGAAAACUAGAGUUCUUGCUUUUCUUGAGGAAAGUUUGAUGAAGUUCUUGGCGUUCUUGAGGAGGCUAGGAUUUUUUCUUUGAGAGAAAAGAUGAAUAAUUAAGUGUAUAUUGCUUUUGGGGGCUGAAAUUAAGUGUUAUGGGCAGGUUUGGGUGAGGGAAAGUGACCAAAGUGCCACUAGACUCUUUAAAAAUUGAAUUAGCGUGUGACACAGUCCUGUAACGCGCUGGCCGACGCGUCGCGUCGCUAUCGCGUUGGCUUACUGCCUCACGCGAAAAAUAUGAUAACUUUUCGCUCGGGUAUUAAAUUUUGACGAAAUUGAUAUCGUUGCAAAGCUAAUUCAAUUAUCUAUAAUUUGGUAAAUCUUGAGCUGCAAAAUUUUAUGUAUAUGAAAAGUUAUACACAUUUAAAGUAGACCCUAGUAGAAUCAAAUGCCAAACUUUGGACGAAUCAAAGGCUUUCUGCAAAAUUUUAUGUAUAUGAAAAGUUAUACACAUUUAAAGUAGGCCCUAGUAGAAUCAAAUGCCAAACUUUGGACGAAUCAAAGGCUUUAAGCUCAACUUUGUUCUAAGUAAUUCUUAUGAACAUUUUUCACCUAAAAAGCAAAUCAAACAUGAGGAUAAAGAUCAUGAAACUCAUAUUUGCAUAGGAAUUAUUUAGAUCAUAGCUUAUACAUGUAGAAAUGACGGUUCAAAGACUAGCUCGAAAAUGCGGGGUAUUACAGUAUCAUCUGCUAUAGGAGAACUUUAAAAGCUUACUUUGUAACACAAGUGUUGAAUUUCAUGCCAAAGAAAAUGAAAUAGAGUAUGCCUUACAUACGUUGCUUUACAACUUCGAUAUUAACCCAAAUUAGCGUCCUGCAUUUUAGAAUACUUAUCUACAAUGAAGUAUAUGGUAAAACUAGUGUUAGUAGCUAACAAAUACAUUUGGGCUACUCAACUUCACCAAAAUAGUAGCCGGCAGUAAGCCUAUAAAUUAUCAAAUCAAGGGUGUUAUUCUAAUCCUUUUUCUCCUCCAAUUACAUCCACAUACCAUACAUAUUCUUAUAAGAUUCCCUAAAACAACUUUAGCUUCGUUACAAUAUCAAAAUAAUGUAUAAAGUAGAACAAACAGUAAACAUAUUCAACAUCUAGUUUGGUGGCGUACCACUACACCCUUCCUUCUAUAUGUCAAUACAAACUAUUCAUGCUAUUCCCCAACGUCAAUCCGGCAAUCCCCAGCAUAUACACAUAAUACAGUCCACAAAACAAGCUCAAGUUUCGUUUGUUACAACAACUAAAUAUUGAACUCGUCAUCCCUUAAGUUCUUAAUGAUAACACGUCCAUAAGUCUUCACCCAAACUCAUACAUAAGGAGGACAAAAAAAUGGAGCAGUCACUUUACCUCAAUUCCUGUAAUUUAUCCUUUUAGCUUGAACUUUUAAGAACUUGAACUUUUCGUCAGACUUAAAAGAAAUUGAUUAUCGAGUAAAUGAACCUAUUUGGGUAAACUCUUUUAAUUCUUAGCUACAAAUUACUGAAUAAAGGAACUUGACUUUUUAAUUUGUGAAUAUUUUCUCUUCUCGAAUAUUGGCAUGUUUGUUCUUCCUUUUUUUUUCCUUUUAAUAUCCAUUAUCUUACAAUUAAUGUUGACUUAAUUUAUUAUGUAUAUUUGAGUAAAUUAUAGAAAGUGGGUAUUAUUAUACAUAUCCUACUAAUGAUUAUGAUGCUAAUAAUGAUUUAAAGUUUUGAUUUUUGAAUUAUGUAGAAAUGAAUAUAGAAAAUUAGGUUUUUUCUCUGUGUAAUGUCUACUAAAUUGAUCUAUAGUAAAUAGUGGCCUUUUGUAUGUAUAUUGUUUCAUUCUCUAGAUUUUAUGUUCGUUUUCUUCAAUCCAGAAGGUACAAAGUCCCUUGCUCUAUUACUCUUUGUUGGACUUUAAUUUAAUUGGUCUUCAUUCUGUUGUUUAAUUGAUAUACAAUAGAAAGUAGUAAAGCAAGAAGGUACAAAGUCCCUUGCUCUAUUACUCUCUGUUGGACUUUAGUUUAAUUGGUCUUCAUUCUGUUGUUUAAUUGAUAUACAAUAGAAAGUAGUAAAGCAAGAGACUUUGUACCUUUUGGAUCGACGAAAAUGAACAAACACUUAUAGAUUGAAAUAAUAUGUAUACAAAAUGUCAAUCAAUUUAGCAGACAUUACUCGAGAAAGAACCUAAUUUUUUAUAUUCUAUUUUACAUAUUCAAAAAUCAAAACCUCAAACCAUUACUAGCAUCAUAAGUCAUUACUAGGAUACACAAAAUUAUACUCAAUCCCACAAUACCUCGAGUAUACGUAAUAAACUGAGGCAACAAUAGUCAUAAGACAAUAGAAAUAAAAAAAAAUUAAAAAAAAAACAUACCAAAAUUGGAGAAGAGACAAAUAUUCACAAAUUGAAGAGUCAAACUUCUUUAUUCGGUAAAAUGUAGGUGGGAACAAAAGGAUUUAAUUCAUAUAAAGAGUGAAGUUUCUUUACUCGAUAAUUGAUUUCGACCUAUUACCACUUUUUCCCUCACCUAUUUUUGAUAGUGUGGACCAGAUUGAUGAAAGAAUCUUAUUUGAAUGCUCAAUCACUCAUAUAUAACAUUUAGAUAUUGUCGCAGUUAACUGCGACAAUAUCUAGUUUUAUCUCUAGAAGUUGGCAAAAAGAUUGCAAUUUGCAAUUAAAUUUUUUUUAGAGUAGAUAGUCGAACUUACCGAGGAUGGUGCGCGAGGGUGGCAGUGGUGCACGAUAGCAGUGGUGCGCGAGGGUGUCGGGUUUGAGAGUGAUGCGGAGAAGUGAGAAAUUUAUUUGGGAUAUGGAGAUAUGAGGAUGAUUGUAGUGCGCCUGGCGGUGGAGAAGUGAGAGGUGCGGCGGUACUGGUGGUGUUGGAUUUGCGAGUGAAGAGAAGUGAGAGUUUAAUUUGGGAAUAUAGGGUGUAGAAGUUUAUUUUGAAAAUCAAGAGGUUUUGUAUAUAUAUAUAUAUAUUAAAAACCAGAUCUCACAUGGUCAGUUUUCAUUACAAAAAUUCUAAAAAUAAAUAAUUAUUAAGGAAAAGACUUAAAUAUGUCACUGGACUAUCAGAAAUAACUCAUUUAUAUCAUUCGUUAAAAAUUGGGCUCAUUCAUGUCAUCGCCAUAACAAAAUUGGUCCAUCCAUGCCAUUACUUUUAACAGCCGGUUUUUAGAAAACAGCUUUGCCACGUGGCAGUAUAUUAGAGGUCCACGCCAUUUUUAAAAAAAAUUAAUUUUUUAAAUUUUUUAAAAUAUUUAUAAUUUUUUUUAUUUAAUUUUUUUAAAAAUGGUGUUGGUUACGAAGUUUAUAAAUUACAUAUUUCUAUGUUUUUAUUUAUCAAAUAAUGAAUAAUAAAUUUUGUAUAUAACUAAUGUUAAGGUUUUUUCUGGAUUCUUAUGUUUAAAAAUAAUUAUAUAUAUAUAUUUGACCACUCUUCUAGGUAUUUAUUUAUACAUGAACCCAAAAUAUUCAAACCUGAAAUUCUAGUUCAUCAUAACCAUUACUAGUCCUUAUAUGUAAUGAUAAUAAAAGACGAAAUCGUAUUCUUUUCAUAUUUUGCCAAAUGAAAAAGGUGAUCAUAUUAAAAUGAUCAAUUCAAAAACCUUAAAUGGUUAAUCUUUCUUAACACUUCGAAAAGUACAUGAUAGAGAAAGAAAAAGAAUGCAAAAAUGUGAACAAUUUCUUCUGUUGGUGCAUUCUCUUUUCCUUACUUUUCUCUCCCUCUUUGUGUGUAUGCAUGCAAAAUGUAUGUAGUAAAGUAUUGUGUGUGGAUGUGUAUGUUAUCAUUUUUUUUUUAUAAUCAUUUAUAUGCAUGCAUGCAUGGAUCAUAUAUUAUAUCAAUCUCACUUCAAAUUUAAUCAUAACAAAUAUUUGAAUACUCUAGUAUUACAACAACAAAUGUAAAAUAAGAGCAACUCCACUUCAUAAUAUUGGAAUUGAAUUUUGCAUAAUCGCGAUAUUAUAUUAUUCAAAGAAAGGUAAAGGGUUACCUUUUGAAAAAAUAGUUGCCAACAAAAGAAAGAAGAAGCUGUGAACUCGAAACCACGAACCAAACCUCAAACUCCAACUUGUUGUCUACCCGUUUAUGUUAUUUGCUUUUUGUUUCUGUCAAAUGUUACUCCUUUUUCUUCUUAACUCUUCUCUUUUCUUGUUUUUCUCUCCCAGUCUGUUUUUUUUUCAAGGUUCCUCUCCCUUUCUUUCUGUUUUUGUCCUUUUUAUUUCCCUAAUCCUCCCUAUUCGUUUCCUUAUCUUUGUGUUUUUCUAUGUCCCCCUUUGUGUCUGUGUGGGUGUACUAUAUAAUGUAUAAGGUUGGAAAGUUGAGGAGGUUGAAGAAAAGGUGAGGGUGAUUGGGGUAGUUUUCUUUAGGAUAAGAUUUUUUUAAUAAAUAUAUAAUGUAUAAGGUUGGGAAGUUGAGGGAUUUUUUUAAUUUUUUUUUAAAAAUAUUUAUAAAAAAAAUAUUUAAAAUAAUUUUUUUUAUAAUUUUUUUUAAAUUAGUUUUUUUAAAAAAAAUUAAAAAAAUGAUGUGAGACUCUAAUAUGCUGCCACGUGGCAAAGUUGUUUUCUAAAAACUGGUUGUUAAAAGUAAUGGCAUGGAUGAACCAGUUUUGUAACGGAGAUGGCAUGAAUGAGCCCAACUUUUAACGGAUGACAUAAAUGAGUCAUUUCUGAUAGUUCAGUGGCAUAUUUGAUCCUUUUCUCUAAUUAUUAUAACAGAUCAUAUGUGGUUGAUUUAAAAAAAAUAUAUUUUAAAAAUAAAAAAUAAUAAAAAUCAAUAAAUUAUCUGUUAUUACCUCAAUAGUAUAAUAUCAAUAUAUUCAAGAUAAAUAUAUUUCAAGACAGAUCAGUAAUAUAUAGAAUUUAAUUGGUUCAUUAUUAUUCCACAACUAUAUUAAUAUUACUUGAUCGAUUAACUUUUAAUACGUAAUAUAUAUAUUAGCUAUGUACACGAGUAUAUGUGGCCUCGUAAUGCAACGUGUAACAUAUUCUUUGGUUCAUUACAUUACUUGACGAGUAUAUGUAGUAUUAUGUGUUGAUCAUAUUACAUAUCAUCGUAUUCUAUAUUCGAAUGAAUUAGAUGCGUUUCUUUGUCUUCUGUGUAUAUCACUGCACAAAACAUAAUACAUUCAAGGUUGUCGAACCAUUAAUAGAAUCAAGUGCUCUCAUUUAUAUUACCGAAUGGUUCACAAGCGCACACACACACACACACACACAUACACACACACACACACACACACACACAUAUAUAUAUAUAUAUUAAUAAUAUCAACGCAUUUCAUACUUCGAUUCACUAUCGAUUAAUUUACGAUUGAACUACGUUACUGAUGCAAGUUCGAAAAGUAUCAACUUGACAUCAAAAGCUUGGAGUGUUUCAAGAGAGUAUGAAAGCCAAAAAUCAACACCAGAAGAUUAACAUUAUACUUUAGGGUCUUUUUUGGUCAUAGUAUGAUGCACAUUUAAUCAAGGAUAUUUAUAUCUUUUCAUAUCUUAGCUUACCCUAGAAGUAUAAAUAGAAUAAGAUGCAAGAUUAUUUCUUUAGACUACAUUUUUAGAUUGAACACUCUUUGCUGAGUUUGUGGGUUUACUCCCUUGUCUCUACAUUGGAUUUCUCUUGAAUAUCUUUUGGUAAGGUUAUACAUGUAUUGAUUUCAAUUCUCUUAUUCCUUGAAUUAAUCAUGUAAUUGUUUGUUCAAAUUAGAUAGUCACAAAUUAACAUUUAUUCAUCUCUAGUUUACUUUAUUUGUGGGAUUAUUAUUUCUUUCUUAUCUAUCUCUUCUUAAUUUCUUGAUUAUCUCUUGAAUCUAUAUAGCUUGUAUUUUAUUUUACAUUAAUUGAUAUCAGAGUCAGGCUAAAAAAUUGUUCCUACAAUUCUUAAUUUUUGGCUUACAUUUUUUUUAAAAAUUCAAAAAAAAAAAAUUGAUUUGGAUGUGGUUGAUAUUGUUCCUUGAACUAUAUAUUGUUGUUUCAUAGUUGAAAAUCAAAAAAGGCAUGGCUUGUAAAAAAAAUUAAAAACCAUUGUUGAGAUUUGAAGCUUUGAAGAAGCUUGAAAAUGAGUUUUGUUGAUUUAGUGUUUGUUUGAAGUAAUUGUUGAUUGAAAGUUGUUGAUAGAGUUGUGGGAAAGUUGUAUCUCAAAUUUGAACUUAUUUAAUAGAGUAUUGAGGGAGAUUGAUUAAAAAAAAUUGAAUUUCUUCGAGAAGAAGAUGAAUUUGAAAAUUUCAAAAAUGACCAAAUCUUUUCUCAUUUAAUAUAUAGUCUUCCAACUUGUUUUCUCUUCUUUUCUUGUUAACCAGGGAAUCGUGCUGCGCUUCUUGCGGUCAUGAAAAAUGUAUUAAUAAUUGAUUUUAUAGAUAAUUAUUUUUUAUUAUAACAUAUUUGUGAAAUUAUAAAAAUUUUAGUAUCAUAUACGACAUAUAUUGUUAUCUAAAUUUUCAUUCGAAUUAUAUUUGAUUAACCUUUUUAGAAUAUUUACGUAUAAAAAGAUUAACCUCAUUAACCUUAUUUCGUAAAUGAGGUUAUUGCAAUUUCAAAAAGCGAUAUAUGAAAAGCUUUUAAGAAAAAGAAGUAAUAUAAAAUAUGUAACGAAAGAACAUAAAACACUUGAUAUACAAGAAAAGUUUUGUUCUAAAGACAAAUUUAAAUGCUCAUCAAAUAAAAAGUUUAUGCUUAAUAGAUUUAUCUAAGAUAAUAUCUUUGGAAAUGACCUCAUUAUAUGAUAGGAAGAACAACUUUAACUCUUCAUUCUCUUCAUUUUCAAUAAUCCCAUUCCCAGAAAUCAACUUACUAUUAAAAUAUGUAAAUUGUUAUCUUAGGUUGUAUAUUUGAAAAUUAUCUCAUGAUAUGAUAGGAAGAGCAACUUCAACUCGUCAUUUUUAAUAUCAUAUUUUCAAAAACCAACUGUUGAGAAAAUGCUAAAAUCAACAAAUAGUCAUAUGAGAAGAGUUAAGAAAAGCAAAUCACAAUCUACGGAUUUUUGUUGCAAAGUACCGGUGGGAAAAAAAAAUUAACAGUACUAACACAAAAUUAAAAAAUACUCACUCCAUGUAAACAAAUGUAGUCGUUGUAUCAUAGAACUAUUGCUUCUUAAUACUAAAACUAUACUUUUUAUUUAUUAUUUUUCUUAAUGCCGUGAGUCUUGAAUUAUUUUGGGACAAGAGCAGUGGUGGACUCAGUAUUUAAAGAUUGUGGGUGCUUGCUACAGAAAAAAAAUAAAAAUCACUUCAAUCAGGUUCGAACCUGAGGCACAGCUACCAAUAGAAAGCAUUAAGAUCAGCCUAAAUGUCAAUGCAUUCAACUUUCUAUUUCAAUGGGUGCUUUGAUAUAAUUUAUACCUAUUUUUAUAAUUUUUUUAUGUAGUUAUGCCUGUUUUGCAGAAAUUUUGACUUUUGAAGAGAGUCGCCACUUAAUUUUGAAAAGGAAUUAAGAAACCUUUAUAAAAGUUACUUCAAACGAUUCAAAACAGGAAAAUCGUUUUAAGUUAGAGAUUCUAGAUAAGCGGUUCCUAUUAACGUUUUAGGAAGGUGUUAGGCACCUAAAACGUCCGCUAACUUGCGAUUAUCCGGACUGUUUGAAAAUCGUCUUUUGAUUAACUUCGAAAAGAUUAAUUUAUUGAAAUAGUGAUUUGAUUUUUUUCAGAAAAAAAAGACUUGUUUAAAAUAGAUUUAGGCGACUUAGUAGGGAUUUUAACUAAGUAUAAACAAAACUAAUAAACAAAUAAACACAUAAAAGGGGAAGGGAGGAGAAAGUAAAGGAUUUAGGCCAUUCGGCUCAAAUNNNNNNNNNNNNNNNNNNNNNNNNNNNNNNNNNNNNNNNNNNNNNNNNNNNNNNNNNNNNNNNNNNNNNNNNNNNNNNNNNNNNNNNNNNNNNNNNNNNNNNNNNNNNNNNNNNNNNNNNNNNNNNNNNNNNNNNNNNNNNNNNNNNNNNNNNNNNNNNNNNNNNNNNNNNNNNNNNNNNNNNNNNNNNNNNNNNNNNNNNNNNNNNNNNNNNNNNNNNNNNNNNGGAGGAGAGGAGUCCAUUUGGACUCGAGAUAUUUUUUUGCAUGCAAAGAAAAGAUAAAGAAAUUAAUAUAUGUUCAAGGCAUAAAAGUGACAUAUUUCAAAGUAAAAGAAACUAUCAAGAACCAAUUUUUGAAUGACAAGAAUAAGCACACUUGCACAAGAAUGAGAGUCAACAAAUAAAAAAUGCAAAGCAAAAGUUUCACAAUCAUACUAUGCAUGAGUCAAAAAUAUCCAAAUAAUUUUAUUUAGCCGCAAAAGUUUGAACUUUCUUAUCAUUUUGAAAAGACAACAUGCGAACAAAAAGGAAUAAACAUCUUGGAUGAAAAAUAAAGCUAGCACUUCAUAUCUUAUAUGAGGGUUUUGAAAUCCAUUAAAAUAAUUAGAAAGCAAAUGAAAAAUUCUUGACUUAACUACUUACUAUUUUUAUCAAGGCGCAACAACUAAUAAUAACUAUUCUUCCAAAAUAAAAUAAACAACUUUACAUGCUAUUAAAAACAUAUCUACCAACAAUAAGUUUAAACAAGACAUGGGUAUUGUUUUUCAAGUAAAGAUCUAAACUUUGUCGAAAAUAAUCAAAGAAUAAAGUAAAAAAAGAGAAACAAUCAAUAUUAACUUUACAUGCUAAAAAUAAAUAUAUCUACCAACAAUAAGUUUAAACAAGACAUGAGUAUCAUUUUUCAAGUAAAGAUCUAAACUUUAUUCAAAUAAUCAAAGAAUAAGGUGAAAAGNNNNNNNNNNNNNNNNNNNNNNNNNNNNNNNNNNNNNNNNNNNNNNNNNNNNNNNNNNNNNNNNNNNNNNNNNNNNNNNNNNNNNNNNNNNNNNNNNNNNNNNNNNNNNNNNNNNNNNNNNNNNNNNNNNNNNNNNNNNNNNNNNNNNNNNNNNNNNNNNNNNNNNNNNNNNNNNNNNNNNNNNNNNNNNNNNNNNNNNNNNNNNNNNNNNNNNNNNNNNNNNNNNNNNNNNNNNNNNNNNNNNNNNNNNNNNNNNNNNNNNNNNNNNNNNNNNNNNNNNNNNNNNNNNNNNNNNNNNNNNNNNNNNNNNNNNNNNNNNNNNNNNNNNNNNNNNNNNNNNNNNNNNNNNNNNNNNNNNNNNNNNNNNNNNNNNNNNNNNNNNNNNNNNNNNNNNNNNNNNNNNNNNNNNNNNNNNNNNNNNNNNNNNNNNNNNNNNNNNNNNNNNNNNNNNNNNNNNNNNNNNNNNNNNNNNNNNNNNNNNNNNNNNNNNNNNNNNNNNNNNNNNNNNNNNNNNNNNNNNNNNNNNNNNNNNNNNNNNNNNNNNNNNNNNNNNNNNNNNNNNNNNNNNNNNNNNNNNNNNNNNNNNNNNNNNNNNNNNNNNNNNNNNNNNNNNNNNNNNNNNNNNNNNNNNNNNNNNNNNNNNNNNNNNNNNNNNNNNNNNNNNNNNNNNNNNNNNNNNNNNNNNNNNNNNNNNNNNNNNNNNNNNNNNNNNNNNNNNNNNNNNNNNNNNNNNNNNNNNNNNNNNNNNNNNNNNNNNNNNNNNNNNNNNNNNNNNNNNNNNNNNNNNNNNNNNNNNNNNNNNNNNNNNNNNNNNNNNNNNNNNNNNNNNNNNNNNNNNNNNNNNNNNNNNNNNNNNNNNNNNNNNNNNNNNNNNNNNNNNNNNNNNNNNNNNNNNNNNNNNNNNNNNNNNNNNNNNNNNNNNNNNNNNNNNNNNNNNNNNNNNNNNNNNNNNNNNNNNNNNNNNNNNNNNNNNNNNNNNNNNNNNNNNNNNNNNNNNNNNNNNNNNNNNNNNNNNNNNNNGAUUGGCUAAAUUAAAUUAAAAUUUGAUACGAAUUAAUACCUUUUUUUUUAUCCCGAGCUUCUUGAUUUAAUAAAAUGAAUGCAUAUUUAUCCAAAUAAAUUAUUUUUGAGAAUAAAUUAUAUUUAAAUUAAGAUUUUAAUCAUUUGAAUUUAUUUUCAAGAUAAGUCUUAAUUAAAUCCGAUAUUUUGUAAAAUAAAUAUUUAAGUAACAAAUUAUAUAAUCUCGUAUAACUGAACACGAUAGUAUAUAAUCGCUACUUAAAAUGACAAAAUCACGUACGGAAAAUAUUUUAAGUUUUUUUUUUUAUUUGGAUGAAAUAAUUUUGAUUUAUUAAAAACUGAAGAAACUCAGGAUUAAAUUUAGUCGUGGAGGGCAAAAAUUAGGUGUCAACAAUGCCUAUUCCAUAUCGCGAAGCACCCCAAAAAUAUGCAUAGGUCCGCCCCUGGACAGGAGUAUAAUUACUGAUGCUGAAAGUCAACUGUACCGAACCAAUUCAAGAAGCUAAAAUCAAUAGUUGUACAUAAAAUAUCCAGCUAAAAAUUGAAGGAUUCUGCACUUGAGGAAAGCAUGUCAGAUUGUUACAUUUGACAUCCUAAGUCCAUGGUAGAAAAAUCAAAAGAAACAAGCUGUCCAAACACACACUUUUAUUUCCACUUUAUAAAACCUGACUUAUACAAUGUCCUUUACUUUACCUUUACAAGUACAAUGAUAUCAAUAUAUUUCAAUAUAUUUUUGAUUUAUACCUUUGAAACAUUAUAAGAUUUUGAAAAGACCAAAUUAGUUGCAUGAAGCUAAGCUUUGCGUUAAGUCUCUUCUUAUCUUCUUCAUCUAACAUGACAACCUAUAUGUAGAAAUUACAAUAAAUGAGAAAACAUAAAGCCAACAAUAUUUGGAAAUUAAUAGUCAAAUAUACCUGAAUUCCCCCUUCGCACAAGGCAAGGGCAAUGUUGUUAGCAACUUUGGAAUAUAAGCGACCUCGAAGGAGAACUUGGAAAGUUCCUUUAGAAUAGAGUUGAGGACCACAUCAACAGUUAGGCUACUUCCAUCUACCACCUUCACUUUCAGGUGAGGGUACCUCCUUAAGAAAAUUUCACCAUUCCUAUUCAAUUGCUCUUCCUGAAAACAUACAUUUGAAAUAAAUCACAACUAUGAGUUAACCUUCAACACUAAUACAGGGUGAUGAGCGAAUUCUUUUUAGAUCUUUUCGUCCACAAUCCUAUGAUUACUUACGAACCAUUCUGCGAUAAGUUUGCACGAUAUUAUUAGUUAAGAAUAGGUCAUGCAUUUUUCUUAUAGAUAAAAAGUUGUCUUUUGAGUUUUAACACAAAGGAAAAUGAUUUUGUUUUAAUUAGCAGUGACUUUUGAGGUGAAUAUAAAUGAAAAUUAAAUAGUUAAGUAAAUGCUGAAAUUUUAAUAAGUAAAUGGAAUAUACAACUCGAUAAAAAAUGAUAAAUAGAAAUUAAUUACUAUUAAUUAUUUUAAUAUAUCAAGUAAAAAGAUAAAAAAUAGAAAAAAUAUAAAAAAUUUGAGAAAAAAGAAAAAUAGGAAUGGAGGCCUUAAAAGUAUGCUACAUUAGCAUACUUCUAAGUCUCCUUUAUAGAUUGAUUGAUUCUAGCUAGUUUAAUUUGAGUAUUACUUCCUACUUAAUGUUAAAUUAAUUUUUGUUCGUGAGUUUUGUUUGUGUCAAUAUAUUUUAUGUUUUUUUUUUUUUUUUUAAUUUUGUUGUAUAUUUAUUUAUUCUGUGUCCUUUAAUUUUUAAUUGUCCUUUCUUGAUUUACAUAAACUCUACUCCGAAUCGAUACUUGAAUGCUUACUUUUAGUUGAUUGAGUUAUUGGUUCUUAAAGAGAUUUGAGAAAAUUUUCUUGAGAGGAAAAAGACAAGAGUUUGUGAUAUUAAUUGAGUGAGGUCUAAAAAUCUUGAUCUUGAGCGUACACACGAGUGUUGAGUGAUACAUAUGAGAGAGAGAAUAUAUGAGGUACUUUGACUUUGUUUCUACCUUCUUUUGAUUGUAAGUAUGUCUUUCAUAGCUUCGGGUGAUCCUUGUGAUGAUGAUUUUGAAGACUAUGAUUGUGAGAAUGAUGAAAAUUAUUAUGAUGAAGAUUGUGGAGAAAAUGAAGAUGGUGGAUCUUAUCUUGAAGAAUGUGAGUAUGGUGAUUCUUAUGCUUUCAACAAUAACUUUAAAAAUGAUGAUGCUUCAAGGUAUGAAUUUUUCACAUACUCUUCUUGUGAUGCAUCUAAUAGUGAAGAAAGUGACUAUGGGCUUGAUGAUGAUAAUGAGAAAACUUUUGGUGAAUAUUCUUGUUCAUCUUCUUACUAUGAUUCUAAUUCUAAACAUGAGAAUGGUUAUAGUUCUUAUGUUUGUUUUAUUGGAGAAGGAGGUGGUAGAUCUUUCACAAAAAAAUUGAGGUAAAAUGUGAGUAGAUGUGCUACUUAUGGUAGAAAUAUUUCCAUAGACCUAGUGAUGAUAUGAAUGCUUUGAUAAAUGAAGAUCAUUUUAUUGAACAACAUGAGUGUGAUGAAGCAUGCAUUAACCAAUUUUUAAGAGAAAUAAAGAACAUGUUUCAUAUUUAUGACAAAAUUGAAAGACUUUGUUGUGUUAUGAUUAUACAUAAGAAGAGAUUCAUAAAUAUUGCAAGUUCAAACAUGAUUGAGAACUCAAAGUUGAAGAAUAGAAAACAUCCCCAACCAUAUGGAUUGCCAUGGCCAAAUGGGAAAGGAGCUUUAGAGAUCACAAAAUAAGUUUUAGUGAAGUUCCAACUUAACAAGUUUCAUGAUGAAGUACUGCGUGAUGUUAUUCCAAUGAAAACUUGUCAUUUGUUACUUGGAACGUCUAGGACAAUUAACAAAGAAACUACUUUUAAUAAAAAGACUAACAAAUGUUCUGUUAACCUAAAAGUUCAAAUAUUAUAUGCUAUAUUAGUCCUUUAAUUUAUUUGAUGUUGUUGAAAAAGUUCUAGAGAGAGAAAGACUAGCCUUUCACUAAACUUCCUCUCAAAACAUAGCAAAUGUUAAUGGAAAACCCAUGUGUACCCACCGACCCACCCGAUGACCCAACUAAUCAAAUGGAUAUUGAAUCACAAAAUAAACCCUCCUACAAAGAGAUUCUGAGAAAUGAAAUUAGUACCCCAAUCCCUAACCACUUUCUCAAAUCCAUUGGUAAUCUAAGCAAAGCUUACUAUGGGGACAACGGAGAUGUCAUCCAACUCACCUCCCAAGAGAAACUCUGAUUGUACACUCCUUAGAGACACUCUGUGAUCAUCAAGGCGGUGGGUCGGUAAUUCAACCAUCAAUAUUUUAAAAUAAAGACCUCAGAUCUAUGGAAACUGAAAGAGAAAUUUACUCUAAUCGAUCUUGGUCGCGAUUACUACAUAGUAAAAUUGAAUGAUGAAGCUUCUCAGAGAAGGAUUACAUAGGAAGACCCAUGGUUCGUUGUUGGGUCAUAUAUAUCAAUACCCAUCUGGGAUCAAAUUUCCUCCCAAAUGAAUCCCAGAUCGAAUUAACAACAAUAUUGUUGAGAUUACCCUAACUCCCUAUAGAGUUCUAUGAUGCCCUAAUUUUGGAAAAAGUGGGGAAAAAGAUUGGCAGGCUUUUAAAGGUGGAUGCAUGUACCUCCUUUAUCCUAAGGGGAAGGUAUGUAAGGAUAUGCGUCCAAGUCCCUCUAAACACCCUUUUGAAGACCUCGAUAACUGUCGAAAAUCACUACAACUAAUAAUCUAAGAAGGAUAUGGAUUUUUGUGCAAAAACUGUGAACGAUUAGGGCACACCACUUUAUGCCUAUUCACAAACACUCCGGUGACGAAGGAAACUGGCAAAACAUCAAUCUCAAAACACCCAAAACAAGACUGGGAAGGGAGAAUAGUGGAGUUUGCAAGGAAAAGAAAAAAAACCUAAAGAACAAACUAAUGGUAAGCAAGGUGCAAUUCUAUCUCCCCAAAACGUUAAGGUGAAGCUGUUCGAUGCAAAAUUAGGUAAGUUCCUUAAAACUUGCGAUUUUUAAUUCACUACACCUCCAUCAAACCCUAAUAGAGGUCAAAGGCUGGGAAAAUUUCCCAAACCCAUCCUCCCAAUGGGGUGGGUCAAAAAAAUUGGGCCAAUACUGAGGCCUCAUCCAGCAAGACCAAACCCGAGGAAAAUCUGGGCCAACAAUAAGGCCCAAAAAUAACCUCAAGAAAAGACCCAUGGCUUCUAGGCCUGAUCAGACUGACCCAUAGGGCCCAAAGUAGAUGGACGUAAAAACAAAUGAGAGUCUGUCCACAAAUGGACAAGACUCCAUCUUUGACUUUAAUAAAAAGAUUAAAAAAUAAUAAUAACCAUGUCAGUCAAAAUGGGAAUACCACUCUUGCAGAAGAGGUGGAUAUGGCCCAUUGCCAUGUCACCCCCAUUUUUCUCUCAAUUACUCAACCAUUUCACUCUACUCCAGAAACUUUGCCUGCUCACAUCAACCACAGUGUCCUUAUUGUCAUUUCCCAAAGCCAGGCAUUAUUAACAACAAUGAUGGCAAUGAUGAGAAAAAUCCAAAGGUCCUGGACCUCACUGUCUUUUUUGAUAAUCCAACUCCACAACCUCACUCAAAUAGGCCAAACCACUACACUACAACCCCACCAUCUAAAUCCUUGGUCGAAAAUGGAGAAUCCACCUCCCAAUACACUAGUGUUCUUAAUGGAACCACUGAGUCCAAAUCACCAUCCAAUCUUAUGGCUGGAAAUAUAUCUAUCAAAAAUAUCAAUCCCACUAAGACUAACGAUGGAAGGGAAAUAACUCACCAUCCACAUUCAAGACCCCCAAUAUCUAGAUCAUCUAGUCAUAGAGGGCUUCAACCAGGGUCUAACAAAUUAUUAGCCAACAGUGUAGACAAUCACAAUGAUGAAAAUCAUUGGGUCCCAUACCAUGGGAAGUCUAUCACUCGAAAUAAUCACAGAGGAGAUGAAUGUGAUGACUCAAUGUCUACCCUUCUUCCGACCAAAGAACCAUAUUUUAUUAGAGUAGGGACCAAAUUUUGUUCUAAGUUAUGAUGGCCAACCUGUAGACCCCAAACCCUAUCCCUCAGAACCCUUUAACCAAAAGCCCACUCUUUUGGGAAAUGAAAGAGAGAGAAAAGAUUCUCUAUGCUCUCCAGGAAAAUAAUAGGGAGAUGGAGAAAAUUCUAUCUUCUCUAAAAACUCCAAAGGCAUAUGUCUUAACUCUAGAAAAACUUCUCAAUCACUCUUUCGAGGACCUUAUUAGUGAAAUGAUACUGAUUCUGCUUUCCAUCGAGCUAAACAAAUUCUACAUCAAAAUUCUACCUCAAGUGAAGGACAUAUUUCAUAAGUUCAAGAUGGCCCCCCUAUCCAAGAAGAUAAAUGAUCCAUCUCCCUCCCAGAACCCAUCACAUCUAGGGAAAUGCAAGGAAAUUCUGAUGGACAGUCCCCCAAAAAACCAUAUAAUGAUAAAGAAUUGCAUCAUUUGGAAUAUUAGGGGUGCUAAUAAUGCGGAAUUUAAGAGACACUACAAAAUAAUAAUUCAAAUACAAAAACCUUCUCUGCUUGCCUUGUUAGAAACAAGGAUGGUUGACCAUACCAAACUGGUAGAUGAGCUUGAUUAUACUAGUAAGAUUUAGUUACCCGCAGCUGCUCCUUUGGGGAAUAGUUAUUAUGUGGGAUAACAUAGUGCUCAACAUCAAUGACAUUGCCAUAUACCCCCAAGCAAUCCAGGUCUUUAUUAAGGUAAACUACUCUACUUUUUUUUUACUACAAUUUAUGCUAGCAAUAAUUUUGAGGAGAAAAAAUCCCUCUAGGCUAAUCUCAUUGACUUUUCAAAUAACAUCAAAGACCUUUCCGAUAACCCUUAGCUGAUUGGGAGAAACUUCAAUGAGAUUCUUAGAGCCUCUUAAAAAUUUGGAGGCAAUAACAUUAAUAUUAAUAAGGUUGCUUAUUUCUGGGACUAUAUCAACUCUGUACUCUAAUAGACCUAGGAUUUAAGGGGGAAAGUAUAUUUGAUCAAACAAAAGGCACAAAAAUAGAACUGGCCUAAUUCUAGAGGGGUUGCAUAGAUGCCUAGCCAACAACUCUUGGAUUAACAUGUUUCUCUAGGCCACUAUGUCCCACCUCUCUAGAACUUACUCUGAUCACUGUUCUUUGCUUAUGAAUCUAAAAAAAAUCCCCCUUUUCUCCAAAACCCCUUCAGAAUAAAAACCAUGUGGUGCUCUCAUCCAUAAUUCCGUUCCAUUGUGGAGAACUCUUUUCCCCAAACAACUCAUUGUCUAAGGCAAUCUCCAAUUUUGAAGCUAAAAUAACAAGUUGGAACAAGAAGAUUUUUGGAAAUAUUUUCCAUAAAAAAACACAUCCUUGCAAGACUUGAAAGGAUUCAGAAAUCGCUAAACUACCCCCAUAUACUCUUCCUCCAAUAUCAUGAAUACAAGCUUUUAAAAGAAUUCACUGAGAUCCUAAAGCAAGAACAAGAAUUCUGAAAAAUCAAAUUCAGAGUAAAUUGGCUUGCAGAAGGAGACUCAAAUACCAGAUUCUUCUACACCUCCACCUUAAACAUAAGAAGGAGGAAUAAAAUCUCCACUAUGAAUGAUGACAAUAGAAUUUUAAUUCCAUGAGGAAAUCCACUCUGAAAUCCUCAAAUUUUAUACCAAAUUAUUCUCCUCCGAAUACCACUCUUCCUCUAUCAAAUGCCAAAACAACCCUUCCUCCAGAGGCUCUAUCAAUACUGAGGACUACCACCUUAUGGAUACCAUUUCCUCCCCUUUGGAAAUCAGAAAAAUUGUCUUCUCUUUUAAGCCCACCAAAGCCCUUGGACUUGAAGGCCUUCAACCCCUUAUAUACCAGAAAUUUUGGGAUAUUAUGGGACCCCCUACCAUUUAAUUUUGCAUUGACACUUUUUCAUCCACGAAAAUAGAACACAAAGUCAAUUCCACCCACCUUAGCCUAAUCCCAAAGUAUUAAAAUACUUCCAGCUUGAGAAACUUUAGAUCAAUUGGUCUAUGUAAAACUCAAUACAAAAUAAUCAUAAGAUUAUUAUUAUCAGACUCAAGACUUUUCUAGCCAAGAUUAUCAGCCCUACUCAAUUCAGUUUCUUACCUAGCAAGACAACCUCUGAUAAUACCAUCAUCAUCCAAAAGGUAAUCUCCUACUUUAGUAAAAUAAAAGGGAAAAAGGCUAACAUAGUCCUCAAGAUUAACCUUGAGAAGGCUUUUGACAGAAUUGAAUGGUCCUUCAUCAGACAAGCCCUUAAUUUUUUUAACAUUCUCCCCAGACUCACUAACCUCAUCAUGUCUUGUAUUUCCCCCUCCACUAUCUCAGUGUUGGUAAAUAGGGGUAAAAUUAAAUGGCUUCAAACCUACUAGAAGGAUAAGAUAAGGGGACCCCCUCUCUCCAUAUAUUUUCAUCAUGCGUAUGAAACUCUUGUCUUGGAGAAUAGACUAUGAGGUGGACAUCCUCAACUGGAACCCCAUUUCCAUCAGCAGAAAAGACCCUAAAAUUUCCUAUAUUUUCUUUACAGAUGACCAUACCUUUUUUGCCAAGGCAAAUGAGAAAAAUUGUUGGGCCAUCAGGAAUACUCUUCAAAGCUUCAGUCACCACUCGGACCAAAAGAUUAAUCACCUCAAAUCAAAAGUAAUCUUCUCUCAAAAUUGUAACAAAGAGGACAAGAUCAACCUCUCAAGCAUCCUACACAUCCAGGCUAAGAAAACUUUUGGAUGAUACCUGGCUUCCCUAUCUUCCAAGAAAAACCUUGUUCUAGUGAUUUUCAGUUUAUUGUUGAUAACCUCAAAACAAAACUGUCUGGAUAGAAAAUAAACUUCCUCAAUCUGGCAGGGAGAACCACUCUAACUAAAACUUCCUUAAGUAGCAUCCCUACUCAUGUCAUGAAUGCAUCUCCCUUCCCUCUACCAUCCAUAAACUUAUUGACAGAACUCAAAGAAACUUUGUCUGGGACUCAACUAGUGAAAAGAGGAAAAUACACGUUCUGAACUGGAACACCAUUACCAUACCAAAGAAUAAAGGGGGAUUGGGUCUCCAAAAAUCCUCCAUCAAGAAUGACACUAUGCUAGCCAACUUAUCAUGGAGAUUUCAUAAAAACCCCAAAAUUCUUUGGGAUACCAUCCUCAAGAGGAAAUAUUCCCAAGAUAGCCACCAAAACAAUCCUAAAAACUCUAACAGUAUCUGGAAAAACAUCACCAAAGGUUGGGGCAUUUGCCAAAGAGCUUCCCUCUGGAUUAUCCAUAAAGGGGAUAAGGUAAACUUUUGGACUGACAGAUGGUUACCUCAUUGUGAAUAAUCUUAAAGACCAUUCAUGGUCCCCUCCACCUAAAUCAUGAAAAAACUAAGUUGUCUGAAGUUUGGAUCACUGGUGAAUGGGGAUUCAAUAACCUUCCAAUGGAACUUCCUCAGGAUAUCCUUCAUACUAUCAAGUCUUCUUUUGCUCCAAACCCUAGGACAUACUCUGACACUCUCAUUUGGAAUAUUACUGGGGAUGGGCAUAGGCAGUUCUCCAGUAAAAAUACCUACAACAUGCUGGCGAGUAUCAAUGAGAACGAUAUCAGGAAUAAUUCCAUCAUUGUCAACUGGAUUUGGAAGGCGAAAAUCUCCCCCAAAAUAAAAAUCUUCCUCUGGCUUAUCUACCACUAUAGGAUCCCUACUAGCCAUACUCUGUUUUGGAUAAAAAUCAGGGACUUAUCAAAUUGCAAAAUUUGUAACCACCCCACCAAGGAUGUUAACCACAUCUUCUUUGAAUGUCAAAAUUUGCAAAAUUAUUCGAGUAAUAUCAUAGCCAAAAGCUCCAAUAAGAACCUGAUUAAUACUCAACAUAUCCAUCCAAAAAAUUGGGGAAAAACUUAGAAAAUUCUCCACCAUGUUGCCUACAAUAAUGUCCUUGACUGGCUGGAUAUCCUCCCUUUCUAUCUCUGCUCUAGCUGAAAACCAGAAAUCUGAAUUCCUUCAAUACCAGCAACACCAUACCAAAUCCUCUUCAAGCCUAUUCUGAAGCACUGGAGUACAAAAUGACCAUCAUGAACAAUGACACCACAACCUAAUACAAUAUCAUCAACAUUAGGUGGGAACCUCCAAUUAAUGGGUUUUUCAAACUUAAUACUGAUGGAUCUUGUUUGGGAAUCCUAGGAAGAGGGGUAUAGGUGGGGUUAUUAGAUUCGACAUCAGGGACUGGAUUAUGGGCUUCUACAAAAGCUUUCAUAAAACUACAAAUAACCACAUAGAACUCACAAUCCUUGUGGAAGGGCUCAAAUUAGUGGAGCAAAGGAACCUGAUACCCAUCAAAAUCAACAUUGACUCAGUUAAGGUAAUAGCCAUGCUAAAAAUAGGUAACUUACACUAUGAUGUCUUGAUAAAUGAUUGUAGGUUAAGUAUAAGAAGAUUAGGAGGCCCAAGGGUAACACAUUGCUUCAGGGAUCAGAAUUGAGUGACAGAUCUCAUGACCAAGGAGGGAUCUAACUCAGCUGAAUUUGGAGAAACCAAACUUUUUAAAGUUUCACCACUGUGUGCUGCAAAAGCAAUGUGGGCAGACAAUGCAAGAACUUUUUUUGAGAGGAGGGUUAAUUCUUGUAACCAAAACAGUGAUAUGCCUCAUAUGAGAUUCUCUAUUUUGGAUCCUGUCUAAUGUAGCAGAAAUGUUUUUGUACAAAAACUAUCUUUAUUUUUAAUUGAAUGCAUGCCUACUUAACAAAAAAAAAACUAGAAGUUCAAAGUUUUUUUUGUGUCAUCUACACUUUUGAAGGUGAAAGAAAGAUACUUGGAGUUGCUAAGAUUGAUAAGAAGAAAGACAAAGUUUCAGCAAAAAAGUGUUAUUGCUAAAGAGAAGAACUUGAAGAGAAAAAUUGAUGAUUCUCAAAAUGUAAAGUUCAAAGUUGAAGUGAAGAAUCAUCCUAAUUCUUCAAAAGGAAUUCUUGAGUCUUAUUCAAUGUUAAAUAAUCUUGGGAGAGAAAAGAUUGAGAAGUAUAAAGGAUUGAUAAAUGACAAUUCAAUAAUGAAAAAAGAAAAGCUUGAGUUGAGGAUAGUGAGUGAGCUAUCAAAAACAGAGAGAGAGAUUUCAAUAUAAAAAGAAUGAAAAGAUAAUUGAGAAGAGUGAAGAAAAAGAGAGUUUGAGAAAAUUUGCUUCUUGUUUUAAUUCUAAUGUUAAUUCUUCUUUGCCUAGUUGUAAUAUCUGUUCUGUAGAUAUAUUUGAAAAUGAAGCUAUGAAGCAAAUAUAAUGAACAACAUUACAUCAUUGAAGAUUCAAGAGUUGGUGAAUACUUAUGGUAACUUCAACAUAGAGGCUGUGUGUCCAAAGUUGGUGGCUUGGGCCAAGAGGUGCAUGCAGAGGGACAGUGUGGCCAAGUCUUUACCUGACCAACAUAAGAUUCUUGAGUUUGUGAAAGUAAUUAGGCAGGCUAAUGGACUUGAAUAAACAUAUGCUUUUGCAGUUAUACAUCAUAAUGUAUUGAAAAGGCGCUUCAUUGAGCCUUUUUGAGGAGUUGUUUCAAGAUUUGAAAUGUUUGUUUGGUCAUACUCUAAGUUCUACUUGUAAUAAAGGACACUUAGCUUGUGUCUUGUUGAGGGUUGUCUUUUGUAGUCUUUGUAUGAAAUUCUGGGGUUCUUUUGUUUCGAGAAGUAAUUAAUCACUUUUUUCAUGAGCAUCAUCUACUACAAUGACACAACUUUUUUAUUCCGAAAGUAUUAUUCUUUUGUACUAAAAUGAUACGCAUCCUCAUGACCUUUGUACAAUUCAGAUAACUAGGUGUGUCACUCUUUUUUUUUCUUUUCGGUAUUCAAUAUUUAUAUAGAAAUUUAAUUAAUUUGAAUUCAUAUCGUAUAGGGCUUAUUCAGGAAAAAAAUGCUCUCUAUUAAAGUUUUUUUUUCAAUUUUUCAUGUCCAAGCACGGUUGAGAUGGUGUUCACCUCAAUCAUCGAUAAAAAAUUAUACUAUUUAUAAGAUUUUUUCUUUUAUAUAAAUAUAUAAAUUUUGAAUUCCCGAAGUAGAAGGUUAGAGAUUUGACUCAAUAAUUGAAAGGAUUCAAAAUUUACGUUGAUUUUCUAAAUUCAAAUGGAAGACACUGCACAAAUUAAGACUAACAUUAUUCAAAUGGUAGAAUUAAGACGAACAUUAUUCAAAUGGUAGACACUACAUAAAUUAAGACAAACAUUCCAGAAUACAUUUUUUCAUGUAGAAAAUUUCAACUUAAAAAGUAAUAUUGUAAAGUAGAUAUGAUAUCUUAAAUUCAAUUUAAGAAAAUAUUUUCUUAUACAUUAGAGUAGGUAAAAGUUUAGGUAGCUAAUAGGUGGACUACAUUAAUAUUUUGAUAGACUUUUUUUUGGUUUUUUUUCAUCCGAUGUUAGAUCGUUCUCAUAUUAAAGCUUAAUUAAUUUGAAUUUGUAUCGAAUAGAGCCAAAUCAUAAAAAUGAUCCCUAGAAAAUAAGAACUUAUACUCUAAGUCUCGAUACCAAAACCUCUUAUCAAGUGAGAGCAACCACCAAAGCGAUUCCAACCACGAUCUUUUAUUAUUGAUGAUGAUAUCAAUUAACCUUGGUAAUACCACCACCCAAAAAAAAACAAUGGACCACCAUGUUGGGUUCAAAAUCGAGAGGGCGUCAUGCGGAAGCUUAAAGUUUUCAAACCAUAAAGAAAAUAAUUCAGAUGACACAAGAAAAACAUAUUAAAGAACAUAUUAUUAAUAUGAUUUGACCAAUUGACCUACAUAUUAAAAAUUAAAUAAAAAAGCAUAAAAACUAUUUGAGAACUCUCUCUAAACAAUACUCUUUAAAACGACUACAUUGUGGAUACUAUUGCGUUUUUGUAUGAAAGGAGGGGUAUUUAUAGAGGUUUAAAACCUUUCCUCUUAGAAAGAGGUUAGCCAAAUAUGAAACAGUUUUAUAUUUUUGUUUUAGGAAAAGUAAAAGUAAUUAUGGUAUUACUUUUAUUUUCCUUUUAAUUACUUUUACUUUCCUUUCAAGAAAAUUAAAACUUAAUUUUGGUAAAAAAAUCAGAGCAAAAAUCCUAACAAAUCUCUCCUUUUUGUCUUGCUUUUCUUCACUUGAUCCAUCUUCUUCACAUCUUUAAUAUUUAUUCUUCACAUAGUUUUUUGCCAUGGUUAAAAAUAAAAUUUAAAAUAUUAUGGUUUAAAGUGGGUUAAAAAUAAAUAUUUUUUUUUAUUUUUAAUGAUGCAACAACAGAAAUGUUGAAAUAUGCUUAAAACUUCUUCUCCACAUGUGGCUAGACAAAAAUCUUCAUUAUCAUCAAAUUGGUUGCAACUUUGAUCUCAUCCUCAAUCUGAACCAUCGAACCAUUGAAUCAUUAGCUCUGAUACCACUUGUUGAGUUCGAAAUCGAGAAGGCGUCAUGCGGAAGCUUAAAGUUUGCAAAUCAAGAUUGUGAUAUUUCAAAUGACAAAGAAAAAUAUACUAAAAAGACAUUAUUGGUAUUAUUUGGCCAAUAAGUCUACACAUGAAAAUUAAUAUUAAAGAAAAUAUAAAACUAUUGGGAGAAAAUCUUUCUCUAAACAAGACUCGUAAACAACUACAUUAUGGAUACUAUUGUAUUUUUUAAUGAAGAGAGAGUCUUCUAUUUAUAGUGGUCUAAAACCUCUUCUCACAGAAAAAUGUCAGUCAAAUAUGAAACAGUUUUAUAUUUUCCUAAAAAUAAUUGUGGUAUUACUUUUAUUUUCUUUCAACAAAAAUAAAACUUAAUUUUGGUAAAAAUUAAAUAAGGAAAAACCCUAACACACCACAGCAUGCUUGUGGACAAAAAGUCAAAAAAUGGAAGGCAUCCACACUACUAUAUAUAUGUGGAUGUGGGUGUAUGUAACCAAGCAACUUUGGAAAAUAUUUUUCUUCAUUCUUCUUAGCAUUUACCUUGUGUUAUUCAUACAACAAAAAUGGCUAAGGAUGAGGUGAUUCUGUUAGAUUUUUGGGCUAGCAUGUUUGGCAUGAGGCUUAGGAUUGCACUUGCUGAAAAACAGGUAAAUUAUGAGUAUAAGGAAGAGGAGGGAUUGCUGAGUAACAAAAGUCCACUGCUAUUACACAUGAAUCCUAUUCACAAGAAAAUACCAGUUUUAAUUCACAAUGGAAAACCCAUAUGUGAGUCUCUUAUUGGAGUUGAGUACAUUGACGAAGUGUGGAAGGACAUAGCACCUCUGCUUCCUUCUGAUCCUUAUGAGAGAGCACAAGCUAGAUUCUGGGCUUACUACAUUGACAAGAAGGUAAAAUUCAUAUCAUUUCCUUUUCUCUUUUCUAUGGGAUUCUCUAGCUGACGUCAAGUGCUCCAUCCGUUUCGAUUUGUUUGUCCUACUUUCUUUUUUAGUCCGUUAUAAAAAGUAUAUUUCUUUCCUUUUUUGGCAUUUAUUUAGUUUCAACUUUCUACGUAAUGAUUAAUACGAUAUAAUUAAAGGACGCUUCUAUUCAUAAGCUAGGUUUCCCUAGGAUCCAAGAUCCAGUUUACUUUCAUGAUAGUUUUUGUGGCAACUAGUGAUUAUAACCUUUUUCUUUUUCUGUGUUUGGUGAAAUUUUCAGUUGUAUGAUUCUUCAAGGAAGAUAUGGAGAGCAAAGGGAGAAGAGCAGGAGGCAGGUAAGAAAGAUUUCAUUGAAGUCCUUAAAGUCCUAGAGGGAGAACUUGGAGACUAGCCUUAUUAUGGAGGGGAUAGCUUUGGUUAUUUGGAUAUUGCACUGAUUGGGUUCUACAGCUGGUUUUAUGCCUAUGAGACUUAUGGUAACUUUAGCACGGAGGAUGAGUGCCCAAAGUUUGUGGCAUGGGCCAAGAGGUGCAUGCAGAGGAACAGUGUGGCUAAGUCUUUGUCUGACCAAAAUAAGAUCCUUGAAGUUCUUAGGAAGAAGUAUGGAGUUGAAUAAACAUAUGCUUAUGCAAUUAUGCAUCAUAAUGUAUUGAUAAAAGGCACUUCAUUGGGCCUUCUUGAGCUGUUUCAAGAUUUGAGAAGUUUGUAAUUUGGGCAUGGUGUAACAUCUACUUUUACUUGUCAUAAAGGACUCUGUUAGGUUGUCUUGUUGGAGGUUGGCUUGUGUAGUCCUUGAAUGUAAUUCUGUUUCUCGUAAUGAGAAGUAAUCACUUUUUUUAACGAGCAUCAUCUAUUUAUUGAAGGUUUAUCAUACUUAAUUGAAUGAGAAAAUUACAGAAACUAACAUCCUUAAGACUAUAAUUACAAUAAAUAGCAACACUUUUUCAAAAUUACAACUUAUAGCAAAAGUAGCAAUAUUUUACCCACUUCAUAGUAAUAGAAGAAUAUGUAUUUUUCAGUUGUGCAUAUGUAUUUAUGAGUAAUACAUAUAUAUUUAUAUAUGUAUUUAUAUAGCAACAUUUUACUUAAAUACAAAUACAAUUUGCUAUUUUUCGUAAUUAUGAAACUGUUGCUAUAAAAGUUAUAAUUAAGGCUAUAGAGUUGCUAUUUCUGAAAUUUUCCCUAAUUGAAUUACACAAGGACUUCAAUGUAGCCCAAUAAGAAUCAUAAAUAGAAACACGUGAAAUAUUAGUAGAAAUAGAGAUUUUAGACUAUUGAAAGAAAUACUAAAAUACCACAAAAAAAAAAGAAAAAGAAAGGAAUACUAAAAAGAAAUUUAAGCAAAUAUUAAAAUAUGAUAAAGGAAUUUUAAAAGAUAUUAGAAUAUAAUUAUUUACUUAUAGUUUAAAUCUCUUUGAUUUCAUUACUAUUUAAUUUAUAUCUUGGAUCUCCUUGGUAAAAAUUAUUACUACCUUAUAUAUAACAUCAAAUUAUGUAAUAUAAUUUUGGCUACUAAGGAAAUUUAGUUAAAUGUCUUUUCACCUUGAGAAAUUUGGCAGUUCAUGCCAUAGGGCGGAAUCACUACUAAAAAGAAUAGAAAAAUCAACACAAAAAAUUCGACCAAACUGACCACGUCUGAUCAGAUUUUAAUAAAUUUUUUAAUAUAUAUUUUUUUAAAAAUUCACCACUGUGAUUGGUUUUUAUAUAUAUAUAUAUAAUCUAUAAUCUAUAAUAAAUUAAAAGUGUGAAGACCUUAGAAAAGUGAUUUGAAUUAUUUUCUUUAGACAAAACUGUCUUUUCACUAUUUUUUUCAAUUUAUUAUUUAAUCAUUUUUGUUAUAUUAACUAGAGUACUAAAAUAUAUGGAAGGAAAAUCAAUCAAUAUUUUUCUCCAAUUGUAUGUAUUUGUUUUGGUUUUUGUUACUAAAUAUUGAUAAUAUCAAUUCAAUUGAUUAUAUGAUUUUCCAAUUGUAAGGUGCUGCUGAGGUUGGAGUUUUUUUGUUGUUAAUUUCGUUGCUUUGCGCAAGAAUCGUUCAUACUUUUCUAUUUUUAUUGGAACAGAAUAUUGUUUAUAUGUGUAAGGUAAAUCAUUUUUAAAUAUGGAAUUUUGAUGAUUCCCUAAUGUUAAAGAUUAAAUUUAAUUAUAUUAUUUUGAUGUCUCUAUCAUCGUAUUGUUUUAUUGUAGUACUUUACAGAUGAUAGAUGAAUGUCGAUCGGCUUUGACAAAUCUUUUUGGUAAAGGUUAGGUUUAAUUAAAUAAAUUCUCUAAAAGACGUUGAAUUUAAUUAUUGUAUUCAUCUUUAUUAUUUAAGCAAAUAUCAUAUUUAGUGUAACUUUUGAACUUAAUAAAAUGAGGUACACGCGCGAGGCGCGUACACCUAAUCUUGAUACAAGAAUAAUGGCCGCCUUAGCUUUUGACGACAUCAUUCUAAGUCACUAUGUGAAGAAUCAAGCUUUGGUCGCAUGGAGGGCACGGGAUCAUACUUGGAGGGGACGUUUUGAGCCUACCAUUGAUCAAACCCGAGUAUGGAAGAUUGCUUGGAGCCUUGAAGACUUAAGGACUCUCGGGUUUGGACCACCUUUGUUGGUUUGCGGUUUUGGUUCUCUUUAUUAAGGACAUUUUGGUCGCUUAGCCUUAAGGGAAUUUUGAAAAAUUCAUAUUGUUUUCCAACACACCAAGGCCACCCUUGGUCAUUAAGGAUAGUGUAGUCUUUUUUGCCUUCUUUUGUAAUAUACUUUAAGUAGGACUUUUUAGGUCUUCUCUCAUGAGUUAUGAAUGAUGAAUGUAUGACACAUUGAAAUCCUCUCUCUUGAGAGUAGAACACCUUAGAGUAGUUCUUAGUUAGGGCUUGGAAAGGCCACCUUAGUGUAGGGCUUGGAAAAACAAGUAUUGAUUUUUGCUUGGAAACGGUGGAUCUUGAGGUGAGUUUAUUACCUUGGCGGUCACCGUACAAGUGUGGUUUUGAUUAUUACAUUUAUUAGAGGUUGGUGUUGAAAUACACUUGGUUCUUAAUCUUGUAAUAAUCUUGGUCUCACUAUUUAUCCUUUUCUUUCUUGUAUUAUUGUUGUGUUUGUUCUUGUCCUCUACUUUCGGUUUGUGUUUGUUAUUGUUGGCCGAAUGGUUUCUCAUCUUGUUUAUCAUAUUGUGUUGCUAAUAUUAGUUUGGGUUGGUUGUUUUGGUUUUCUAAACACCUUGUUUAUCUCGUUAUUGGAUUGUUGAAUCCAAGAGUUGGUCACCAAAGAGAUCCUCGAUUUCUUGAGCUUGUGGACUGAUUUUGAUGUGUGUUUUGUGUCUUCCAUUGUCUUCUUGUAUCAUUUGGUAUCAAAGCAUGUCUUGAUUUUGUUCCCACAAGAUCAAUCUUGGACAAUCUUGUAAAAAAAUUAAAAAAAGUGUUGAAAGCUGAAAAUUCUAAAAAGAAGCAAAUCUGUUCAUUUUUGUGUCUUGGCCGAAAUUGUGUUCUUGUUGUGUCUUGGCCGAGAUUUUUCUUGUUUUGAGUCUAGAUCUAGGAGUUAUUUUAUUUGUUUUGUGGUUUCUAGUGUUAGCUUCUUCAUCUCUAACACUAAAAAAGUCUAGCUCUAGAUUUGAGCUUUAAAAGUUGAUGUUGUUGUUGUGAAUCCAAAGCGUGGCCGAUUGUUGUUGGUAUUGUUGUGGUUGGUUCAAGUUUUGAACGUGUAUUGUGGGGAUUGUGUUGUGGAUUUUAAUCUUGAAAAGGUGUUGUUGUUUGGGAGGUCCUACUUGAACCUUAGAACUUCAAGACUCAAAGUUUGUGUUCUUGGUGUUCUUCACCAUCUCCAUAUAGUGUUGAAGAGAAAAAUAGUUGUUGAUCUUAGAAGUUGAAGAAAAGGAGUGUGUAUUGUGAUAGUCUUGCAAGACAUAAAUUCAAUAUUUAAGGUGUAGUACUUGUGACUCAAAGACUUUUCCUACACACUCAAGACUUUACAACCACUUCCAACCACCUUCCAUGUUUUAAGGGUCCAUGUUUUAAGGAGAAGUACCAAGAAAGUCAAGUCUUCCUUUUUAAACUUUGAAAGAGGAUUUCAAGACUUAUAUUCCCUCCUUUUAACCAAAUUUCACCAAUCCAAAUUGAGAAAUUGACCAAGACUUCCAACUUUGGAAAAAUAAGAAUUGUUAAAGAACCGCAACCAAUACGUGGCUACCACAUCACUUUUUUACUGUUCAUGCAAUAAUUUUAGGCUCAAAUUUUAGAUUCUUAAUUUCAUUUUUACCGUCCCUUAGUUUCGUUUGUUGGUUCGAAUACUAAUUAGCAAGUAGUAAUCACCUACUUAGUUGUAGAUUAGUUGUUGAGUCCGUUUCUUUCAUGUCUUUGUUAUUUAUGUGCUUUUCCAUUUUUAACUCGUCGUAACUUCUUCAUUUCAAGUUCAUAAGUAGAUUUUGUUUUGUGUCUUGAGUCGAUCAAACAAGAAUCUAUUCCGGCCGCCAAGUAGAAUUGACAUCUUAUUGACUACCGGGGUAUAAACAACUUUCAAUAUUCGUCGCUCCAAUUGUGAGGAUCACAAAAGUGAGUGAAUACAAGUAUUGGUGAGGAGCUUUAUUACUAAUCUUGUUUGUUCAUUUUGUAGGUUUAAAAUGUGAUAUAAGGAAAACAUGUCUUCGAUAGCCAGGGAUUAUUGUGACUACAACAUGAGAGACUGUGAUUGUAGUGAGGGAUUUUAUGGUUACAAAGUUGAGGGAGAUUGCGGAGGCUAUGUAAAAUAGCCAUGAUCAAAACUUGGGAAGAUUUGAGAGUUACAGUUUUGAGGAAGAAAAUGAGGUAAAUGAAGUGCCUAGUACUUAUGGGGAACUUGGAGAUGAUGUAGGACCUCGUGAUGGAUCUUAUAAUAAAGUUGGGGCAUGUGAGGAGUCUUAUAAUUCUCACUUUGAACUUAGAUUUGGUGUUAGGUAUAACCCUUUCAUUCGUAAAGCUUAUGAGAGAUAUGAUGAGAGUGCACGUAGGGAGUGUGAAGAUUCAUAUUCUCCACCUUGUAGUACUUCUUAUCAAGGUCGAUAUAGUGUGAAUGGUUAUACUAGCUCUGGUGGAGGUUGUCCAAUGAGAAGAAGAUGGUAUGCAACUCCAAAAUUGAGGUGUACUCGUGUGCCUUACAAUGUUGAUCCGAGAAGGAGUGUACACUUAGAAAAGGUGACCAUUUGUGGGAUACCGGGCUGCCUCGUUGUGUUAAAUGAUAGAUACUAUAGGAACUACAUCCUUUCAUCCAUGGUUGACUACUUGGGGUUAUUUCGCGAGCCUUUACUUGUUCCAUACUUAUUGGACAGGUUUAAGGUUACCGAGAGGGUCAAAGUUGUCUUCUCCCAAUUUGAAUACCAUGAGGAGGUGUGGUGCGAUAGUCUUCCCUUGACAUACGGUCAUGUAUGCUUAGGUGCCGAUUGGUUUGCACAACAUAGAGUUCCAAAUGUGCAAAAUUAGCCUAAUGUUAUAAGAGAUCGGUGGGGAAAUCACCUCGCGGCCUACAUGCUGCCCGAACCGCAAAGAGAAGUGAAUAUUUACUCUAAUCCGAAUGCUUAUGAGAGACAAAAGAUUAAGAGGAGUAAGGGUGUGCAAGGUGGUAAUCCGAGAGCGGAAAAAUAAGAGGUUGUGUGGAGCGAAGUGAUGGGAUUAACACCAAACCGAGCUAACAGUGUUUGUCCUUCUAUUUAUAAGGACAUUUGUGUAGGUAUCGACAUGGCAAGCGAAGGAGAGAAAUGCCAAUUUGAUGCCCAAGCUUGUGGAGUACUUUCACAACACGGCAAAGGAGAGUCUACUAAAGAACUUCAAGGUAAAAUAGCUAACUCUUACACUUUUGUGCAUGUAAAUGAUGAUUGUGUGGCUAGUAUCCCAUUGAGUGUGAGUAGUAGCUUAAUUACUUGUGAUUCUAAUGAUUCUUUGCCUUUUGUUGAUGGUGUACAUGUUGUGAAUGUGGAUACACUAGUUCAUCCUAUUGAUGACCAAAUUGACUCUUCUUGUAAGAUUAAUUUAUGUCCACCUAGUGUUGAAGCCUAUAUGUUUAAUGGAAGUACAUCGUCUUGUGUAAUUGGUGUUGAUAAACUUAUUUGUGAAAAUUGUCCACCACUUGAGUAUGUGUGUGAUGUGAUUAAUAGAACUGAAGUGAGUGAAGUACUUGAAAAUAUUGGUCACCAAAAUGCGAGUGAACCCGAGAGCCAUUCUUGGGACAAUCUUAUGCUUUAAAUCUCUUUGAAACAUGAUAUUGAUCUUUUAGAGAGUGAUCAACGUAUUUGUUCCAAAUUUGUCUAGAAAAUAAAUCAUACUCUCUUUAGGUAUAAUGUCUUGUUUGAAGAUGAUUUAAAUACUCCUAAUGAACCUAGUGGUGAGAAUGAAGGUAUAAAUUGCCUUGAAGGCUAUAGCCGAUAAGCUAACCCACUAUGGUGUGACAAUAUUCCUCCUAAAGAUGAAAAUUAUUUUUGAAAGAUGAGAGUACUCAUAAGGGUAAGAAAUGUGUAGUCAUUCUUGAAAACCCGAAGGAAAAGGUGUCAUUGACUUCUUGGGGUAAUGUUCCUAAAUGUGCAUCAUUGUUUGACACACUUGUGCCUAAAUUGCAUAAAUUCCAACUUGUGGAUGCCAAGUUGUCUAGUUUUUUGAAGGAAAGAAUGUGUAUGUGUUUAAAUGCUUAUUCUUCACCCGUGAAUGCCUUUGGACGUGAUUCUUUCUUAUACUACCUCUUUGCCUAUGAUGACGUCCAUGCUAGUUUUGAAUUUGUUUUAGGUCGAGAUAGAAAGUUUGUUGGUCUGUCCAUGUGUGUGCGUGAUAAUGCUAUAUGAAUUUUAUGGACUUUAGAACCAAUCUAAACACUCCCCAUGGUGUGGUCUUUUGAUGAGAUAAAGAAACAAUGGUGUCUUAUGGAUCAUAAGAUGAAGGAAGUUCUACCUUGUGCAUUAUUUGAUUCCAUUAGGACCUAUGUAGUUUCUUUAUCUCUUGGUGAUUCCCGUAACCAAAUCCUUUGUGCACCUUUUAUUGAGCUUUUAAUAUUUAAUUCAAAGGAUCUUUGGUUAUAUUACAAAUAUGUGCAACCUUGGCAUGUUGAGAUGAUUUGUUGUGCUAACCCUAACCCUCAUGCCAUGAGGAGUUUGUAUUUUUUGCCCUCUCUUUGAUUUUGCAAGGUUUGGAUUCUAGGUCAAAUCCUUUUCAAGAAGGGGAAGAUGAUACAAGAAUAAUGGCCGCCUUAGGUUUUAAUGACAUCAUUCAAAGUCACUAUGUAAAGAAUCAAGAUUUGGUUGCAUGGAGGGCACGGGAUCAUACUUGGAUGGGACGUUUUGAGCCUACCUACCAUUGAUCAAACCCGAGUCUGGAAGAUUUCUUGAAGCUUUGAAGACUUAAGGACUCUCGGGUUUGGAUCACCUUUGUUGGUUCGCGGUUUUGGUUCCCUUUAUUAAGGGCAUUUUGGUCGCUUAGACUUAAGGGCAUUUUGGACAAUUCAUAUUGUUUUCCAACACACCAAGGCCACUCUUGGUCAUUAAGGGUAGUGUAGUCUUUUUUGCCUUCUUUUGUAAUAUACUAUAAGUAGGACUUUUUAGGUCUUCUCUCAUGAGUUAUGAAUGAUGAAUGUAUGACACAUUGAAAUCCUCUCUCUUGAGAAUAGAACACCUUAAAGACCAAAAACUAUUCAUUUUCUAAAACUAAUUUAUUUUUAGCCUAUAAAAUAAGAAAGAUUUUUGACCAACAACAAUGAGAUCCUUAACUUUGAAUCAUCUUCUUCUUCUUCUUUGAAAUUUAAUUUCUUUAACAAAAGUAAAAGAGAAAGGUCAUGUAACAACCUUUUCUCCAACAACAAUGGGAUCCUCAACGUAUCAUCAUCAUCAUCAUCAUCAUCAUCAUCAUCAUCUUCUUCUUCUUAAUGUGAUUUAUUUAACAAAAGUGAAAGAGAAAGGUCAUGUAAUAACCUCAUGUAAUAACCUUUUCUCUUAAAAAUACUCUUUUUGGCAAGAUGUUGCACUCUAAUUUCUCCCUCAAGGAGAUAUAAUACUACUAAGAAAUAUAUUUGUAUUGAGAAAUAUGUAGGAAAAGUGAUGAGUGUUUCAAGGUACAAGAAGAAUUAUUUGGAAAAAGAAAUUAGAAAAAGACAUUGCAUUGUGAUUCAACUUAUAGGGAGAUAUAUACUGAGAAUUAAAAGUUGAUUUUGGAUGAGAAUUUAUAAGAAAAGUGAUGUUGUUUCAAGGGCAAGAAGAAUUAUUUAGAGAGAAAAUUAUUUUAUUUAUGUUCAUAUCAAAUUAUGAAGAACAAGGAGAAAUUUAUUUUGUAAUUUAAUUUAAAAGUUGCCAAAAUUAGUGCUAAUUAUUUCUUUCCGUUUCAUUGUUAUUCGUCUCUUUUUUUACUUUUUCUUAAUUUUUUUUUUCCUUAUGUAUCUUCAUUUAAAAUUAAUAUUAUCAACUUAAAUUUAGAAUAUAAUAGAUGAGAGUGUAUGGUCAAUUAAUGUAGUCUUCUUACCUUUUAUAUUUACACGAAAUGAAUUUAUGGAUAUAUACCCAUAUUAAUUAAAAUAUAUUUUAAUUAUUCAUUAUUCUUUAUUAAUAGUUGAGCACAUAUAUAAAAUGAUAUUAGAGCUGUCAAUACGGGUCGGUCCAGCCCGCGCGGGCUUUGAAUUUGACGGGUUAGGUCGGGCUGGCCCAUCAUUUUGAUAGGCCAAAAAACACCAAGCACAACCAUUACUCCGUGGGCUGCGGGCCUCAUGGGUCAGCCCACUUUUUAAAAAAUAAUAUUUUAUAAUUUAAUUUUAGAAUGUUAAUAAACAUAAAUAUUACCAGACAAUAUUACAUAGUGUUAAUAUUUGUUAAUCAGUUCUCUAACUCCCCCCAAAAAUACUUUUAAUAGCGAAAUUAAAUAAUGUUUGACAUGAUGUCCUCUGAACCAAAUAAAAAUACUAAUAAGCAAUCUAAAUAGUUGCAUGUAUUUGAAUUACGGAUCAAUCCACAGGCUAGCCCUACCCACAUUGCCCAAGCCCUAUGUAGGCCACGGGCUUAUACGAGCCGAGCUAAAAAGCUCAAUUCUUAAAUGGGCUGCAAAAAUCGAAGCCCAACUCCAUCAAAUUACAAGUUGGAUUGGGCCGACCCAAUAGGCUUGACCCAUACUGACGACUCUAGGUGAUAUGACAUCUCUUUAUGAUCAAGAAAUUAUUUUUAUUUUUAAUUAUUUUAUUUUAAAAAAUUAUAUCCACAACUCACACGUUUUAAUCUUCAUAGAGACGACAAUUUAAAAGAUAGAAUAUUGAUUUAUUACAAACAAGAAUAAAAUAUUAUUUAUGAUCAAAAUUUUAAAUGAAUUAAAGGAGAGAUAUUCUCUGCUAUACGUUUGGCGCCUGUAAAAAUAACUUAGAACUAACGAUUCAUGCUUAUGAAAAGAUUUGCAAAACUUAUAUCUGAAUUUAUAUAAAUAUAUAUGUAUUCUUAAUUUUUUUCAAAUUCAUAUAGGGAUUAAAAUUUAAAAUUAAAAUUGUUACGUCAAAUUAAUGAAGGUCUAUUUAUUUUAUUCCACAUUAUUACUACAGUACUUAUUUAUUCUCCUAUUGCCUUAUAUUGCCGUAUGUUAAUAUGGAAUUAAUAUUGCCUUAUUUAUUCUCCUAUUGCCGUAUGUUAUUCCGCAUAGUGUUAAUAUUAAUAUGGAACUAAAACCGAUAAAAUUAAUGGUGGUCUAUUUACUUUCCUUACAUUGUCUUAUGUUAAUAUGAAAAUCAAUGUAGUAAUAAUUGUUAUUUAAGUGUCUGUCCCCUCAUUUUUAAAUAAGUAUUUUUUUUACUUGGACAACUUUUUAAUAAAUUGCCCGCUCUUAGAAAAUUAAAGAUAAUUUUAUUAAUUUACUCCUAAUUAAAUUUUAUAUCUUUUCAAGUUGACAUUUAUUACUAUGUUUAAACUCAAGGGCAUCUUAGAAAGAUUAUGAUCAAAAUAUUUUUGAAGAUAUAAACUACAUUUAUUUAGGAACAAAGUCACAACUCAAAAGAAACACUUAUAAAAGAAUAAGGGAAAGUAAUUAAAUUUCAUUGCAUAUAAAUAUUAAAAUGUGAAAAGUUAUGACAUUUACCAUAUCAGCUCAAUGGCAUAUAAAUAUACUUGCUCCGUCCAUUUUCCUUAUUCAAUAUAAUAAAAAUAAAUGUUAUGUUUCAAAAAGAAUGACUUACUUUUCUUUUUUAAUACGUUUCCAAAAUAAUGAUAUACUUUCCUUUUUAGUACGUUUAAAAAAGAAUGAUUAUUUUCUUUUUUGACAACACUUUAAUUUCAACUUUUCUUGUGACAUGUUUAAGACCACAAGAUUUAAGGAUCUUUUUAUAUAUUUGACAUAACUUUGAUUUGAAACCACAAAAUUCAAACGUUUUUUAAAAACUCCGUAUCAAGUUAAAUUAACUCUUUUUAAAAUGGAAAGAGUAAUAAUAUACUUUAGUUAAUGCUACAAAGUAUUUAAACCUGAACCAAAAAGGAUUUUAAAUAUUACAAAAUCUAAUUCGCGUGAAGCGCAAAUAAAUCCACUAGUAAACUACUAAACCUCUAUAUUCCCGAAUUAAAUCUUCACUUCUCUCCAAUCUUAAAUCCAAAACACCAGUACCGCCGCACCCUUUACUUCUCCACUGUCGUGCGCACCACCGCCACCCUCACUUCUCCAUCUCCCAAAUUAAAUCUUCAUUUCACCUCUUCACUCUCAAACCCAACACCUUCACUUCUCCACCCUCGUGCACCAUCGCCGACACACACCACUGCCUCUUUUGCACACCACCACCGAUAAGCUCGACUAUCAAGUCCAAAAAUUUUUAAUCGCAAAUUGCUAUUCUUUUGCCAACAUCUAGAGAUAAAACUAGGUAUUAUUGUUAUUAAAAGCAGUAUUUAGAAGAUAUCUAAAUGUUAUAUAUGAGUGAUUGAGCAUUCAAAUAAGAUUCUUUCAGUAAUUUGAUCUACAUUACUAAAAACAUGUGAGGAAAAAAGAUGCCAAUACGUUCUCAAAUUCCAUUGGGGCGGACAGACACCCGUAGCCGUAAAGGUCCGAGGGUACCAAUCCAUGACCUUGUACAUCUUGUGCAUGUAAAUAUAAUAACCAAAGGUUCAGCCAAAUAUGAUAUAAUGCAUCGAUGAGAAUACAACACUUAGGCAAGCACAAAACUACAUAUACAAAACUUGGCCAUUAGGGCGACAACAUCUAAAAGACAAAACACUACCAUGCUUAACUUUACAUCAGUCUACAAAGCCUUUAAAGAUAUAAAGAUUUAAUUAAGGUUAGGACAAAGACCUGCCUUACUCUUAACUACUGUACAAUACCAAAAUAUAUGUAACACUUGGAAAGCUCCAAAUCAAUCUAGAGCUCAUCAAUAGCUGCUGGAUAUCCGUGCUUCUACUUAGAAUGUGUAUUAGCUGAAGUAUCUGUGCCUGUAGCAUGAAAUGUAGGUCCCCCACAGGGGGCGUCAGUAUGAAAAUAUGUACUGAAUAUGUAACGCUGAAAGUAAUUAUACAUGAUGCAAAAGCUCAAUUGAAAUUAGAGACAAGUGUAUACAUGAUUCUAGUAGAGCACCUCUACAUAUACUUGUAGGAUCAAGUAUAUUACAUUCUUUUAUUCAUUUUACCUUUCUUACUUUAUAAUCUUAGUAAGUCAUAUAAUACAAAUGACCAGUUGAUCAGUCAUAAAUACACAAAUUGGGAUCAUCCCAUGCAAGGCUUACGCCCUUGAGCUACCAGCUAUGUAUAAACAGAUUGGGAUCGGCCCAUGCUAGGCUUUCGCCCCUGAGCUCCACCCAUAUAUAAAAGUAUCGGGAUCAACCUAUGCUAGACUUAUUCCCCUGAGCUGCCACUCAUAUAAUUCAGAUUUGCAUUACUUAGUUUAUUUAAUCUUUGAAAUUGUUACUUUGGUGGUCAUAACAUUAUUAGACUUUGAAAUAAUAAUCUACCAGUAAGAGACAUGUAAAUAAAUAAGCUGAUGGAUCAUUUGCCGGCGGAAGUCUUGAUGAAGGAAUCAUGGGUUUUUGAAGGUCGAACUAAGAACAUUCAACUCCCAAAAAAUAAAACUAGUGCAGUGUGCAGGCCAUACUCGCUUGCAUACAUCAAGUGUUUAUUAACCGAUAUAGAAAUGAUUGAUAUGUGCGAUGACGUUGUGGGAAAGAUGCAAGAGGUCUGAGUUUAUGGAGCCCGUGUAUAAAGAAGAAUAUGUACAAAGAAUAAAUGGUUGGAGCCUGUGUAUAAAGAAGAAUAUGUACAAAGAUAGAGACAUGCAUGAUAACAAUUUUUUAUUUCAAGCCACGUCACUUUACAUGUAGUAGCAAUAAUUUUUAUGUAUGGCGAAAGUUGAAUUUUUAUAAUGCAACAGAUUGUCUAUUAGUUGUAACAGAUAUAAUACCUGUUGUGACAGAUUGAUUAUCUGUUGGAAUAGGUUGGUCAUCUGUUGCAUUAUGUAGAUGUUUUCAUCUUUCUGUCGCAAUAGAUAUACAAUCUGUUGCAAUAUAUGAUCUAUCUAUUGCAACUGAUAGGUAAUCUGUUGGAACAAAGCAAAAAAGUAGGAAGACCUAUUUAUAUAAUUUCCAGCAGAUGACCUAAUUAAAUGGUUGGAGCCCGUGUAUAAAGAAGAAUAUGUACAAAAAUAGAGACGAACACGAUAAUAUUUUUUUAUUUCAAGCCACUUCACUUUACAUGUAGUGGCAAUAUUUUGUAUGUCUAGAGAAAGUUGAAUUUUUAUAAUGCAACAGAUUGUCUAUUUGUUGUAACAGAUAUAAUACCUGUUGUGACAGAUUGAUUAUCUGUUGGAAUAGGUUGGUCAUCUAUUGCAUUAUGCAAAUAUUUUUCAGUCUGUCUAUCGCAACAGAUAUACAAUCUGUUGCAACAUAUAAUUUAUCUGUUGCAACUAAUAGGUAAUCUGUUGAAGCAAAUAAAAAAAGUAGAAAGACUUGUUUAUAUAAUUUCCAGUAGAUGACGUACAUGUUGCAACAUAUGUCUAAGUCAGUUUGAUAAGAUAUGUCAUUUGUUGCAACAGAUGUAUUAUCUGUUGCGAUAUUUGAAUCUAGUAUUCCAUUUCAAUUAACAUGUUCAAAUCUAAGGAUUAAAUUAUAUUCAUAUACAAUAUAAAAUAAAUCAAAGCCUUCAAAAAUUACAUGAAAUAACUCAACAAAUAAAUGAAAUGUAAAAAAAAUAUUAUGGGUACAAAUGAUCUACUCUACAAAUAAAUCAACAAGUUAAACCAAGGAGGAUAGGUUAUUACAUUGACGGACUCAAGCUAUAAACAUCUAAUCAAUAUGGACAAGUUGUUCUUUAUCUGGUGCUACGAAAUUUGACUUUGGUCGUCGUGGAUCUUUAAUGUCGCUUGCGUAUGACUUCUGAACUUUCGCUUAUCCUUAUUUUCAUAAAAGAGUAGCAUAUAGUUUGUAGAGUAAUACGACAUCAAGUUCAUCAUUUGUAACUUGUAAUCCAUCGCUCAAAUACUCUACGUAAGCAGCAAUAAAAGGACCACAAUUCCUACAUUUUUAAAAAAAUAGAUAAUCCAUAUCUUGCAGUUUAUGUAAGCGUUGUGAAAUUUAUGAAAUGAAACUAAAUCAUGAUACUUAUACUUUGUAACAACCAAAAAUCACCUCCUGGGACGUCACACGGUUCUUAGGGAUACAAGUAGCCCCAAGCUAACCCUUUGAGCCUAUCAUUUCUCAUAAUAGCUCAUUCAAAAAAAAAUAUACAAAACACUGGCACUGUCAUAUCAAAUAAAAGGGAAUGCGAAGGUAAUACUUGGUCCAAACUAACACAAUACUAAAAAUCUCAACACUACCACAGUCUGAUAACUAGUCUGACAAAGCCUUUACUACUCCAUGAACUCGAGAGCCGUUAGGACAGGUCCCCAACUGACUCAAACUGAACUGAAAAUAAUAACGUAAAUACUCGAAUACUAAAAUGUCUAAAGAUAGGUCCUCGAACCAUGAGGACUCACCACUGUAGAAAUGUAGACGAAGGUACUCGGGAAUCACUGAUGAGGCUGGGACUAAGCUCCUGAACCUACAUUAUAAGACAAUGUAGCACAUAGACGAAUUUGAGCAACACUUGGGAAUGUACUGAGUAUAUGGGGGUGUAUGCAUUUACAUAAAAUAAUAUCAAUACUCUUCAAUCAAAUCAUGCAUGCAAAUAGGAAUGACUCACAUUGCUUGAAUUAGUCUAAAAUAUAAAACUCAUAAAUCAUGUAGAAUGAAGCAUGUAACACAAAUCUCGUGAGUCAUUAUACUUUGACUUUAAAAUCUGUGCUCUCAUCUUAUCCUCAUUACUCAUACGAUGAAGAAAGAUUUAAACAAUACUUUCAACUCAUGCAUAUGUCUCAUAGAGAGUAAAGCUUCUUUAUUGCUCAAGAACUUAUAACUCUUUUGAACUUAAACACUUGGAACUCAAAAUCAUAUGACUUUGGUUUAAAAACUAAUGAUCAACUCUUAUUAGUAGAGAAAACUACAUCCUUCUUUGGAAAAUACUCAAAAGCAAUUCGUUCACUUUAGAAAAUAUCUCAUCUCAAAGCUUUAAAGAAAAUAUUCUAUCUCAAAGGAAAAUACUUUAGUUUAGGGAGGUUCUCUUAACCGACAUAAACCAUGCGAGCUACAUGGAGUCCAACGUCUUGUCCUCCUAAGGAAGAAACCUCACAUUAGGGAGAGGUAUAAUACUCUUGCCAAGGAGUAUAACCUCAACUCAGUGAUCACUUAUCUCAGCCUCGGGCCUAAUUAUCUCGACCUCAGGCCUAAAAUCUCAAACCUACGGUGGCACAUAGUUCUGGGGUAAGAAACUGUGGUAACUUACCCAACUCGGUGCUAAAUACUACUCCCUUUAGUUUAUCUCAGUCAUCUCAUGGAAAUCUACUUUCAAAAUAAUCUCAUGGUUCAUAAGAUCCCAACAAUCCAAUCUGUAAUCUCAUGUGGUAGAGUGGAUUUCAAAACUCUAUGACUAUUAGGUCAAAACAUUUCUCAAUAAUCUCAAAAUACUCAAAUCAUGGGUGCUUAUAGCACAAUAGUUUAUAAAAUUGCAAGUAUCAAGUAGGGUUUAAUGACCCAUAAUUUAAUCUCAAGUUAAAACUCAUCAUAAUGCAUAAUAGAUAGCAUAUAGAUUCAUAAUUCAUGUAGAAAUCUGGAAGUUACAGUAAUUUGUCUCAAAAUAUCAACAUAUCAUAUACUUCAAUUUUUAGAUCAUUAAAACUCUUAAAUUCUCAAGGAGUAACAACAUAGGGUAUAAACCUAGCUUCGAUUUCUUAAGGAAAUAUGCAAAAUCAUGCUAUUUGACUUUCAAUUCAUGGGAAACAUCAAGAUAGUGCAAUCAAUAGCAAUGGGUGAAAAAUCCUAAUUCAAUAUCAUGUAAAAUCUCAUAGAUUGCAGAAAAUUAUAGUUUAAAUAAGCCUUUGGGCAUAAGGGUGAAAGGAUUACCCAUGUUUAAAACCCCCCAUACCUUAGAUUAUGAAAUUAGAUGAACAAGCUUGCUUCAAACUCUUCUUCGUACUCUUGAGGGAGGGUUCUUGCAACCCUUGAGCUUGAGCAACUUAAAUUUCAACUCAAUUUGUAGAAUCUAUGGUGAGUUCUUGAAUUUCUUGGAGAAGGGUUUUAGAUUUGAUCUUGAGGAAGAAACCCUAGCUCUCUUGUGUUUUGGAUGAUGAAUGAAGCCAUUUGCUUCGUUUGGAAUAUAUCUGGUUGAUAAAAGAGUGGAAAAAUUGAAAAGUCCCUUUUAAAAAUGACUUAAAAUACUGAACGGGGACUACGACGGUAGAAGCGAUGGUCCGCCGCUAGCCUAACGGUCCGUCAGAUCAUUCGUUGCACCGCCGGCCAGAAAAAGAACACACUGCCUCGAUGUGACGAUUUCAGUGAUGGUCCAUUGCAAACUUGACGGUCUAUUAGAUCAUCCAUCAUAUGUUGGCAAGGAUGACGCCACACUGCCUCAGCGACGACGGUCUCAGCAAUGGUCCAUCGCAGUCUUCAUGGUCCGUCAUCCUGGCCUUCACACUUGGACCAUAAAAAGGAGUUACUUCCUUGUUUGAGAUGGUCCGGGCAAUGGUCCAUCAACCUAUUCAUCGCACCUGGGCAGUUCCGACAACUCUCGAUAAAAUGGCCAUAACUUCCCACCCCGAUGUCGGAUUUGAUCGAAGUUGGUAUCGUUGGAAAGCUAAUUCAAUUAUAUACACUAUAGGAAGUCAUUUUCAGGAAAAUUCAACAAGAUUAAAACACUAAUCACUUGGGAAGUCUCUUCUUAAUCUUUUAGGAUUGGAAUUUCACUUUUCUUGACAUGCUCAAGGCUCAAACUACAAGGAAACUUUGCGGGGUCUUACAAUAUCUCCCCCUUGGAAACAUUCGUCCUUGAAUGUCGCUAGUUAGACUAGGAACACAGGAAAACAGAGUACACAUAGCUGAAGAAAGUUGCUAAACGGGCUCAAAAUCUCUCUAAACUCUUGAAUACCUCAAAAAUUGCAAGAACUCAUGCAAGAAUAGAUAUAUAGCUGAACGUAAGAUUAGUAGGGCUGAAUUAAGGAAGAAUAAUACCUUCGAAUCGAUCUGAACUCACAGAAAAAAGAUGCGGGUACUUGUCUCGCAUGUCUGCUUCGGCCUCCCAAGUAGCGCCCUUAACUGACUGGUUCCGCCGCAACACUUUGACCAAGGGAACCUCUUUGUUCCUCAGUCUACGGAUCUAAAAAUCUAGGAUCUCAAUGGAAAUCUCAUCGAAUGAAAAACUGUUCUGAAUAUCAGCACUCUCUAAAGGAUCUACCACAACGAAAUCACCAAUAUGUUUCUUAAGCAUGGAGACAUGAAAAAUAGGAUGAACGACUGACAACUUCGCAGGUAACUCAACCUCAUAGGCUACUUUCCCAACAAGGCUCAAAAUUCCAUACAGGCCAACAUAGCGGAGACUAAGCUUUCCCUUUUUACCAAACCUCUUUACCCCUUUCAUGGGUGGAAUCUUCAAGUACACCAAAUCAUCCACUUCAAACUCAAGAUUUUUUCUCCUCACAUCGGUAUAUGACUUUUGAAGACUAUAAGAUGUCUUUAGCCUCUCUCUAGUCAACUUAACUUUCUCUAUAGCUUUAAAUACUGCAUUAGGCCCAAUCAAGGCAGCUUCACCCACUUCAAACUAACCUAUGGGUGAUCUACAUCUUCUACUAAACAAGGCCUCAAAUGGUGCCAUCUCGAUGCUAGCAUGGUAACUAUUGUUAUAGGCAAACUCUAUCAAUGACAAAUUCUCAUCCCGACUACCUUUGAAAUCAAGAGCACAUACCCUCAAUAUAUCUUCUAGGGUUUGAAUGGUCCUCUUAGCCUGACCAUCUAUCUACGGAUGAAAAGCAGAACUCAAAAAAACUUAGGUACCAAGGCCCUGCUGAAACGCCCUCCAAAACUGAGAAGUAAAUUAAGUACCCCUAUUCGAAAUGAUAGACGAGGGAACUCCGUGCAGCCUGACUAACUCCUGAAUAUACAAUCUAGCAUAAUCCUCAGCUGUAUAAGAUAUAUGUAUGGGAAAGAAGUGCACGAACUUAGUCAGCCUAUCUACAGCAACCAAAAUAGAAUCAUGAUGACGACGCCAAAGAGGUAACCCGGUCACGAAGUCCAUAUUCACCAUCUCCUACUUCCAAGUGGGUAUACCAAACUCUUGCAUCACACCACCAGGUCUUUGGUGCUCUACCUUAACCUGUUGGCACGUUGCACACUUUGCUACAAACUCAGCUAUAUCCUUCUUCAUACCAUUCCACCAAUAGAUUUCCUACAAGUCGCGGUACAUCUUGGUAGUGUCGGGAUGAAUAAAAUACCGCGCGCUAUGCGCUUCAUCCAUAAUCCUCUGCUUCAGAUCAUCAACACACGGGACACACAAUCUACCCUGCAAUCUCAACACGCCAUCUCCUCCUUGGGAGAAAACCUCUACCUUUUGGUCCUUAACUGCCUCCUCCAGUCUGACCAAACUAGGAUCUCUAUCUUGCUUCUCCUUUACUUCUGAAACUAAAGAGGAUUCAAAACUACUUUGCACCAAAGUACUUCCCUCAGCUGAAUCAAGAAACCUAACACCUAAUCUAUCCAGAAAAAGCACAUCACGAGCAAAUUCUUUCUUACCUCCUACUACAUGAGCAACACUACCCAUAGAUAAUCUGCUAAGGGUAUCCACCACUACAUUGUCCUUGAUCGGGUGAUACAACACACUCAUAUCAUAGUCUUUUAACAACUCUAACUACCUCCCCUGCCUAAGAUUCAACUCCCUCUAAGUAAACAUAUACUGCAAGCUCUUAUGAUCAGUAAACACAUCAACAUGAACACCAUAAAGAUAUUGUCUCCAGAUUUUCAAAGCAAAGACCACAGCAGCUAACUUAAGAUCAUGGGUUGGGUAAUUCUUCUUAUAUGGCUUUAACUGUCUAGAGGCAUAGGCUAUAACCUUACCUCUUGCAUCAACACACAACCCAAACUAAUUCUAAAGGCAUCACAAUACACCACAAAACCAUCUGUACCAUCAGGCAAAGUCAACACAGGGGCUGAAGUAAGUCGAUUCUUUAACUCCUAAAAACUCUUCUCACAGGAAUCUGACCAUUGGAUCUUAACUUUUUUUUGGAUCAACCGGGUCAUGGGAGAUGCAAUAGAAGAGAAACCUUCAAUAAAAUUGUGGUAGUAGCCCGCUAGACCCAAGAAACUUCUAAUGUCAGAUGGAGAUAUAGGUCUAGGCCAAUUUCUUAUAGCUUCUGUCUUUUGGGGAUCAACUCUAAUACCUUCGACUGAAACAAUAUGACCCAGAAAGGCUACAGACCUUAGCUAAAAUUUACACUUACUGAAUUUGGUGAACAACUGGUGACCUCUAAGAGUUUGCUAGACAAUUCUAAGGUGAUCUGCAUGGUCAUUCUCAGUACGGGAGUACACAAGGAUAUCAUCUAUGAACACUAUGACAAACAUAUCAAGAUAUUGCUUAAACACUCAAUUCAUGAGGUCCAUGAAAGUUGCUAGGGCAUUGGCUAGCCCGAAAGACAUGACUAGAAACUCAAAGUGACCAUAGCGGGUUUGGAAGGCUAUUUUUGGAAUAUCACAUUCCCUCAGUUUAAGUUGAUGAAAGAUAGAUCUAAGGUCUAUCUUGGAGAAAUAACUUGCACCUUGCAACUGUCAAGCAGGUCAUUAAUUCUCGGAAGAGGAAACUUAUUUUUGACUGUGACCUUGUUAAGCUGACUAAAUUCAAUGCACAUAUGCAAAGAACCAUAUUUCUUCUGCACGAAUAGAACAGGUGCGCUCCAACAAGAAAUACUGGGCCUUAUGAAACCUUUGUCUAAAAGAUCUUUGAAAUACUCUUUCAACUCCUAAGCUCAACAGAUGCAAUAUGGUAUGGCGGAAUAAAAAUGGGAUGAGUGUUAGGAAGAAGGUCAAUCCUGAAUUCUAUCUCUCUAUCGGGAGGUACCACUAGGAGAUCUUCCAGAAAAAUAUCUGGAAAAUCGUUAACAAUAUCGAUUGACUGAAUAGUGGGAACCUCGGACUUAGUGUCUUUGACUCUAACUAGGUGAUAGAUGCAACCCUUGGAUAUUAGAUUUUGGGAUUUGAGAUAGGAGAUAAAAUGACUUUUGGGAGAUACCGAACUCCCAAACUACUCAAAAACUAGCUUAUCAAGGAACUAAAACUUGACCACAUGGGUACGACAGUCUAUAGAUGCAUAACAAAAAUGAAGCCAAUCCAUACCCAGAAUAAGGUCAAAAUCCACCAUGUCUAACUACAUUAAAUCAGCAAGUAUGACUCUAUGAAGAACAGUAACAGGACAAUCUUUGUAUACUUGUUUAGCAACAACUGACCCCCCCUACUGGUAUGGAGACUAGGAAAGGCUCAAGAAUCUUUUCGGGACUCAUUUUGAAAUUCACAGCCACAAGUGGGGUCACAUAGGAGAGAUUUGACCCGGGGUCCAACAAUACAUAAACAUCAAAACAAAAAAUGUAGAGCAUACCAGUAACAACAUCGGGAGAGUCCUCCUGCUCCUGACGGUAUGGUGAGGAAUAGAAUCUAUUCUGGCACAGACUGCUAGCAGUGCUAGAUGAAGUGCCCUGAACAGAGGCGGGACGAGGAACAUGAGCUGGUGUACUAGUAGUCUGUGCCUAAGGUCGGGCAUCUCUGGUUCCCUGCCUAGCAUGCGGACAAUCUCUAAAUCUGUGGCCCUGCUUGCCACAACCAAAACAACCCCUCUAAUCUACGAAAAACUCACCGGGAUGAUCCUUACCACACUUAGCACAAGGAGGAUAAUGGGGCUUGUUACCAACACUGUUCUGUGACCUAGACAUAAAAGACCUGCUCUCUUUCUCCUGCAUGCCUCUAGGUGCGGGUGCACUAGAUGAUGAAGGUGCUGGAAUAGAUGGACGUCUCUAAAACUGAGGGCGGUUUCCUCCAUGGAACCUAGGCUGACUAUACUCAAGCUGCUCAGAUCUAGCCCUCUUGUUACCCCUUACUCUGCCUCUCUCUCUAAUCUUAUUCAUCUUUAUCUACUGUACAUACAUCAUCAGCCUAGAUAGAUCCAUAUCCCUAUGCAUCAUCGCAGUCCUACACUCUUUCAGCACCAAAUUAGAAACACCUGUCAUGAACUUGCUAAUACUAGCUUGAGUGUCAGAAAUCAAAUCAGGAGCAUACUUGGCCAACUGGUUGAACUUCAAGCAGUACUUAUUAAUAGUCAUGGAGCCCUGCCUCAAGUUCAUAAACUCCUUAAUAUUUUCUUCCCUCAUCUCAAGCAGAAAGAACUCAUCCAAGAAUGUAUCUUGGACCACCUACCAAGUCAUAGGAGCAGUAUCCUCACCUCUACCCUUCUUCCACUAUACAACCCAGUCAUAAGCUAUGUCUUUCAACCUGUAAGAUGCUAAAUUAACACUUUUUUCCUCAGAAACAUGCAUCACCUGCAUAAUCUUUCUCACCUCCUCAAGGUACAACUGUGGGUCCUCCCCUUCCUUGGCUCUUGCAAAUUUAUCCAUAUGAAAUCAGGGAUCCAAGAAGCAACUACAUCACCUCCCUAAUGAUUUACAACUAUGGCCUGGUUAUUGUCCCAAAAAUUAGCGGUGACUGCAUGGGCUAACGCCUGAAAGGCCGCCCGAAACUUAGCAUGAGACACAGUCUAAUUCAAAGGAUCAAUAGGCGGGGGUUGCUCAUCAUCGUCUUCGCAGCCAUUUGCUCUUUGGAGAGGCAUUUUUUGAAAUAGGAAUGCACGAAUUAUUGGAUGAGAGGGAAAACUGCAGGCACGAUAGAAUCUAAAAGAAAGAAACAACUUUUUCCUAAAACGUCUUGUAGCCUCUUGCUCAUAGAUAUGGCAUGCUACACACCGAUGUUCAAGACUAUACUCAACAUGACUUUUCUGACUCCCUAGGACUCCUUUAAGACCUUAGGCUUUGAUACCAAGUUUGUAACGACCCAAAAUUACCUCCCAAGAUGUCACACGGUACUUAGGGCUAUAAGUAGCCCAAGCUAACCCUUUGAGCCUAUCAUUGCUCAUAAUAGCUCAUUCAACAAGAAAUAUACAAAACACUAGCACUAUCAUAUCAAAUAAAAGGGAAUACGAAGGUAAUACUCGGUCCAAACGACCACAAUACUGGAAAUGUCAACACAACCACAGUCUGAUAACUAGUCUGACAAAGCCUCUAAUACUCCAUGAACUCGAGAGCCAUUGGGAUAUGUCCCCAAUUGACUCCGACUGAAUUGAAAGUAAUAACAUAAACACUCAAAUACUGAAAUUUCUAAAGAUAGUUCCUUGAACCAUGAGGACUCAUCACUAUAGAAAUAUAGACGAAGGUACUCGGGAAUCACUGACAAGGCUGGGACUGAGCACCUGAACCUACAUUAUAAGACAAUAUAGCACAUAGACAUAUAUGUGGAUCAACACUUGGGAAUGUACUGAGUAUAUGGGGGUGUAUGCAUUUACAUAAAACAAUAUCAAUACUCUUUAAUCAAAUCAUGCAUGCAAAUAGGAAUGACUCACAUGGAUUGAAUAAGUCUACUUAUAACUCUUUUGAACUCAAACACUUGGAACUCGAAAUCAUAUGACUUUGGUUUAAAAACUGAUGAUCAACUCUUAUUAGUAGAGAAAACUACAUCCUUCUUUGGGAAAUACUCAAAAGCAAUUUGUUCACUUUAGAAAAUAUCUCAUCUCAAAGCUUUAGGGAAAAUAUUCUAUCUCAAUGGAAAAUACUUUAGUUUAGGGAGGUUCUCUUAACCGACAUAAACCAUGCAAGCUACAUGAAGUCCAACGUCUUAUCCUUCUAAGAAAGAAACCUCACGUUGGGGAGAGGCAUCAUACUCUUGCCAAGGAGUAUAACCUCAACUCAGUGAUUACUUAUCUCGGCCUUGAGCCCAAUUAUCUUGGCCUCAAGACCAAAAUCUCAAACCUACGGUGGCAGGUAGUUCUAGGGUAAGAAACCGUGGUAACUUACCCAACUCGGUGCUAAAUACUACUCCCUUUAGUUUAUCUUACUCAUCUCAUGGAAAUCCACUUUCAAAAUAAUCUCAUGGUUCAUAAGAACCCAAUAAUCCAAUCUGUAAUCUCAUGUGGUAGAGUGGAUUUCAAAACUCUAUGACUAUUAGGUCAAAACAUUUUUCAAUAAUCUUAAAAUACUCAAAUCAUGGGUGCUUAUAGCACAAUAGUUUAUAAAAUUGCAAGUCUCAAGUAGGGCUUAAUGACCCAUAAUUCAAUAUCAAGUUAAAACUCAUCAUAAUGCAUAAUAGAUAGCAUAUAGACUCAUAAUUCAUGUAGAAAUCAGGAAGUUACAGUAAUUUGUCUCAAAAUAUCAACAUAUCAUAUACUUCAAUUUCUAGAUCAUUGAAACUCUUAAAUUCUCAAGGAGUAACAACAUAGGGUAUAAACCAGCUUCGUUUUCUUAAGAAAAUAUGCAAAAUCAUGCUAUUUGACUUUCAAUUUAUGGGAAACACCAAGAUAGUGCAAUAAAUAACAAUGGGUGAAAAAUCCUAAUUCAAUAUCAUGUAAAAUCUCAUAGAUUGCAGAAAAUUAUAGUUUAAAUAAGCCUUUGGGCAUAAGGGUGAAAGGAUUACCCGUGUUCAAAACCCCACAUACCUUAGAUUAUGAAAUUAGAUGAACAAGCUUGCUUCAAACUCUUCUUCUUACUCUUGAGGGAAGGUUCUUGAAACCCUUGAGAUUGAGCAACUUAAAUCUCAACUCAAUUUGUAGAAUCUAUGGUGAGUUCUUGGAUUUCUUGGAGAAGGGUUUUAGAUUUGAUCUUGAGGGAGAAACCCUAUCUCUCUUGUGUUUUGGAUAAUGAAUGAAGUCAUUUACUUCAUUUGAAAUAUAUAUGGUUGAUAAAAGAGUGGAAAGACCAAAAAUUCCCUUUUAAAAAUGACUUAAAAUACUGAAUGGGGGUUGUGACGGUCUAAGCGAUGGUCCAUCGCUAGCUUGAUGGUCCGUCGGAUCGUCCAUCGCACGUCGGUCAGAAAAAGAACAUACUGCCUCGAUGUGACGGUCUCAGCGAAGUUCGAUCGCAAACUCUAUGGUCCGUUAGAUCAUCUGUCACACAUUGGCUAGAAUGAGGCCACACUGCCUCAACAACGACGGUCUCAGCAAUGGUCCAUCGCAGUCUUUACGGUCCGUCAUCCUGGCCAUCGUACUUGGCCUAGAAAAGGGGGUUACUACCUUGGUUACGAUGGUCUGGGUGAUGGUUCGUUGCACACUCGACGGUCUGUCAACCUGUCAAUCGCACCUGGGCGGUUCAGACAACUCUCGAUAAAAUAGUCAUAACUUCCCAUCUCGAUACUGGAUUUGGACGAAAUUGAUAUCGUUGGAAAGAUAAUUCAAUUUUCUACACUAUAGGAAGUCAUUUUUAGGAAAAUUCAACAAGAUUAAAACACUAAUCCCUUGGAAAGUCUCUUCUCAGUCUUUUAGGGUCGAAAUUACACUUCACUUGACACGCUCAAGGCUUAAACUACAAGCAAAAUUUGUGGGGUCUUACAUACUUACAGGCUACCAAUGAUUUGUUGAUCAAUUCCUUCAAUAUAUUGUACAUCAAAUAGAUUGCCCAUUUUAUACCAGUAUGCUUCAAUCGUCGAUCAAUCAGUACAAAUCUUUUGGUCUAAAAAGUCACUCAUAUCAAGGUAAGUAGGCAAUAUUUUGACCAGCUUUUGUAUCUCAGACGAUGGCUCAGAGCGUCUCCUUCAUGACAUUGAGUCAUAAAGUCGGAUGCGCCUCUGUUUUAGAAUGACGACAGCCAACACCCAAUGGAAUUCAUCACCACGAUUGAUAGGGAUGUAUACUUCAUCAACCAAAUGCCAAGAUAAGCUAGCUGGAAUGCUAAAGCCUUUGAUGAUGUUGAUUAAACAUUCCUCAUUUCAGGAAACUUCCGACUGUAGUUGACAAUACCUAUCAUAGGCAUUAUUGAUGUAAACUUUGUACAAACAAUUGUUUGUCGUGUAUCUAUAUUGUUCUGGUGUUUACAACUUGGCCUUCUUUCAGAGGUAGUAAGAAAUGACAUCGAUGUGUUGCACAUAUUAUCAAACAUUUUGGAUUACGUGACAAAAAAAUUAUUACGCAGAUGCAAUUAAAUAAAGUAUUAAUUGGUAGUAUUAUGUAUGACAUUUAAACCUCAUGAUUCCCAUAAGUUUAGGGUUGUGACAUCAAAUAAAACCAGUUUUUUUGCUCCGGGAUGUGUAAUAACAAAGUUGACCAUAUCAAAACAAAGACUCGAUUCGUUCACUUUGUAGUGUUCAUCAUUUUGUUUUCUACAUGAUGAUUUAUAUGUGUUAAUGUCAUACUCUUACAACAAGAAUUGUAUAAAUCAAUAUCUUUAAAGUUGAUUUUUGUACCUGCCGGCAUGAUGCUUUAACAGCCUAUCGACAAUCCAUUCUGAAUAGUUAUUGAUCAACUUUGUUAGUUUUUUUGGAGCCUUGUCUGAGAUGCUGAACCCUUCAAACGGGUAUGCUGAACCCUUCAAACGGGUAAUUCUUCCAUUCUCCUGAACUGACAGUCUACACUUUUUCUUCUUCUUUGGAAGCAAUUGAUAGAUUAUUAAUUGUGAUAUUAUGCUGUUCAGCAAUAGCUUCUGCUGUGACAUCCACCCUAAAAGCCAGAAUUAUCAAUGCUAAUCACAGAUAUACAACAGAUUAUCCAUCUGUUGUAACAGAUGAGUCUUAUGUUACAACAAAUAGAUAAUCUGUUGGGAUAAAUUCAAAUAGAUAAAAUAAAGCAGUACGAUAAUUUCAGUGUAAGACAAAGAUAGAGGCGUUGUAAUUUUGCUUUUUUCGAUGCUUGGUGAUGCCUUGGAAAUAUCUUUCCUUCUUCUCUUAGCCAUCUUAAUAUCUAGUGGAGUGUAUGGAUAUGAAAUCCUCUUUGAUGGAAUGACACCUCUCUUAGAUGUUAUUUCCUUUGCAGAAGCAGUUAGUGAAUUAAUAGCAUUAAUCACUCUAUCAUGUUUUGCCUUGCAGUCUUGACAUUUGCAUGCAAAACAUUCACUAGAUGUGGUAAAAUCUGGAGAAAAAUUUGUAUAACCAGUAUGAUCAUAAUCAUAAUGGCUUGUUGUUUCAAAAACUAUAAGAGGAACAUCAUUAGCCCCAAUAGCAGCUCCACUACCACUACCACUACGACUACCAUCAUCAACAAAAACAGGCCCACCCUCCAAAAUUAUUUUUCUUGUGAUGGUUGUUGCUCCAAAUAAUUGUAUUUUUAUUCCAUCAAUGACCUUAGGAUCCGAUAAAGUUUGCACAAACUGUAAAGUAAGAAAAAAUGGCAUCUUCAACUCUCAAUUGGUCGGAACAAUCCACGGGUGGACAAUCAAAAAUAAAUCAGUACAUAUAUUAGAAUGAUGAUGUAAUCAUUUAAAAUAAUCAUUUAAUUAAAACAAAAACUUGAUUAAAAUUACACUUACUGCUUCCUUCGGGGUUUAAAAGAUAAAGAAAUUUUGCAUUUUUAUUAGUUUUGACCGACAACCAUCUCAGAAUUCUUGGACAGAAAACUUUUUCCUGGUAGUUCACUUGUUGUCUCAAAUAAGAAAUGACUUCAAAUGCUCAAGCCUAUAACAUAGCGCCAAUAAAUCAAAAGCAUUAUUGAAAAGAAAAUGAAUCAUAUCAUAAUAAAAGAAAUAUUUACCAUGAAAGCUCAUGGAAAGCCAUAUACGUUGACUGUUUUUGGCGUUAACGAAGUCAACAAAUAUUUGACAGUCAUUUUGAAGCUUUCAUAACCCCAAGGAUAGUUGUUAAAUGCUUCAAGAUCCUCGGAGAGAUUUAUUAAAUUGAGGCUUGUGUUGUUGUUAACGUCUCUCGCCCAAAUAAUAUUAUGUACAAACCAAACCAAGCACAAUGAUUGCUUGUGCUUCUUUGAAAGUCUUUUACCUUUCAACACUUCUAUCAAAUUUUUAUUUUUAAAGGUUGGAGCAACAAUGGACACCAGGUCAUAAGGAUCACUCGACUUGCCUUUGCCUUUUUUGGGUAUGUGGGGUGCUUUUUUUGGGUCAGAGUAGGUAUAACUUGAGAAGGAGAAUGAGGAUAACAUUUUAGUUCAGUAACUAUAACAAACUCCUUCCAACCAAAAUAUACAGGCAUGCCACAGUAAUUUAAUCACACCUCAUCCAUCUUAUCUUUGUUUUCAUACAUAAACCUAUGCUUGAGAAGAUCAUAUACCAUUUUCAUCUAGAAAUGAGCAUUGUUGUCCUCCGACAAAUUAAGAUAUUGCCCAAAGAAGCUUUCCCUGAAAUAAGAAUCCAACUUUUGUUCUCGAAGUAUUUUUCUGAAGGUGUCGAAAGAUUUUUCCAUGGCUGACUUAACCACGAAAUCACCCGUUAAAUCUGUGGCACCAUCGCACUGCAUUCUCAUAAGAUAACGAUCAAUGCUGAAGGUUUUGACCAACUCUUCGGUGGAAGGUCUAUUAGCAUUUGGAUCAUCUCUUUUGAAAUAUUACUCUUCCCCGUGUUCAUUAUCUUCUGCUCCUGAUUGAGAUAAUGCUUGUAAAGCAAGCUCAUAGAGUGGUGGAUGUAGCCGAGCUGCUUCACUUGUUCCUUUACUUGAACUUGAUUUGGUUUCUUUUCUUUUGGGAGCCAUAUUAUCUUAAAUUGGUAGGAACAUAAAAUAAAUUAUAAUUGAUUAAUGCAUCGUUAAAAAAGGAUAACAAUAAAUCUAACAUGCACAACAGUAAAAUAAUAGUUCCAACAGACCACACAUCUGUUGCACCAGGUAUGUUAUCUGUUGCAACAUAUAACUAACCUGUUGCAACGAUGAGUAAAUCAUUAGAAAUAAUAAAAAUAUACCACUAAUCCAUUGCACUAGGUAGUUUAUCUGAUGCAACAUAUAACCAACCUGUUGCAACGGAUAAGUAAACCAUAGGAAACCAUAAAAAUAGUUCACUAAUCUGUUGCAACAUAUAACCAACAUAUUGUAACGGAUGAUUAAUCCAUUAGAAACAGUAAAAAUAGAUCACUCAUCUGUUGUAUUAGGAAGGUUAUCUGUUGCAACGGAUGAGUAAUUAGUUGGAAAUAGUAAAAAUAGAUCACUAAUGGGUCGCACCAGAUAGUUUAUCUGAUGCAAUAUAUAACCAACCUAUUGUAAUGGAUGAGUAAAAAUAGAUCACUAAUCUAUUGCACCAGGCAAUUUAUCUAUUACAACAUAUAACUAACCUGUUGCAAUGGAUGAGUAAUCCAUUGGAAACAGUAAAAUAGAUAACUAAUUUGUUGCACCUGAAAGGUUAUCUGUUGUAACAUAUAACCAACCUGUUACAAUAGAUGAAUAAUCCAUUGGAAACAGUAAAACAGAUCACUGAUCUGUUACACCUGACACAUUAUUUGUUGAAAUAUAUAACCAACCUGUUGCAACGAAUGAGUAAUCCAUUAGAAAUAAUAAAAUAGAUCAUUGAUCUGUUGAAACAUAUCACUUAUCUGUUGCAAAAUGAGUUAUCUAUUGGAUCAAUAUUAUUUAGAUUUCUUCCAAACAGAAGAGUCGUCUAUCGCAACAGAUGAAUGAUCUGUUAGAUUGUUCAUCUAUUGUAUCAGAUUUUCAUAGUUGCAUCAGAUUUGCAUCUGUUGCAUCUGAUGUUUUCAUUAGUCGCAUCAGAUGUUUCAUCUAUUGCAUCAUAUAUUGCAUCUGUUGCAACACCAUUUUUACCAAUACAAAUAACAAAUCAAUCCAGCAACACCAACAUAUCACAUACACACGCUAAGAACAUCAACGGUGACAAAAAAUCACCAACAAAUCUGAAUCAACAAUUCCACAACAAGAAGAAAAAUGCCAGAAUUAAGAUUUUAUUUAGUCCAUAUUUAAAAUUUAAGCAAGAAAUAUUAAAAUUAUUGACCAAUACUAGAAGAGUAGUUGGCUCAAGUUCCUCUGCUUCUUCAUAAUUUUUUACCUGUGAAAAAAGAAAUGGGAUGAUGGAAAACUCGAAUUUGUUGUCACCGGAGAAGUCUUCACGUCGAUUGAUGGUUGAAAGUUAAAAAGAAAUUCGCCCGACUAUUUGUCGCGUGAGGUUGAAGUCGCCAGAGAUUGAAGGAAAAAAUUUUGCAGAACAAUUGGUUGGGAGAGAGUUGAGAGAAGCUGUCGAGAGAGAGAGGAGAAAGACGGUUGAUUUGGAUUGAAAAGGGGUGCGGGUUGGGUUGAUUUGUAUUUUAAAAGAUUAGAAAGUUUUUAAAAUAUUAAUCAAGUCCACAAUUAACUUAAUUAAGUUUUCUAAUGAUGUUUGACCCUUUAAGUUGGUCAAUGUCACCAAUCCUUCAUUCAAAACUUGAAAGACACCUUUCCUUCAAUUUUCUCUAGUUAAUAGGAGAUAAUGAGGACAACGUGUCAUAAUAUUACAUGAGUUGCUCAAAGAAUAAUGACACCAUUUCCUUUAUUUUAUGUCCACUUAUAUGACAUUCACUUUAAUAUUUUAAUUUUAAUACUAUAAGUAUAUAACUCAACAAAUAAUACAUGCACAACUAGAUUAAAAGGUGUAAAAUCAAAUUGUCAUUGACAUAAAGUUUAGGUAGCUGGUAAGUGAACCACUCCAUUAAUAAAAAAAUUAUUAUUUUUUUGCAGAAAAGGGACAAAUAUAUCCCAAAUUUUGAUAAAUGGUACAUACAUAUCCUUCAUCAUACUUUGGGUACAUAUAUGCCCCUACCAUUAAUGAAAUGGUACGUAUAUUCCCCUCACACUAACGGUAUGGGCAUAUGUAUACCCAAAGUAUGACGAAGGGUAUAUAUGUAUCAUUUAUCAUAGUUCGAGGGUAUAUUUAUCCCUUUUCCAUUUUUUUAAUGGCCUAGAUAGUAAAACCCAUAGUGACAACUAAAUUGAACUAAAUGGAGUAUUAAAUUGGCAAAGAUUUCAAAGAGAAAAAAGAAACGUAAGAACGUAUGGGAGCCUCCAUUAUUUAAACUCUACUAUUCAUAAUUUAUCCAUCAUUAGUCAUAUGUCUUGUGUUAGAACAAUAAUGAUAAUUGUACAAAAAUUCAAAAUAAAAAUUGCUUGGCUUAGAGGAACGAUAAUACGCUUCUUGAAGAUAGUUAGAGUCUCUCCCACGAGCAAACGAAAGAAUUAGCAACAACUCUAUCUUCGGGAUUCAACUAAGCCACAAAACAAGUAGCAUUCAAGAAUGUUACUCUUCUAUUCUUGAAUUGGUAAUUUCACCUUUUGAUUAAUGUCUCUCAAAUGUUUUUCAAGGGAAAAUUAAUUUUUUUGAGUUCUUGUCUUUUCAAACAAAAGAAACACUAUUUAUAGGAUAAAAGUUUCAUGCAAGAGAAGACUAUUAAUUAAGUAAUAGUUAAUAGAUUCAUGAAUAGUUUAAAAUAAAAAAUUAUCUUUCUUUCAAGAACCUAAAACGUAAGUGAAUGAAUUGUAUAAUUCACAUUCAUUUUCUUUGUAACUCAAAAUCCUUUAAGUGAUGCAUUCACAUUCAUUUUCUUUGUAACUCAAAAUCCUUUAAGUGAUGCAUUUGUUUCAAAAUUAAUUGAAACAUAACUUUUAAAAAUCUUUAACUGAUGUAUUUGUUUCAAAAUUUAUUGAAACAUAAACUUAACAAUCCCCCACUUGUUUCAAGAAAUUUUAUCUUUAAAAAGUAAUAUUCAUUUGAGACAUCAAUAUAGCGACAUGCAUCAAUAAUGGUAUCUUUUGGAUUUGAACCAUUAGCUAGUGAAGACUUUCUAAAUCAUUGACUACUUAGUGAACGAAUCUUGAACUAAGUGGUUCAUUGAAUGAAGUAGAAAAAUACUCCACGCAUAUUACUAUGUUCCGGUGAAAAUCAUAAUCCUUUGACACCUUACGCCCAUGUGUCCCGAAUUCUUUUAGCUAGGUGCUUUAAGAUUUCCCUGUUAAAAUCUUAUUGAAGCGACCUCCACUCCGCACUUAGUGCGAUGAAUUCAUCAAGAGUAACUUUUCAUACCCCGACUAAAUACUCUAUGAAUUUCAUUAAGAGAUAUUAAUAUCAUUCUCCUUUACAACAAAGUAUCAGUAAAUCUAUCAAGAGUGUUCCUACACACUCCAACCGAAAUCGGUGUAUAGACUUAUUAAGAGAAUAUAAUCUCAUUCUUCUCUUUUAUAGGAAUACUGUCAAAUCUAUCAAAAGUAUUAUUGUUUACUCCAACCGAGAUCGGUCUUAUAGAUUUAUCAAAAUAAAAAAUCUCAACUUAUGCACAUCUACUCACUCUCAAGGGGAAAAAAAAAUUAUUGAUGUGCUUCACAAUUGUAACUUUACUUAUUUUUUCCUUUGAACCCAAGAUUACAUCAUUAGGUAGGGUUUUCAUAAAGUACAAUCAAUCUUCAACAGGCUUUAUUCCCAUUCCAUUACAAGUUUGUACCACCAAUUUCUUGCCUAACCCUUUAGACAAAGGAUCUGCUAAAUUGAGUUUGGACUUCACAUAUUAAAGCAAUAUUAUGCGAUCCUCUAAUAAUCUGCAAACAUGAUUGUGUUUGAGACAAACUUAUCUUGACUUGCCAUUGUAACAAUCACUUAAAGCCCAAAGUAUAGCAGCUUUAUUAUCACAAUAUAUAGUCAAAGGUGGUAUUGGCUUACCCCAUAACAGAAUAUCUAUCAGCGUACUCCACAGCCAAUCAGUUUCUUCUCAAGCAGAAGACAUAGCGAUAAAUUUUGACUCCAUGGUUGAGUGAGUAAUACAUGUCUGUUUCUUUAAUCUCUAAGAUAUUGCUUCUCCAGCCAAAGUAAAAAUCCAAGCAGUAAUAGAUUUAGAGUCAUUCAGAUCAAAAGUCCAGGUAGCAUCACUAUAGCCUUCAAAAACUGCUGGAAAGGUAGAAUAAUGUAGGCCAACAUUAAUUGUGCCCUUCAAAUACCUUAAAACACGAAUUAAGGCAUUCCAAUGCUCAACUCCAGGGCUACCAGUAAACUUACUGAGAGUUCUUACUGGAUAACCAAUAUCUGGCCUGGUACAAUGCAUGACAUACAUAAGACUCCCAAUAAUUUGAGAAUAUGUCAAUUGAUCAAGAAUAUCACCAGAUUUUCGCACUAGUUUAAUGCUAGGAUCAAAUGGUGUAGGAGCUAGCUUGUCAUCAAAAUAAUUAAACCUCUUUAGAACCUUCUCAAUAUAACUUGAUUGAGUAAGAGUCAAACCAUCUGCUGAUCUUACAUUGAUGCCUAAAAUUACAUCAGCUUCUCCAAGAUCUUUUAUUUCAAACUGAGAAGCAAGAAAAUAUUUUGUUUCUUUGACUCUUUCAAUAUCAGUUCCAAAGAUCAAAUGUCAUUUACAUAAAUACAUAUUAUAACACCAGAAUUUUCUUAAAAUUUACUAAAUAUGCAGAUAUCUCCACCAUUGAUUAAGUAGCCAUUAGAAUGUUAGGGUUUUUACCCUGAUUUUCUUAUCAAAAUUAAGUUAUACUUUUCUUUAAAGGAAAAUAAAGUACUACCAUAAUUACUUUACUUUUUCUAAAAAGGAAAAUAUAAAACUUUUCCAUAUUUGGCAAACCUAUUUCUUGGAGGAAAGGUUUUGAAACUCUUUAAAUAGAAGACCCUCUUCUCAUACCAUAACACAAUAGCAUCCACAAUCUAGUCUUUUAAAGAUUCUUUGUUUAAGGGGAGAUUUCUCCCAAUAGAUUUAAUGUUUUUUUAUAUUAGAUUUCUCAAUAUGUAGGUCUCUUGACCAAAACAUAUUAAUAAUAUCAUAUUUUUUGUUUAGUUUUGUUCAUCGUCUGAUUUAUCAUCUCGUGGUUUGCAAACUUUAAGCUUCCGCAUGACGCCCUCUCGAUUUCAAACCCAACAAGUGGUAUCAGAGCCUAUGGUUCAAAGAUUCGAUGAUUCGAUUGAGGACAGUUUAAUAUCAAAGUUGCAAUCACCUUGGCGAUGAUGAAGUUUUUUGUCAAAGAAAAAAAAGUUCAAAAAAACUACAUGUGGAGAAAAAUUUUCAAACAAAAUUUCAACAAUCCUGCUGUCAAUCCAUUUAUAAAACCAAAAUCAAUUUUCAACCUAUGUUUAUGGGCUUCAACUUUCAACCCUUGCUUACUUUUUAUGUUAGGGAUCCUUUCAACUCAUGCAUAUACUUUUAACGCAUGAGCUCCACUUUUAACCUGUGCUCACUUUCAAUGCACAAGGCUCCACUUUCAACCCUGUUACUUAUAACACGAGGCUUCAAUAAUAUUAACCCAUGCUUUUAUUUUCAAUGCAUAGGACUCUAAUUUUCAACCUAUAUCAACUUUUAAUCAGGGUAACCAAUAGUGAUAUAUGAAGAUCGUGUGAAGAAAGAGAAUCAAGAAUAUUUUUCCAGAAAAUCAAGCCAAAAAGGGGAGAUUUGUUAGAGUUUUUGUUCUAAUUUUCUUACCAAAUUAAGCUAUAAUUUUCUUGAAAGAAAAUUAAAGUAAUACCAUAAUUACUUUUACUUUUUCUAAAAAGGAAAAUAUAAAACUUUUCCAUUUUUGGCAAACCUCUUUCUUGGAGGAAAGGUUUUGGAACUCUUUAAAUAGAAGACCCUCUUCUCAUACCAUAACACAAUAGUAUCCACAAUGUAGUCUUUUAAAGAGUCUUUGUUUAGGGGGAGAUUUCUCCCAUUAGGUUUAAUAUUUUUUGAUAUUAGAUUUUGAAUAUGUAGGUCUCUUGACCAAAACAUAUUAAUAAUAUUAUAUUGUUUGUUUAGUUUUCUUUGUCGUCUGAUUUAUAAUCUUAUGGUUUGCAAACUUUAAGCUUUUGCAUGACGCCCUCUCGAUUUUGAACCUAACAUAGAAACCAUAACUUUUCUAAAUUUCUCAUGCCAUUGCUUUGAUGCUUAUUUCAAUCCAUAAACAGAUUUAAGAAGCUUACAAACUCUACGUUUUUUAUCAGGAAUGACAAAUCCUUCUGGUUGUUUCAUGUAAACUUCUUCAUCUAGAUCUCCAUUCAGAAAUGUAGUCUUCACAUACAUCUGGUGAAUCACAAGACCAUGAAUUGUUGCUAGAGCAAUCAAGAACGAAUAGAGGUCAUCCGAGCUACAGGUUCAAAAGUAUCAAAAUAAUCAAUAGCUUUCAAUUGAGUAAAGCCUUUAGCUACCAAACGGAAUUUGUACUUAUCUAAAGUACCAUCUAAUUUCAUUUUCUUCCUAAAAAUUCAUCGGCAACCAAUUGGUUUACAUCCAGGAGGAAGAUCUGAUAAUAUCCAUGUAUUAUUAGACAGUAUAAAAUGCAUUUCAUCAUUAAUGGCUUCACGCCAAAAUGGAGCAUAAUGUGAAGACAUUGCUUCAGCAUAACUUUCAGGAUCCUUUUUAACCGAAUAAGCUUGAAAAUCAGGUCCAAAGUCUUUUGAUUUGGCUGAUCUUGAAGUAUGUCUUGGUUGACUUUCUUUCAAUGGCUCAACUAUUGUCCUUUUAAGAGGAGAAAUAUAAGAUCUUGAAUCUUGUUCAAAAGAAUCUUUUUUCUUGGAAAAUAUAUGCUCAAAAAAGUUAGCAUGUAAAUAUUCAAUAAUUGUGUGAAGACUUGGGGUCUCAAGAUUUAAAAAUCUAUAAGCUUUAUUGGUUUGUGAAUAACCAAUAAACACACAAUCUACUCCUCUAUAGCCAGUCUUGAUUAAAUGUUGAUUCGGUAAUCAAACAUGAGCCAAGCAACUCCAUACUUUAAAAUAAUUUAUAUUUGGUUUUCGAUUAUUCCAAAGUUCAAGUGGAGAUGCAUCAUGAAUCAUGAUUCCUGAAAGUAAUUCUAUUCAAAAUAUGACAUGCUGAAAGUAAGGCUUCAGUCCAUACAUUUUCAGACAUACCAGAUUCAUAAAGCAUAAAAUUAACUAUUUCUAUGAGUCCUAUUUUUUUUCUUCUACAUCAUUUUGUUGUGGUGUAUAGGACAUGGUCAAUUAUUUUUCAAUGCUUUUUUUUCACAAAAAUCAAUAAAAUCUGACUUUAAGUACUCUCCACCUCUAUCAGACCUAAUUGAUUUAAUUUUCAAACUCAAUUUAUUUUCAACUUCUGCUUUAUAUGUUUUGAAAAUCUCAAAUAUUUCAUCUUUUGCUUUUAAUGGAAAGGCAUAAGUAUAUCUUGAGUAGUAAUCAAUAAACGUGAUAAAAUACCUUUUUCCAUGACGUGACAAACAACCCAUCUCACAAAUAUCAGUGCAAAAGUUUGAAAGUCCUUUCAACUAUCUGAAAGGGCUUCUUUGUAAUCGUGCAUUUACUACAAGUAAGACACUUAGUAGUAUGAUUCUUUCCACAAUCUUUAAUUAAUCCAUUAUUCACCAUAAGUUAAAUGGAUCUAAAAUUCACAUGUCCAAGACAUUUAUGCCAUAAGUCCAGUGACUCCACAAGAUAAGCAGAAACAUUUUCAUUUUCAAUAUUGAGUUUAAACAUUCCAUUUGCAACAUAACUUUUUCCAACAAACAUGUCAGUUUUAGAUAACAUAAACUUAUUUGCCUCAAAAAUCAUUUUAAAACCAUGCUUCGAAAGAAGCUUACUUGACACCAAGUUCUUUUGAAUAUCAGGAAUAUGCAAUACGUCCAUCAAUGUAACUAUCUUUUCAGAAGUAAAUUUCAGUUCAGCAGUUUCUUUUCCCCCAACUUUAGUAGAGUAGGAGUUUUCCAUAUAUAAAAUUUUACCGUCCCCCACUAAUUCAUAAAUCUUGAAAGAAUUUCGGUUACCUGAUAUGUGACGAGUUGCGUCGGUAUCUAUCCACCAUUUCACUUGAUCUUCCGCUACAAAUGCUUCUGUGACCAUUGCCACAAGAUCAUCUUUUUAUUUUUAUUUGCUUUUUCUUUCUUCUUUUCGGCUUUGAAAAUUCUACAAUCACGCGCAUAGUGACCAACUUUGUGACAAUGAUAGCAUUCACCAGAUUUAAAAUUGGCACCGUUACGCUUGAAAUUUGUAGUCUUCUUUGCCUUUGAAAAAAAUCUUAUUUUCAAGUUCCUUCUUGUUUGAUUUUUCUUCAACCAUAUGAGCUUUCAUGACAGGUUCCUUCAAAUUAUUAUUAUCGCGCCAAUGUGUCUCUUAUUCAAUUUGCAAAUGUUGCAACAAUUGUUCACGAGUCAAAUCUUUAUUUUUGUGUAAGAGUUUGCUUUGGUACUCUUUUCAAGAUGGAGGAAGUUUUGAUACAAUAGCACCAACAUGCAAGUUUUCAUCAAGAGCAAUUUCUGAUAUAACAAUUUUAUUAGCUAUAAGUUGGAAUUCUUGUACUUUUUCAGUGAUUGAGAUGUCAUCAACUAUUUUAAACUCCAUAUAAUUUGAAAUGAGAAAUUUCUUAGAACUAGUCUCUUCUGCUAAAUAAAUAGCUUGAAGAGUGUCCCAUAUCUCUUUAGCAUAUUUGCAUUUAACAUAAUAUUGAUCAUAAUAUUUAUUGGACAUUCCUCCAAAAAUAUAAUUCUUGCACAAAUAAUCAUCAUAUUGCCACUUGGCAAUUUGUUUUUUAAUCAAAGUAGUCUCGUCAGAUGCUACCUUAGAACUAGGAACAUUAGGAAAAGGUUCUUCAAGAACAUAUGCCAACUUUAAUCGUCUUAAAAAAAUUUCAUCUUUCCACGCCAUCUAGAAAAGUCUUUGCCAUCAAAUAUUUAAAAAUUAGGAUUAGGCAAAGAUGGAAUACUAUUUGAUAUUGAUGUAGAAGUCAUUGAGACAACUAUCUUCAAAUUGAAUUGGAACAAUAAUGAUAAUUGUACAAGAAUUCAAAAUAAAACUUGUUUGGCUUAAAGGCACGAUAAUACGCUUCUUGAAGAUAGUUGGAGUCUCUCCCACGAGCAAACGGAAGAAUUAGUAACAACUCUAUCUUCGGGAUUCAACUAAGCCACAAAACAAAUAGCAUUCAAGAAUGUUGCUCUUCUAUUCUUGAAUUGGUAAUUUCACCUUUUGAUCAAUGUCUCUCAAAUGUUUUUCAAGGGGAAAGUAACUUUUUUGAAUGCAUGUCUUUUCAAACAAAAGAAACACUAUUUAUAGGAUAAAAGUUUCAUGCAAGAGAAAACGAUUAAUUAAGUAAUAGUUAAUAGGUUCAUGAAUAGUUUAAAACAAAAUUGUCUUUCUUUCAAGAACUAAAACGUAAGUGAAUGAAUUGUAUAAUUCACAUUCAUUUUCUUUGUAACUCAAAAUCCUUUAAGUGAUGCAUUCACAUUCAUUUUCUAUGUAACUCAAAAUCCUUUAAGUGAUGCAUUUGUUUCAAAAUUAAUUGAAGCAUAACUCUUAAAAAUCUUUAACUGAUGUAUUUGUUUCAAAAUUUAUUGAAACAUAAACUUAAUAUCUUGAAGUAGAAUUUGGGUAUGGAAAAUUUUUCGUUAGAAGUGAUGGCUCUAAAAGUCAAUUUUGCAGUACAUAAAUUUAGAUUAGUUGAAUUUCAAUAUGAAUAUCAGAUAUCGAACCAAAAAUCCAAAACAAAAUUGAACUCUACUAGCUAGAGACCCGUUAGUGAAAGCGAUGACCUAUAGACCUUAGGCCACACAGAAAAAUCUGCUCAAACUUCAAUAUAUUAAUGAAAAAUCAACCCAAUGGACCACAUUGCUACUUGUACACAAAAAAAUUGAAAAAUGGUAGGCAUCUACACCACAAAAUAUAGAACAUACUAGUCGGUUGACGCCGUGCUACGCACGGCCCAAUGUUGAACCUUAAAAAUUCUACGUUAUAUACAAUUCUAUCAUUUAAUUAAAAGCUUCAUUUGUUUGAUUGAUAAAUUCUAAGUUAGGCAUAUAAUAUUAUAUUUAGAUUGUUAAAAUUUGUAUAACGAUAUUUUAAGUUGUUCAAACUUUUGUGACAUUGAUAGUCAAUUAUAUUUUUUAAAUAAUUUAAAUUUUUAAUUAUUGUAAUUUAUAAUAUUUUUUCUUCUAUUCUACUAAUUAGAAGUGACAUAGUAAAAUUAUUACAAAAAAUACUUGUAAAUUUUUUUUUAAGUGAUCUCAUAUAAGACGUCAGUUAAUUUAAAACAUUAAAAAUUAAUUUAUCAUUUUACGUCUGUUUUAUCCUUUUUAUUAAAUAUUAUUAAUUUUUAAUAAUUAAAUGACUUAAAAUAAUUAAUUAUGAAUAAUAUAGUAAAAUUACGAUUGAAGUAGUUGAAACAGUCAUGUCAUAAAUAUCUAUUUUAGGGUUUUAUUAAAUAUCAUUAAUUUUUAAUACAUAAAUGACUUAUAAUAAUUACUUAGGGAUAAUGUAGUAAAAUCACGAUUAAAGAAACUGAAGCAGGCAUGCCGGCCAUGAGCAGCCUGUUUCAACUGCUUAUUAUGAAUUCUUAUAUGGGAUACUAAUAACAUAACUUUUUAAUGCAUAAAUAAUCAUAAUAAGUAAUUAGGGAUGAUAUAAUAAAAUCACGAUUGAAGCCGCGAGUAAACAUGUAUUUGAAGUGAUAUAACAUAAUAACUAAGGAAAUUACUUGUGAAAAAAAAAUCUAAGUGGGCCUCAUAUAAGACGUCAAACUAAUUUAAAACAUCACAAGUUAGUUCAUUAUUUUAUAUCUAUUUCAUCUUUUUUAUUAAAUACUAUUAAUUUUUUAAUACUUAGAAUACUUAUAAUAAUUAAUUAGGGGUGAUAUGAUAAAACUACGGUUGAAAGAGCUGAAGCGAACAUGUUAGAAAUGUUUAUUUUACUUAUUUAUAUUAAAUAUUAUUAUUUUUUUAAUAUGUAAAUGACUUAUAAUAAUUAAUUAAGAAUGAUACAAUAAAAAUACAGUUGAAGCAGCUAAAGCAGACAUGUCGAUCUGCUGCCUGCUUCAGCACUCAAACUCCCUCUUAUAUAUAACUAAUAUAUAUGUAUUUAAUACGACAAACAAAUCAGUACUACCAAUUUUAGGAAGAUACUUCUUUCUUUUUCUUCAUCUUCAUUUGUUUUUUUCUUCAUACAACAAAAAUGGAUGAUGGCAAGGUGAUUCUGUUGGAUUUCUAGUAACUUUUGUUUCUCUAUAAAGCCAUUUUAAAACUCACCACAUGCAUUAACUGUGUGAACACCCCAAGCCCAAUGGACCACAUACAUCAUUACUUAUACGUAACAAAUCGAAAAUGAAGGCAUCUACAACACUACUAUAUAUGGGAGACUAUGUACAAACCAUAAAACAAUCAAUAUUAAUUAGCAAUUGUGAAAAUUAAUAACUUCUUUCUUCUAAGCAUUUGCCUUGUCUAUUCACACAGCAAAAAUGGCUAACAAUGAGGUGAUUCUGUUGGAUUUCUGGCCUAGCAUGUUUGGCAUGAGGCUAAGGGUUGCACUUGCUGAAAAAGAGAUAAAAUAUGAGUACAAAGAAGAGGACUUGCUGAAUACCAAAAGUCCUCUACUUUUGCGGAUGAACCCUGUCCACAAGAAAAUCCCAGUUUUGAUUCACAAUGGGAAGUCCAUAUGCGAGUCUAAUAUUGCAGUUGAGUACAUUGAUGAAGUGCGGAAGGACAAAGCCCCUUUUCUCCCUUGUGAUCCUUAUGAAAGAGCACAAGCUAGGUUCUGGGCUGACUACAUUGACAAGAAGGUAAAUUCGUUCCCUUCUCUUUUCUCUUUGUCAUAAUAUAUACAUUAGCGUGUCUUUAAACUUAGCUGACAUCCGUGUUUUUCAACGUUGGGUGUGCACAAGUAGACAUAAGAUAUACUUAAACUAUCAUAAAGUUGAACAAGUAAACACGCAUUUCCUACGUGACAAAUCUCAUGCGAUUUGGCAUGUAGGACGCGUGCAUCUCACAUGAUUUGCCACGCUGACGCGUACUUGUUCAACUUUAUAAUAGUUUAAUUGCUUAUUUGUAUAUAUCUAAAGAUGGAGGGUAUAGAUGUCCGUUGAGACAAGUUAAACGACCCGUUUUCAAAGAACUAAUUAGAAUUCUUUAGCCAAUGCCAACAAAUUUGGAAUCAAAACACUGUUGUUUUAUGUUGUAUUGUUGGAGUGUAAUGUUGUUUUCUUAUAGUCUUGGUCAAUUGUGACCCGAUGAGUCCAGUUUUGGAGUUAAAUUAGAAUGAAAAAAUUACCUAAAUACACAACAUAAGUUUUUAAACUUCUAAAAAUCUACCCACUUCUAAAAAAUUACCUAAAUCCCAAUAUUUCAUAAUUUUUGAUAAAGUUGAGAUACAAGUUAAAACAUCCAACUACAAAAAAGAUUCUUUACCAAAAAUAUCCACUUCUCCCUCUUUGUACGCCACAAUUUGUGGAGCGGUUUCUAUCCAACUUCUUCAUUCAAUUCAAAACUUGAAGCAAGGUAAUUUCCUCCCUAAAAUCUGCUUCAAUUUCUUCUAAUUGAUUUUACGUUUUUUUUUUUCAAAAAAUUUAUUUUGCACCUAAGUUUAUAGAGUAAAAUUUGGGUGAUUUGGUUGAGCGAUUUCUUCGAUUAAUUAUUUUUUAGGCUUCAUUGUUUGAAUUGCCAUUAUGAAUAGAGAUUUGGGACCUUCCUUUAGUCUUGAGGUUUCUCAAUUAGAAAGUAUCAAAGAAUCUCAUGAAGUUGUUAACUUCAUUUUCGGAAGUUUUGAUUAUGAAUUUGUUGACUUUGAUGAAAAUAGAUUAAAGCAUAGAAACGAUCCCCAAAUUAUGAAGAAGUUGUGGCAAAAGCAUUCUAAGGAUAAGAAAAAAAAAUGGUUCUAAGAAAAGGGGAUCCAACAGUCAUGAAAGUAAAACUCCCGACAAGAGAAGACGAAUUGUCGAAGUAAUUUCCAGAGAUGAACUUCCUAAGGUAAUUUCAUGUUCUAUUGAAUGUUAGGUCGAGAUACAUAUUUUGGGUUGCAUGAUAUGUUUAGAAUUGCAUUGUUUAUUUGUUUUUUUGUUGCUAAGUUAUUUGUAUCUUGUGUAUUUUAUCUUUUAUUGAAAUUAAUAUGACAAAAUACAAGUUCAUAAAUACAUUGAUACAUGUUAAGUGGACUUGUAUAUGUGAGUGAUUAUUAAUGCUUUGAUUUGUAUUUAGUUGUGUUCAAUUUUAUUUAAAGUCUAAAUAUAAUAGAUACAGGUUUUUAUUUCUAAGAUACAUGUUAUAUUAACUUGUAUUUGAGAGUUACUGUAAAUGUUUUGAUAUGUUUCUUGUGUUGUUUAAUCUCAAAUAAUUUUUUUUAUUUUUUUUUAUUUAUAGGGAUUGAAUUACGUUACAAGUAUGUUAUAACAAGUUAAAAACAUUGAUAAUGUAAAAAUAUUUUUACAUUAUUUAUUUAUAAAAGUUAAUUUAAUCUUAAAUCCUUAGAUGGGGAACUCUUGUGCAUCCUAAAUUCUGCACAUGAUCAGACAGUAGAUAGACUAGCCCCCAUUUUGUAUUAGAUACAUAAUAACAAAACAUGUAUCUUUCUGUAUUAAUAUGUAUCUUGUUCAUUAUCUGAAGCAAUUGUCUAUUACCUACAUUAAUCACAUUACAUACAUAAAACAUUUAAUUUGUACCUCUUUCAGUUUUAAUGAUUACGGUAAGCUGAUGUAACAUAUAUUUCAUUUUUUUGCAAUUUGAACAGCAUCUGGAUGUCAUCAUGUACUACUUGAGAAAGAAAUACAAGAACAAGAAUUUUCCAAGCAAGAGAUACACUACCAUAGAUUACUUUUUCAAAGUGUACAUCGAUAAGGCAUAUGUGAAUUACUAUGAUGAUGACGCUGGCAACGAGCUUGCCACACAAGAUGCAUCUGCAAAAACUGAUGAGGUUGCUGAUAUGGAGACGACAUUGAUUAACACCAUCAAGGGAUUCAGUCCACGCGCAGGUCAGCCUUGACAUUUAGUUGAUGAGAUCUUUGUCCCAAUUAACUGUGAUAGUGCCUUUCACUGGAUAUUGGUAGUCAUUGCAUCAAAGGAUCGAUGCAUUCGUGUGUAAGGUUCAAUGGCCUCUUCACGAAAAAGAACACAAACAAGUGAGAUUGAAAAGUUGGUUGUAAUGAUUCCUACUUUCUUUCAAUACAGUAACUUUUUUUUAGCAAAAGGUACCAACUAACUGGACUGCACUGACAUCCUACAAGGGAAAGACCGGACGUGAUCCAUUUCAAGUGAAAUACAUAUCUGAUAUAGCACAACAAGAAAGUGGAAGUUUGUACGUAUUACAUUACUCUUUGAGAUGGUUUCAUUAGCUUAUAAUUUUAUAUUGGGUUUUCUAAUUAAAUUACUAAUUUUUAUUCAGGGAUUGUGGUGUAUUUGUAGCUGUAUAUGCCGAGUAUCUGAGCGAGGGAUUAGACAUUCCAUCUUCGGAAAUUGAUGCUCACUACCAUCGUCUGAGAUAUGUUAGUAUUUUGUGCAAGUACGGAUCUGUAAAAGCAGACAAUGGAUACUUUAGUGAGAAUUAAGAUCCACCAAGGCCAAGGAUGAAGUUCACACCAAAAGAAACCGAUCGUGUUUUACGUAUUCGGUAAUUGUUAAUUUUUGGCUAGUAGACUAUUAAAAACAUUGUUGAUGAUAUAAACUUUGAUGAUGUUAGUAGUGUUUAGACAGGCAUACGUUAAAUUUUUUUAAUGAAUAAUUACUUCUAUUUUGCAUUAACACUCUAACGCAAUGCUAAAUAACAUAAAGAUAUAUUUAUGUUAUCGUUAUGAUAUUUUUUCCACGCAAUAUACAGACAUUGUAUUGGAUACAUGUUUUACUGUAUUUUAUAAUUUUAUGUAUCUAAAAUAAAGAAAGAUAUAUUACAAUACAGGUAUUAACCAUCACAACAUUGUUGUAUUAUGUAUCUAUAACAGUUUUUUGUUAUAGAUAAUUCAUGUUGUCUCUUACAUGCAUACCAAAUUAUAUUAUAACUUAAUAGAACUAAGUCUUAAAAAUAUUAACCUAUUACAUUUUACAUGUGAAACAAAUUAUUAGAUCUUGUAUCUAUCACUUUAUAUGAGAUACAUCUUCUCAAAUUGUAUGUAUCUAUUAUACAGAAACUAUUUUACUAUAUAAUCAUAGUAACCAACAAAUUAUUACAUUUUUAUGUAUCUACAACUCUUUUUAUUAAUGAUGUUUGACUAUAACCUGCAUAACAAAUUCUAGUAGAACUUAUAUUACAAUUUUAAUAAUAUUGACAAAUUAUAUUUUACAAACAAUACAUAUUUGUUAAAAUUGAAUCUAUAAAUUUAAUGGAGAUACACACUAUAAGAAUGUAUCUAUUUUCUAUCGUUCACUAUGGCAGAACUACUAAUAGAAUGUAUAAUAACAUUGUCAGUUUAAUAUAUCUAAAUUUCUAUUUUAUGUGUCACGAAAAAUACACCAUCAAAACAUAUAUAACUAAAUAACAAAUUAACAAAGAAUGCUAUUUAUUUCGGUAAAUGUCUUUUCUAAAUUUCAUAAAAAAUCAAGGAUCUUAUCAACUAAAAUGUCGAACAAAAUAGAUAAAAAAUCCAGCAACAUUCCAAGGAACUAUUCAACAUUAUUCAUUAGUCAACUAUAUUUGUCAGUCCUUCUUUGGAAAGAAGUUGCAAUUGCGCCUAUUGUGAUCUUUAUAACCACAUCUCCCGCAACAAUUACUGCUCGAUGUCAUUGUUUCACUUGAUUUCUUGUGUCUGUUUUUCUUUGGCCUUCCUGGUUGAUGUUUGUAUUUAGGUGGUAACACAACUUAUCGAGAUGAUGCGUUAAAUGUCCAAACAUAAUCCUCUGAACGACAUCGUAAGACAUAACUGAAUCAAUGAAAAUAAAACUUCAACUUUUUAACCUUGAGUUACUUUCAAACUGUAUAAUAAGACAUCAAUAUAUUCACCGAGAUACACAAUUAGACAUCAAUAUAUUCACCUAGAUACAAGAUGAUCAAAAUGUAUCUUUUAUCAUAAAGAUGUAUUUCGAGUAAAUUAACAUAACGUCAUGACUAAAAUACAACAAGAAACAUAAUUAAACAUAACUUCAUAAAUGGGGAUACAAGAUGGGGCAAAAUGUAUCAUUUUCAUAACAAAAUGUAUCUUGGCUUGAAACUUGUACAACAUGUAUCUAGGAAAUUUUACAACAUGUAUCUAGGACAUUUCUAUCUAUCUAGGACAUUUUUAUUAUAUAUGUGAAACUAAAACACAAAAAGAAACAUAAUUAAACAUAAAUUCAUAAACUGAGAUACAAGAUGAGCAAAAUAUAUCAUUUUCAGAACAAAAUGUAUCUUGGCGUUAAUAACAUAAACACAUAAAAAAAAUCUGUAAAAUAACCAAACAUUGAAUACAAAAUUAAAUUAAUGUACACAAAAUUAACAACACCAACUACAUAAAAAAUAUAGCAUACCUUUUUUUGUUCGAUCUUUUGGCAUAGUAAUUGAAGGAAUGCUCAAUUGCAAAUCGCGCCAUAACCGAAAUGAGAGUACACUUGUCCUUGUAGAUUUUUCCAACCUUAACAUCACUAUGUUUGCAAUUAGUAAUGGUCUUGUUUUCCUUGCUAUCCAACAAAGGCAUAGGAAAAGUAGAAUUAGAUUUAUAACUAAUAAUUUCUGCAAUUUUUUUUGAUGAACUUUUCAAACACAUUAUAGUAGCAACUUUUUCAUCAAAAAAAAAAAAAAUCUUGUCCGAUCUUUUGGCAUAGUAAUUAAAGGAAUGCUCAAUUUCAAAUUGACAAAUCAAAUAAAAAAAUUGGUAUGUUUUAUCUGAACAAGAAGAAUGGAGAUUUUUCAAUUUCAAAAAAAUAAUACAAAAGCAUUUAUUAGUUUUAAUGUGGUGGAGUAAUAUUCUGAUUAGCAUAAAUUGUGGAAUUUCAUUUUGUUUUUUUACCUUAAUUAGUUAGAUUAAAUGCUGAUUUAAUGCAAACUAAUCUGUUACAUCCCUUAAAACGUGCUAAUUUAGUUAAUUAUUACUUGUAUCUUUACUAUGUAUCUAAUGUGAUUAACAUGUAUCAUCAGAGGUCAAAUGUUGGGAUUUUAUGAGAUUUUGAAAAAAGUUGAGAAUUUUAGUAAUUAUUAAUAAACAUGUCGUUAUAUAUGUAAUUUUUACAAUUAGAAUAGCGAUUCAUUUUGCUAACAUAUUUUUAUGGUUGUGCUCAUUUUGAUAGAUAUUUGGUCUUGGGCCCGUGGGGUGUUAAGAGUACUUUCACAAUAAAUGCGAUAUUGUCUCUACCCUCGAUGUUUAGUCUUGUUUAAUACUUACAUCAUAAGAUAGAUUUAUUUAUUGGGGAAUGGACAAGAAUAGUUAUUCGGCUAAAAGAAUUGUCGUCGAGUGGCCAUUGAUUUUGAAUUUCCAAAAUAUUACCAUUUAGGCCAUUUUUUGCUACUGCCUUCAUUUUUUUUUUUUUGGUCUUUUAACUAUAUUUUUUAAAUUGCUGCUACACUUUUUAAAAAAAUUCGUUGUUUGCCCUCUUUUUCUAAAAAAAACUUUUUGUCCUUUUUUCAUUGUUUUUUUUGCAGCUCCGUUUAAAAAAAAGUUAUUCUUCUAAUUGGUGUAGUUUUUCUAACAAUCAAAUACGAUUUUAUAACAUUGUAAUUGUUGUUCUUCUUUUUUAUCAAUCAAAUACAAUAUUUCAUAUCAAAUACAUGAAUCUUUGAUACCAAAUAUAAAUACAUAUUUUAUACCAUAAUUGUAUAAAAGUGUAUCAAUGUGGUAUAAAAGUGUAUUAAUUGAGUAUAGAGACUGCAUGUAUUCAAUUGGGUCAAAUGGCUAAAAAUUGAAAAUAAAUUAGGUCGACUGACUCCAAUUAUCCACAUUUUUAAAUUAUGGUUCAUUUUUUUUCAAAGUGAUCAGCCCAUGUACUUUCUCCUUUAUUUAUUUCUUUAAAAAGGACUUUGGUCAUAAACUCAAUCUUAACAACUAGCUAAGGAGGUAAUAAUUGUCCAAAGCAUGUAAAAAAGUCAAUUUUCAGUCUCUACACCUCUAGGGGAACUCAACACCCCUAGCACGCUCUUUUCUGCAUAUCUGAGGAGUGAACAAUUAAGAUAAGAGCCUAGUACUAUGUUAACGAAAUAGAUCUAGGCGACUAGGCAUACUCAAUUCUAAAUGCCAACCCAUGAACUAAGUCUAUUAUCCAUUUUUUUUAAUCAUGAACCUCAUUAAUUAGCCCUCCCCACCCCCCACCCCUUUUUUGUGGCCAAGUGAUGACGUUUUUUUCUCAUGGUCUGUUGAAAUUUCAGAUGCAUGAACUUGGGAAGAAGAUAUGGACAACAAAAGGAGAAGAGCAAGAGGCAGCUAAGAAAGAUUUCAUAGAAGUCCUUAAGGUGCUAGAGGGAGCACUAGGAGACAAGCCUUAUUUUGGAGGGGAUAACUUUGUUUUUGUGGAUAUUUCUCUCAUUGGGUUCUAUUGUUGGUUUUAUACCUAUGCGACUUAUGGUAACUUCAGCAUAGAGGCUGAGUGUCCAAAGAUUGUGGCUUGGGGCAAGAGGUGCAUGCAGAGGGACAGUGUUGCUAAGUCUUUGCCGAACCAACACAAGGUGUAUGAGUAUGUACCAGUGCUAAAAAAAAAAGUGUGGAUUUGAAUAAACUGAUGCAUGUGUAAAGAUCUGAGUAUGUAUCAAUGCUAAAAAAGAUGUUUGGAAUUGAAUAAACAGAUGCAUGUGUAAUUUAUUAUGCAUCAUGAUGUACUAAAAAAAGGCACUUCAUUGUGCCUCCUUAAGUUGUAGUUUUAUAUUUGAGAAGUUUGUUUGGUCAUUCUCAUGUAAGUCAAUUCUACUUUUACUUGGUAUGCGUUUCGCCAUGAAAAUUAGAAAUUUUUGAAGUUGGAAUUGAAGUUGGAAUGGUGUUUGGCCAUGUCUUUUUAAAAGUUUUUUUUUGUACUUUUGAAAAGUCUUUUUUAAAUAUAAUUUUAUAUUCCAAAUUUUUAAAAAGUAUAAAAAUCACCCAACUAACUCUUACCUACUAACAUACAAUCAAAUGUGAUUCUUUAAAGCUAGUUUAAAGCUACUAAAGCUAUAAUAGCUUUGAGUUUGUGAAAGAUGGAGUUGGGUCUCCAUUAACAGUAAUGGAAAAUGACGAGACAUGCCAAUUAUAAAUUUGAGCAAAGUAAAAGAGAUGGACAUUAGUUUUUGAGGAAGGAACACUUAGCAUUUAACAAUAGCUUGCUAAUAAAUUUUUUUGCGAGUUGCAAUAGACAGAAUCUAUGUUUUCUUAUCAGGACACAAAAAUAGCAAUAUACAGAAUGUAUUUCUAAGUAGAGAUGUCACGUCCCAAAUUUGGGACCGUGAUGACACCUAUUCCAUCCUCCGUGAUAGAUAAGCCAAAUACCCAAUUUCGAGAACAACAUUUCAAACUCAUAGAAGCGUAAGAAAAUAAGAACAUAACCAAUCCUGAAUAAUCUCAUAAGAAGAUUAGUAUACUAGUAAAAUCAAAUCAUAAAUAAUUCCAGGUCUGGAAGUCACUAAUAUAAGCCACUAAAUACAGAACUCAAGAAAGUUUGAGUCUUUCAAAAUGCGAAAAAUGCACAAGAUUAAGGCUGAAGGAGAUUUCAGUAGUCUUUAAAGUCAGUAGUAGCAAUCUCGAAUCUCUAAUGAUGCUAGCAAAGAAGGAACUACAGGUUUCAAUAUCCGAAGAUCAUCAAAUCUGUACCUGCACAUAAGGUGCAGAAAAAGCAAGAGUGAGUAAGGAACCACGUGUACUCAGCAAGCAUCAUCGAUCGAUCCUAAUUCAAAGUGGUGAUGAGUUUACCACGUCAAUCAUCUAAAAAUAAACAUACAACCUGCACUCAGGAAGACCACCCUAAUCUAACCGAAUAGUCAAGUUUAACAAUCAUAAGGAUAUUAUGACACAAUCCAAGAAAUUCUCAAUCUAGUUAAAUAAACAACACAUAUACAAUAAGUAUAAGGUCAACAAAUACACUUUAACCAAUCUGAACCAAAUGAAUCAAUGCAAUGUAAUGCAAUGCAUAUGUUGUGCACAUAUUUAUCGAGCAAUGGCUUCAAAGUCAGGACCCAUGGGAGACUCACAAGGUCCAUAUACUAUGCAGGCGUGCACUCUGAUCCUAAUAAAUAUAUUGUGUAGGCGUACACUCCAAUCUCAAUAAAUAUACUGUGCAGGCAUGCACUCUGAUCUCAAUAAAUAUACUGUAUAGGCGCGCACUUUGAUUCCAAUAAAUAGAUAUAGAAUAUUGUGCAGACGUGUACUCCGAUCCCAAUAAAUAAAUAUAUAAUAUUGUGCAGGCGUGCACUCCAAUCCCAUAUGAAAUGCAAUGCACGAUGUGCAAGCAUGCAACUCCGAUCCCAAAUCAAUAAUAAAGUCAAGCAAAACACUUCGUGUCUCAAGUCAGAUCAUACAUCAAUUUCAAUGUCAACUCAACUUAUCAAGAGUAGUCUCAUUAGCUAGCUUUUUCAACAAAUUAUUAACCACAACAAUUCAUUCCAUCGGGCUUGCAAAUAGGAAAAAACAGUUCAAAACACACAAUUAACUUAUUUUAUCCCCAAACAAUACCGGUACCUGCAUAGAUGCUCAUCACAAUCACCUCUAAAGGGCCCUCAAUUCCCAUUACUCCCAUUACACAUAACUAACAAAUAAGCACAUUAAAAAAGAAUCUAGAAAAGUCUCAACUUGCCUGAACUCAAAGCCAAGCAUCAAUUCAUAAAUUUGCCCUUUUGCAAGGUCUCCAAAUAAUCAAAGUCUGUUCAAAUAUGUAAUUUUCAUAAGAAUAGGAAUUUAAUAACACCCAUAUUGCUAUAAUAAUCUCAUUCUAAGUAGUAGUCCUAAAUAUAAAAAUUAAAAUAUGAAAUUGAACUCGAAUUCACGGAGAAUUUAUAGAAAUUCUACGAAAUAGUAGUUGCAGGCCUAAUAUCACUGACAACUACAUAUAAUGCACCCUAAUGAUAAUGACUUUGCCAUCAUUGUCAUAAGGAAACGAUUAAGUAAUCAUUGCACCAUUAUAUGAAAAGCAACAAAAAUUAAAAUACUAUAUUAUCUAACUCUACAGGAAAACAUCUUAGCCACUACACAUGCUACCUAGUACGUCUUCCGUUCCAUUUUAUGUGUCGUCAUUUGACCGGACACGGAGUUUAAGAAAUAAGGGAAGACUUGAUAAAGUUUAUUAAAUUAUCCUUUAUCAAAAAAUGUGCCAAUAUUUUUUUUUUUAAUUAAGUGGAACCAAAAAGGGUAAAAAGAUAAUUGUGCCUUUAAAAAGUUGUCAAAAAAAGAAAGGCAAUACUUAUUUUAAGACGGAUUAAAAAGAAAAUGAUGACACAUAAUUUAAGAAGGAGAGAAUAUUUAAUUCAUUACAGGUAAGAGAUUAUUUACUAGGAAUCGAUUAACCAGAACAAACAAAAGCAAUCACACUAACCUAUGCGUCCGAAGCUAUGGAGAGAAAAGAAUAGAAUGAGGAAAUAGAAUUGUAACUGCUCUUUUCCUCUUACUCCAUCCUAUUUGAUGCUAUUAUAUAAUUUUUUUAAUUUUAUGGACUGCGUACAUCUUACCCCCCCAGACCCCACGUAAGUGAGAAUACACUGGGUUUGUUGUUGUUGUUGUUGUUGUAAUCCUUCCCACUAAAAUCUAUUUCAUAUACAUAGUCUCAAAUAAUAAGAAAAAUAUCAAUUUGACCCAGUACUAUAAAAUAAUAUCUAAAAAUUACUAAGUGAGUUAAAAUAGGACAAGUUUAUAAAAUAAUUUGCAGGAUUGUUACAAAAGAUAUCUUGUCUUGUCAUUCAACCAUCAUAACAACGAAUUUGCUAAUAGUAGUAUUUAUACUUCCACAUCAGAAUUCAGGAGAACGCUUCAGCAUACAACCAAUCUUAACAGUAGAGUACCAAAGGGAAAAACUUUUAUUGUAACAUAUGGUGCUUUGAAACAAUUUUAAACUUUUCCCAAAAGUUUCUAAUUGGAUGUCGCCUAUAUAUGUUGUAUACAGUUCACUAAUUUAACAUAUGUAUGAAGUAUGAACCAAGAUUGAUGGUGUCUAUUCUACAAGAGCAAUGAAACUUCAUCCUGUCAUCCUUUCGAUUCGUUAUUUUUUUGACCUAUGCAGUCAUCAGUUGCAUCGAUCUCCUCUGACUCCAACAUUGAUGUGAAACUUCUCUUUGAACUGCCUUCAUGGAUUUCAGGUUGAUUCAUAGAAAUAUUGAGUCUGACAACAAUUGAAUCAACUUUAUUCACCAUAGCAAUUGUGCGGGGUGGAAAUAUGUCUUAACAGCAAAGUGAUGGUAAAAUAACUAUUUUUUUCACAUUCGGGGUACUGGUGGCACAGAUAACAUUAACCAUUUACAACUCAAUAAAACUACAAAAAAUUAGAGAUAACUCAAUUAGAAGUACAAAAUACAACACAUGCUAUAAAAGAAUUAGACUCCCUUGAUGAAAAUGAAAGAAAGAAACUUGACCCCCCACCCCCCUAAAAAAAAGAGAGAGAAAAGAGGAGAAAACUUUAGUACAAGCAGCAUGGACAUACAGGAAGGAACUCCUUCAACCCAAUCACAAUUUGGAGAAAAAGAACGAUCAUUUUGCAUUCCCUAAGUACCAAUGCUCUAGAACCAAACAAUAAUGAAUUGUUUACUGUACGUGGCAGCUAAUUUAUCAAGACUAAUAUCACAAACAGGCAUGUUGACAGCAAGAUAUUCUGGUAAGUUUUCACAUAGAUUGGUCUUAAUAGUUCAAUUUCAAAAUAUCUUACGUAAACAACGUAUGAUCAUGGCGAUUAUUGCUCAAAUAGUCAUAAAUUUUGAUAUGUAUAAUCAUUCCAAGUGAUUUUCAUGGUCAUUUACUGACUAUACAGAAGUUAUGAGCAACAUUAUUACCUACGGUAAUUCUAACACUAAGUAUGUUGUUGGAUCGAAUGUUUUUGUUGAUCUAAUAAAAUGAUCAAAUCCGAGCCAUUUCAGGAUCUGCCCAAUGUUAUGUUAGAGAAAAUAUUCAAAAUUGCAAGCUCAAUUCAAGGUUAUCCAUUGGUCUAUAGGUCCUGAUAUAAGGUUAGAAUUCUAGCCCGUCUAGAAUAACUUGACCAAUUUCUAGACUCUGGACGGGUUAGCAAAUGAUGACACCCAGUAAAAGUUGUUAACCCUUUUCUCUCAACUUCAUCAACCAAGAAAUACUGAAAACAAGAUAUCACAUUUGUUAAAAGAUUGAAAACAAAGUCCCACAUUGGUGGUUAAUGAGAUGGGUGGUCUCUUUAUAAGGCUUAAGCAAUCCUUCUCCUCAUGAGCUAGCUUUUGGGGUGUGAGUUAGGCCCAAGACCAAUUUUAAUAUGGUAUCAGAGCAGGGCCCAUUCUCACCCAAUAUUGGGCCCCCGAAUUGAGGUGUGGGCCCCAGUUGAGGUCUGGCCGUGAGGUGGGGUGUUAAAAGAUUAAAGAAAAAGUCUCACAUUGGUGGUUAAUGAGAUGGGUGGUCUCUUUAUAGGCUUGGAAUAUCCUCCUCCUCAUGAGCUAGCUUUUGGGGUGUGAGUUAGGCCUAAGACCAAUUUUAACAACAUUCAUGUAACUAAGAGUUAAUGAAUGCUUACAGGCCAUCUACUAGCGGUGCUCAAUUCUGUCUCUCCUCAAUGAAGGAAAAAAGAAAUGAGAUUGAACUUUGGGGCAAAGAGUUCAACUUUGGGGCAUGAACGAUAUCAACUAAAGCAAUUUUCACAUUAUUUGCUCUAAGAAGAAUAUGUAGAGUUGUGCUUAUCAACCAUUAAGAAAGUUCAUUUUACUCUACCUAUUCCGCAAUUUUUACCCUCCGACUUAUGAAGAAAGUUUCAUUACCCGCUCUGCAGUUUUUCCAAAUGAAUUUCGUACUGUAUAGAGAGUGACAUUCCAUUUCAAUUUCUUACAGCACUUUAUAUUAUUGCUACAAUUCUUUUUUGUGUGAUAAACAUCGAGUAGACAGACAAAUCUUUUGAUGUAUGUAAAAUGUAUCUAUGUACUUACUCUUAUCCAACAUCUCUAAGUAUGUUGGUCAAUUGAUUUGUGAUCCCCAAAGUUAAAGAAACAUUAUAUAUGCUCUCUAUUGUUGCCUUUGAUUCUGGUGCAAUACCCAUUAUCGGAACACUCAUCAACCCAACCAGACCAGCAACAUAAUAACAAUAUAGGUAUAGUUUGUCAAAGCUUCUAUAUCUUGACUUCCUCAAGUCCUUACACAUUCCUUCAAUCGUAUCUCUUAUCUUUGAAUGGCUACAAUAUAUAUCAAAAGAUUAGAUAAUUUACGUUAUUGAAGAAAGCAAAUCAAAUUAUAUGAAUGAAUAAUGUAUCCAUUCCAAAGAAACAAAGCCAAAAAAGUGUAGUGAAGACAAUAAGAAACUUAUGAUUGACAUACAAAACAACACCAAAUGGUGAAAAACCAAGAGUUCGCAAUACUGUGAAAAAUAAAAUGGAGCACAUGUAGAAUCUAGGAUGAGAGGAACUGAUCUAACUAAAGACAUUUUCCGCAAAGAUGAAAGAAUAUGAGAAAUCAUACGGAAAGCAUUCAGUUAAAGAAGCAUAGAACUCUGUGUUAUUCCUAUAGAAUCUUCACGAUAACACCAACUUUCAAGAGAAAAAGAGCAUUUCUUCAAUGUUGAGAUUAGCAAGAUUAAUUAUUCAUAUUGCUAAUCCACCGUUAGUGGAGUUAGUUAGUUAGUUACUUAUGUGCCAGCUAAUGUACAGUUAAGCAGUCACAGUCGGUGAUAUUUUUAUUUUCUUUUAUUUUAUUCAUCUAUAUGUACUGAUCAUUCACUGGAAUACAUUUGAGUAUUUUCAGUCUCUCUAUCUCAAUUUCUAGAAUGUUCUUCUCAUUUGCUCCUCUGUAAACUCUUCAUCUAUGUCUUCCAUUUAACUUCAUUGUUGAUUUUUGAGAAUCAUAAACUAUAAUCUCAAUAUGGUAUCAGAGCUAGGUUAGCUCAAGUCAUGAUCGACGGAUUCACAUCAAUAAUUUCAGAAAUUGUUCGUUGUUCUUCCCCAAUUUUAGCAAUUAGUUUUUGUUCUUCCCUAAUUUCAGAAAUUCUUCAUCAUCUUCAUAUUUUUUCUAGAAAUUAUUUCAUUUUUCUUCCCCAAUUCCAGAAGUUGUUAGUUGAUUUUACCAUUUUGACCCCAAUUUAUCUUCAAUUUUCAGCCUUUUGACCUUUUAUUUUCAAUCCUUGAACUCACUGUUCUAUUGUUUCUACCUUGAAAUUGCAACUUUAUUAUGAAUUCAAAAUACUUUAAUGGUAAUAGAAACCAAUAGUUCAUCUACACCUAAUGGUGAAUAAUCUGAUCAAUAUAACCUCGAUAAUUCCUCAGCUUCUCCACUCUAUAUGCAUCCAUCGGAUAAUCCGGGAGCCAUGCUAGUACCAAUAGUCUUCAAUAGAGUAGGAUACAGAUCUUGGAGAAGAGGUGUUAUGAGGUCACUUUCGAAUAAAAAUAAGUUAGGUUUCAUCAAUGGUGAGGUAAAGAAACCAGAUCUAGGGUCACCUACAUAUCGUUAAUGGGAAAGGUAUGACGAUAUGGUGACAUCGUGGAUUUUGAGCUCUUUGAUGAAGGAAAUUAUAGAUAGUGCGGAAUACGUAAUCAAUUUAAGAGAACUGUGGAUAGAACUUGAAGAUCGUUAUGAUCAAACUAUGGUGCAAAAUUGUAUCAGAUACAGAGGGAAAUAAAUGACAUAUCACGGGAAACAAUGGACAUCACCACCUAUUACACAAGAAUGAAGAAGUUAUUGGAGGAAUUAAGCACACUACAUAUACAUACUCAGUAUCGUUGCAACUGCACCUGUGGUGCCAAGGAAAACUCACAUAAAGCUGAGCAAUACAGAAGAUUGAUACAGUUUCUCAUGGGAAUGAAUGAAGUAUAUACUGCGAUUCGAGGAAACAUACUUAUGAUGAAUCCCCUUCCAUCCCUUGCGUAGGCAUUCUCGCUUCUAAUUCACGAGGAUAAACAAAGAGAAAUUAAGCCCAACAUCCAAUUAUUUUCUAAAUCUAUAGUCCUUAGCACUUUAUCUUCCUUGAGUUAUAAUGGGAAAGGAAAUUUUUGAAUAAAUUACUCUACUGGAACUAGUGGAAACAUAGCUAGCAGUAUCUAUAAUGGAGGUAGUAAUCACAAUAACGUGGAGGAUACAAUGGGAAUGGUAAUCACAAUAACUACAGUCACAAUUAAAACACUAGGAAUCGACCUAUUUGUGAUACUGCAAGCGAGUUGGACAUACCAAGGACAAAUGCUACAAACUUAAUGGCUAUCCACAAAAUCAACCAUCUCGCACUCAGAAUCACCAACAAUACUCCGACCAGAAUAGGUUUGACAAGGGGAAGAAAAUAAUGACUAGUGUGCAGGAAUCAAGUACAAACUAUGAUAUGUUUUCCACUAGGGGUGCUGAGCAGUCGCAUCAAUAUGGUGAUCCUAACAUAAAUCCCACUAAAGAUCAGUAUGAUCAAGUUGUUAGCCUAUUGGAACAUUUCCAGAUUCAAGGUAAACAUAGAAGAGACAAUCUUAAUGCCUCAGGACCUGCCAAUAGAACAGUCAACUUUGCAGAUAUAAUAGUUUGCAUUUCUUCCAUUAAUUUUGGUAAUCUAUCUUGAAAGUGUUUUCGUAAAAAACCCAAUGCUUGGAUUCUGGAUUCAGGGCAUCUAACCAUAUGAAUUCAAUAAAUCCUUACUUACCAAUAUUACUAUCUUGUUGCAACCCCUGCUAUUUAUUCUUCUAAAUGGACAUAGGGUAAAAGUAACUCAAACUGGUAGGGUAACACUUGCUCCUAAUAUUGUCUUGCAUAGAGUUUCUUUUGUUCCUUCUUUCAAAUAUAACCUAAUCUCUAUUCAUUCUUUAUCAUCCCAAUUUAAUAGCAUUGUUGCUUUUUCAAACUAUUCUCAUCUACUACAGGCCCCUUCAAUGGAGAGGCCUCUGGAGAUAGGUAGAGCCAAAGAUGGCAUCUAUCUUCUAUGUCCCACAUGCUUUAAGAACAACAAAUCACUCUAGCUCACAUUACUUCCAUCUCCUCAUGCUGCACACAUAGACCAUACUGCAAGCUUCAUUGUAACAAAACUUGCAGUUCAUCUGUUUAUCAUAGUUUUCCUCUUCAUUUCAGUAUUGCUUGUAAUCCAUCUAUUCAAAAUAAAUGUUUUCCUGACUAAAUAUAGUUAUAAAGUUAUUCUAAAUAAAUCUAUUAUUCAUGAUAAAUCACACUCUAUCUCUUCAAAUACAUACUUGUCUCAUGGAAAUGAUGUUAUUGUCUUGUAGCAUAGUAGACUUGGGCAUGUUCCCUUUGGAAAGAUGAAAGAAAUCCACAUCUUUCCAGAUAAUUUUUCCCCUAAACAACCAUUUCUUUGUUCUAUAUAUCCCAUGGCUAGACAAGAAAGACUUUAUUUUCCUCAAAGAACCACCAGUUCUACUGAAUUUUUCUAAUUACUGCAUGUAGAUUUAUGGGGCCCCUACCAUACAAUAACCCAUGAUAAGUUUAGAUAUUUCAUCACCUUGGUAGAUGACUACAGUAGGGAUAGUUGUACACAACUCUUAACCUACAAGGGUAAUGCUUUGAAAGUCAUUAAAGGCUUCACUAUCAUGGUCGAAAACUAAUUUAAGACCACAGUCAAGUCCAUCAGAUCUGAUAAUGGACUAGAGUUUGUCAAUAUAGAAGCAAUACUUUUUUCAAUCCAAGGGAAUUAUUCACCAAAGAACUUGUCCAUACAAACUAUAACAAAAUGCUGUGGUGGAAAGAAAACACAAACAUCUAUUAGAAACUGCUAAAGCCCUCCUUUUUCAAUCCAAACUUCCCAUAAAAACUUAGGGAGGAUAUGUUUUAUGCGCCUCCUAUAUCAUCAAUAGAUUACGCUCUAACCAUAUAAAUAACAAAUGUCCAUAUGAAAUCCUUUAUAAAACAAAACCAACAUAUUCACAUAUGAAGAGUUUUGGUUGUUUAUGUUAUCCCAUAGUCCCGAAACCACACAGAGAUAAACUACAACCUAGAACUAGUCCUCAUGUCUUCAUUGGGUAUCCUCAUGGUGUCAAAGGUUAUAAAGUGCUUAGUUUAUCCACUAGACAGAUUCACAUUUCUAGAGAUGUUGUUUUUUAAAAAAUGGUUUUUCCUUUUGCUAUAGAUCCUAAUCUUACUUCAUUUUCUUCUAUUAUAACUACCAUUCCAUUUAUUAAUUACACUCCAGAUUUUGUGCACCAAAAUACAUCUGAUAACUUAGGUAGAUGUGAUGGUUAAGGUAGCAUAACUCAUACUACAAAACUUUCUCCAGAUCCUAUUGUCCCCAUUCCUCACAUUUCUUCAAUUGAUAGUCCAUGUAAUGCUCCUGAUCCACCUCCUCCACAAAGAAACACUAUACAACUAACCAUAGCACCAAGAAAAUCUCAAAGAGGCUGUAAACUUCUUGGUUACUUACAUGAUUACAUACACAAAUUACCAAAUCUCAAACCUACUUCAAACAGAUCAAUAUCUCUUACCACUUUCUCUUUCCAUUGCAACUAUAUUUCUCCUGAUGUCUUGAAUCCCAAAAGCUUGAGUCUUGUAAAUAAUAUUUAUACUGAUAGUGAACAUACUUCAUAUGGAGAAGCAUCUAUGAAACCUACAUAGCAAACUGCCAUGAAUUAGGAAUUUGAGGCACUGCACUUGAAUCACACUUGGGAUCUAGUACCACUACCUACAGGAAAGCAAAUUAUAGGGUGUAAGUUGAUCUAUAAGGUUAAACAUAAGGCUGGUGGAAGUGUAGAGAGGUUUAAAGCAAGGCUGGUAGUUAAAGGGUACACUCAACAAGCUGGAAUUGCUUACACAGAGACUUUUUCACCAGUUGUAAAUAUGACAACUGUAAGAGCCUUAUUAGCCACUUCUGUUAAGAAAAUAUGGAGUAUUUCACAGUUAGAUGUCAAUAAUGCAUUCCUAUAUGGUGACUUGGAUGAAGAGGAAUACAUGGCAUUACUGAUGUUCCGUCUUUUGACAGAAUAUUUUACAUCUUUUCCAAGAGAUAAUUGUACAUUUUCAAGCAACUGUUGUUGUAUUUGAUAUUAGAUUUUAGUGUUUUCAGGUCAAGGACUUGGCUGAAAAUGUAACUUGGAAAAGCAGCAGAAAAAGGACACUGACGAUCAAACUAAUGGACCGUCAGCCAUGUGACGGGCCGUUAAAGUGACCGCCAAGGCUAAGUAAAAUGGACAAAGUAGCUGACCCAAGUGACGAUCCAAGUGAUGGACCAUCAGACCUUUGACAGACCAUCAACUUGGUCGUCAGGUCGAGAUAAAAAGUACAUCCUCGAGUGAUCAAGCGAUUGUCCAAGUGAUAGACCGUCAGACCAACGAUGGGCCGCCAACAUGGCCGUCACCCCUUAAGAAGAAUGAGGAAACUUGGGACCAUCAGCGAUGGUCUAAGUGAAUGGACCAUCAGACUAUCAAUGGGUUGUUAGCCUGGCCGUCAACUUUGAUGCGGCAUUACUGAAUUCAAAUUUCAAGUCCCCAGUACCUGGGAACAUAUAAAUACCCAGUCUAGGUUUAUAUUAGGGAUCUUUCAUUCAUCUUUUAUUCAUUUUUCAACUUUUGAACAUCUUGUAACUCAUUAUUCUCUGAGAAAGAGCUGAAAUAAUAGAUCUAAACAUUUUUCUACUAUUAUUCUUUGAAGAUCAAGGAAAACAAUUAUGGGAACUUUUAUAAGUAAUUCUUUGAAUUAAUUUAUGAACAAAACAAUGCUUUCUUCUUCUCUGGAGAUGUGUGACUAAAAUUCCCAGAACUAUGGUUAUAGGAGCCUUGAUGUGAUUAGUUGUUUAGGGCUAUGGGAUUGUGUGAAUUCAAUAACAAAUUACAAUUGCAUAAAAUCUUCUUCAUUAUAAUGAUCUUUCUUGGUUACAAACUUGAAGGGUGACCCCGAGAACACCACUUGUUUGAGUAGAAAUGUGUGUGUUGGGAAAAGAAGAGAUUUACAAGGAUCUCAAAGACUUUAACCUUUGGGUUAAGGGUUGAUUCCUUAACAGGAUCAACCCACUUGAGAAAUCAAUUGAACAUUUUAAUUAUACUCUCUAAGUUUGAGAGAAUUUAAGAGUAAUCUUCUAUUAAGGUUGAGAAACAAAUAGAUGAAGUCUAGAGUUCAAUAUAUUCUUGCAAUUGGAAUUUGUUACGUAUGAAUUCAAGAGAACCCACAACCUUGACUGCUAUGACAUCUUGGUGAACAUAAUCGUAGUUUCUCUAUUCUCAUUGAAUUAAAACUUUACAAUAAUACUUACUAGUUGAAACCCGAUCUACUACAAUCUUAUUUCACUAUUAUCAAACAAACCCCCUUUUUACCUCAGAACCUUUGAUCAACAUCCAUUAAUAAUCAUAACGCUUAAUUUACAUAGUAAUUCCCUGUGAGAUUCGACCCCAACCUAGUUGGGUUCUAUAUUUGACGACGAUCGCUUAAGCUUUCUAACGAGAGUUGUAAUUUGGGCAUAUUAAAUUUUGGCGUCGUUGUCGGGGAAUCGGUUGUCAAUUAAGUUUUGAGUGUUAAUUGACAUUUGGUCAAGUUUCCUAAUUUUACUUUUAUUUAUUAUUUCUUUUGCCAGAUAAUUGUUGUGUAUGCCAAGUACAAGGAGGUCGGGAGAACCAUCAUUAACCUUCUACCCAGAACCUCAUCUUACUGGAAGAAUGGCUGACUAACAACAAGCAGAUAAACUAGCCACCUUGGCUAGAGCUUAGUUGAAUUAAUAGAAUGAUGGCCAACCAGUGCGUCAUCCUAAUCCAGAUGAACAGGAACUGGGAUACGAUGAUUUGUUGAAUCUGGCUAACUAAAAACAUGCAGAGAAUGUGGUUGCACCUGUGAACCAAAAUGUGAACAGAAAUCACCCUUUCAGAGCAAAACCAGAUCACCAAGCUGUGCAAUUUGAUCUUGAGGAGGAUGAGGACUAUAUGGAUGGAGAAGGUAAAAUCGGAGCUAUUAUUCCUCCACCAUUGGCACCCAGAGCUAAGUUCAAUAUCACAAGAACCAUGAUUCAGCUACUUUAUCUAAAGGGACUAUUUGGUGGACCUCCGAGUGAUGAUCUGAAUAUACACUUAGUAAACUUUGUCACUAUUUGCAAGUAUUUUGAUACCCCAAGAGUAGGGAAAAAUGUUGUCCAUCUACGCCUAUUCCCGUUGUCUCUGUCUUAGGAGAAAACACUAUAGCUUAAUGGGCUGACUCCUCAUUCUAUAACAAACUGGAGGCAGUUGAAAGGAGCUUUCCUAGAAAGGUUUUUUUCGCCGUCCAGGAUGUUACAGUUAAGGGAUGAGAUCAGUAACUUCAGGAAUCUUUCGACUGAGGCUUUUUACCAAACAUGGAAGAGGUUCACGAAGAAGUUAAUGAAGUGUCCCAAUCAAAAAAUGACUGAUGUACAUUUGAUGGAGACUCUGUAUAAAGCCUUGAAUUCUAUCACGAAGCCAGUUAUGUUAUAGAUAAUGCUGCAGGUGGAGUAUUUAUGGAUCUUACUUUUUUGAAAGCUUCUGAAAUACUUGAUAGGAUGACUAAACAGAGUAGAUCUUGGCAUACCAGGGAUUCUGAGGUAGCAAGCUCUACUAUGUAUAGUGGUAUGUCUGCUGGGCAAUGCCGGAAAAAGAAAGAAUGCAAACAAGAUAUGGCUCACGUGAAGACCCAAAUGGAUUUUCUUACUAAGAAUUUGCUAUAUGGGAAGACUAAAAAGGUGAAAGUCGUGGGUUUGCAAAGUAGAGCUGAAUCCAAUUUUGUGGAGAAGGCUAAUUAUCUGAACAACUAGGGGGUUUCCGAGGCAACAACCAAGGGAAUCAAGGUCGGACGUACUAUGAUAAAGCUGGUUAUAGAGAUCGUGGCCAAGGGAACUGAAAAAACAAAAAUAAUAGAAGUGGAUUGUAUGUACCUUCUAGAAAUCAUGAUAAUCCGGCUACUAGUUCAGGUAAAAUAUCCAUGGAAGACAUGAUUGAAAAGUUGUUGAAAGGGGUGUAGGCGACCAAUACCGGUGUAACAAUGAUGAAGAGUGAUUUAUCUUCUAUGAGUCAGUUGGUGGAUUCACAUUUAACCUUUAUAAAAUAGUUAGAGUAGCAGACGAACCAACUUUCAGCGGCAUUUCACAAGAGGAAGAGCAGUACUUUUCUGAGUGACACGGUGCAAAACCCUCGGAAUGAUGGGUCUUGCAUGGUGAUUACUACCUCCAGUGGUAACAUAUUACCUAGCCCUUCUGUGGUCAAAUCUGUAAGUGAUGAUGUGGUGGAGUUGGAUGAGGAAGCAGAAAAAAACCGUCUAGUGGAGUCUGACAAGCUAGAUGUGAGGAUAUUCCAUCUACCCAUUAGCAACCUGAUGAGUUAGAUAAAGAUAAGGGAAAUAAAGAGAAGCAGUGGUUAAAUUAAUGCCAAAACCACUCCCUCUAUUCCCUCAUUUAUUGAAGAAAAAUAUGGAUGAUACAAAGUUUAGCAAGUUUAUGGAAAUGCUAAAACAGUUGACUAUGAAUGUGCCGUUGGUGGAGGCACUAGAAAAAAUGCCUAGCUACGCUAAAUUCAUGAAGGACAUUUUCACAAAGAAUAGGACAGUGUACUAUGAACCGGUGGACAAUCUUCACUAUUGUAGUGCCAUUUCGACAAGAUCCUUGGUGCAAAAGAAAACGGAUCUGGGAGCAUUUACCAUCCCGUGUAAUAUUAGAUCAUUAGAGUUUGCGAAGGCCCUGUGUGAUCUUGGGGAGAGUAUUAAUCUUAUGCCACUAGCAGUUUACAAGAAAUUAGGAUUGGGAGACCCCACACCGACAAAUAUGAGGCUUGUGAUGGCAGACAGAUCAAUGAAGUGGCCCAUUGGUGUAUUAUAUAACGUGCUUAUGAAGGUGGCUAGUUUUAUUUUUCAUGAUGAUUUUGUGAUCCUAGAUUACGAGGUGUAUUUUGAGGUGCCCAUAAUCUUAGGUUGACCUUUAUUUGCAACUAGAAGUGUGUUGAUUGACUUACAGACCAAUGAGCUACAGUUUAGGCUCAAUAAAGAGAUCGUUCGAUUUGAUGCCUGCCAGUCGAUAAAGCAACACAAAGAGAUGAGUUUAUUCUCCAUUGUCGAUGUUUAUUAUGAAGAUGAGCGAGAGGUGCCGAUCGAGGAGAAAUUUGUUGUUGAAACUUUGGUUGUAGUCUUGAUGAAUUUUGAUAGUGAAGGUAUCGAAGAAUAUAAGGAGAAAAUAUGUGUGUAACGCCCCAAAAUCUCAUUCCGAGACGUCACACGAUGCUUAAGGCUACAAGUAGCCCUAAGCUAACUCUUUGAGCCUGUUACCACUUCGAACACUUACUUUAAGAUGGAUAAAGAAAAAUAAUGGCACUAUCAUAACAUAUCUCAACAGAAAUAACAAAUAAUACUGUCUGAAUAGCAACAUGCUGAAAAUUCUAAAAUACCACUGAUAGUCUGGUCUGACAAAGCCUCUACUACUCAAGAACUGGAGAGCUAUUAGGACAGAUCCCUAACUGACUUAUACAAAACUGAAAAGAAAUAACCCAACUACUAUGAAGGCUGAAAUUAGGAAAAAAUAGGUCCUCAAACCUUGAGGACUCAGCAACUAUAGAGGUGUAGAUCAAGGUACUCAGAGAUCACUGACACUGCUGAGACUGUCCACCUGAACCUACAUUAUGAGAAAAUGUAACACACAGAUGUAUAUGUGGAUUAGUACUUUGAGGAUGUACUGAGUAUAUGGGGGUGUAUGCGAUACUUAAAAUAAUAAUAUCAUCAACAUUUACAGAAAUCAUGCAUGCUAAUAUAACUGACUCACAUAGCUCGAAGAAUCUCAAAAUGCAUAUCUCGUAAAUUAUGAACACAUAGUAUAAAUAUCAUCUCAAGGAAUAUACUUUGCUUUAGAAACUGAUUACUUACUCUUACUAAUAGGUAAAACUACUUUCUUCUCGGAAAAAUUUUACUUUAAGAAACUACUCUUAAAAAUCUUGCUAUUAGGGAGGUUCUCUUAACCGACAUAAACCAUGCGAGCUACAUAGAGUCCAAUGUUCUUGUCCUCCUAAGGAAGAAACCUCACGUUGGGGAAGGUGUCAUACUCUUUCCAUGGAGUAUAACAUCAACUUAGUGAUCACUAUCUCGGCCUCAGGCCCAUAAAUCUCAAUCCUAGGGUGGCAUGUAGUUCUGGGGUAUGAAACCGUAGUAACUUACCCAACUCGGUGCUAAAUACUACUACUUUUAACUAUCUACACUCAUCUCAUGGAAAUCUAAAUUUAAUAAUCUCAUGGUUUAUAAUGAAACCAACUACAAAAUCUGUAAUCUCAUUCAGUGAAGUGGAUUUCAAAGCUACUAUGACCAUCACGGUCAAAACAUUCUCAAAAAUCUCAAAAUACUCAAAUCAUGGGUGCUUAUAGCACCAAUGUUCUUAAAAUUAUAAUCUCAAUUAAGACUUAAUGACCCAUAAUUCAAUCUAAGGUUAAUACGUAUCAAAAUUCAUACUCGAUAUAAAAAAGAUUCAUCAAUCAUAUAGAAAUCUGAAAAUUUUCAGCAAUAUGCAUUAUAAUCUCAACAUACUCAAGUACUUCAAUUUCUAAAACAUUGAAACCAUCAUAAUCUCAAGAAAUAAUAACAUAGGGUAUAAAACCAUACUUCAAUUUCAUAAGAAAACAUGUAAAACCAUAUAUCUUUGUAAUUAAAACAACUUUUGGGCACAAGGACGAAAAGAGUGUCCGUGUUCAAACCCCAUAUACCUUAAAUUAUGACUUUUAGAUGAACAAACUUGCUUGAGGCUCUUUUUUGUACUCUUGAGUGAGGGUUCUUGAAAUUUUUGACUUGGGAACCUUGAAUCUUAACUCAAUUUAUAGAAACUAUGGUAGAAUCUUAAGGUUAUUGGAGAAAGAUUUGGAUUUGCUCUUGAGGGUUAAUCUUGAGAGAAAACCCUAGUUCUUGAUGCUUUGGAUUAUUCUAAAGUUAUAUGCUUUAUUUUGAUAUAUAUAUAGGUGUUAAAAGGGGUGGAAAAAAUACCAAAAAAGCCCUUUUAAAAAUGUCUUUAAAAUAAUGAAUGGGAUCUGUGAUGGCUCGUGCGAUGGUCCAUCACUGGGUCCACGGUCCGUCGGUUCAAUCGUCGCACUUGGACCAGAAUAGCGGCUCACUGCCUUAGUAGCGACGGCUUGGGCAAUGGUCCAUCGCAAUCUCGAUGGUUCGUUGGCCUGACCGUCGCACUUGGACAGUGGAUGGGUUUACUGCCUUGGUUGAGAUGGCUUAAGCGACGGUUCGUCGCACCUGGAUGGUUCUGACAACUCUCAAUAAAAUAGCCAUAACUUCUCACUCUAAUACUGGAUUUGAAUGAAAUUUGUAUCAUUGGAAAGCUAAUUCAAUUUUCCACAUGAUAAAUAGUCAAAAUUAGGAAAACUGUAUCUGAUUUAAACACUAUCCAUUUUGGAAUUCAUUCCUAAAUCUUUUAAAAACAGAAAAGGGCUUCACUUGACAUGCUCUAAAGGUUUAGACUACGAGGGAACUUUAUGGGGUCUUAUAAUGUGUCCUGAUGGGAAUGGGAUCAUAUUCAUAUGCUACUAAGAAGUUGGAUUUGGACCUCAAAAAUUGCCCAACACCACCGGCUGAGCUAUCUAUGGAAGAGCCACCGGUGUUGGAGUUGAAGGAGUUAUCGGGCCAUCUAUGGUAUGAGUUUUUAGGUAGUGGAAACACCUUACCUAUGAUUAUUGCAGUAGAUUUGGGUGAGCAGUAGUUUGAAGCACUUAUCUCUGUGCUUAGAAGAUACCAAAGGGUUAUAGGAUGGAUGUAAUACCUUGUACUUUCCUAACAUAAUCUAAGUCCCAAUACAUGAGUAUUCAUAUAUAAAAUUUUAGAAAUUCUUAUUAAUUUUUAGUUUAGAGCUUGCCAUUGCAUAGGAAAUUCAAUUAGCUUUCCAAUGAUAUAAAAUUUGCCCAAAUUCGAUAAUCGGGUAAGAAGUUAUGACAAUUUUAAGUUUCAGACGUUAGAUCCCAUCAUUUUAGUUAUCAUCGGAUUGCGGAGCUAGUAUAAACAGCAAUUGUUAGUUUCCAGUGAGAAUCCAUGAUCAUGGCGUGAUGCGGAGUAGGCUAAUUUCUCGUUUGGCAAUUUCCAGUGGUCCUCCGCGAUGUUGGUGCAUCGUGGAGGUGGUCAAAUUGGAAUUUCAAAGGGUUGCUACGAUAGCUCCACGUCACAGUGUUUGUGCAGGUCCCAGGUGUCCCUUUUCUAGUGGCUUGGCAUGAUAGUGGUGCGUCGCACCAAGGCUAAAAAUCGGGAUCUUCAGUUUUCUUCUUUCGUUUUUAAAUUCGUUCAGGGGUAUUUAGGUCCUUUUUCAUGGCCCAAAUCAACCUAAAACACAAAAUUCAGUCCCAAUAAACCUAAUAAUCAUCCAUUAUUCAAUUUCUCUCAAAUUAAAGAUCCCCUUUUCAAGAACAAGAAACCCUAGGUCUCAAGAAUCAAGGCCAAAUCUCAAGAACUCGCCAUCAACCCUUCCAAAUUCAGUAUCCCAGGUAUGUUAGAUGUUCAUCUAUGGAUUUCUUUCAUCCAAGGAGUUCAAGUAAUCUAUUUAAAUUAUAAAAUUGUUAUCUUUUUAGGUUAAUUGAUUUAAAUUGUAAUUUCACCCAUGAAUCUCCAUGUACCAUUGAUUUUAUACCAUGAUUCAAUGAAAUUGUUAUUGUUAUCCAAUCCUCCAUGUUUUAAUAUAAUUAUUUAUUGAAUUAAACCAUGAUUUAGUACUAUUGUGUUGUUAUUGUUAUUGUUAUCCAAUCCUCCAUCUAUAAGUUCCAUGACAUUCCUAUGAUUGUUUUUAACCAUGAACUACAAGUGUUAUUAUAAAAUGGCUACAAGAGUGAUUGAUUUAAUAAAAGUCUCUAUGCUUUGUCCCUCAAGCGUAAGUGUCAUUUUACCAUUGUUGUUUUUGAGUCCUGGGGGUAUUGAAUACGCAAAAACAAUAGUUGUUUAUUUAGUCUAGUCUUUGUAAAAAGUACAUUACAGAAUAGUCCUCAGCACAUACUAUGAGUAAUAUCAGAAUAGCCAGUUAUCAGUUAGUUAAACUUAGAAAAGUCUAGUAUUUUAGUGUCUUUCAACUGGGAGUAGGAUUUAGCACUGGGCGAGUGUAGGGAUGGCGGUUUCCCCGUUAGAUAGGUAGAGUCAUUAAUAGCAGUCCCUAUACUCCAGAACUACGUAGCUAGUGUAGGAUAUGAGAAGUCACCCAUCAGAUUAGGUUUGACUAUCUCACAAGGUUCACCCGUCAGUUCAGGCUUGACACCCUUAGUCCUUUGGACAUUAUAUCAGUUUAAUGGAUCCAUACAGCCAGCGUUAGUACCCGUGGCACGGUAUUAACACCCUUCCAAUUGGGGUUAUAGGUUAGACCCCGAUUAGCUUAAAUUGGGGAAUGUCGAUUAGAUGAUACCUCCCACAAUCUCAGAUACAGUCUCAGUUAUAGUCCAUUUCAGUUAUUCAGUCUUAGUGUUGUCUAACCAACGCAUACAUAUUUUAAUUAUUUCAGUAUUUCAGUUUAUAGAUUUUACUCAGUUCAUGUUAUAUGUUUGGUCAUGCAUCCUCAGUAUCUAUAGAUUUUUACGUAUCUUCAGUAUUUAUGAAUUUUCAUGCAUACUUAAUAUUUACAGAUUUCUACAUAUUCCCAGUACCUACAAAUUUCAUACUCUCUAUUUAGUACUCCAUGCUUUACAUGCAUAUUCAGUUAAUUAUGAGUUUUGUUCAUGAAACCAUGCAUAUCAGCCUACCUCAUUUAGCAUACCAGUACAUUCAAAGUAAUGAUAGCAUACCUUUUUUUUCCCUAUGAUGUAUUAUAUCAAUGGUUCUGAUGCUCAGUUACCAGCUCAUGAUUAGACUUAUCAAAUCCUCAGCGGUAGCAGUGGUGAGUCCUCAUACUUCGAGGAUAGUCUUACUUUAUUUCAUGUCUCAGUUUAGUGAUUAGUUAGAGUUAGUUGGGGCAUUUCCCAUCAACUCAUAUUCAAUCAGGUUUAGAGGCUUUCGGAUAUGUCAAUCAGUUAUUCAGUUUAUCAGUACUUUAUCAUAUUCAGACAGUUGUUAUUCUCAGAUUCAUGAUAUAGUGUUAAAUUCAGUUAUUAAAACCUUAUGGCAUGUCAGUAUUCUUCUGCAUUUAUGAUCAUGUUAUCUAGUGCUCACAGCAGGUACCAGCUUAUGGGUUAGCUUGUGGUCCCUCGGAACUAUAAGAACCAUGUGCUGCCCACGGUGUACUCUCGGGGUGUUACAAUGGACUAUUAUCAAUAUUAUUGGUAUUUCGUUGGGCAUUUGCACUCACAAUAUUCAGCUUGAGGAAGAUUACACACCGACUAUUGAGCAUCAACGUAGGUUAAACCCACUGAUGCAAGAAGUGGUUAAAAAAAGAUUAUUAAAUGGCUUAACAUAGGGGUAGUGUACCCCAUCUCCGACAGCAAGUGGGUAAGUCCUAUACAAUGUGUGCCCAAGAAAGGGGGCAUGACUAUGGUUGCUAAUGAGUUAAUUCUACUUAGACCAGUCACUGGGUGGAAAGUUUGUAUGGACUAUCGAAGUUAAACUUAUGGACUCUUAAGGAUCAUUUCCCUAUGCCCUUCAUGGAUCAAAACUUGAUCACCUGGUAGGAAGGGGCUGGUACUACUUCCUAGAUGGGUGUUCGAGAUACAACCAGAUUCCAAUUGCUCCCGAAGACCAAAAGAAGAUAGCAUUCGCAUGCUUGUAAGGUACAUUUACAUUCAAGUAGAUGUCAUUUGGUUUAUGUAAUUCACCCGCCUCUUUUUAAUGGUGCAUGAUGUCUAUCUUCUUCGACAUGGUUAAGGACACCAUAGAGGUGUUCAUGGAUGAUUUUUCUAUGGUAGGUGAUUCUUUUGAGUUAUGCCUGGUAAACCUAAGUAGCGGAGAUACGAGAAAUUCAAUCAAGUGUUGAAUUGGGAGAAAUGUCACUUCAUGGUAAAGGAGUACAUUAUUUUUGGACACCGAAUUUCAUCUAAGGGGGUUGAGGUCGACCGGGCGAAAGUAGAGGUAAUAGAAAAAUUACCCCCUCCCAUCUCUGUGAAGGGAGUUUGUAGUUUCUUGGGAUAUGCUGGAUUCUACCACAGGUUUAUUAAGGACUUCUCUAAAAUUACAAAUCCACUAUGCAAAUUGUUGGAGAAGGAAGCUAAAUUUGUAUUUGAUGAUGAUUGUAGGAAGGCAUUUGAAUGUCUUAAGGAGAAGCUUGUGGAUGCCCCUAUUAUUGUUGCUCAAGACUGGUCUAAGCCUUUCUAAAUCAUGUGCGAUGCAUGUGGAGUAGCACUUGGGCAGUGCUUGGCCAGAAGAAAGAAAAAUUGUCCCACUCCAUUUAAUAUUGUUCCACCCCAUUUACUAUGCGAGCAACAUAUUGAAUGGGGCGCAGAAGAAUUACACUAUUACUGAGCAGGAACUUUUCGCGGUUGUCUAUGCUUUUAAGACGUUUCGUGCUUACUUGUUGGGAACCAAGGUGGUGGUUCAUACAGACUACGUUGCCUUGAUAUAUUUGAUGGAAAAGAAAGAUGUGAAAAAAGGUUAAUCAGAUAGGUGCUGCUUCUACAAGAGUUUGACUUCGAAGUCAAAGAUAGGAAGGGAUGUGAAAAUUAGGUCGCAAAUCAGCUAUCUAGACUUGAGGGAGAUCAGGAAAUCAUUGAUAAAUGCGAAAUUGAUGAUGCAUUCCUUGAUGAGUAUAUCCUUGCUGCUGUCCUUGAAAGAGUACCUUGGUACGCGGACUUUGCCAAUUAUGUGGUAAGCAAUCUUAUUCCUGAAGACUUUUUAUUUCGUCAGAAAAGGAAAUCCUCCAUGAUGCCAAAAGUUACUUUUGGGAUGAUCCAUAUUUUUUCAAAUAAUGUACCGAUAAUAUUAUCAGAAGAUGCAUCCCAGAAGUUGAUAUGCAGAAUAUUUUGGAAGCCUUCCAUGCUUCACCAUUUGGGGGUCACCAUGCAGGCGAUUGCACCGUAAGGGAAAUGCUACAGACUGGCUAUUAUUGGCUAACCAUGUUCAGGGAUGCAUAUGAAUUUGUGAAGGGAUGUGACCAGUUUCAGAGGGAAGGGUCAAUUUCGAAGCACCAUGAGAUGCCUAUGACAAAAAUGCAAGAAGUUGAAUUGUUCGACGUCUGGACUUUGGGGUAUCUAUUUCAUGGGACCCUUCGUCAGUUCCUAUGGGUUGAAAUGCAUAUUGGCUAUUGUAUAUUAUGUAUCCAAAUGGGUAAAAGCGAUGGCUCUGGAUGAUAACGAAGGGAAAAGAGUGGUAGCUUUCUCAAAAAGAACAUCUUCUCUCGUUUUAGAGUACCGCAUACUAUUAUAAGGGAUGGGGGAUCUCAUUUUUGUAACAAAGUGUUCCGAGCUGCCUUGGCUAAAUAUGGGGUGAAAUGGCAUAAAGUAGAAAUUCAUACCACCCAUAUACCAGUGGACAAGUGAGAUUUCGAAUCGGGAGAUUAAAGCCAUCCUCGCCAAAAUGGUGAACGCGAGUAGGUAAGAUUGGUCUCGAAAGCUCGAUGAUGCUUUGUGGGCAUAUCAGACUACUUUUAAGACAUCCAUUGGCAUGUCACCAUACCAGUUAGUCUAUGGCAAGGCAUGCCACUUGCCAAUUGAGUUAGAACACAAGGCAUUGUGAGCAUUUAAGAGGCUGAAUCUGAAUUAGAAUGAGGCAGCAGAGUUAUGACUGGGGCAGCUGAAUGAGAUGAAAAAAUUCCAUCUAGGGGCUUAUAAAAGAGUAGACCUCUACAAAGAAAAGAUAAAGAGAUACCACGAUCGGAGGAUUGAAAAGAGGGAUUUUCAGAAAGGUGAUUAGGUGUUUCUCUUCAACUCCAGAAUGAAACUCUUACCAGGUAAACUUAAGUCAAAGUGGUCUGGCCCGAUCAGAGUUAACCAAGUCUACCCUGCGGGAGUAUUCAAACUCAAAAAUGAAGAUGGGAGUAUAUUCAAGGUCAACUAGCAAUGAGUCAAAUUAUAUAUCAGUCCAAUAGAGUCGAUUAAGUGCUUGGGUACAGUCUAUCUCAAUGAAGUCUAAGUAAUCGAGAUGACUGAGUUGUGCUGCGACAUUAAAUCAGGCGCUAAUGGGAGGCAACCCGCAAUGUAUUUUUGUAAGCAUAGUUAGAAUUAUUUAUUUAUUUUGGUGCAAGUUAAUGUGUUUGUGAAGUGUGCAGGAGAAUGCAGAAAGACAGGAUUUGAUCUAGUUGAGAGAAGUUGAUGGGAAGGUCGACGGACCAUCAAGGUCAUGACGGACUGUCACUGAAACUGUCAAAUCCAUGGUCAAAUAAUGGACAUUCUGGAUAAGGCUUGACGGCUAAGUUGACGAACCGUCAAGACCACCGUCAACAUGAAGCUGAAAAAUAAAGUUUCUAGAUAGGACUGACGGGAAGUUCGACAGACCGUCACCUAUGUGAUAGACCAUCGACCUAACCAUCGCAACAUGGAAGGUUGAUCAUGGUUUUGGUAAGUCUUGACGGUGAAGCUGACGGACUGCCAGGUACCCGACGGUCCAUCGGUAUGUCUGUCAAAUUAACCCUAGUUUUCGGCGGGUUGGCUCGAUUAAAUUUAAUACUAAAUGAGUUAUCCUUAUCCAACCCAAAUGUCUUUAAAUUGAUAAGAGAAAGAGAUUAUGUAUGUUACCACCCUUUUGAAAUCCAAAGACCAUUUAAAUUCUCUUGCAUUCAAAGUAUAAGGAUCAUUCAUCUCCUCUUACGACUCUUUCUCUUCCCCAUUCUCUCCUAUUUAAACAACCCUGUCAUUCUCUUAUUCUCAUCAUAAAUCAAGUUAAGUCUCUCACUAAUAAAGCAAUCCAGUAGUCAUAGUAUUUAUGAAAGUCUGCAAGUUCAGAGGAGCGAAGAAUACUGUGAAAUCAAUGUAUGAUCGCAACUUUUCUAUUCUUUUUAGAAUGAUGAAUGUGAUGUGUGUAAGUUGUUAGUGCUUGAAAAGAACUUCAUCUUAUUUUCUUUUGCAUUAUUGUGCUUCUGACUAAGUUGAACUCCGGUAAAUAUUGUCUGGGUGAAGUUUGAGUAACUUAUGUACCUAAAAUGGCAAAACUUGUGUGUUAAGGUUGAUUUUGUACCAUUGUUGUGUGCACAAUUGAUUAAUGUAUGCAAGUUCGACAAAUUGCCCAAGUGAAACUCAAUGUUGAAAAAUGAAAGUGACAACCACCUUGACAGACCGUCAAACACUCGACGGACCGUCACUUUGACCGUCAGAAAGUCUUUGAAGAAACGGGUUACUCUUUCAGCCGUGACGGACAACCUGAUGGACCGUCAGAACCCUGACGGACCAACACGGUGACCAUCGCUGGGUUAUGUAAAAACGCUUUCACUGGUUAAGGCUUGACGGCCAGGGCGAUGGACCGUCACAACCCCGAUGGACCGUCAACCCACCCGUUAAGUCAACAUAACAACAAUUUUUUUCCUAAUUCUAAUCCAACUAUUUCUUGAUAUAUUGUUCAGGCAAAUAACAUGCAAGCUACCCAUAAGCAGAGGUGGUGGUAGGACUCAACAUGGAAGGGGCAGAAAUGAGCCGACAUUGAGUGAGAAGACUCUAUCUUUCAACACACUGUAAAGGGACAAGAUGAAUCAGGCACUCUCCCAGUCUGAGGAGGAGAGUGAGAGCAGUAGCAGUAGCACAAGUUAGAGCCCCAAUGAGGAAGCGGUUAAUACAUCAAACCCCGACCAAGUUGAGGCAUCAUAAAUUAAGGAUGCCAAUGUGGUCAAGAGCAAAGACCCUUAAACACGGAAAGCAAUAAGGUGGUAAAUUGAAGGAUCUCAGGAUAAGUACCUUGAUGGACUGGAACCAACAGCAACCAGGCCAAUCUCCGAAGAGCACCAAAUUAUGACGAUCGAGUUAUAUGGGUAUCCGGAUCUUAAGCGGUAAUUUAAUAAGUAUGAGUUAACGUGGAUGAGCAAACCUCUCAAGACAUACCAACCAAAUAUGGUACGGGAGUUUUUCGCCAAUUAUUUGUCACUAGCAGAGAAAGACUGUCCCAAGGGCUCAAAAAUUUCAGACUUUCCCAACAGAGAAUCAUUUCCAGUCAAAGGGGCUACCAUUGAUAUAUCGGCCUGCACACUGGACAUGAUGCUAUUUGGGCCUGACUAUGUAGCACCGCCUGCGAGUCCAAAGCUUAAGCAUCAUAUGACUACAGCAUUUACUUAAAGGCCUUGGUUGUCUAGGCUCCUCACUAAUGAUGGUAACCCAUCAUGGGCACUCAAUCCAAGAGAGCGCAUUGCUAAAUCAUCCCUCAGUUUCCGAGCUAAGUUUUGGUAGUCCAUUAUUAGACUAAGGUUGAUGCCAACGGGGGGAGAUGCUACUUUGGAUAGUAAUAGGGUAGUGUUGGUAGCUAGUCUAAUUAUCAAGCUGAAGAUUGAUUUUGGCCAAAUUAUUGCUGAUGAGAUGUUUAUUCGAGCACACAAAGUGGCAAGUUGUGUUACCAUUUUCGUGUUUGAUCACGAAAUUAUGCAGGCAAGCCAAUGUGCCUUUGAUUUGAAGAGUUGACAAUGAAGUUCAGGAAACUCACAAGCAGGAUAUUGAAAAAAUGAAGGAUGACUCAAAAUAUCAAAUGUGAGUCAACAAACCUCCUGCUUAUCAGACGCAGUCAGUUCCAGUCCCUAAUACUUCUGAGAUUCGCACAGGUAUGCCGUUACCUAUCACUACUUGUGUGCCGCUCGAUUAUGUGCCACCUAGUACUUCUGUAGGAUUAGUAUCUAUGCCACCAAUGGGUGGGACUUCAGAAACUGUAUCUAUCCCACCUUAAUAUUCGGAGUACAGGCUAACACAGGAAAAUUUUGCCAAGUCUGUUAAGCAACGAAAAAAGUUUGAGAAAUAGUUGAGCACCUGGGCAAAACAGUUCAAGCCUUUUGUUGAUAACAUCGUUGAUGAAGCCUUAUAAGAAGAUUCAAGCUAGAAUGAAUAAUAUGGAGAAACGCAUAAAUAAGAGGUUGGACGAGCAAUCAUUGCCAGAUUUUGCAAAAUUUGUGGCAGAGCUCAAGCAAGCAUAGGCUGAUAUAGCCGAGCUUAAGAGACAACUAAUGAAGCCUGCAUUUGAUCCAAUUUUGGUCGUUAUUGAUGAAGACGAGGUCCUUAUUGGCCUGAUGAGAAACCCCUUGAAAGAUAAAGGUAAACAAGUUAAUGAAAGUGUUGAUAGAAAAGCUUCAAGGAGAAGGAGACGAGAGGAUAUGACACCAGAAGAAAGAGAAUCCAGAGAUCUGAAGAAAGCCGCAAAGAGAUCGAGGAGAGAAAAAGAAAGGAGAUAAAAAAAAGUUAUAGAUGAAGCUGCAGGAGUUUCAACCAGUUAUGCCCCAGCUAGAGGGCCAAUUCCAGAUUCGGUUCCUAUUGAGAUACAUUCGAGCCAGGAGGAAGUUGAUUUGAGUACCCCUACCACUAUAGGGGUCAACGUUGCUGCAACCAAGGAUAAAGAAGCCUCACCACACUUUAUUGAUUCAUCAGCCUGAGAGGCUUUACAAGUAUUCCACUCCUUUGUACUUUAUAUAAAUGCAUUUGAGGAUAAAGCAUUUUAUUUAGUAGAGGUGGGGUACUUGUUAUGUUGUAAUCACCACGGGUUUUUUUUGCUUGUGUUCUUUUCCUUUCGUGUGCUAUCUAGUAGAACUGGAAUAUUUAGGUUGCAUAUUUAUUUUUCUUGUGAUGUACAUAUCGUUCCAUGUUUAUAAAUGUUAUUUUCUUUCCUUUUGGCACCCUUUUUGUAUAUAUGGAUGAUAAAUGAAUGUGGCAAAGUACUUUGAACAUGUUUGUAUGACUAUUUCUUUUUGUCACUUAGUAUAUGUUGAACAACCAUUUAUGAUUCUGUGAUUGGCAUUAGGAUGCAGAAAUAAAUUGAGUAUGAUUAUGUGGUGUAAAUCCCAAGAGUUGGUAGAAUAAGUGUUAACUCAUUGCCUCUGUGUGUGAGGGUUUGUUAUAGUUCUUUCAUAGGGUAUACAAUUAUAACUUGCUCCAUUCAUUGAUAUUGCCUUGUGAUUGAUUCAAUAAGAUAGGAUAGCAGGCCCCUUCGAUUAUUAGUCCACUUAGCCGUAAAGAAUAACCCUCCAAAAAGAUUUUUCCCCUUUUGAACCCUUGUUAAGCUUAUGUUAGUGUUUAUUCAUUCCCAAUAACCCUAAUUCACUCUCUUUAGGAUGUUAGCACCUAACUUUGGCCUUGGUCUAAAUUUUGAAUAUCGUGCACCUUGACUUAGUCAAAAUGCCUAAGUUGAGGGUGGAUACUGUUAGGUAAUAAUAGUCUAACUGUGAGUGGUUUAGAGUUGGAAUAAAUUUUUGCAUCUGGCGCUGAUCUAGUUAGAUAUUGUGCACUUCAACUAACUGUAUUAGCAUAAGUUGGGGGUGGCUGAUGCAGACUCUCUAAAAAAUUCUGGGUUUAUGGUGAAAUCGUGGAUGAAUAAUGUGGAUUGUAAGUGAACUAGAAAAAUAUUAGUCUUGGUGAGUAGAAAUCAAGGGCAAAGAGAGUGAAGUUCAAACUUAAAGUCACUUUUCCCAAAAUUGAUCCUUACCUAACACCGAAACCUCAUUACAAACCAUAAAAAGACCUUCUUGAUCUUUGCGAAUCAGCCAUAGGGGAACAUUAGAUGAUAAAGGCAAGCUUAUAUGUAUGUAUGCUGUGUUUUCAACUUUCUUGAUGAGUGUGAGAGUCUUGAUUUUCAUCCACAAGUUAAAUAAAUGAUGUGUGGUAGACUUCUUUAACUAUGAGGACAACUUGAGUUAUGCUUAGUUUUGCUGAUUUCUGUGGGAUAUUAUAUCCAUGUUUGUGUAUGUGUUGAAUUCUAAAUAAUGUCAGUUGUAGAUCCUGAUGUGUUAAGAUCGUAUGAGUGAGAUAACAGUUGAGUGGUUGUGUGAAAUCUAGUUCAACGAUUGAAUGCCCAUUAUUGUGUUGCUCAUGUAUGUGAUUUGGUGUUGAGUUGCUUAAGGAUAAGCAAUUGUCUUAAGUUGAGGGUGUUGAUGUUACGGCUUUUGACGGAAUAUUUUACAUCUUUUUCAAGGGAUAAUUGUACGUUUUCAAGCAACUAUUUUUGUAUUUGAUACUGUAUUUUAGUAUUUUCAGGUCAAGGACUUAACUGAAGAAGUAACUUGGAAAAACAGCAAAAAAAACACUGAUAGUCAAACUGAUGGACCGUCAGCCAUGUGACAGACCGUCAGAGUGACCAUCAAGGCUAAGCAGAAUGGAAAAAGUAAUUGAACCGAGUGACGGACCAUCGUACCUCUGAUGGACCGUUAACUUGGCCGUUAGGCCGAGAUAGAAAGUGCAUCCUCGAGUGAUCAAGCGACGGUCCAAGUGACGGACCGUCAGAAAACGACGGGCCAUCAACAUAGCCGUCACCCCUUAAGCAGAAUGAGGAAACUUGGGACUAUCAGUCCAAGUGACGGACCGUCAAACUACUGAUGGGUCGUCAACCUAACCGUUAACUUCGAUGCGACAUUACUGAGUUCAAAUUUCAAGUCCCCAGUACCUGGGAGCAUAUAAAUACCCAGUCUAGGUUUAGAUUAGGGAUCUUUCAUUCAUCUUUUAUUCACUUUUCAGCUUUUGAACAUCUUGUAACUCAUUAUUCUCUGAGAAAGAACUGAAAUAGUAGAUCUAAACAUUUUUCUACUAUUCUUCUUAGAAGAUCAAGGAGAACAAUUGUGGGAAUUUUUGCAAGUGAUUCUUUGAAUUAAUUUAUGAACAAAACAAAAAAAAAUUCUUCUUUGGAGAUGUGUGGCUAAAAUUCUCAUAAAUAGGGUUAUGGGAGCCUUAAUGUGAUUAGUUAUUUAGGGUUGUGGGAUUGUAUGAAUUCAGUAACAAAUUACAAUUGCAUAAACUCUUAUUCAUUAUAAUGAUCUUUCUUGAUUAUAAGAACACCACUUAUUUGAGUAGAACUGUGUGUGUUGGGAAAAGAAGAGAUUUACAAGGAUCUCAAAGACUUUAACCUUUGGGUUAAGGAUUGAUGCCUUAACAGGAUUAACCCACUUGAGAAAUCAAUGGAACAUGUUAAUUAUACUCUCUAAGUUUGAGAGAAUUAAAGAGUAGUCAUCUAUUAAGGUUGAGAAACAAAUAGAUGAAUUCAAGAGAAUCCAUAACCUUGACUGCUAUGACAUCUUGGUGAACAUAAUCCUAGUUUUGUUAUUCUCAUUGAAUUAAAACUUUACAAGCAUACUUACUAGUUGAAACCCGAUCUACUACAAUCUUAUUUCACUAUUAUCAAACAAACCCCCUUUUUACCUCGAAACCUUUGAUUAACCGUCCAUUAAUAAUCAUAACACUUAACUUACAUAGUAUUCCCUGUGGGAUUCGACCCCAAUCUAGUUGGGUUCUAUAUUUAAAGACGACUACUUAUGCUUUCUAACGAGAGUUGUAUUUUGGGCGCAUCAAUUACCUCCUGGAUUAUCAGUAGAAGAUCGCACAUUAGUAUGCAAACUAAACAAGUCAUUAUAAAGAAUGAAACAGGCUAGUAGGCAAUGGUAUCCCAAACUAACCCAAGCCUUAUAUUCUAUAGGUUACAUACAUUCAAUGCAUGAUUAUUCUUUAUUUCACAAGAAAACAAGUGACUCGACAGUUUAUCUAGCUAUGUAUGUAGAUGAUAUUCUCCUAACAGAAAUAGACCUCGAAGAGAUUAAAGAUUUGAGGCAGUUUCUCCACCAGACCUUAAGGAUCAAAGACCUAAGCAAAUUGUACUAUUUUUUGGGGAUGGAGGUAACAUAUACAGAUGAUGGCUUAAUCAUAUCACAAAGGAAGUUUUUUGAUAUUUUAAAGGAACAUGGUUGUCUUGACAAACCUAGUACUUCAUCUCCAUUGGGUCCUUCAAUAAAGUUGAGAGCAAAAGAGGGUGUUAACAAGACCCCACUACUUAAAGGAAAUUGGUUGGAAAAUUUAAAUUUUCUCACCAAUACCAGGAUUGACAUUACGUAUAGUGUUCAACACUUGAGCCAAUUCAUUCAAGAUCCUAGAAAACUAUAUCCAAAGGCAGUUUUUCAUCCCCUUCAGUACCUCAAGGGUGACCCUACACUAGGCAUCUUCAUGUCUAAACAAUCCAAAUUGAUGUCAAAGUAUAUUGUGAUUCAGAUUGGGCCACCUGUACAGACUCAAGGAAAUCAGUUACUAAUUACCUUGUCUUAUUAGGAAGCAGUCCUAUCAGCUGGGAAUUAAAGAAACAGGAAACUAUUUCCUUGUCCUCUGCAGAAACUAAGUACAGGGCCCUCAAAAAAAUGGUAGGUGAAUUGGUAUGGUUGAGAAGGUUAUUUGAAGAACUUACAGUACCAUGUCUGAUCCCAUUUGAUGUGUAUUGUGACAGCCAAUCCGCACUUCACAUAGCAAGGAACCCUGUGUUUCAUGAGAGGACCAAACACAUUGAGGUUGACUGUCAUUUUGUGAGGGAAUAGUUAACUAAGGGACUUGUUACUCUGCAUCACAUCUCCACAGAUUAUCAAUUAGCAGAUGUACUAAAUAAAGCCUUAACUGGUGUUAAUCACAUUAUCAAUUAGCAGAUGUACUAAAUAAAGCCUUAACUGGUGUUAAUCACUCUACUACUCUUGGCAAGUUGGUUGUGUUUUCCACACCUCCAACUUAAGGAGGGAUGAGAUUAGAAAGAUUAAUUAUUUGUAUUUUUGGUCCACCGUUAGUGGAGUUAGUUAGUUAGUUAGUUACUUAUGUGCCAGCUAGUGUAUAGCUAAACAGUCACAGUCGGUGAUAUUUUUGUUUUCUUUCAUUUUAUUCAUCUAUACGUACUGGCCAUUCACACUGAAAUACAUUUGAGUGUUUUUAGUCUCUCUAUCUUAAUUUCUAGAAUAUUCUUCUCAUUUGCUCCUCUGUAAGCUCUUCAACUAUGUCUUCCAUUUAACUCCUUUGUUGAGUUUGAGAAUCAUAAACUGUAAUCUCAAUAUUCAAAAAUUACUGUGUUAUUCCUGCAAAAUGGGAGUAAGCAAGAUUACAUCCGCAUAUGAACAGUCAUUUUUCACUUACACACUCUCCCUUCAUAGAACCUUGACAAGGGAGGGAAGAAAAAAGGCAGAGUGAAUCAAACAGUGUGAACACUUCAAUUUGCCUCUACUUAUUAAAAUUGGAGUGUUAAUGCGUUAUUAAUUUAUCAUGGUCUACUGACAUAUGUUUCCACCUUUAGGUUGUUCUACUUCAAUUUGAAGUCAUCUAUAAAAACUAUAAUUCUAUUUGGAGCAUGAACUAUUGCUUCAUGAAGGGACAAUGAAUGAUUAUAACAUAGAAAAUUAUAAUAUAAGAUAAAAGAGAAACCUGGGGAACCAGUGUAGUCCAAUCAACAAAACCAUUUUUUUCUUGCAAUUUCUUCUUCAGAGGCAAGAAGAAGAAUUCCAAAACGUCUUUCAACGAAUAUUUUGCAGCACAGUCUUAACUGUUUCACAGCUCGAUUCAGAUGUAGUACUUUCAGCAGUAAACCCUCCGUGAUUCGAUUCGAUGAAAGAAGUACGAAGUAGUAGUUACACAUUAACUUAUUUGUGGUCGGUAGUUGGCGGUUGGUCAAAGUUAAUUGGGGUUCUUUUGUAAAAUUUUUAAAAACUAGGGUCAUAUACAAUAAUAAUAAAAGUUAAAAUUAGAAUGGGAGAAAAGCUAAAAUAAUGUAAAACUUGUUUUCACUUUUUCAAGAAAUAAGUUGAAAUUUUGAUGGCUAAUACCACAAAUUUUAUAAAGUGAAAAAUUAUUUCCAAAAAAGUAAAAAAAUUUUAUGGCCAAACAACCUCUUGUACCAAUUAGAAGUAACCACCUGUUUAUAGUUCUAUUUGGAAAGUCACCACACCCUAGUUAUUACACACAGUAUAGUAAUUACAUGAUCUAUUUAUUUAUCAAUUAUAGUGUAAUUUUAUAUGUACUGUUUGAUUGCACAAGUGUACUUAGUUAGACUACAUUAUAAAAAUAAAAUGUAAUUAUCAAAAUUAAAAAUUAAUUUGAUCAAUAAUUUAUCUUUUUAAAUGAUGUUAAAUUAAGUAUUUAAGAUACUUAUUGUAUCUUUAAAAUAAAUAAAUUAACAAAUAUAUCUUUUUAACUAAUAUUAUAAAAAUAAUUGAUAUAUAUUUUUGAAAUUAAUAAAAUUUUAAUGUAUUCAAUAGUAAAAUUAAAAUUAUAAAUUUUUUAAGAACAUUUUGGAAUGCAUGUUUACAAAAUAAUUAAUAUUAUAAAUAUAAUACCAUUCACUUAUUCAAAUGUUUGACAAAUACAGUAAUUAUCAAUUCUAAAAUGGAUGGAAUGCAAUGUGAAAUAACAAGUCAAGCUAUUAACAAAUAGACUGGGAUUGAAAUAUAACAUAAAGAUUAAAAAAAGAAGCUCACAUUAUAUUUUAUGUCAAAUUUCAGUAUAACAUAAGUUCCAACAUUAAUAAGAUCAAAAUAAAAAUAACAAAAGAAAAAAUUAAAAAAUAACUUUGUAAUUAUACCUAAUUACCAGCAAUUCUCAUUUCCUCGUGAGAAUUUAAGAGUGUAAUUACCUCCAUUCAAUUACACUGAAUUCCUGUUAAUCAAAUAAUUUUUUGGCCAAAUGAAUAGAUUAACUAUAUAAUGACACCAAUUACAUUCAAAUCCAAACUUUAAAAUUGCACCAAUAAUAUUCAAAUUUAAUUCUCAUGUGACUUUCCAAAGCCUUCAAGGGAAUUUAGUUAAACCCCUUUCCACGUACAUAAAUUUGGCAAUUCAUAGUUAUGGUAAUGGUCCAUAGGGAGAAAUCAUGUCAUUUGUUGGGACUUGAUUUGCAUUUUGUAUAUUUAUGGAGACCGUUGAGAACAAUCAAUAAUUUGAAUUGCUGACAUGCUUAAAAUUUUCUAUACGAGGGAAUUACAACUUGAAAGUAAUUUUGUGCAUUACAUAUGUUAUAUUAAUAAUUUAAAUUUAAUAAAAUAUUUCCUUUUAGUCGUGUCGGUAAGAAAAUAUUAAUUUAUAAAUUAUAAUUAAAAAAUGAAUAAAUAAAUAUUUGAAUGCGUAUAUAACUCGAUCUUUACGGAAAUUUAUUUUCAUCGGUCCAACAAUAUGAUUCUUAGGUUAUUUUUUUUUUUCCACCAAGAUAUAAUAGCACUAAUGUCACUCAGAUAAUUUCGAACCAGUUGAAAAGUUCAAAAACUAGACUACAAAAAACAUCUUUCUUCAUCAUAUGAUAAAAUUACUCUCUUUUAUAUAUAGUGAUUAAGUUGGAAACUUAAAAUAUUUUUCUUUAAUUUGUCUCAUCUCCAGAUUUCCUCAGGCCAGAUCUACAUAUAUUUUCGAGGUGCUUCGGCAUCCAGUAAACUUGAUGCAAAAUAGGUAUAAUUAUAUUAAAAAUAUAUAAAAAUAAGUAUAAAACAUAUAAAAGCACCCACUAAACAAAAGUUGGAUGGGUGCACUGACAUUUAAGUUUAUUUUAAACUUCUCCAUUGAAGGAAUGUCUUGGGUUCAAACCUUGUUGAGGUGAUUUUUUUUUUUUUCAGCUUUUUAAUUUUUUAAAAACCCACGAUCCUAAAUCCGCCACUGAAUUUCCUUUCACCACUCCAACCUCAAAAUAUACGAAAAAGGUUGAAAGUGAAGGCAUCCACAGCACUAUAUAUAGGAGACACAUGCACCAAAAAUGUUAAAGAAAAUUUUUAGCAUUUGCUUUGUUUAUUCAUACAACAAAAAUGGCUAAUGAUGGGGUGAUUCUGUUGGAUUUCAGGCCUAGCAUGUUUGGUAUGAGGCUAAGGGUUGCACUUGCUGAAAAAGAGGUAAAAUAUGAGUACAAAGAAGAGGAUUUGUGGAACAAAAGCCCUUUGCUUUUGCAGAUGAAUCCUGUCCACAAGAAAGUUCCGGUUUUGAUUCACAAUGGAAAGUCCAUAUGUGAGUCACUUAUUGGAGUUGAGUACAUUGAUGAAGUGUGGAAGGACAAAGCCCCUUUGCUUCCUUGUGAUCCUUAUGAAAGAGCACAAGCUAGGUUCUGGGCUGACUACAUUGAUAAAAAGGUAAAUUCAUUCCCUUUCUCUUCUCUUUUCUAGGAACUAUUACGACUCCUUAGCCAAUUUGAAUUAAUUUGGAAUUAAAACAUUCUUGUUUGGUGUUGUAUUUUUGUAGUGAAAUGUUGUUUUUUAAUGGUUUUGGUCAAUAGUGACAUGAUAAUGUUGUUACAGUUGUGCUCAUUUUGAUUUUAUGUAAUUCCCAAUGUUCUUUGCGCUCAAGAUAUUCAGUCCUUGUGGGGUGUUAGAGCUUCACAAGAAAUGGAAUAUUGUUUUGACUCUCCAUGUUUAAGUCCUAGUUAAUCGUCACUUCAUAAGCUAGACUUACUUUGUUUUUUAGAAAAAGGACUUUAGACCUAAACUCAAUCUCAAGAGCUAGCUCAUGAGAUGAUGAUCGCCGCAUGUCGUGUAUAAAAGCCAAUAUCCUGUCCCUACAUCUCUAGGGGAACUCAGCACCCCUCACACACUCGUGUCUGGAUAUCUGGAGCUACAAUAUAAAAUGGUAGGAGUCUAGGAUCAGGUAAGUGGGAUGAGUUUGACUUAGUUACUAUGUUAUAAAAUAGAUCCAAGGCCUACCCAACUCCACAUACAAGAAGAUUUUCUUAAACCAUAUAUAUAAACCAAUUUCCCAUCCACACUGAAGAAUUAAACUCAAACACAUAGUUUGCAGGAUCAUUGUUCAAAUUUAUUUCACUAGUUUAAUAGCGUAACACAUGUAUAGAAACACGAGCUACGUACAAGGAAAAACUACAGUCUAUUAAUCGUUUCUUGUUAUAGAGUUGUUCCAAUACUUUUUGGAGAAGCAAUCUUCACUAGAAUCAUGCAACAGCAAUUGCUGAAGGGAGAAGGAGAAAUUUCGUCUGUUCAUUUGUUCUAUGGGAAGAACACAUAAGUUCUCUCCCUUUAUUAAUGGCGACAUUCUUAAGGAUUGUGUCCUUUCAUUAUUAAAUUUAAAUUAAAUAUAUAACAAAUAUAUACAUAUUAUUUAUUAAGUAUUUAUUAUUUACAUGAAUGCGAGUAGAUCCACGUGGAUGACCCGAUCCGAUUUCCUUCAUACAUUAAUGUGGGAACUCAAAAAGAGUUCCUCGGGGUCCAAUAUCCAUUUUUAACAUGAACUAAUUAGCCUUUUUUUCCUACUCUUUGUGGCAUUUCAGAUGUAUGGUCUUGGAAAGAAGAUAUGGUUAACAAAAGGAGAAAAGCAAGAGGCAAUUAAGAAAGAUUUCAUAGAAUGCCUUAAGGUUCUGGAGGGAGCCCUAGGUGACAAGCCUUAUUUUGGUUUUGUGGAUAUUUCUUUGAUUGGGUAUGACUGCUGGUUUUAUACAUAUGAGACUUAUGGUAACUUCAGCAUAGAAGCUGAGUGCCCAAAAUUUGUGGCAUGGGCCAAGAGGUGCAUGCAGAGGGACAGUGUGGCCAAAUCUUUGCCUGACCAAUACAAGGUGCUAAAAAAGAAGUUUGGAAUUGAAUAAACAGAUGAAUAUGCGGGGAAGUUUUGUAGCGCACUCAAUUGAUUGAGUAUUUGAACUCUCAUCAUCUUAUUGAUGAGGACUCUAUUUUCCACUCCAUAAUUCUCUUAAAAACAUAUAUAUAAAAACAUGAAAAAAAUAAAAUAUGCGUAUGCAGUUUAUGCAUCAUAAUAAUGUAUUAAAAAAAAGCACUUCAUUGUGCCUUCUUGAGUUGCAGUUUUCUAUUUAAAAAAGUUUGUUUUGGUCAUUGUCAUGUAAGUCAAUUUUACUUUUACUUUUAACUAACUUAGUUUUACGUAUCUUGCGCGUGUACCUUACUUUAAUAAGUUCAAAUAUUACAUUAAAUAGAAUAUUUUUUUAAAUAAUAAAGAUAAAUAUAAUAAUUAAAUUUAAUAUCUUUUGAGUAUGUAAACAUGAAGAAUUUAUUUACUAAACCUAGUUUUUAUCAAAAAUAUUUUUAAAAAUCGAUCGACAUUUAUCUAUCAUCUGUAAUUUGUAACAAAAUAAUACAAUGAUAGAGACAUCAAAAUAAUACAAUUAAAACAAAUCUGUACACACAAAAAAAUUUUCAAAGUUGUCUGACACCCAUCUAUCACCCGUAAACAAUAACAAAAUAAUACAAUAAUCGUGAUAUCAAAAUAAUACAACUAAACCUAAUAUUUACAUUAAAAAAUUCCUCAAAGCCGACCAACAUUUAUCUAUCACAUGUAAACUGCAACAAAAUAAUACGAUAAAAGUGAUAUCAAAAUAAUACAAUUAAUCUUAAAUUUUACACACAAAAAAUUCUCAAAGCCGAGAUUCAUCUAUGAACUGUAAACUACCACAAAAUAACAAACGAAUAGAGAUACCAUGAUAAUACAAUUAAACCUAAUAUUUACCUAAAAAAAAUUCAAAGUAGACCCACAUUCAUCUGGCAUUUGUAAAUUAAAAUAAAACAAUAAGAUAAUAAAGAUAUCAAAACAAUACAAUUAAAUCUAACUUUUACACAAUAAAUUCUUCAAAGUCAACCGACAUUCAUCUACGACCUGUAAACUAUAAAAAUAAAUAUUAUAGUGAUCACAAAGCUUUGAUUUUGAUCCAACUAAUUCUUGCCUGAGCAAAAAUUUUGACCUUAAAGAAUGAUUUUGAAUGAAAACAAAGAAGAUAUAUCUAUAUAUACACACACAUGUUGAAUUCUAUUAUGCUGACAAAAACAGUGAAGAAGUUGAGGAUUAAUUAGAAAAUCAAGCAUCCAUCAAUCUAGAUAUCCAAUCGAAUCAAGUUAGAUAAGCAUCAAUCAUAUUCUCCCAAUAGACAAAUCGGUUUGUUCUCUAGUUUAACAUAUAUCUCAAUAUUUAUAGAAGUAUUGUCUUCUAUUUUAGGAGCAUUUUUCUAAUUGAUCAGUAGAAAGAAAAAUAUUAAUUAAGUCUCCUACCAUAUAUUGUAGGAGUCUCAUAUAUUUUAGGAAAUUUAGUAGAAAGAAAAAUUAAUUAAUUUUUCUACCAUAUAUUUUAAGAGUUUCAUAUAUUUUAAAAAAUCUAAUUAAUAUAAUAAAAAAUAAUUAAAUAAUAAAUUAAAAAAUUGUGAAAAGACAGUUUUAUCUAAAUAAGAAGUUUUUAAUGAAAAACAAAAAGUUCAAUCAUUUUUGUAAGAUAUUCAUACUUUUAAUAUAUUUAUUUUAUAGAUUAUAGAUAUAGAUAAGAGACUCUUACCUUAUGUCUUGUUCAAUGAUUGUGGGGCUUCUCUUUUUUGUUUUUUGUAAUAAUAAGUGAUUUAAGUUUUAUUUUGUAACUAUCAUCAACCACAAAGUUAGAUCUCAAUUACAAAGAAAUGUGAUCAAUUAUAUGAUUCUAUUUUAUGCCAUUAGGAACAUAAAUCGAUGAGAGUUCUAUUAAUUUACUAUUUCUCGAUUCUCGUUUGUUCUAUUUUUUUAUUUGUUUUAAAGAGCACGAUUAAUCUCGCCUUUUGUCUUAGUUAAAUCUGCAACUGAUCUUUUGAUAAACUAAAUAGUAAUUUUUGGAAAAAUUCGUUUGCCCACAAAAAUUUAGCCUAGUCAUAAUAACAAAAAUGUCAUGUUGACAUUAUAAAUCAGAUUUUUUUUUUACACUUUUAUCCUUCUAUUCAAAUUUAAAAUAUUCUCUUAAUUUAUUUUUUAUUUUUGGCUAAAGCCAUAGACAGGCCCUCAAAUUUGUUUUGAAAAUUUACUUAGACCCCUCAACUAAGACCUGUACCUAUCAGGUUCCUAAUCCACCCAAAUUUUGAUCCAAGUAGGUACAUAGAGAGUGUAUUACACUCGCGUGGCACAAACGACGAAUAAAAUAAUGACACUUGGCACUGAAUUCAAAAUUAAUUAAAAAAUAUUCCAUAACUAAUUAAAUUAUAGUUAAAAAAUUAUAAAAAAAAUUUAAAUAAACCCCCUCCCCUACCCCGCCUCUGUGCCCCCUCCUCUUCUUUACAAUUUUGUUGAAUUAAAUUUAUAAUUUUGUAAAUUGAAUUAAAUUUACAUUUUUGUUGAUUUGUGGAAAAAAAUGAAUUUACAUUGUUCCGACAAAAUUUCGUUUUUUCUAGCAAAGUUUUAUUUUUUCCGAUAAAGUUUCUUUUUUUCUAGCAAACUAAUCGCGGAAAAAAUUAAGAACAAGAUCGAACUAAAAAUAAAAAAAUUCAAAUCGAAUUCAUAGAUAAAUUCAAAACUAAGAACAAAAAAGGAGAAAAAGUAGAAAAAAUGGAAGGUAAAUUGGUAAAGUUUCAUUUUUUCCAGCAAAGUUCUAUUUUUCCGCCAAACUAAUGGCCAAAAAAAAAUUAAGAAUAAGAUCAAACUAAGAAUAAAAAAAAUUUAAAUUGAAUUCAAAGAUAAAUUCAAAACUAAGAACAAAAAAAGAGGAAAAGUAGAAAAAAUGAAAGGUAAAUUAAGUUUAAGAAAAAAAAUGAGGAAGAAGAGUGGGAAAGAAGAUGAAGAGGAGGUGGGGGGUAUCGGAUUGGGUGGGUGGGGGAGCCUUUUUUUAAAAAAGUUUAUUUUAUUAAAAAAAAAUUGUGGCCCUCAGUGCCACUUGGAGCGAUUUCAUUGGAUAAUUAUUCAAAAAAACGUGCCUCACGCGCCCCUAGUGAGUGGACAACACGCGGAGUGCCACAUAAGCAAAAAAGGCCUGAUUGAAUCAAAUUCGGGUGGGUUAGGGGCCUGAUAGCUAUAAGUCUUAGUUGAGGGGUCUAAGUGAAUUUUCAAAACAAGUUUGAGGGUCUGUGUCGACAGGCAGAUCCAGAAUUCUGAGGUACCGGGUGCCAUACCGUCCAAGUAGGAUUUGCGGGUCGAUUCUUUUAAUUUUAGGUUACAAUUUGGGUUAUUUAUUAUUAUUUUUAUUUUAUACGCAAAUCGAUCAAAUACGUCUAGUGAGUUAUAUUCUUUUUUUUUAGAUAUUUUGAGAUCAAAAACUCCUAAGUAGUUUAAUUUUUUUUUCUGAUAUAAGAGGUCUUAUUCUUCAAAACUUUGAGAGAGAAAAAGAUAUUUUUCAUGUUAAAAAUUUAAAUUUAUACAAACUAUAUGAUACAGUUAUCUUAAUAUAUUCAUAUUUCAUUACCUUUAUAUGUUGAGAGUGUUGUUGCAGAUAUAUAAUUUGAAAGAACUAAAACUUAUAGCUUCAACUUAAUCAUCUUCACUUAGUUCACACGAUCGAAAACUUAUAAUUUUAUAGACGAACUUUUUUAAAAAAUUUAAUAUGUUCCUAGUAAUAUUUAUGUGACGUUUAAGAUUUAAUACUCAUUAAUUUACACAAAUACACAUAAAAUACUAGUAUCAAGAGAUUAAACAAGAGAAAGUUUUAGAAAAGCAGGAAUUAAUUAAAGAAAAACAACCCAUUUAAAUUAAUAAAAAAUAGCAAGUAAAUGAAAUUAAUGAAAAAACCUAAAAAGAGGAAUAAAAAGACAACUAAACCCUUGACACACAUCUAACGAAAGACACAAAAACAAAGUGGGGGUGGCUAAAGUGUUGAGCAGCUUCCCGUUGUGCAAGCAAGGGAAGGAGGAAAAAAUUACAAUGCUCAUAUUGACAAGGAUUCAAUCCCUGGUCUACAGGGUGGUACUCUCUUCCUAUUGCUGGUGGCACUAACUAUCACUUUGUACAUGGGGUGGCAAGUAUAUUAUAUAAUCAAUUCUUCUGCAUUAUAUGCAUAUAUAUAUAUAUANNNNNNNNNNNNNNNNNNNNAUAUAUAUAUAGUGUCUCAAUUGAGGUCUGCGGGUGCCGUGCUACCCCCACGAGUACACAUAGAUCCGGCCCUGCUUGUGGAUGGGUUUAGAGCCUUUAUUUUUCAAUACAUGAAAACUUUCAACUUCUUGGAUUCCCGCGAUUUCAAAUUCUUAUAAACACAUUUCUACUUCCAAUUAGCAAAUACGAGUAGGCAAUUCCCAUAACACAUUUCUAUUCCAAGGAGUAGCAUUCCUAUUAAAUGGCAAGCAUAUAUAUAGAAUUACAAUUUUUUUUUUUUAAAUCUCUAUAAGUACACAAACAUAUAGAGAGAGAUUUUCUUCUUAAUUUUUCAUUGUCAUAUUGUAAUUCCAUAAUUCUCAAAUUCCUAUCAAUGCGUCCCUAUUCCAAUUUUUUUCUUAAGAAUACUACUAAAUGGUCAAAUAUGUAUAAAAUCAUUUUUGGUUAUUCUCCCUUUGUACACAAAUACGUAUUGUAGUUCAUACGUGUUCAUAUGUGUCGGCCCUAACUAACAACAACACAAUGAAGUUAUACAUUAAUGUUGUAGUUGAAAGUCAUUAUGUUAAGCUGAUUUGAUAACUUGUGAAUAAUUACUAAUAAACCUCUAAUUAAGUAAUUUUAUUAAUUAUUGUAUUUAAAUAAAUCUAAACUACAUAUUUUAAAAAAAAUUAAAUAUAAUUAAAAUAAACAUUUCGAUAACGGUAGUCAAAACUCAAAAUCCUUUAGACAUGGUAUGAGUUGACACAUUAUAAAAAUCAUAUAGUCCAUAAGUGUCGGCCCUAGGUAACUACAACACAAUAGAGUUGUGCAUUAAUGUUGCAGUUUCAUGUCUCUAUUUUAUGUCGUUUGAUUGCUAGCGAAUCAUUAUUUAUAUUUGUUUUAAAUAUGACCUUUAAAUUACACAUUUAAAUAUUUUUUAAAUGCAAUUUUGAAUUUCAAUAACAAUAGUCAAAAUUUAAAAUAGUUUAGACAUAGUAAACAAUGACACAUUUGUAGUAACCAUAAAAAUCAUAUAGUUUAUGUGAAUGACUAUAGUUAACAAUAAUCCAAAAGAGCAACACUUUAAUAUUGUAGUCUUGCACUCAUAUAUCACAUCAAUUUAUAAUUUGUGAAUGGUUAAUUAUAUUUAUCUAUUAAUAUGACCUCUAACUACGGAAUUAUUAAAUAUUAUGUUUAAAUAAUUCAAAUUAUAUAUUUAAAUACUUGUUUAAUUAUAAUUUUUAAAAUUAGUGUAACAAAGAUUAAUAAUAUUGUAUUAUUACUUGGGUCUCAAAUUUAUUCUCAUAUGUUUUGUUUAUAAGGAGUUAAAUUGUGUGAAAUGUGAAUGUUGAUGAACAAUUUCAAUUAUAUUUGUUUGUCAAAUUAAUAUCAGAAAAGUCACAAUUUGUAAUUUUUUUUGUAUAAUUUUUAAAAAUUUAAUUAUAAAAUUAUAAGUUGAUCUAAUUAAUUUAAGUUCAAAAACUAAUUCAAUUAAUCUAUAAUGUAUUAAAAGUGUGAAGUCCCUUAGAAAAGUGAUUUGAACUUUUUGCCCUUAAUUAAAUGACUCCGUAAUAUAUAGGCAAAAUCGUUUUUUCACAUUUUUUCUUCAAUUUUUAAUAUUGAAUAUUGACUAUAAUCUAUAAUCUAUAUCUAUAAUAUAUUAAAAGUGUGAAGACCCUUAGAAAAGUGAUUUGAACUUUUUGCCCUCCAUUAAAAGAGUUCGUAAUAGACAAAAUUAUCUUUUAUUAUUUUUUAAAAUUAUUAUUUAAUUUUAUUGAGUGUCACACUCUUUUUUUUUCAAACGAUUGAUUUUAAGUUUCGGAAGGGUUUUUAUCAUUAAAAUGACAAAAGAUGAAAAUUUAUUUCAAAAAGGACUAUUUACAUUUUUUAUUCAGAGUCACCACUUGACAUAAUCCGGUGUGUCAAGUCACCUUUGGAAACCCUUUUCAAAACUGUUUGAUUCUUUAAAACAGAUUUGCGAACAGAGAUUCCGACUAAGGAAUUCUGUUUACCGAAGGGAAGGUGUUAGGUACCCCUUGAUCCCGUGGUUCAACCACGGUCGCUUGGUGGAGCGUAUCGGCUAAUUUGACACUACGAAUAUAUGAACCACACAAAAACACAUAAAAUAAUUAAUCAAACACACAAAAUAAAAUAAAUCCAAAAUAUAGUGUACAGUCCGAGUUAUACAGUCCCGAAAAAUUAAAAAUACAGAAAUGUAAAUCCUACUCUAAACUAACCCUAAACUAUGCUCCAAUGCUUUACCCGAUGCCUAAGGUCUUCAUCACGAACCUCCUUUGCAUACAUGAUAGUCGGGGAAUUCCCCGAAUGAAUCAAUACAAAUCUCUCGGGGCAUUCCCCGGCCAAAUGAAUACAUUUUAAUACAAUAAAAAUGGGAAAAUCACUUAGCACAAAUAUUUACACAUUCAAGGAUUAAAAUCCUACAAGUUGCCUACCCCGAAACCUAGAAUUUGCCUAUCGAAUUAACGGCCUAAUCAUGAUACUAUCGUGUUCGACAAUAUUCAUACUUAAACCAAAAUCAAUGAAUCUUAAUCAAUCCAAAUUCAGUCUUUUUUUAUCAAUUUCUUAAUUCCGUCCAAACAACCAAUUUCAAUUCUCAAUCGAGAUACCAUUUCACCAAACCAUAAUCAAGAAAAACCAACCACGAAUCAAAAUAAACAUGCAUUCAUCACCAAUAAGGAUCAAACAACACACAAUGUUGAAUUUAAUGCAUCGGGUAUCAUCAACAAUGAAACAAAAAGAAUGAGAAAGUAGAAUCAGACCUCAAUUGAAGCAUUAUUAGGCCAAAUUAUGUGACCAAAAAUCGAGACCGCAUCCGAAAACCUCUACUUGAACCUCAACAAUGAAUCUGCGACUCGAGUCUCCAAUCCGAUGAACCCAAAAUUCUGAUUACGCUAAGAACGAUCUCAAACGAAUCCUAAUUUGUUUGUUUUCUGACGGAUCUGUGAAACUUCAAAUGAGUUUUCACAGAAAACCAUCGGAUUUGGACGGCGACUGGCGAUGUUCCCCAGUGAGAAAUUGCCAAAAAAUAGUCAGUGAAUAUCUAUUUCUGCCUCUCUCCUUUAAUUUCACAAUCUCCUCUCUGAUCUCUCUCUCGCGUGGAUCUCUCGAUCUCUCCCUCUUCAUUGUUUCUACUUGCUAUCCGUCCUCAUCUCUUUCUCGAACUCUACUAUGCGUGUGUGCGAUAGUGAGAGGGUGGUGAUUGUAUUUGGUGAGGAUUAGUGAUUCCUCCUUUUUUGGAAAUGGAAGUAAAUGUGUAUGUGUAUUUUUUGUGAGAGUGAGAGUUGGUGAGGAGUGUGUGAUUCUCCUGGUGGAGAAGAUAAUUUCUAUGUGUAUGUGUUUUUGGGUGUUGAAAAAAAAUGAAGGAUGAUAUUGUUCUCUGUAUAUUCCUGUAGGUCCCUCUUUUUUCCUUUUUCUUUUGUGAUCCUUUCUUUUUUUGUAUAUUGUGUGAUGGUGUAAAUAUGUUGAACAGUGGAAAAACAUGAAGGAAGUGGAUGGGUAGGGGUAGGGUAGGUGGGGUAGAGGUAGGGUAUGGGGUGGGGUGGUGAUAUAUCCGCUUUUAAUUUGCGAGGUUGUUAGGAUAGGAUUAAAACAAGAUAAAAUUUAUUAAGGGUUGUUAUUUUUGUAUUUUAUGGAGGGAUAAUCAUGUGGGUGAGAGUGUAUGUCAAUGCGAGGUAAAAAUGGAUGAAUUGGGUUUUUGGGAGGGGCAAAAUUAUGUGUCUACAUCAUGCCCCUCUUUGCAUGUAAACACAAAGUGUUUUUAGACAAAUAAGUAGACAACGAGACAAAAUUUUGUCCCGACCAUUAUUCAAAAGAAGUAAAAAAAAAAAAGAAGUUUGGAGACCAAGUCUUGAUUUAGGGCAUCCUACCUACCCAAGUUAUGAGAGAGUCAAGUCGCAGGUAUCUCAAAGGAUUGGGAGGAGAUGGACAAUACCAAGUUGGAGAGUCGAGUGAGGUCCCGUCGAGGUUUCGGUCCGCGGCUCUGUUAUUACAUCAAAAUAAAAAUUACAAGUCCAAACAUAAAUGAAAUUACAAAAAAUCCUAUCUAUGCAGCUUCUUUUGGACUCUUGACUUGAGUUUUAUCACCUUAUUCUUCAGGCGGGCUCAUGACUUGCAAUUUCUUCAACUUGUUGCUUGGUUUUCAAUUUCUUCACCCUGUUCUCCAGGUGGGCUCCUGACUUGCUAUUUUUCAAUUUCUUCAUCUUGUUGUUUGACUUUCCAUUUAUUCACCCUGUUCUUCGGACGGAUUCCAAUGUUGCUUGAAUUAUCAAAACAAGGAAUGCGUCUCCUUACAAAUGCCACUUGAAUUACCCAAACAAGAAAGUGCGUCUCCUUAUAAAUGCCGAUUGAAUUAUCCAAACAAGAAAGUGCGUCUCCUUACAAAUGGCGCUUGAAUUACCUAAACAAGGAAAUCGUGUCUCCUUACAAAUGUUGCUUGUAUUACCCAAACAAGGAAGUGCAUCUCCUUACUAAUGUCGCUAGAAAUACCCAAAUAGGAAAGUGUGUCUCCUUACCAAUGCCUUUUGAAUUACCAAAGUAAGAAAGUGUGUCUCCUUACCAAUGUCGCUUGAAUUACCAAAACAAGAAAGCGUUUCUCUUUACCAAUGCUUCUUGAAUUACCCAAACAAGAAAGUGCGUCUCCUUACCAAUGUCGCUUGAAUUGCCCAAAUAAGGAAGCGCGUCUCCUUACAAAUGUUGCUUGAAUUAACUAAAUAAGGAAGUGCGUCUCCUUACAAAUGUCACUUGAAUUAUCAAAAUAAGGAAGUGUGUUUCCUUACCAAUAUUGCUUGAAUUGUCCAAACAAGGGAGUGCAUCUCCUUACAAAUGUCACUUGAAUUACCCAAAAUAAGGAAGUGUAUCUCCUUACAAAUAUUGCUUGAAUUUCCCCAAACAAGGAAGUGCGUCUCCUCGAGAUAUUGGAUUAUGAGCUUCACAGUGGUUUUUGAUUACCAAACCUGUGCAAUAACAUUGCCUCUUGCAUUUGUAGAAAUGAGAAUAUUCCGACCUCUGAUGUCUAAGCUUUGGAAUUCUUCAUCUAAAUGUAACAUGUGUUCUUAUUUCAUACAAAGAAAACUUGUGAGUAUAAAAACAUGAUGGUUGGUUUGUGGCUUUAGCUUUUGCGACAAUUGCUCUUGCCCUCGUCACAUUUAAUCUUGCUUUCGACCAUUAGCAUAUGUCACUAACUUGCUGCAUCAUUGACCCAAAUUCAGAUUAUUAAGAGUGACUCUGAACCAAACACAGUAUCUCUGUUUUACCGUACUUCUCAGAUAAACCCUUUGAACCUUGGUAUUUCCAUGAGUUGCCAGACUUGUCAGUUGACAAAAAUUUCUGCAUGUCUUAUUUUGGCUCACAAUCAUGUCUCUUUCAUGUGUUGGCCUUUUGUCUUGGUUGCGCAAUUGAAGAAGCUGGUAGCCAGUUUUGAAAUUUUUUCUCACUUGUUUUGAUAUGGACUUGACUCAAAGACAAGAGAAAAAUGACAAUGACUUUUAUUUGGACAACUGACUCAAGAAAAUAAAAUAAAAAUAAAGAAGAAAGAAAAGAUAAUGAAUGUCCCCAUUUGAAAUAAAGAAAUGAAAAAUUUAUCUAGAAAUGACAGUCAUCUCUAAUGAUUAUGCCAUGCAUUUUGGAUUAAACUGUCUGAUCUUUCCAUCCAAACUUUCUACCAAUUUUUGUUGAGUUAAUGGCUAUGAAACUGAGUUGUUUCCUUAGGUCAAUCGCAUUUAAGACCUCAUUCGGCUGGUGACACCUUGAAGGGUUUUUACCAACAAGCCUCUCUCAUUUUCUUUUCCUCAGCUCAUCAUUGUCUUAUGGUGUCUAUAAGGGUUUUCCACUAAUGAGACUCUCUUAUCUUUAUUUCCCUUAACUCACAGUCAUCUUACGGUGCCCGUGAGAGUUUUCACCGAUAAGACUCUCUCCUUUUUAUCUCUCUCAACUUACCAUCAUCUUACGGUAUUCGUGAGGAUUUUCACCAAUAAGACUCUCUCAUUUUUAUUUCUCUCCUGAUUUCGUAUGCUGAGGAAGAGAAGUAGUUCCCAAAUGUAUCAUUAUAUACCUUGCACGCUUAGCCUUAACAUCCUCAAAGAUUGAUCUGAAGAUCUUUCUUUGGUUGUAACUUGAAUUUUGGAUAGGGUUAGAAAGAAAGGAUGGCAUGGGACCCAAACGACACUUGAAGUGGGGUAGGACUUACAACUUUUGGAAUCGACUCAAACAAUGAGGAUUAACUCAUGUCCCAGUUUAUUUUGACUGGGUGACUCUAAAUUAUUUAUUUGGUUAGACCGAUCUCAGAGUAGGGCAGCCUACGUAUCUCACCCCCGAAAGAGGAGAAUCAGGUCGCACGUAGUUCCGGCAGCUCAUUCUUUGCUUGAUUUUGAUUUCUUUGUUUUUCUCUUUUAUUGACUCUUUUUGUCUUUGUGAUUUUUUCUGACUCUAUUUUUCUUGACAUUCUUCUCUUUUCUUUAUUUUUGGACACAUUUUUUCUCUCUUGUUUUUUUCUUCUUUUAGAAUUUUUCUGACACUAUUUUUUUUUGCUCGACACUUUUUUUUAGCUUUGCUGACUCUAUCUUGAUUCCAAAAGAGGUGUAUGAAAGAAAAUAACACUAAGGCUCAAAUGAGGUACACAAAGAAUGACACAAUGUAUGGAUAGCAGAAUGAAAUGCCUUCAUCAUAUCAAUCAUUGAAAAUGUCAGUACAUAUCAUGCAAUAUGAAAGUGAAAGAUGAAGAUCAUUGUGACAUCUCUUACAACAUUAACUUUGACUGAUUCUGUGCACCACUACUUCUUUCGCAAACUUCACCUUUGUUGUACACUCCUCACAUCGAAUGACUCAUGCUUUCGUGGAGCUGAUUUUUCUGUUUCUUUUGAUGUAGGACCACACAUUCAUGAUUUGACCUAAUUGAGAUAUGUCUUUCAAUUGAUGACCAAGUUAUUCUUGCAAUUCUCAAAAUAAUUGUCUUAAUUUUUCAAAUAAGGCUUCAACUUGUCACCAAAUGUCUCAACACUCUACCUAUGUCCUCAGAUACUCUCUUUUACUAACAUUAAUCUUUUGACUCAAUGCCCAUCCUUAAACUGGAUUAAGAUCUGGAUGAAAAUUCUGCUAGCAUGUCAUAACACUAGAAUCAACAUAAAAUGCACUAUAUAAAGAAAACAAACAAACAACAUAAAUUUAAAACACAAAGGAAAAAGGGACACUCCAUUUAAUUAAAAUGAAAGAUAGAAGGAUUUGAACAUAAAGACAAAAAGACAAAACAAGAUAGAUCCCGAACUACAACCCUGAAAUAAUUUGGAUAACAGAAAAUAAAACAAAACAGGCUACCAGACCUCUUCCUAGUAGGGAGAGGGGUGACUUCUCAAUUGCUCAGCCUGACAUCUUAGUCACUGGUUUGCAUAUCAGCAUAACUAGAACUUUCCUCACUGUCAAUGUUCUACACCAUAAUUGAUUUAUCUUGAAUCAUCUUUUCAACUUCUCUUUUCAAAGCACGACAAUCUUUAAUACUGUGACCCUGAACAUCAGAAUGAUAUGCACAUCGUACAUUAGGGUCAAAACUUCUUGAAUGUGGGUCAGGAGUAUACCCAAGGAGAGAAGUAAUCAUGCCCCGAUGUACCAAUCUCUAGAAUAAACUGACAAUGACUCUCCAAUUGGAGUGAAGUUAUCCCUCGACUUCUGCCUUAUUUCAUUAUUUGGCUUGGACUGAAAAUCUGGCCUAGAAGGGCUUUGGUAUGUUUGUGGAGUUUGAGGAUGACUCUGAAGAGUUGGUGCACGCCAUUGUGGGUAACAAGGGGAUUGAACAUAUAGUUGUGCAUUGUAUACUGGAUAUGGCGGCAGAAGAAUAGAGUAUAAUGGAUUUUGGGAGUGAUUCUGUGGAGCUUGGGCAUAAGCUUGGGUUUGAGCCUGUGGGUAACGAUGGUGUGGAACUCUUUCCUUGCCCAUGUCUGUUGUCCAACUACAAUGGUAGAUGUAUCUUCCUCAUACUUCUUCCCUCUGACACUUCCCGAACCUUUUUGAAUUACUUGAGUAGUCGCUUUCAAUGUUGCAAAACUCACAAUGGGGCCGGUCUUAAUUCCAUCCUCUACUAUCUCCCCCAUUUUGAGGACCUCAAUAAAUGGCUUGCCUAAUGUAGGUAACAAGUGUUGAUAAUAUGUUUCAUCCUGCGCUUGAAUAAAUACCUCCACUAUCUUACUUUCUUUCAUUGACGGUUUUACCCUAGCAGCUUGUUCACGCCAUCUAAUCGCAUACUCGCUGAAAGUCUCAGUACUCUUUUUCUUCAUGUUAGUUAGGGAUUUCUCAUCAGAAAUCAACUCCACAUUGUAUUGGAAUUGUUGCACAAAUUCAUUAGCUAGGUCAUCCCAACUAAUUCACUUGUCGAUGUCUUGGUCAACAAACCUUUCUGAAGCUAGGCCUGAAAGACUCUCACCAAAAUAUGCCAUGAGUAAUUCUUCCUUCCCCCCAGCACCCCUUAGUUGAUUGCAAUAACAUCUUAAAUGUGCUACAGGAUCGCCAUGUCCAUCAUACUUCUCAAACUUCGGCAUUUUAAAACCAAAAGGAAGAUGAACCCCUGAAAACAUGCACAAAUCUUUAUAUGAGACACUUUUGUACCCCCCAAGUCCCUGGAGGUCUUUCAUAGCCAGUUUCAAACUUCUCAAUUUUCUGGUCAUUUUCUCUUGCUCUUCUAUUAUAACAGGCUUCUCGGUGUUAAGAGGAAAUUCAGGCGGGUGAGUAUAGCCAUAAGGAUUAGUCGACUUAAAUAUCGGCUCAAUAGCAUGAUGUUGAUCAAUGAAAAUAUUCAAUACAGGCUAUCUCGCAGAGUGGGGAGGCACAACUUGUGGAUAAACCUCAAAAGUAGGAGCUUUGGGUGGGGGUGGUCCUACAAAAAUAUGAACAGUGGGUGGAGCCGAGCAUGUGGUAGCUUUGUGUUGAGGAGUUAGGAAAUAAAUAUUGGAAAUGUUUUGAUAGUGUUGCCUCGGAGCAGGUCCUGAUGCAUGUUGUGGUGUGUCAACAAAAAUAGAAAACUGUGUAUGUGACACUGGAGGCAAGUUAGAAAGAUACUUAAGAUUAUCAGCGGAAAAUGGAGGAGGUGGCAACCCAUUAGCCCAAGCUCGAUGCAUUUCUAUCAUUUGUUGCCUUAAUUUUAGAAUCUCUUCAUUAGCUCUUAAAUUCUCAUUGCCCAAACUCCCUAUCUGAUCAGUGACAACAAACUCGAUAUCCUUGUUGGCCAUAACUUUCUUUGUCACUUGGUGCAAUAUGGAGGACCAGCCAAAAUGCCACAAACCAACCACCUUAAACUAACUCAACAAGAAAUAGCAAAUGCGUUAGAAUUCAACAUUUUUUUUCAAAACCUUUUUUUUUCUUGAAAAGGUCACCGAACCCAAGAGGGGCGCCUACGUAUCUCACCCCCAAAAGAGGAGAAUCAGGUGUGCGUAGUUAAUGAAGUCUUGCCAAAAUGGCUAAUUAAUUCUUUUUUUUCAGAAACUUCAAAAAUAACAAAUUGUCAAAAGAAUUGACGAAAAUCUUUUUGCAUUUUUCAAGUUUAAACUCCCUAUACAAAACGAAACCUAUGAUUACCAAAGAAAAAUCUUUUUGGAUUUUCAAUUUUUGAAUUUCAUACGAAAAUGAGACUUGAAGCUAUUAACAAAAAAUCUUUUUUGUGAUUUUCUUUUAAAGAUGUAUAGGAAACACUUACUUUUAAGGAAAACUGAAGAAGAUCUUUUUUUGGAUUUUUCAAAUAAGAUCUCCGAAUCCACAAUAGGCUGCCUACGUAUCUUACUCCAGAGAGAGGAGAAUCAGGGGUGCGUAGUUCGUCCAGAUUGGACAAUUAAAGAUUAAAUGACAAACUAAACCCCGAAUUGAGAGACACGACUAAAGACAGACGAAUAAAAUCUUUUUGGGGGUUUUUAAUCAGAAACUAACACCAACAACUAUGAAAGAAAAAAUCUUUUUGACAUUUUCGUUAUAUAAAAAUGUACAAAACGCCUAUUGAAAGAAAUUUUUUUUUUAGAGUUUUCGAAUUGUGAAUACUUACUAAAGAAAUAAAAGAAAAAUAUUUUUAACGUUUUGAUUUUUUGGGAAAUGAGUGCAAAAGGUAAAAGAAUUUUUUAUCUUUUUUUGAAUUGUGAAAAACAAAAGCCAUAAAGAACCCUAAAAACUACCAAAUCUCUUUUUUUUUCACUCCUUUUUUCUUCCUUUUUUUCAACAAUUUCUUGCCCACACACUUUGCUUCUAACUCAUGUUUUUGCCGAAAUCAGUCUGUCAAAUGACCACAUUACCCUAAAAAAUGCAACAUUUAGCAUGUAAGAAUGCUUUAAAGGUGAGUCUCCUGCAAAGGACCAAGUCGGUCCCGCUAUAUCUCAAUAUGAUGCAAAUAAGCAUGACCUAAAGGCUGACCUACACUGAAGUUUACUAACAAGGCUGUUCGGGGGAGCAUAUGAUCGAUAGUGGUUGCACUAGCUUUCCGCCCACUACAUACCAGCCGACGGCUCCUCCUCCUAAAAAUAAGGAUGACUCAACUAUAGGUCGUGUGCACAACGUGUACUAUAGAACUUGUUGCAGAAAGAAUUAAUUCGGGUUAUGCAAAUGAUGUCAGAUAUAAAGCGGUAACACAUAAGAGAAAAACUGUAAACACCUACCACGUAGGCACUCAAAAUCGAUAAACAAAUACAAACAAUGUCUAUACACUCAUAAUGUCAAAACUAAGCCGAUAUAACUACAAAAAUAAGCUCGAAUUCUGAAAAGGUUCCCAGCAGAAUCGCUAGAGCUGUCACACCCCUUUUCUUUUCAAACGAUUGAUUUUAAGUUUCAAAAGGGUUUUUAUCAUUAAAGUGACAAAAGAUGAAAAUUUAUUUCAAAAAGAACUAUUUACAUUUUUUAUUCAGAGUCGCCACUUAACAUAAUUCGGUGUGUCAAGUAACCUUUAGAAAUUAUUUUCAAAACUGUUUGACUCUUUAAAAUUGGUUUACGAACAGAGAUUUCGACUAAGGAAUUUUGUUGACCGAAAGGAAGGUGUUAGGCACCCCUCGAUCCUGUGGUUCAACCACGAUCGCUUGGUGGAGUGUAUCGGCUAAUUUGACACUAUGAAUGUAUAAACCACACAAAAACACAUAAAAUAAUUAAUCAAACACGCAAAAUAAAAUAAAUUCAAAAUAUAGUGUCCAAUCCGAGUUAUACAGUCUCAAAAAAUUAAAAAUACAGAAACGUAAAUCCUACUCUAAACUAACCCUAAACUAUGCUCCAAUACUUUACCUGAUGCCUUAGGUCUUCAUUACGAACCUUCCUUGCAUACAUGAUAGUUGGGGCAUUCCUCGAAUGAAUCAAUACAAAUCUCUCGGGGUAUUCCCCGGCCAAAUAAGUAUAUUUUAAUACAAUAAAAAUGGGAAAAUCACUCAGCACAAACAUUUACACAUUUGAAGAUUAAAAUCCUACAAGUUGCCUACCCCGAAACCUAGAAUUCGCCUAUCGAAUUAACGGUCUAAUCAUGCUACUAUCGUGUUCGACAAUAUUCAUACUUAAACCAAAAUCAAAGAAUCUUAAUCAAUCCAAAUUCACUCUUUUUUUAUCAGUUUCUUAAUUCCACCCAAACAACCAAUUUCAAUUCUCAAUCGAGAUACCAUUUCACCAAACCAUAAUUAAAAAAAAAAACAACCACGAAUCAAAAUAAACACGCAUUCAUCACCAACGAGGAUCAAACAACACACAAUAUUGAAUUCAAUGCACUGGGUAUCAUCAACAAUGAAACAAAAAGAAUGAGAAAGUAGAAUCGGACCUCAAUUGAAGCUUUAUUAGGCCAAAUUACGUGACCAAAAAUUGAGACCUCAUCCGAAAACCUCUACUUGAACCUCAACAAUGAAUCUGUGACUUGAAUCUCCAAUCCGAUGAACCCGAAACUCCGAUUAGGCUAAGAACGAUCUCAAAUGAAUCCUAAUUUGUUUGUUUUCUGACAGAUCUGUGGAAUUUCAAAUGAGUUUUCACAGAAAACGGUCGGAUUUGGACGGUGACCGGCAAUGUUCCCCGGUGAUAAAUCACUAAAAAACAGUCAGUGAAUGUUCGUUUCUGCCUCUCUCCUUUAAUUUCACGAUCUCCUCUCCGAUCUCUCUCUCGUGGAUAUCUCGAUCUCUUCCUCUUUGUUGUUCCUACUUUCUAUCUGUCCUCAUCUCUUUCUCGAACUCUACUGUACGUGUGUCCAAUGGUGAGAGGGUGGUGAGUGUAUUUGGUGAGGAUCAGUGAUUCCUCUUUUUUUUGGAAAUGAAAGUGAAUGUGUAUGUGUACUAUCUGUGAGAGUGAGAGUCGGUGAGGAGUGUGUGAUUUUCCUGGUGGAGAAGAUGAUUUCUAUGUGUGUGUUUUUAGGUGUUAAAAAGGAAAAUGGAGGAUGAUAGUGUUCUCUGUAUAUUCAUGUAGGUCCCUCCUUUUUCCUUUUUCCUUUGUGAUCCUUUCUUUUUUUGUAUAUUGUGUGAUGGUGUAUAUAUGUUGGCCAGUGGGAAAACGUGAAGGAAAUGGGUGGGUUGGAGUAGGGUAGGUGGGGUAGAGGUAGGGUAUGGGGUGGGGUGGUGAUGUGUUCGCUUUUAAUUAGAGAGGUUGUUAGGAUAGGAUUAAAACAAGAUAAAAUUUGUUAAGGGUUGUUAUUUUUGUAUUUUAUGGAGGGAUAAUCAUGUGGGUGAGAGUGUAUGACAAUGCGAGGUAAAAAUGGAUGAAUUGGGUUUUUGGAAGGGACAAAAUUACGUGUCUACAUUGAGUUAAUGUGAUUUAACUUUCCUUCCAUAUUUUAAUUAAAUAGAAUCCUUUUAAAUAUAGGUUAAUGUAAUUUAACUUUUAUUCCAUAUUUUAGGGGCAGAAUUCUUUUAAACAUAAAAUUCAUUAGGCAUAGAAUUAGUUUAGGCAUAAUAUUAAUGGGAUAUUUUUCAUUAGUAAUGUAAAUUAAUUUUGGCAAAAACGUGUAAAAAAAAACAGGCAAAAAAAUAUUUCUACAAAACAAAAGUCCUAAUCCCUUACAAAACCUAAUCCCCAACUUCAAAACUAUAUAUCAAACAAAAAACAACUAGUAACACAUUAAACUCCAACCCAAAAAAUCCAAUCGAUUUUGCAACACGUUUGGAGUUGAACCUUUAAACCCAUUAUGAUAUUCUCUCAGUUUACAUUCUUCUAGAGUUCUUUAUAAUUUGUGGCUUUGAAUUUUUUGAUUCUCGAUUUUAUUCCUAUAGAAGAUUAUAAUCUAGCAAAUUUAUUGAUGUUUGUUGCUUUUAAACGUUGUUUUGAUUAUCUAACUGUACGAUUUUUUAUGCGUGCUUUUGGUAUUUAGAAAUUCUAUCAUUAUUACUUAUAUAUUUAACAAAUGUCAACAGAAGAAGAAAAAGAAAUUCAUUGGAAAGGCCAAAGGUACACACUCUUUCUUCUUGUGUCUUUGUUUGUGUUUUUACAAGCUAUACUUCCUAACUCUUGCUCCUAACUUUAUUGCAGGGAAGUACAUUCUGGAGCCAGUUGAACGGAAGAUGAUAAAUAAAGGACAAAAAUAGAUGAAAGAUUUUGGGAAUACGGGUCAUUCUUGACAUGAUUGAGAUGCUUGUCGACAAAGUAAGGAUCGAAGGUUAAUGCAUUCCACAAUUUAAAAACACAUUUGUGUUGGUAAAUUAUACUACUUUUUUCAGAAAUUAUAGUAGUUAUAUCGAGAAUAAUAUAGGAAUCAUAAUUAAUACAGCCUAAUUAUCAUGUAUUCUUAAUAAACAAUUGCUAAAUUAAUUUUUUUUUUUUUGUGAAAUCUCAAUAUAUCUUAUGAUCAAAGAGAUGGAUUUAUUUAUGAUUUGAGGUAAGUUUUCAAAUGUUUUAGCAUGUUCUUGAUACUUACAAUCUUGACAUUAAAUGUGAUUAAAGAGAUAAAUUUAUUUGUGAUUUGAGAUAAGUAUUCUAAAAUUUUAAUAUGUUCUUAAAUUUUUCAAAAUAAAUUAUCAUGUAUUCUUAGUAGAAACUUUUUGCCCUUCAUUAAAAGUGUUACAAAAUUAACUUUUUACUUUUUUUGGGUUAUAUUUAGUAAUUUAAAAUUUGUUACAAUUUAAUUAAGAUAUUAAAUCUUGAAUUUAAGUUUGGUGCACCGUCGGUGUAUCUUUUUUUUACACCAUCAGCUGACUUUUACCUGUUGUAGCAGGUCAUCCAUUUCUCAAGUAAAAAUGUAAAAAUGAAUAACCUGCUACAAUAGGUAAAAGUCACCUGAUGGUGUAAGAAAAAUAUACACCAAUAAUUGGUUUCAUGUUAACAUGGAAAACUUUUAUGUGCAGGACAAGUUUAAUUAGCAUUUGGAACCUAAACAUGAAAACAUUACAUUCUGUUUACUUUGGAGGUAAACAUGGAAACCUUCUAUGUACCAUGUUUGAUUAGGAUUAAUAGGUUUUUUUUUUCUUUUUCUAUUUAAAUUAUAUUUUGAUCAAUUUAAUUUAAUGCCGGAGUUGAAUCGUGUAUUGUUCCACUUUCUCCAUCAUUAUCAUGAAGAUAUAAUCGUUUUGUCGUCAAUGCAGUCACAAAGAAUCUCCCCAAUAAUGAUGAUGAAGUGGUGAAUAAGAAUUUUAUGUUACAAUUGUAGGGACGAGUCAUUCCUUGACUAACUGCCCCUAUCCGAUCCGCUACAAGAUGACAUUUUGCCCUUGACCCUAUCUAAUUUUAAGUAUAUAUUUUCUUCAUCAUGGACAAGUAAUGAAUUUUCUGUUACUCCUUUUUCUUUUGAUGUAUAACCAUUGCUUCAGGUUUUGAGUUUUUUCUUGUCCUUCUCAAUGUCAUUUAAAUACUGAAUGCGCUAUUGACUUUUUAUGUGUUCUUGUGUAUUAACUUAGUAAUAUACAGAAUGAAAGUGAGAUUGAUGUUUCAUCGGUCAACCUCUUUAUAAAGUCAGAAGCCUCUUUCGUAGGCAAGGAAUCGAACAUCUCCAACCAGACAGAACAGGUGAUAGAAAUUGAUAGGUGUUGAUUCCGCGGUGGCACAGACUGCAAUUAUCAUUUCAUGUUCAAGAUUGUAUGCAAUUUCCUGACAAAAAUCUGAUUGAAUCUGGAUCUUCAUAUUUCUAGGGGAAUGAACUAUCGAUAUUUAAUUAUAUGGAGCUGAAGCUUGGGACAGUCGGACAUAACUAUCACUUUUUCCUCCGUGAUCGAUAAGAACAGGUUUGCCAUUCAGACAAAAUAACAAAAGACUUCCAAACAUUGACCUCCUGAUGAAUAAUCAUCUUUCAAACAUGUAUAUGCGUGUGUGAGUUUUUUCUUCUUCUGUUUUUUCGAGCGCCUAUCUCUUAACAUAAAUAGACCAAAACUUGCCAAAUCGCACAAAUAAUUUAUGUGCUCAAGGUAAAUACAUGUGAUGGAGCUUCCACAUAUCUCUGAAUCAUGAAACUAUCAAAGUGCAUGUUUGCUUAUUUAUAGAAUUUGUGGUGAUAUAAAUGCAUGCAACUAAUGGAAAAUCAGGCAGAUUGCAGUGUAUACCUCAGACGGCCAACCAUUCUAUGAAAAAUUAAAUUUCAUUAAAAUUAUACUAUCUUGGUGUUCUAAAGUAUAAUCUAUGGUGUUCUUUUUCUAUUUUUCACUCAACAAAAAGUUUAUUAUCUUUGAAAAUCUGUUAGACGGUCUUCAAUCAAUAUGUGAAUAAAUUUAUUAAUUUAUUUUUUAAUAUUCUUGGAUAGGUGAAGGAAGGACACCGACCGUUAAGCUUAAUUUGUUGAGACAUGUAGCUAAGCGUCUUAAUGUUUGGUAAAUGCAGCUACUAACUAUUGCGUUUUCACAUUUUUUUGUCUGAGAAAAAAGAUGCAGGAUAGAGACCAGUCAUGUAAAUGGCACAUAUUGAAGGAAUUUUUUUUGCUCGAGAAGUUAUAUGAUCAAUCAUGUUAUAGUUUUGGGAAGAUUGUUUAGCACCAAGAGAAAAUGAUUCAGUUAACUGAAGUCUCAUAACUGCAUGUUGAACCUCCGAAGACACGAUCAUAUAAUUAAAUUUAUGAUCGUAAAUUCAGAUAAAAAAAGAAGAAAAUAGUAAACUUGUGUGUUUGAAUCAAUCUUCAUGUAUCCUUGCGACGUUUGUGGUGGUGGAUACCUUGUUGUUCUAACUUAUUUGGUUAGAAUUAACCACAUUUAAAAGUGUGCAAGUUGAAUGUUCGAACUUAUUAAAGCCAUUGAAAAGUACCAUAUGUCGAUUAUUUGUCUGAAUAGAAGUGUUGCAUGUCAUUUCAUGGCUCUCAACAAAACUACAGAAGUUUUGUGUUGUGGUAUGACAUUCUCCACCCCCCACUAGGAAUGAAUUGUUAUAUGAAUGCCUCUUCAAAUAAAUAGUUAAUACAAGCUUAAAAAUUUAUAUUGAUAUUUUUAUUUGUUCAUUAAAUACUUUGACAUAUACUCAAGUGAUCACUUGCAUCUUGUGAACUUGAUAUUGUUCUCGUUUUUUGUUUUAUACUUUUAUGAUUUGAUAGAUUGGUAACACAUGAGUAGGUACAAUCUAAACUUUUUUGUUUGUUUGUUGAUAAAGAUGAGUUAGAUUUGUGUUGAUAGAUAUGUGUCUUUCUCUUUUUCUCUUUUUUUUCGUAAAUAAAACUAAAGUAGUGUUUUAUCAAAACUAAAAAUAAAAUAACCCGUUUGAAAGGAUUAAAAUCUGGUCAAAUUAGCUUUUAAUUUAUUUUUUUUAGAUUUUUAAGGUGUUUGGUAAAAUAAAAAAAGUAUUUUAGAAAACCUAAAAACUGAUUAAAAAAUCAAAAAGUGAGAAGUUGGGUACCACCAACUUUUUUCUUUUUAAGAUUAAAAUUCUUUUAGCUUUGACCAAAAUAUUUACCUUUUUAUCCCUUACAUUUUCCUCUAAUUCCAACAAUAUCCUAAACUUGUAGCCCUUAAUAUAUAAUUUUUUUUCUUUUUGCCGCUUCACUUCAUCUUUUCCCUCCAAUUUCUUCCUCAUCUUUCUUCUUUGUCUUCAUCGAAUCCUUCAUUACAUCAGGUUUGUUCAAAAAAUUUAUUUUAGAUUUAAAAAUUAUAAAUAAUUCACCUUAUUUGUGGUGUUAACAACUUUAAGGACAUUUAAGUCAUUUUAACAACAAAAAAGUGUUGAACAUCAUUUGUUUACCAAACACAUCAACAGUUUUUUUUUUUCAGUUUCAGCACUUCUAUCCAAACACUUAUCUGCUUAAUUUAUAAGCACUUAUUUUAAGCUUUUAAUCACUUAAGCUAAAAAAUUAUUUUUUAAUCCUAUCCAAACGGGCUUAGAUAUAGAGUAAUAACUAGGUGUUUGGACAUUAAAUUUUUUAAAAUUCUUUAUCGGGUUCAAUUUCAAAAAACACAUAUGCCCAUAAAAAAUUUAAAUUUUGAGAAACAUCAAAGUUUUACUUUCACUCAAAAUUAAUCACAAAAAUUUAAAUUUAAUUACAAAAGAUUUUACCCUCGACCAAGUUCGCUGGCACAUGGGUCAACAUGGGACUCAAGUGCUUUUUUAUCAAUAAUUUCUCUCAAGAAACAAUUAAAAAAUUCAUCAAAUAACAUAAAAUAGUAGAAUUUUUUUCCCAAUUUAGGUUCGUUUGGAUUUUGAUGGAUAAUACAUAAUAUAUGUGCAAUGCACAUACACUAAAUUAGUAUAUAUAUAUAUAUAUAUAUAUAAAAUUAAAUGGAGAAGAUUUUCUACUUUUAGUUGAAUUCCUUUCCUAAAUUUAUGGCAAUAAAUUAUUAAAGAAAAUCCAACUUCAAAGAAAUUAUUAUAUAUGAAAAAUUUAUAUAUAAGGUAAAGUUCUAAAUAUUUUAGAAAAUUGGAAAAUUAUUUUACAUAAAAUAGGUUAAGACUUCUAAAAGAAGAAGAAGAAGAAAAAUCUUCCAAAAAAUAAAUGAAAUUCGUAUAUCCCAAUUAAAAAAGAUAAGUGGAUUUCAACCCCCAAAAAAAGAGGUAUUGUUUUUUUUUUUUUUUAAGGUUAGGAAUAUUAUUUUUUGUUAUAAUAUUUUAGUUUAGGAGUCUUUAUAUUUCUUUCUUUUUUUCAAUUUACAAGUCCAUUUUUGGGUUUAUAUGGAUACAUAGUUUGGGUAAUAAAAUUGUGGCUUUGAAUUUUUUUUUUUUAAAGAAAAGGUUAGAUUUAGUUAUAUUGUUUCCCUUAAAAAAGUGGUUUGAACUUUUUUGUCCUUCAUUUAAAGACUCUGUAAUAGACAAAAUCAUCUUUUCAUAUUUUUUCUUCAAUUUUUAAUAUUGAAUAUUGACUAUAAUAUAUAUAUAUAUAUAUAUAUAUAUAUAUCUAAUUGAUGGCAAUAAAUUGUUAAAGAAAAUCCAACUUUAAAGAAAUUAUUAUAUAAAAUUUCUAUAUAAGGUAAAGUUCUAAAUAUUUUAGAAAAAUUGGAAAAUUAUUUUACAUAAAAUAGGUUAAGACUCCUAAAAGAAGAAUAAGAAAAAAGAUCUUUCAAAAAAUAAAUGAAAUUCGUGUAUCCCCAUUAAAAAAGGUAAGUGGAUUUCAACCAAAAAAAACAAAGCGGUAUUGUUUUUUUAUAAGGUUAGGACUAUUAUUUUUUUGUCACUAUAAUAGUUUAGGAGUCUUUAUAUUUCUUUCUUUUUUUCAAUUUUACAAGUCCGAUUUAAGGUUUAUAUGGAUACAUUAUUUGGGUAGUAAAAUUUUGUGGCUUUGAAUUUAUUUUUAAGAAAAGGUUAGAUUUAAUUGUAUUGUUUUGUUGUCUCCAAUUUGAGUAUUUUUUUGUAUACGUAAAAGUUAGAUUUAGUUGCAUUGUUUUGAUAUCGCUAUCAUUGUAUUAUUUUGUUGUAGUUAACAAAUGGUAGAUGGAUGUCGAUUGACUUUGAGGAAAAUCUUUUGCAAAGGUUAGAUUUAAUUGUAUCGUUUUGAUAUUAUUAUUUUGUUGUAGUUUAAGGUGAUAGAUAAAUUUUGAUUGGAGUUGAGAAUUUUUUUGUAUAUGUUAGGUUUAGUUAAAUAAAUUAUCCAUCUUUGUAUGUUCAAAAGAUGUUGAAUUUACUUAUUGUAUUCUUCUUUAUUAUUUAAACAAAUAUUCUAUUUAGUGUAACGUUUAAACUCAUUAAAGUGAGGUACACGCGCGAGUCGUCUGCAUCUAAACUAAUAAUAAGAAUAAAAUAACACAUGAACAAAAUAGAUUGACCCCAAAAAUUCUGUAUGUUAAAAAUAGCAAACGCCAUUUCGAAUACAAACUCAUAAUAUUGAUCUUUUGAAAGUUCAAGAGAGCGUUUAAAAUACUUGAAAGAAAUAAAGAAAAAUAAAUUGUACUAUUUUUUUGCAUGUAAUAUCUUCUAAAUCCUAAAAAUAAAAGCUAUAUGAAUACUUUUAUUUUUUCUAUUACCAUUUUUAGUAUUAGAUUAAAAUCAAAUAUCCUGAACAUUAUUAAAAACUUUAAAUCUAUUAAUUUUUUAAUUAAAAUCAUGCAAAAUUAGAGAAACAUUCCAUUUUGUAAAUUUUCCCUUAGCUUAUUAAUGCAACAUAAAAAAUUUAUCAAACUUAUAGUGUAGAAGAAUAUAUCUAUAAUCUAUAAUAUAUUAAAAUUGUGAAGAAUCUUAAAUAUUGUUUGAACAUUUUGCCCUUCAUUAAAAAUCUUUAUUUUAGACAAAAUCGUCUUUUCACUAUUUUUUUCUAAUAUUUAAGAGUUAAAAAUUAAUUAAAUAUAUUUAUGAUAAAACCUUUCCUUAUUAGAAGUCAUCAUAAUUAAUGACAACGAAUAUUUUUUUCAUUAAUUUAAGAAUUCUAAAUCAACUAAAUUUGAUUUUAAGAAGAUUUGAAAAAUCCAGCAAUAAAUAUAAAAUCGUUAUAAUAAGAAAAAAAUUUAAGAAGUACCGAAUAUUUAAACGUUUUAAGUACGCAAUAAGGAUGUAAUUAAUAAUUUUGUAAUGAUUUGACUUUAAAAAUAAAAAAAAAUCUAGAAAAAAAUAAUCACACCAAUUUAUUAUUUUUUUAAUUAUAAGUAAAUGUAUAAUGCUUUAAUUUAAUUAACUAUAUAAUUUACUAUACAUAUAAAAUACUUAGAGUAUGUAGAAAUUUUUAUUAAUUGUUUUGUGUAAAUCAAUUUUAGUUGUUCCAUAAGUUUAGGGAAUAGAAAAAAAUUAGUACAUUUAUUAAUAUAAUUUGGAGGAGAUUCAUUUUUAAAAACAUGAUAAAAUUAAAAUAAAAUUAUGUAAAUCUUUUUCACAACUAUAAUAAAAAAAUUAUGGUAAUUUAGCCGUUCCCGAAUUAUUUUUUAAAGAAUAUGUUCCAAAUAUUGCUAAUUCCUCAAAGAGUACUUCAUCAUGAGCUGUCAAACCAAGUUCAGCCAAUCAAAGUUCAAAAUUAAUCGGUACAAAAUUAUGUGGUUUGUCCUCGAUUACUUAUCCCACUGCUACUAGCUUAACCCACACUUCUAUAAGAAAUAUUAUUAAAUUUAUCCAUCACUAUUAAUCCAUUGAAGUAGGUAAUACUCGAUAUUCGUCCCCCCAACGUUCUUGUCGUCUUCUUUUUUAUUAUUUGAAAAGUUUAUAAUAUUUUUUUUGUGGAGAAUAUCAGUUACAAACCUUUAAUUAUUUAAUAUUGUGGUUUUAAAAAGAUAAUAUCUAUCUUGAAUACUUAGUGAUAGAUAAAGUUUAUUAAUAUUUCUUACCGGCAAGGAAUAAGGCAGUGGGAUCAAUAAACAAGGACAGAUCACCUAAUUUUGUUCUAGUCAGUUUUGAACUGUCGAAUGUCGAUUGACUGAAUAUGUACUCUCUAAUGGAUUCAGAUUUGCUAAAGGUUGUUUUAUUUAUCAAAAGAUAGGGUGCAGAUUUGAAACAAGAUAAAAGGGUGAAAUCACAUCCCGAUCUUUCAAAAAAAUAAAAAUAGAACAAACAAGGAUCGAGAAAAAAUAAAAUAGUAUAAAUUAUUCUGAUCAGUUUAUUAUGUUCUUGAUGGAAUAGGGUAGAAUUAUAUAGCGGAUCUUCAACUUGUUUUAAAUUGAAACAUAAUUAUGUUUCAUGAAAAAAAGUGACUACUUCUCAUUAAAAGAGUAGAUGCAGCGGAUUACACAAGAAGGAACAAUGAAAUGCCCUUUUUUAAUACACUAUCACCAAACAAAAUUUUGCAAAUAUGAAGUUACAACUCAAGAAGUCACCUUUUAGUACAUUAUGAUGCAUAAAUUAGAUAAGCAUAUAUGUAUAUUCAAUUCCAUACUUCUUUCUUAGCGUCUGAACAAACUCAAGGACCUUAUGUUGGUCAGGCAAGGACUUGGCAACACUGUCCCUCUGCAUGCACCUCUUGAUCCAUGCCACAAACUUUGGGCACUCAGCCUCUGUGCUAAAGUUACCAUAAGUCUCAUAGGCAUAAAACCAACUGUAGAACCCAAUCAAAGCAAUAUCCACAAAACCAAAGUUAUCCCCUCCAAAAUAGGGCUUGUCUCCUAGUGCUCCCUCCAGCACCUUAAGGCAUUCUAUGAAAUCUUUCUUAGCUGCCUCUUGCUCUUCUCCUUUUGUUGUCCAUAUCUUCUUACAAAGAUCAUUAGGUCGUCAUUGACGAAAACAACAUUUCACUCAUCAUAACCAACUAAACAACCAAUGUGAAACUACUCCAAUAAUACAAUUAAUUCAUAGAAAGACAAAAGGGAAGGGCUAUCAAUUUGCCUUCUUGUCAAUGUAGUCAAGCUAGCUAGAACCUAGCUUGCGCUCUCUUAUAAGGAUCAAAAGGGAGCAAAGGGGCUUUGUCCUUCCACACUUCAUCAAUGUACUCCAACUAGUGACACACAAAUUGGUUUUCCGUUGUGAAUCAAAACUGGAACGAACUUGUGGAUAGGAUUCAUCUCUAAAAGCAGAGGACUUUUGCCACUCAUAAAGUCCUCUUCUUUGUACUCAUAAUUUACCUCUUUUUCAGCAAGUGCAACCCUUAGACCCAGACCAAACAUGCUAGGCCAGAAAUUCAACAGAAUUACCUCAUUGUUAGCCAUUUUUGUUGUAUGAAGAAGAAAGCAAGAAAGUGUGAAGAAGAAUUUUAUUUGUUUAUAACAAUUACUAGUACUGAUAUUUGCUAGUUUUACAUACAUACAUGCACGUGUCUUUCAUCUACCUAUACUUUUCAGUGUCACAAGAUUCGAUUUUCUACCUACUCUUAACUCUUAAGCAUGUACAGUUGUAAGAAAAUAUUCUUCUUAAAAAUAAAUUUAGAUAUCAUAUGUACUACGUACUUCCUUUUAUGUAAAUUUGAGUCUCUUACUCUCUUUUUUGAUCUUACAUUAUGAUGCAUCAUUGCAUGACAAAUGACCAAUGCAACAAAACACAGCCAAAGCUGAGUCUGAAUUCAUCUGAAGACACAAAACCGGAGUACAUAAGGCUAUAGACAAUUAAAGGGCAGCCCGGUGCACUAAAGCUACCGCUAUGCGUGGUGUCCGGGGAAGGGCCCCACCACAAGGGUGUAUCGUAUGCAGCCUUACCUUGCAUUUCUGCCAGAGGCUAUUUCCAAGGCUUGAACCCGUGACCUCCUGGUCACACGGCAGCAACUUUACCAACUUUACCAGUUACUCCAAGGCUCCCUUCAAGGCUAUAGACAACUAGAUAUAAUAAUAUUGGUCUCAUUAUAAAAGUGAGUCUGGUUUAAUUUGAACACAAAAUAGAAUCAUAUACUUAAUACCAACUUGUUUGUAACUGAGAUGUCGUUAUUGUUGUGGUAGAUGAUGCUCUUUAUUACUUCUCAUCACGAAAAAUACCACAGAAUUAGAUUACAAGACCACAAAAGCUAACUCCCAACAGGACACAAGCUAAGGCCUAAGAGUCCCUUUAUUCAAAUCUUAGACUAAGACCAAAGUACAAACAAACAAUUCAAAUCUUCAAAUAACAACUGAAUAAGGCAGGACGAGGUGCCUUUUUUUCAAUACAUUAUGAUGCCUAAUUGCAUAAGCAUAUGUUAUUCAAGUCCAUAUAUCUGCCUAAGAACUUUUGCAAGCUUAAGGACCUUCUGUUGGUCUGGCAAAAUCUUCGCCACACUGUCCAUCUGCAUGCACCUCUUGCCCCAAGCCACAAUCUUUGGGCACUCAGCCUCUAUGCUGAAGUUACCGUAAGUCUCAUAGGUAUGAAACCAGCAGUAGAACCCAAUCAGAGCAAUAUCCAAAUAACCAAAGUUAUCCCCUCCAAAAUAAGCCUUGUCUCCCAGUACUCCCUCCAGCACUUUAAGGACUUCUAUGAAUUCUUUCGUAGCAGCCUCCUGCUCAUCUCCCUUUGUUAUAUGUAUCGUCUUUGCAGGAAUAUACAACUGAAAUUUCAAUAAACAUAGAAAAAGAAAAUGGUGAUCACUUGUUGCCACAAAACUAAGAAGAGUUUGUUCGUGUUAAGAAAGUGAACUUCUGAAGUAAGGGUUAUCCAAGAAUAUAUACCGAGAUGAUAUUCCAUUUCUUCAACUAAUGUAAAACUCUAAUACCCCCAACGCCUAGGACUGAGCAUCUAGAGGUGGGAGACCUAGUUUAUGAAGUGAGGAAUAGAAUUAACCAAGACUAUAUGACAAUAUUCUAUUUCUUCAACUAAUGUGAAACACUAACACCCUGCAUGCCUACGACUGAGCAUCUGGAGUGUGGGGAACUAGCUUAAGAAGUGAAGAUUCACAAGACAAUUAUUACCAAACAAUAUUCCAUUUCUACAACUAAUGCGAAAUGCUAAUACCUAAUACCUAAUACCUAGGAAAACAUCUUGACCGUGGACAGUAUAAUAAGAAGGCCAACAUCAGAUAUAUAAAAAAUAAAGAUGGAUUUAGCUCUAAUAACAUGCUAACAAAGUGGACAUUGACAUAAUAAUUUAACCCCAAAAGGAAAUAACAUAUAUAUUCUCAAGCAACCAAUGUGAAACUCUAACAUACAAGACGACAAUGUUUCAAUCCCAAAUUAGUUUGGAUCGGGAAAGGGUAUGAAUUUUACCUUUAACCCCAACUGAUGUGUAACUCUAAUACCCUCACACGCCUAGGACCGAACAUUUAAAGCUCGAAUAACAUAGUAAAAAGGAUAACUUUAAGUGCUCGUUAGCCACGAGGAACAAGGGAUAACUAAUCACAUGAUUAGUUUUAGAAUAGCUUAUCCCAUAUUUUUUUAAGAUAAAAUCGCGGGAACUUGUCCCAAUACUAGUUAUCUCGAGAUUGUAAUGUUAUCUUUAUCCCACACUGAAGGUGGGACAACAUUUCACUCUCAUCCAACCAAUGUGAAACUAGUCCCCUAAUACAACACCAAACAAGAAUCCUAAAGGGUAUGAAAUUUACCUUUUUGUCAAUGUAGUCAGCCCAGAAUCUAGCUUGUGCUCUGUCAUAAGGAUCGGAAGGAAGCAAAGGGGCUUUAUCCUUCCACACUUCAUCAAUAUACUCAACUGCAAUAAAAGACUCACAGAUUGGUUUUCCAUUGUGAAUCAAAACUGGUAUUUUCUUGUGGAUAGGAUUCAUCUGUAAAAGCAGUGGACUCUUGUUGGCUUCCAUCAAUUCCUCUUCUCUAUACUCAUAUUUUACCUCUUUUUCUUCAAGUGCAAUCCUAGGCCUCAUGCCAAACAUGCUUGGCCAGAAACCCAACAGAAUCACCUCAUCAUUAGCCAUUUUUGUUGUAUCAAGAACAAGAAUGCAAGUCAAGAAAAGAAAGAAGAUGUUUCCCAGGAUUGCUCAUUUGCUACUAGUAUAUUUAUACAGGUACAGCACUUGGAUGCCUUCUAUUUUCUAUCCGUUAGGUUGUGGUCAAAAUCAAAAACAGAUCAAUAUAAUCAAUUCUUAAAUCAUUAAAAUCUAUACACAGUUUCUUGUUAGUAAUGAAGUGACACGAAGAAUCUCUUUCAUUGUGAAUUAUUUAAUAGGUAACAUCUUUGCUGACUAGGUUCGCUUUGCAAUGGUACAACCAUGUAAUUAUUUAGUACUAUAAUUUUUAAACAUUAAUACCAUCCAUCUUGUAUACUCAGGCUGGUUUGGCUGGGUAUGUAGUUAUGAUUAGAUUAGUUAAAGAUGGAAUAAGUUAUAUUAGGAUUAGUUAUGCUAGGAUUAUUUUUUAUUGAGUGUUUGAUUUGUUGUAUUCAGUAAUAAGUAUGGUAUAAUUUCUAAGAAUAAAUUAACUGAUUAUCAAAAUAUCCUCCAUCUUAUUUAACUAUAUAUAUAUAUUCUUUUCAAGCUUUAAAUAUUUAUUCUUAAAAAUAAAACUUUCAUUUUAUUAAGCUUUAAUUUUUUUACGUAUGCCUUCCCAUGAUCAUGCAUCGUAUGUAUGUUAAAAAUAAAACUUUCAGCUUAUUUAGCUUUAAUUUUUUUUUUACGCGUGUCUUCCGAUGAUUAUGCCGUGUGUGUUUAAGAAAAAAUCUUACUACAUCUUAUUUAGUUUGAAAUAAAAACUUCCAACUUAAGUUUGUUAAAGUAAAAAAAGAUUUAUUGUUUAUGCCAUUCAUUUAAAUACAUAUCACUCAUAUAAUAUAGAAUAUAAAAUUCAUUUUAAUUCAUACAUACAAUUUAAGAAAACGAGUUGCAACACAUUGAGUGAAUUGGCAAGGCAUUUGGCCAAAAUAAAUAAAUAAUACUCACUUUUUUUAAUAAAUAAAUAGAGGCAUUUUGCAGAUAAGUAAUAAUUCAUAAUAAUAAACAGACCCCUGUACUAUGUCAGUUUUAUAAGUUGGACAUUUCUACUUACAUGUUUGUCAUUUGGACCCUUGAACCCAUCAAAAAGCAACAUUUCGCACCCUUUGACCGUUGACCUUGCCUAUAGGAAAGGUCAUGGUGACUAGGACAAAGAAAGUGUAACCACUCGCCUAGGGGUGCGAGUGGGGGUCAAUUUUUGACCAAUUUUACAUUAAAAUAAUUGAAAAAAUAAUAAUAAUUAAAAUUUUAAAAAAAAAUUAAAAAGGAUCCUUUUGUUCCUUCCAUCGUUUUAAAUUUAAAAAUAUUUUUUAAAAUUUAAAAAUAAUUUAAAAAUAUUUUUAAAAUUUUAAAAAAAAUUAAAAAUAUUUUUAAUUUUUUUCUUUAAAAAGGAUCCUUUUUUCCCCUCAAUUUUUGUUAAUUUAAAAAUAUUUUUAAAAUAAUUUAAAAAUAUUUUUAAAACAUAAAAAAAUCAUUUUAAAAACAUUUUAAAAAACUUUUUAAAAAAAUAUUUUUUUCCCUCCCCNNNNNNNNNNNNNNNNNNNNNNNNNNNNNNNNNNNNNNNNNNNNNNNNNNNNNNNNNNNNNNNNNNNNNNNNNNNNNNNNNNNNNNNNNNNNNNNNNNNNNNNNNNNNNNNNNNNNNNNNNNNNNNNNNNNNNNNNNNNNNNNNNNNNNNNNNNNNNNNNNNNNNNNNNNNNNNNNNNNNNNNNNNNNNNNNNNNNNNNNNNNNNNNNNNNNNNNNNNNNNNNNNNNNNNNNNNNNNNNNNNNNNNNNNNNNNNNNNNNNNNNNNNNNNNNNNNNNNNNNNNNNNNNNNNNNNNNNNNNNNNNNNNNNNNNNNNNNNNNNNNNNNNNNNNNNNNNNNNNNNNNNNNNNNNNNNNNNNNNNNNNNNNNNNNNNNNNNNNNNNNNNNNNNNNNNNNNNNNNNNNNNNNNNNNNNNNNNNNNNNNNNNNNNNNNNNNNNNNNNNNNNNNNNNNNNNNNNNNNNNNNNNNAUUAAUUUAAAAUUUAAUUAAUUUAAAUAAAUUAAUUAGUUAAGAAUUUUAAUUAAUUAAUUUUUACUAAUUUAAAUUUAAAAUUUAAAUUAAUUAAUUAAAUUUAUUUUUAUAUUUAAUUAAUUUUAAUGUAAUACUUUUUUUAAUUAUUUUUUUUAUUUUUUUAUUUUAAAAAUGGUUAUUUAAAUUUUUCAAAUUUUAAAAGCAUGAUUAUUCAAAUGUUUCUACAAUUUAUAAAUUUUUCUUAUUUAAUUUAAUUAAUUUUAAUAUUUAAUUUGUUAUGUAGCAUUUUAAAAAUGAUUUGGAAUUUAAUGUAAUACUGUUCUAUUUUUUUAUUUUUUUAAAAUGACGUGGUAGAUGACGUGGCAUGCGUGGCAGAUGAUGUGGCAGAUCACAUGGGAGAGUGUGUUACACUAUCCAAAAAAGUGUUUAAAAUGUAGUUUUUUCGUGGGUUCAGGGGUCCAGAUGACAAAUAUAUAAGUAGAAGUGUCCAACUUAUAAAACUGACAUAGUACAGGGUCCAAUGGAGCAUUUUGCCUAAUCUGAAUGCAUAACUAGUUUACCUGCUAGGCAGCUAAGAAAUUUUAUUUGAAUAUAGGUAGGGGUAAUUUUGUCUUUUUCUAAUUUUAUCCCAAGAAUAAAUAAUGAUAGGAUUGUUAUCCCACCAAUGGGUGGAUAACUUAUCUCGAUACUAUUUAUUAGUUUCGGAAUAAGUUAUCCCGAAUAUUACCAACCAAACAUAGCAUUAUAAAUUUUAUCUCGAGAUUAUUAUUUUAUUCCAGGAUUAUUUGUUUUUGUACCUUAAACUAAACGAUCCCUUACCUUCGUUUGGUUGGGAACAAGUUAUCCCAAAAUAAUUAAUCUCGAGAUUAAUUAUCCCACCAUAUAUAUGGGAUAACUUAUAUGAUGGGAUAAGUAAUCCUAUUACUAACUUAUCUCAUCAACCAAACAUGAAAUUAAAAUAAUUCCACAGUUUAUCCCAAGACUAUUAUGUACUUUAAUUAUUUUUAUACUGCAUAACAUAAUAUACAUAUUUUCUUAUAAUAACUUGUGCAGUAUUUGUUAUACAAAUUUCUAAAUUUCAAAACAAACAUCAUAUUAAUUUAUAACCAUUUAAGGCGGUAUCAAUCAUGCAGAUUUUUACACAUAACUCACCUUCAAAUCAACUAUCACACUACAUACAAUAUAAUAAUGUAGAACUAGCAAAUGAGUAGUAGCAAAAUUCUGCUUUCUUCUUGAUUCAUCACAAAUGGCUGAGGAUGAGGUGAUUCUGUUGGGUUUCUCGGCCAGUGUGUUUGGCAUUAGGCCAAGGAUUGCACUUGAAGAAAAACAGGUAAAAUAUGAGUACAGAGAAGAGCUAUUGGUGGGUAAUAACAAAAGUCCACUGCUUCUACCGAUGAAUCCCAUACACAAGAAAAUCCCAGUUUUGAUUCACAAUGGAAAACCAAUCUGUGAGUCUCUUAUUGAAGUUGAGUACAUUGAUGAAAUGUGGAAGGAUAAAGCUCUUUUGCUUCCUUCUGAUCCUUAUGAGAGAGCACAAGCUAGAUUCUGGGCUGACUACAUUGACAAGAAGGUAAAUUCACACUAAUUUGGGAUUGAAGCAUUCUUGUGUUGUGUUAUUAGAGUUUCACAUUGGUUGGUUGAGAGUAUAAAAUGUUAUUUUCUUGUAGUCUUGGUUGAUUGUGAUCUAAAUAAAUAGUCUUUGUUAAUCUUCACUUCUUAGCUAGCUCCCCCACACCCCAGAUGCUCAGUCGUAGGCGUGCAGGGUGUUAGAGCUUCAAAAUAGUUGAAGAGAUGAAAUAUUGUCUCUCUAUGGUCUUAGUUAAUCUUCACUUCACAAGCUAGUUCCCAGUGCUCCUCCAGAUGGCCAGUCCUAGGCUUCGAGGGUGUUAGAGUUUUAUACUUUUUUAAGAAAUAGAAUAGUCUCAGUUAUAUAGUCUUGGUUAAUCCUUACUUCAUAAGCUACGUUUCUGGUGCUUCAAGUUCUCAGACCUAGGCAUUGCGGUAUUAAAGUUUCACACUAGUUAUUGUUAUAUAGUCUUGGUAAAUCCUAUUCCCAUGUUUGUUGAAAUUUCAGUUGUAUGAUCCUGCAAAGAAGAUACAUAUAACAAAGGGUGAUGAGCUGGAGGCUGCUAAAAGAGAUCUCAUAGAAGUCCUUAAAAUGCUGGAGGGAGUACUUGGAGACGACUUAUUUUGGAGGGGAUAACUUUGGUUAUUUGGAUAUUGCUCUGAUUGGGUUCUAUGGCUGGUUUCCUACCUAUCAGACUUAUUUUAACUUCAGCAUAGAGGCUGAGGGCCCAAAGAUUGUGGGUUGGGGAAAUAGGUGCAUGCAGAGGGACAGUGUUGCUAAGACUUUGCCCAGACCAACGGAAGAUCCUUGAGCUUCCAAAACUUAUUAGGCAGAGGCUUGGAAUUGAAUAAGCAUAUGAUUAUGCAAUUAUGCAUCAUAAUGUAUUGAAAAAAGACACUUCAGUGUGCCUUCUUGUGUUGUUUUCUCAAGAUUUGAAAUGUUUGUUUGGUCAUACUGUAAGUUCUACUUGUACUUUUAAUAAAGGGACUCUUAGCUUGUGUCCUGUCGAGGGUCAGCUUUUGUAGUCCUCGCUUCUAGUUUUGGGGCUUCUCCUCUCCGUAAUGAGAAAGCGCCUUUUUUAAUAGUACCAUCUACUAUAAUAAUAACUACGUUUUAGUUCUAAACAAGUUGAGAUCGACUAUAUGAUUCCACUUUGUUCUGUCAGAAACAUAGUAAUAAUCCGAUGAAACACUGUCCCAUUUCAUGAUCAAAGUAAACCAGGCUCAUUUUCACCCUUUUAUCUUGUUCCAAAUCAACAUCAUAUCUUUUGAUAAACGAAACAAUCAUUUUAUAAAACAUAUCCAAUAGAGCAAAUCUGAAUCCGUCAGAGAUACUUCACCAUAGCUGUCAAAGCAUAUUCAGUCAAUUAGCACUCGACAGUUCCAAAAUGACUAAGAACAAAAUUAGGUGAUCUGUCCUUAUUUAUUGAUCCCACUAGCAUUAGAACAACUCCUUGCCCAUAAGAAAUAUUAAUAAAUUUUAUGUAUCACUAAGUACGUAGUCAGGGUAGAUAUUAAUUUUUUAAAACAUAAUAUUAAAUAAUUAAAGGUUUGUAACUGAUAUUAUAAAAAUAUACGUAUAAUUUAUAAUCACACAUGAUUGUUUAGCUCACAAAUAAAAUAUUAUAAAAUUUUCAAAGAAAAAAAAAAAGACGAGAACGUUGGGGGAACGAAUCUCGAGUAUUACCUAAUUCGAUGGAUUAAAAAACUAAAGGGUACUAGGAGUAUUUCUUAUGCGAGAUUUAGUUAUUAUGUAUUAGGUACAUUCUAUCCUACAUAAUAUAAUGGGUUAAUUCAUUAUGAGACACCUAAAAUUGUUCCGAAAAUUCACAGAUUUCUCAACUAAGACCUGUACCUAUUAUUUUCCUAACCCACCCAAAUUUUGAUUCAAUCAAGCCUUUUUUACACAAUCAGCAAAAAGUACAUAGAGGGUGUUACACUCGCGUGACGUGGCACAAACGACGAAUUAAAUGAUGACACUUGGCAUUGAAUUCAAAAUUAAUUAAAAAAUAUUCCAUAACUAAUUAAAUUAUAAUUUAUUUUUUCAAAUAUUUUUGUUGAUUUGUGAAAAAAAAAAUGAAUUUACAUUUUUCCGGUAAAGUUCUAUUUUUUCCGGCUAAACUCCAUUUUUUCGACAAACUAAUGGCGGAAAAGAAUUAAGAAUAAGAUCGAACUAAGAAUAAAAAAAUUCAAAUCGAAUUUAAAGAUAAAUUCAAAACUAAGAACAAAAUAGGAGAAAAAGUAGAAAAAAUGGGAGGUAAAUUGACAAAGUUUCAUUUUUUCCGGCAAACUAUCCGGUAAAGUUUCUUUUUUUCCGGCAAACUAAUGGCGGAAAAGAAUUAAGAAUAAGAUCGAACUAAGAAUAAUAAAAUUCAAAUCGAAUUCAAAGAUAAAUUCAAAAUUAAGAAUAAAAAAGGAGGAAAAAAGAAAAAUUGGAAGGUAAAUUAAGUUUAAUUAAAAAAAUGAGUAAGAAGAGUGGGAAAGAAGCUGAAGAGAGGGUGGGGGUAUCGGAUUGGGUGGGGGAGCCUUUUUUUAAAAAAGUUUUAUUUUAUUAAAAAAAAAAUUUUGGGCCCUCAGUGCCACCUGACACGUUUUCAUUCGUUAUUUAUUAAAAGUAAACGUGCUUCACGCACUCCUAUUGAGUGGACAACACGCGGAGUGCCACAUAGGCAAUAUAGGCUUGAUGGAUCAAUUUCGGGUAGGUUAGGGGCCUAAUAGGUACAAACCCUAGUUGAGGGGUCUAAGUGAAUUUUCGGGACAAUUUUAGGUGUCUGGCGAUACUUAAGCCUAAUAUAAUAUACAUAUUCCCUUAUUACUUGUACAUCAUCAAUUAUAUGAAUUUAUAAAUUACAAAUCAAAUACCAUAUUAAUUUAUAAACAUCUAAGAUAAUACUUUUUCAUACCAAAAUAAUUGAAUUGUUGGGUAUGACACAUUUUUUGAGCCGGAGGUCUAUUAGAAACAGUUUCUCUACUUCUUCGAAAGUAGCGGUAUGGACUGCGUACAUUUUACAGUCCUCAAACCUCACUUUAUGGAAAUACACUAAGUUUGUUUUGUUGUUGAGUGUGACACACUCCUUAAGAAAAAUCUUUUAGGACAUAAAUUGUAGUUUAUUUUUCACUAUUACUCCUUUAAUUAUUUUUAAAUUACUCUCCUAGAUAAUGUGAAGUACUUAAGAAUUUUAUUAAAUGAAACGGCAAAAUUAAAAGAAAUUUUCAACAUGUCUCUCCAAAAAUGAAUAAUUAAUUUAUUUUCAACAUUAAAAAAUAGCUAAAUAAUUUAUUUAUUUUGAAAUAAAGAGAGUAUCAAUCAUGUUGAUGUUAACACAUAACUGACCUUCAAAUCAUCUUUCACGCCACCCCAAACUGUGUAUGGACCACGACACUACAUAUGCACACACACAAAAAAAAAUUCGAAAAUUGAAGGCAUGCAAGUACUAUUUACUAUUAAAUAAUAAUGUAGAACUAGCAACUAUGUAGUAGAAAAAUUGUGCUUCCUUCUUGUUGACUUGCUUUCUUCUGUUGUUGAUACUAACAAAAAUGGCUAAUGAUGAGGUGAUUCUGUUGGGUUUCUGGGCCAGUGUGUUCGGUAUUAGGCCAAGGAUUGCACUUGAAGAAAAAGAGGUAAAAUAUGAGUAUAGAGAAGAGGAAUUGGUGGGUUAUGUCAAAAGUCCACUGCUUUUACAGAUGAAUCCUAUACACAAGAAAAUACCGGUUUUGAUUCACAAUGGAAAACCAAUCUGUGAGUCUUUUAUUGGAGUUGAGUACAUUGAUGAAGUGUGGAAGGAUAAAGCUCCUUUGCUUCCUUCUGAUCCUUAUGACAGAGCACAAGCUAGAUUCUGGGCUGACUACAUUGACAAGAAGGUAAAUUCAUUCAUACUAAUUUGGGAUUGAAGUAUUGUUGUGUUGUGUUAUUAGAGUUUCACAUUGGUUGGUUGAGAGUAUAAAAGGUUAUUUUCUUGUAGUCUUGGUUGAUUGUGAUCUGAUGAGUUAGCUUUUGAGGUUACGUUAUUAAGUCAAUGUCCACUUUGUAAACAUGUUAUUAGUGUUAGGCUCAUUUUUAUUCUUUUUUAUACCUAAUGUUGGCCUUCUUAUUAUGUUGUCCAUAGUCAAAGAUGUUCAGUCCAUAGGCAUGAGGUAUUAGUGGUUCGCACUGGUUGUAGACUAAGUUGCUCGAACUCUUCACUUUUGGUGCCGUAGUUGUGUCGGCACGACAAGGUGUGGGUAUAGACGUGGAUCCGUAUCGGAUCUAGUUAAUUAAGUUUGGAUACUUUGAUAAAAAUCAAUGGAGAAAUUCCGAACAGAUUCAUGGUUUCUAUCAUUAAAACAAAAGCUAAGGUAAAAUUGAAGUUCCUUAUAUGAAGAAACUUUUGUGGCACUCCUUUUCCUUUUAUCUCCUUCUAGAAUUCCCCCCUCGACCAGUAUUUCAACCUCAAGUUUUUCACAUAUAUCUCAUAAUUUAGGUUUUAUAACUCUAUCUUUAGAUAUUUGAAUUAUUUUUAGUCGAAUCCCUGCACCCGUAUCUUAAUGGAUCCAUAUGUCUGAAUCUUAAAAUUAGAUCAUGAAGGAUCCGACCUAGAUUUGUACCGUAUGGCCGUAUCAAACACCUGCACCCGAGUCCGAUAACCUUAGGUUGUAGAAAUGAUAUAUUGUCUCGUAAUAAAUAGUCCUUGUUAAUCUUCACUUCUUAGCUAGCUCCCCCACACCCCCCCCGUUCAAAUUAGUUGAAGAAAUGGAAUAUUGUCUCACAAUAUAGUCUUGGUUAAUCUUCACUUCACAAGCUAGUCCCCGGUGCUCCUCCAGAUGGUCAGUCCUAGGCUUCCAGGGUGUUAAGAGUUUUAUAUUAGUUUAAGAAAUAGAACAUUGUCUUGUUAUAUAAUCUUGGUUAAUCCUCACUUCAUAAGCUAGGUUUCCCAUGCUUCAGGUUCUCAGUCCUAAGGAUUGUGGUAUUAAAGUUUCACAUUAGUUGAACAAAUAGUACAUUAUCUCGUUAUAUAGUCUUGGUUAAUCCUAUUCCUGUUUAUGUUGAAAUUUCAGUUGUAUGAUCCUGCAAAGAAGAUGCAUACAACAAAGGGAGAUGAGCUGGAGGCAGCUAAGAAAGAUCUCAUAGAAGUCCUUAAAGUGCUGGAGGGAGUACUUGGAGACGAGACUUAUUUUGGAGGGGAUAACUUUGGUUAUUUGGAUAUUGCUCUGAUUGGGUUCUACGGCUGGUUUCUUACCUAUGAGACUUAUGGUAACUUCAGCAUAGAAGCUGAGUGCCCAAAGAUUGUGGCUUGGGGCAAGAGGUGCAUGCAGAGGGACACUGUUGCUAAGACUUUGCCAGACCAACAGAAGGUCCUUGAGUUUGCAAAACUUGUUAGGCAGAUGAUUGGACUUGAAUAAACAUAUGCUUAUGCAAUUAUGCAUCAUAAUGUAUUGGCAAAAGACACUUCAGUGUGCCUUCUUGUGUUGUUUUCUCAAGAUUUGAAAUGUUUGUUUGGUUAUAGUGUAAGUUCUACUUGUACUCGUAAUAAAGGGACUCUUAGCUUGCGUCCUGUUGAGGAUUAGCCUUUGUAGUCCUUGCUUCUAGUUUUGGGGCUUCUCCUCUCCGUAGUGAGAAGUGAACACUCUUUUUAGUAGCCCCAUCUACUGUAACAAUAACUACGUUUUAGUUCUAAACAAGUUGAGAUUGGCUAUAUGAUUCCACUUUAUACUGUCAGAAACAUAGUAAUAAACUGUUGAAACACUCCCAUUUCAUGAGCAAAGUAAACCAGGCUCAUUUACCUAAUGAGUGCAAUAUAUAUCUAGCAGCAGUACAGAAGCAUAUGCACUCGAAUUUUGUAUAUACAGAGCAGCAAAUGAUAUUGAGUUAUUGACAAUCCCCAUUAUUCACAGUGAAAGCAAACUAUUCCAAUUGUAGACAUGAGUGAAUAUUUUCUACACAUUUUGACUUGAAGAUAGUCAUCUAGCAAUAAAUAAAUAAUAUUCACUCUUAGCUGACCCAUCACAAAUGCAUGAAGAACCAGUGAAUUAGUUUUCUAAGCAGCAGCCCAUUGCCCAUGUUAACUAGCAGGUCACAGUGCUAGUGUAGGAAUUAAAUUUGACAGAUGAAUCUAUAUAUAUAUAUAUAAAAGAGAAUCAAGACCAUGCUGAUGUGGCAUGUCUAAGAGGCCACCAUUUGCAUUUAUCUUUUUUUCUCAUUUUUUUGAAAAUUUUUACUCAUUCUUUUGGUGAAAAAAUUAAGAUAAUAUACACAUUUAUUAGAAAAACAAUCCCAAUAAGGACAGACUGUCAUUCCAUAUUAAUUAAAACGUUACCAUCUCUCGAACUGAUGAAGCUUAUGUACAUUUAUAACUCACAAUGAUAGUUCAUGGUAUCUUUGUCUCCUUAUCUUUGUAUGUAGUUCUCCAGGACGCGCUAGAAGUCCACACAGAAGAUCUCCGAUUGGUCGUCGAUCCAGCCGUUCACCUAUUAGGAGGCCUAUCCGUUCACGAUCAAGAUCCAUCUCUCCUAGGCGGUAAUGCAUAAAUUUGUAUAAUCUUUAUCGCUAAAUGUGUAGUGUCUAAUUGUAUCAAAUUUUGUUUCGUGUCUUUGAACUACUUGUCUGUUGCUAUUAGGUGCGGUCUGUAGUUUUUCCUUUUAUGCAUCUCUUCCUCAUUUUAAAUGUGCAUACGUUUUUUCUCUUCCUUCAUGGCGUGUUCUGAUGCCUGGUUUCUUUCUUUGGGUAUAUCUAAUAUUUACGACACUAUUAUCCGAGAACAUAAUGUUAUUAAAUUUAUGAAAGAAUGCCAUUUCCUGUUUAUACAAGUAAGUAAUAUUUAUUCAUGAAUUGCUUCAGGUAUAGGGGAAGGGUGUUGGGAUAUAAAAGAGAACGUAAAAAAUAGAGAGUAUUUAUCAGAAAUUGUUUUAUUGCAAUUGAAAGAUCUGCAGCAGUGGCCUAUUAAAUAGGCUUACAACCAACUAGUAUUAGCUAAGAAUAAGCAACUAGAAGAUUAGUGGAUAAACAUGCCCACUACUUCUAUCAUGCUAACUAACUAAACUAAACUAGCACUACUUUUACUAGCUAAAAACUAGGAACUAAUUGAUAGCUUUUAAAGCAUUAAUCAACACUCUCCCUUGCUUCAAAGCUUGUACUCCCAUCUGCAGUCUGAAGUACUCAUGCUUCUCAACUGGAAGCACUUUAGUUAGAAUAUCAGCAACUUGUUCACUUGUGCCACAAUGUUUCAAGACAAUGCUUCCACUUGAUACCAAAUCUCAUAUGAAGUGGUACCAAAUAUCAAUAUGCUUUGUCCUACCGUGAAAUGCCGGAUUUUUUGUCAUUGCAAAUUUGCAAUAGUUGCUUUGCUAUCGUAGAAAAUAUCAGUUGCAGCAGCCUGCUCCUAAAAGACAUCAUCAUGCAACCUCUUUAGCCUAACCGCUUGACAGAUGAUGCAGUAGUAGCAAUAUAUUUUACUUCGGACGAUGACAAGGCCACAAUCUCUUGCUUCUUUGAACUCCAAGAUAUAACACCUUGCUUCUUCACAUAGAGAGUUGACUCAUUUUUACUCCUUUCAAAUCCAUUCCCUAGGAGAUAAGAGCCGAUCUUGCUAUACCAUACCCGCAGGGCUUGCUUUAGGCCAUAUAAGGCCUUUUUCAACCUGUACACUUUACUUUCUUGUCCGCUCAUAACAAAACUUUCAGGUUAAGAAACAUAAACUUCUUCCUCCAGUUCUCCAUUUAAGAAGGCAGACUUAAUAUCAAAUUGGUAAACUUGCCAAGAGAGUUGAGCAGCAAGAGCUAAGAGAGUUCUCACCGUUUCAAAGCGUGCAACGGGAGAGAAUGUUUCAUCAAAAUCAACUCCUUGCUAUUGUGCAUAUCCUUUUGCAACAAGCCAAGCUUUGUGCUUCUGAACAGAUCCAUCAGUAGAGUACUUUGUUUGAUACACCCAUUUCAGGCUAAUAAUGUUCUUUCCUUCUGGUAAAUUAACUAAUUCCCAGGUUUCAUUCUUUUCAACAACUUUGAUUUCUUCCACCAUUGCUUGUUGCCACUCUUCUUUUCCAGCUGUUUCUAUAUAAUAUAUGGGAUCUGAAACAAGAAGUAUAUAUAUUGUUAGAGUAUCUGGGAUUUGGUUUCUUGUCUCUUAUUGAUCUUCUAAGUGGACUUGGCUCUGUUGAAGAUUCUUCAAUUAUUUCAGAUAUUACUGGUGCCGAUUGUUUAGCAACAGGUGACUUGGGUGCACCAUCAGAAACUAAAGAACCUGUUGGUCCAUCAUUCCAAGCCCAACUUCUUGCCUCAUUGAACCUAACAUCCCUGCUUACAAUAAUUUUGCCACUCUUUGGGUUAUACAAUUUAUAUGCUUUGGAUUGAGUACUAUAGCUCACAAAAACACAUUUUUCUGAUUUCACAUCAAGUUUGAGCGAGAUGAAGAAGUAUCCAAAGCAUAUGCUAAACAACCAAAAACUUUUAGAUAGCUUACCCGUGGCUUCCUGCCCUUCCAAGCUUCAUAUGGAGUUUGAUUCAUGACUGUCUUUAUUGGUGAGAUAUUGAGAAGAUACACUGUCAUUGCCACUGCUUCUGCCCAAAAUUUCAUUAGAAGUUCUGCUUCUUUCAUCAUGGUUCAAGCCAUUUCAACCAUUGUCUGAUUCUUCCGUUCGGCCACUCCAUUUUGCUCCGGUGUGCGAUUGUUGUCAACUCCCUAUGAAUAUCAUCUUUUUCACAAAAUUCAUUAAAUUCUUUAAAAGUAAAUUCACCGCCUACAUUCGAACGGAGAGCCUCUAAAGAACAUCCACUUUGCUUCUCUUCUAAUGCCUUGAAUUUCCUGAAAUUCUCAAAGGUUUCAAAUUUGAACUUCAAGAAAUAAACCCAACAAUUCAAUUAUAAUCAUCAGCAAACAACAAAAAAUAUCGACUUCCACCUAAGGAUUCAAUACUCAUCGGACCACAAACAUCAGUGUGCACCAAUUCAAGACAACUUGAAGCCCUCCAAGCCUUGUUUACAGGAAAUGAGACUCUCCUUUGCUUUCAGUAGACACGUCCUUCACAAAAAUCAAGACCAUCAAUUUUAUAUAGCCCAACAACCAUAUUAUUUUGACCCAACAAUUUCAGUCCUUUAACAUUCAGAUGUCCAUACCUUAGAUACCAUAAACUAGUAUCACUAGAUUUCGUAACUAAAGCAGAAUUUUGCACACUAGAGACUUCUAAAGGAAACAUAUGAUUUUGUCUCAUAGAAAUGGUUACAAUAUUUUUCCCAAAUUUCAUAUCAUAAAUAGUGCAACCAUAAUCAUCAAACAAAAUAGAGUAACCACCAGUUAUCAAUUGCCCAGCACUUAACAGGUUAUGAACCAAAUUAGGAACAUACUGCAUAUCAUGUAAUAGUUUUACAUUACUGUCACGACCCAAACUAGGGCCUGGCUGUGACGAAUAUCCCAAACCACGAAGGCCCGGGACGCCCUUCUCUAUCUGGUAAUUAUGCACAACAUUCAUAUAAUAAAAGAAGAUGCGAAAACAUAAUCUGCUAUGGAAACAUGGUCAAUUCUGAAUUCAACAUAAGUAUGGAAGCUGUAGAUCAACUAUAUCUAAAUAACAUCUGACUCAGUCUGCGAAUUAUCUACUACACGAAAAUCUGACAACUAUAUGAAAUCUGGGACAAGGCCCCCAGUAGACCAAAACUAAAUUAAGUGACAUAAUCUGAAAAGACAUGCCUUCUAGAAUAAAGAAGGCUCACCAACUGAACAUUGCAACUCUGUCUGAUAACAAUCUACUCCUUUUCUGGACCCCUAGACAGAGCCUCAGAACUUGGAGGGAGGAGGGGGGGUCAAUACAGAUGUACUAGUACGCAAAGUAAUCCAAAAUAAAAUUUGUAUAUAUAUAUAAAAUAGUUGGAGAGCAAUUUGUCAAAAUGUCAUACAUGAAAUAGUUCUAAAACGCAUGGGCACCUUUCUGAAAAGUCAUAAAUCAUUCUUGACAAUGCAGUUUCUAAUCUUCGUAUUAAUUCUGAGUUAAGUGGCACUCCCCUACAAUUCUGAUAUUCCAUGGACAGUAUGGAAUCCGUCAUUGGCUUGGCGGGGAAGCCCCCAACCCGAGUGUGCCGCAAGGGUUGGAGUUUCUGAUUCUGAUACGCCACACAACACUAGGCCAGCAUAAUAUAAUAUACCCGGAUUGUCAAAUCACGAUUUUGGGCAAUGAUUUAUCUAAACUCAUGCCUUCUUUAGGGAACCACCUAAGCUCUCUUUAUGCCUAAUUUUAUCUUGCUCUAAAUCAUGCAUUAUUCUAGUUUUCAGCAUUUGAAAAUUCUGACUUUAAACAUGCAUUCUAUUCUGUUCUGAAUUACCAUGGCAUAAUCUGAAUUGGUAUCGUCACACCAAGACUUGGAAGUCCUAAUUCUGAGCCAUAAUGCAUCAUGCAUAAUUUUUUCAUUAAAACAUAGUUCAGACCACCCAAACAUGCAAAUAGUAUAAGAGAUUUCAUGUUUUGAAAGCAUAAGUCAAAACUAUGCAAGAACUCUUCAAAUGUAAGGUGGUCAUGUGCUUUUGGCAAAAUUCAUGCACUCUUUCAUUAUAUGUAUUUUCAACCUUUUUCAAUACAAACAACCCUCUCUUUUGAAUUCAAGACUCAUAACCAAAUCAUUCAUAAAUCAAGACACUUCGUAACAUGCUUUUCAAGAUGCAUUUCAAAAACAAUCCAUAUCUGUGAGUCAUGUGCUCAAUUCAAAUAUUAACUUAAAUAACAUACAUAUGCAUAUAUACAAUUUCAAAUCAAUGUGGGGAAGGUCAAAAGACCAAAACAAUACCGUCAAGAUUUCUAAAGCAUGAAUGUAUUCAUAAAUCUGAAAACCCCUUUCUUAAAAUCAUGAUUUCUAUGCCCAUGAGAUUUUAGGAAAACCCCGCGUACCUCGAUUUCGGAGAAUAAUGAAUGAUUCUUGAAUCUUACGGAUUGGGGAUUCCAAAUCUCUGAUUAUAUUCAAAAACUCACGGUUGAAUCUUGAAUUAUUUGGGAUUUUUGUUUGAAACCCUAGAGAGCGUUCUUGAUGAAAUUUGGUGAAAGUGUAUGUGUUUAGGUGUAUUUGGGAUUAAAUCCCGUGUUUGGAUAGGUUUGGGGCCAUGAGAAAUGUCUAAUUUGACCUUGGAAUUUAAAAUCCCAGACUGGAACGCCGUAAAAGGCUUCACCACGAUGCGCUGGAAAUCACGGUGAGUUACUGGAAUUGACAAUUGUCAAUUUAAGGCUCAUCGCGAUGCGGUGGCCAGUCAAUCGGGAAUGCUGACACUAAAAAUGCUCUAACUUCUUCACCGAGUGUUCGUUUUAGGCGAAUUUGGUAUCGAUGGAAAGAUAAUUCGAAGUUUUUUCAUUUGAUAUAUAGUAGGACACACAGUUUGUUAUAUACAAGGAGAUAUAGUAGAUUGGAGAUGACUCAAGUUUCGACGCUCACUAAAACUCGAACGAUAGGAAAACUUUCAACUUGACCUUGAGUUAGGGGACCUUUAUGAUCUCAAUUCAUGCUCAAAUAGGUUACCACACUACAUACUUGAUUAACAUAGAAAAUUUGCAUAGGAUUUAUGGCUUUUGGAUCAUCUACGCAUAGAAAUGACGAUUUUCAUUCUAGCCCGAAACACGGGGCGUUACAAUUACCCUAGGUGGUUUUGAUAGCAAUUGUACCUUUUCCUUCAACUUUCAUUGGCUUGUUGUCUACAAGUCGGACCUCAGUUUUUUGGGAUUCGUCAAGUUCUUUAAAUAGUGACCUCGUUCUGGACAUAUGGUCUGAGCACCCACUGUCCAUGAACCACACUCCAUUAAGGCCAUCAUCGGUAGAAGAUUGAGUCAUGAAUAACUUACUUACUUCUUCAACUUCCUCUGUCAAAUUUGCUUGCUUUUGGCCGUCCCUCUGUUUGGUCUAGCAAUCAACUUCUAUGUGACCCAACUUCUUGCAAUAUCUACACAUAAUGUUGUUUCUGUUUUGACAUUGGUCACUAAAUUAGCCUCUUCCUCUGCCGUUUCCAUGACCUUGACCUCGGUAACCACCUCGUCCUUUACCUCGACCACCUAAAUAUUCUGAUUUUCCUUUGUAAAAAGACUCCCCCUUUGCCUGGAAAGUUUUCUCCUCCACCUUUUCGUAGGACCUACUAAUCCGAACUUCAUGGGCUAAUAAUGAACUAAUUAAUUCAUCAAAAUUAUAAGUAGAAAGGUCCUUAGAUUCUUCUAUUGGAGCAAUAACAUGGUCAAAGCCUUUUGUUAGACUUCUCAACACUUUACUCACGAAUGUUUCAUUAUUAAUAUUUUCACCAUAUGUUUUUAUGUGAUUAAUAACUCCAGACACCUUAAACAUAUAUUCCUGCACAAAUCUUUUAUCUUUCAUGGCCAAAUUUUCAAACUCACAAUGAAAUAUUUGUAGUUUCACAGUAAUUACCUUCUUGUCGCUCAAAUACUCUUGCUUCAGAGUUUUCCAUGCUUGGUUGGAGGUUGUUGCAGUUUCAAUUCUGGAAAAAUUUCAUCGUCCAGUGCCGAUUGGAUGAGAAAUAGUGCCUUUGUAUAUUUCUUGUGAGUCUCCCGUAGUUGAUCGCUAGGUUGAGCCGGUGCCGAAUUUGGCUUAACAUAACCCUGUCCACCAAAUCCCAUAGCUCUUGGAAAUUGAACAUUGUUUUCAUUUUGAGGCUCCAAAGAUAAUAUUUUCCCCCUUCAAAUAUUGGAAUUAGGGGCUGAGAAAAUGAGUUGAAACUGUUGCUUGCCAUGGACUGCUCUCAAUUUAUUGCCCAAUUUUUUAGAUUGUUGCUUGCUCUGAUACCAAAAAUAUUAUUGGGAUAUAAAAGAGAACGUAAAAAACAGAGAGAGUAUUUAUUAGAAGUUGUUUUAUUGCAAUUGGAAGAAUUGCAGCAAUGGCCUAUUAAAUAGGCUUACAACCAACUAGUACAACAACAACAACAACAUACCCAGUGUAUUCCCACCUAGUGGGGUCUGGAGAGGGUAGAGUGUACGCAGACCAUACCACUACCUCAACAGAAGUAGAGAGGCUGUUUUCGAUAGAACCCCGGCUUAGGACCAAUAACAGUAUAACAAAUAUAAAAAGUAAGAGCAUAUAAACUAGCAUGGUACACAAAACAAACUACCAUUAUAACAAACACAAAAAUAAGUGUAUAAUAAAGUAGUACGGGAUGCAAAAAAGCCAACACCACUAGCCCUAUUACUACCUCUGCGCUCCCACUCUCUAACCCUCUACCCUAAUCCGUGUCCUCCACACCUUCCUAUCAAGGGUCAUGUCCUCUGUAAGUUAUAAUUGCUCCAUAUCAUGCCUAAUUUCUUCGGUCUACCUCUAUCCCACCUAAAACCAUCCCUAUCCAGAGUCUCACACCUCCACACUGGAGCAUUAGGGCCCCUCCUUUUGCAACUUAUCCUCCACCGAGGCAACUCCCACCUUCUCCCGAAUAAUCUCAUUCCUCACCCUGUCUUUCCUAGUAUGUCCACACACCCAUCGCAAUAUUCGCAUCUUCGCCACCUUCACCUUUUGGAUGUGGGAGUUUUUAACUGGCCAACACUCCGCUCCAUACAACAUAGUCGUUCGGACUACCACUCUUUAAAACUUACCUUUAAGCUUCGGGGGCACCUUCUUAUCACAAAGGACUCUGAAGCGAGCCUCCACUUCAACCACCUUUCCCCAAUACGAUACGUGACAUCCUUGUCAACCUCACCAUUACCCUGAAUUAUAGACCCUAGUAUUAGCUAAAAAUAAGCAACUAAAAAAUUAGUGGAUAAACGUGCCCACUACUUUUAUCAUGCUAAUUAAUUAAACUAAACUAACACUACUUUUACUAGCUAAAAACUAGGAACUAAUUGACACCUUUUAAAGCAUUAAUGAACAAAGGGGUCCAGUUGCAAGACGUGGGAGGUCAUCAUCCUAUUUUUCUUUUCUCGGUCCUCGCAAGGUCUGUAUUUGGGACUUUACUUUUACAAGCUUAUCUGUUAGAUUAUUGUUUACUUUUCUCUUUGGGUCAAACCAUUACAUUGUUUGAUUUGGAUAUAAUUUGCUUAUUGUAUUUAGGGUCCCCGCAAGAUUUCAAGGAGACACAAUCCUAGAAGGAGGUGGUUUCUAUGCAAUCUCUUACUUAUAAUUGUAUUUGCCUUGUGUGUUUGCUAUUAUUUUGGAUUUUAGAUUCUUGCUUUAGUUAGUUAUUCAUAUGGUAGGGGUUUCUUUAGCUUGCGCGACUCUAAAUCUAAGACCCUUUAUAGACAAUUUUGCAAUUUGAAUAUAGAAAUGACGCAAAACAGAGUUGGAAUUGUCAGGUUGUUAUUAUGUUAUCGAGUUUGAUAUGCUUGUGAUUCAUGAAAAUGUAGGCCUUUAAGAAGGAGGAGCUCCAGCAAGAGUGAUAGCAACAGUUCGCCGCCUCGUAGGCCUUAAGUUAAUUCUUUCAAGAAAUCGUGACAUUGACGAUUGUAGGGAUCUCCUCUUAAUGGAUGAGCUGUGUAAUCUUAAUUAUUACUUGAUUACUUGAUUUCCUACUUCUUAAAUUACACUUCGACUUAGUGAGGCAAUAUCUUUCAAUCCUGAUGUUGAAAAGAACAUAUUCAAUUUAUUCCUCAAUAGGUGGACAGAUUGAACAUGCUCCAUAAUAACAAUAGUAGGUCAUCUGCAAAUGUAAGUGUUUUAUCCCCAAUCUUUGAUAAAUAGGAUGGUAGUUAAAAUUGGAGUCCUUCUUCAAGUGUUGAGACAUAUGUUCAAGUAUUCCAUUAGUAGAACAAACAAACAGUGUGACAUGGAUCCCCUUGCCUUAAGCAUCUUUUAGCUGCCAUGUUCUUCAAGAGUAUCCUAUUUAUUUGGGUUUGAAGCCCAGUUAGUUCUAUUCUUCCUAUCAAGAUCCUGUACUUAACCACCUUAGGAUUUAGUAUCUACUUGACUGUUGAUGACUCCCCAAGAAGACAUUGAUCAAUGUGAGUGUUCAAGGUCGUAUUUGAUGAGGAUGUGAAAGUCAAGUAGCAUAUUCCCCAUUCUUUUGCUACUCUCGGACAAACAAACAAAAGAUCUUGGAGAUUUCAAAAGAGCGCUUCUCUUCGUAAAUGAAUCAGUCGGGGGCAAUACAUCAUUGUCACUUUGCACACCAAUCGACAUGUCACCUCCAGAUAGCCGAUGGUUGUCCCUAUCAUUGAUCUUCCUUGUGAGGUCAGUUCUCUUCGAACAUGCCCACUGCUUUAUGGUUCUCAAUUCAUUUGAUAACAUCUGGUCUGGAGAUUUGAGGUGCUUCUCUUUGUCAAAUAUUUACACUCUUUAGUUUCUCUUCUAGAACUUGGCAUUGACUAAUAAUUCUACCUUUUUAUUUUUUGUAAUUCUUUAUAUUUAACUCUCUGUGGAUUUUUAUUUAAUUAUCAUUUCUAUUUUUUUCCGUUGUGUGAUUAGUUUCUGAACUCUUUUUUUUCUGUUGUAAUGAAAUAUCUGUGAAAACAUUAUUUAUUUUGUGUUUCUGCUUUAACAAUGACAUUGACAGGUAAUGUAUCUUUCUCUUCGAUUUCUUUAAUAAUUUUGAUAGUGCUAAUUGUUUUUAAUUAAUUACUACUAUUUCCACUUAAUAUUCUUCUUCUUAUUUUAUUAUUAUUAGGCUUUGGUAGAUUGUAAAGCAGUGACUGUUCAAGCAGCUAUUGGCCAACAAUUAUAGACAAAGUGAUGUAGCACCUCUCUAUCUUUAUUUAUCUUUUUUUUUUGCAGAUUUAUUUCUAUUAUUUUAUUUUAAAAGUUCAUCUUUAUUUGAGAUUUUUCUUAAAUUUUCCUAUUUGUUUGAUGUAGUAUAAACCUUAAAAAAAAUAAUUUAAUUGCAUUCUUUUAAACUACUCACCUCUUUUUCAGGUUAGAAGAUUCAAAAGACAUUAUCAUUAAUUUAGUGAAUAUUUAUAAAAAUUGUAAGGUCAUUAUGGUUAAUUUUUCUUACAUUUUGUUGGAAAUUAGCUAAUGAAACAACAUAUGUUAUUAACAAAACGUUAGUAUGCUAUUAACUAAACUGUAACAGAUACCAAUCCUGAAGGCAAAAUGUCAACACUUUUCUUUAGCUUGUAAGGGAGAUUUAACUACUAAAAAGAUGCCAAAAAGUGACGGCUAAAAGCAACGCCCAGCAUCACUUUUUUGGCCAAAAAUGACGAAAAAGCGUCAUUUUUUUUCGUCGCAAAAAAGACCCGUUGUUUUUUGAAACAAUGGUUUGCGUUGCUUUUUUAACGACGGACAGUAUUGCUUUUUGAAAAAAAAAAAUUUAGUUACUUUUAGAAAAAUCAACGUUGUGCGUUAUUUUUUUCUAUUUUUUUCUUCAUGUGAAGAACACAUGAUGAACAAAAAAUGACGUACAUCGUCAUUUUAUUAAAGAAAAAAAAUUUCAAAAAUGACACUGUCCGUUGUAUUUUUAGAAAAAUAAUUUUUUUUUCAUAAUGAAGACAAAAAGCGAUGGACAACGUCGUAUUUUUUAAAAUUUAUUUUUAAAAAAUUCAAGAAAGCGACGGACAAAAGGGACCAUGUCCGUCGCUUUUCUGCAUUUUCUUUGGAUGCAAAAAUAUGCAUUUUCUGCAUUCCACCUGCCAAAUAAAAAUAAAAUUUAAUAUAUAUAGCCUCAUGCAGUACACAUUUCUAAAAUAACCAUACAACGCGCUACAUUAUCAAAACAUUUAAGUAAUUCAAAUCAACAACACUUAAACAAUCAAAUUCAAAAUCCAAAACACUUAAUAAUUAAUCCAACAACCACCAAACCACUUGAACAAUCCUAAAGUUUUUUCAUUAGAGUCUAUAGGCGUCCUAGAUUUCUUUUUAGCAGUUGACUUCGAACUCUUAUCAGGAUGAGUCCAAUCACCGUCACCAUCGGAUGUCAUUUGUAUGCAAGUUUACAUCACAACAUAUAAAAAUCAAGUCAUUAGUUCAUAUUUCAUGUGACUACACUUACUAUUUUCAAGUUACUAGUACACAUUGCAAGUCACCACACUUAAAAUAUUUUCAAGUCACUAGUACACAUUUCAAAUCACUACACUUAACUAUUUUUAAUUAACUAAAUCACAUUUCAAGUCAAUAUACUUAAUCAUUUUCAAGUGACUACACUUAACCAUUUUCAAGUCACAAGUUCACAAGUUCAAGUAACUACACUUAAUCAUUUUCAAGUCACAAGUUCGCAAUUUCAAGUAACUAUACGUAAUCAUUUUUAAGUCACUACACUUAAUAAUUUUUAGAUAACUUAUUCACUAGUACACAUUUUAAGUCACUGCACUCAAUUCAUUUAGAAGUUGCUAAGUGACAUUUCAAGUCACUAUAAUUAACCAUUUUGAAGUAACUACACUUAACCAUUUUCAAGUUACUAGUAUACAUUUCAAGUCACUACACUUAACCAUUUUCAAAUAACUAGUAGACAUUUCAAGUCACUAUACUUAGCCAUUUUCAAAUAACUAAUUCACAUUUCAAGUCACUACACUUAACCAUUUUCAAAUAAUUAAUUCACAUUACAAGUGUAACGACCCUCCCGAUCGUUUGUGAAAUUUUUUCAUCUUCUCUAUUUUAGCGUUCCCCGUAGUUUGUAUAUGUGGAUUAUGACUCACAGAAUGAGUAGCUACAAUUCUUGAGAUGUUUGGAAAUAAAUUAAGUCAUUAGUUGAAUUAUCGAGUUUUAAUAUAGUUAAAUCCGAUAAUGGUCAACCUUUAUCUAGAAGACCUCGGAUUAGUGUUGUAGCAUUUUUAAUAAGUCUGGAAUGUACUUUUAGGUCAAUGUACAUAUCUGAUUUAUUUUCUUGAGGUUUCGAAUAAAUUUCGAUAAUUUAUUAGAAGUUUCAAAAAUUUUAUAUAAUUAGUGAUUUAGUGGGUCAAAAUUAUAAUUUACUUAUUUAUGUAGCCAAUAUAAUAAAUUAGGUGAAAAGGGUUUAAUGAUUAAUAAUAUUAAUUCCAUCAGAAAGUUGGGGUUAGGUAAAUACGGCAGUUAGCAUAUUUUCUUCUCCCAUUCACUGUUUUGAAAAGGGCGACUUCUCCAGAUUAAAGUUAAUUCCUAAUAAUUUUACAUUGAUUAAUUAGCAGGGUAAUGACAAGGUAAUGCUGCUAAUCAAUGGGCUAAGGUUGAUUCGCAGCAUAAUUAGAAAAAUUAUUUUGUGCGUGCACUAAAGAGUAGCGCUGCUACUAUUUCUCACAAGAUUUCCACGACAAACUAAGCCUAAUAAGGAUGGACUAAUGAUUAAGUGAUGAUACAACUUGACUUUUACUAAUAGUUAACUUAUUUCCUUUAUUGUUAUCUUCUGGUAGUUAGGUAUAUGUUAACAGAAUUGGGGUAAUGUAAACCCAUCCUUAAUAAGGACAAAAAUUCAUUAAUGAAGUUAAUUCAAUAGAGUGACUAGGAUUCUGUAGGUAUUAAAAUGUGUUACUUCUAGUGUCGUUCGUAGAACUAUCAUGCCAAUUUAGAAUAAUGAUAAAUUAAUAAUUUGUUAGUGAUUGAGAUAUAAUGAGUAAAUUGAUGUUAUUAGAUUCGUAUUCUUAUAAGGAUUGUAUAUUGGAGCAGAUGUUGAUCAUUUAAAGACUGUAAGGAAGGGUAAGACCCUGCAAAUUAGCUUGCACUUAGAUUCUUCGGUUGAGGUAGAUUAGGGUUUAAUUGGAGUUUAGACUCGACUUAAUUAUGUGUACGCUCUUAAAUUGGAUACUUGUGGAUUGAUAUUCGUACAUGCUCGAAAUUAUUGAUGUUUGGAUUGUUGAUUCGUGUAUAAAUGUUUAUUGAACAUUGACAUGAUGGAAUUGUCUUAUAACUUUAUGUGUACUUGUAAACUUGGUACAUUAUGUUGUAUGCUGUGAGGUUACGUAAAUUGAUAUUGAUAAUACUUGUUUAUAUUUAUGUUGGAUCGGGUACCACGCCUGUACGUUUAUAUUUAUGUUGGAUCAGGUACCACGCUGGUACGUUUACAUUUAUGUUGGAUCGGAUACCACGCCGGUACGUUUACAUUUAUGUUGGAUCGGGUACCACGCCGUACUUCUAUAUUUAUGUUGGAUCGGGUACCACGCCGGUACGGUACAUGAACAUAGAUUGUUUCCUACAGGUCAUGACUAUUUGGGCAAAAAUAAGUUUCAUAGCAUGUGUGUACAUACUUGUGUUGAUUCUGUGGAUGUUUACCGUAUGACUGAUACUCUUGAUAGUUUUGGGGCUUGUUUGUGAGUACUGUUGACCUGUUAUUGCUGUAUUAUUGAUCCAAUGAGAAUUUGUUAUUUGAUGAUGUCUAUCUACUUGUUUUUUUAAUUAUGUUAUGUACAUCCUAUUAAGUUGAGUUAGCCUAUGAUGUUUACCAGUACAUAGUGGUUUGUACUGAUACUACCUUGUACUCUUCUUUUGUUGAGUGCAGAAAAUAUUUUAGAGGCUCAGACAUGUCCUCACCUCUAGAGUUUGAUAGCGGAUCUUGAUCCAAGGGUGAGCACUUCGUCUCCAGGCUGCCAUGGGUCAUCUUGUGUUCUUGUCCAUCUUCAUCUUGUGUUCUUGUCCAUCUUUUGGGCAAUGAAACAUACUUUAUUUACUUUAUUAUUGGAUAUCUCUUUGGACAUGAUCUUUGUUAGCAGUUCUUGUACAAUGACUUUCGGGUCUUGGGGAUUUUAGUAAGGAGUUUUGACUUCUGCAUUAAUAAUGAUUAGUCCUGAAUUAUUGUUAUUAUAUUUAUUUUAUAAUAAUAUCAUCUUAAUAUUGAUUAAGUGGUUGGGUAAUGGUUCGGUUUAGAUGGUUCUCCUACAGAAAGAUUAGUGUGGGUGCCACUCACAACCAUUUAGGUCGUGACAAAGUUGGUAUCAGAGCCCUAGGUUCGUCGAUCUCGUCGUACAAGAACAUGUCUUGUAGAGUCUUGCGGAAUGGUACGGAGACGUUUGUAUUUUUCUUUGAGAAGCUAUAGGACACUAGAAAAAUUCAAAUUCUUCUUUCUUAUAUUCUAUUACUUGAAUUCAAUUGGUAGUCGGCGAUUUCAAUUGAUAUUUGUGUUGGGUUCAAAAUCGAGAGAGCAUCAUGCGGAAGCUUUUAGUUUGCAAACCAUAAGACGAUAAACCAGACGACACGUGAAAAAUUAAACUAAAAAUAUAUUAUUGGAUACGGUUUGGCCAAACGACCUACAUAUUAAAAAUAAAAUUGAAAAUCCUAAAACUUAUUGGGAGAAAUCUCCCCCUAAACAAAGACUCUUUACAGACUGCAUUGUGGAUGCUAUUUUGUUAUGGUAUGAGAAAGAGGUUCUUCUAUUUAUAUAUGUACAAAACCUUUCCUCCAAAAAAGAGGUUAGCCAAAUAUAAAAAAUUAUAUUUUUUCUUUCAGGAAAAGUAAAAGUAACUAUGAUAACUUUUAUUUUCCUUAUAAGAAAAAGUAAAACUUAAAUAUAGUAUGAAAAUCAGGGCAAAAACCCUAACAAAUCUCCCUUUUUUGGCUUGAUUUUCUUCAAAAUAUUCUUGAUCCUCCUUCUUCUUGUGCAUGAUCUUCGUUCUUCAUAUAUCACUGUUGUUUGGCAUGCUUAAAAAAUUGAGCCUCUUUGGGUUAAAAUAUAUCAACCCUUUUCCGGUUAAAAAAUAUUGAAGCACUUUUGCAGGGUUAAAAAUGAGCUUUAUUUUCAAAUAUGUGACAGCAGGAUUAUUGAAAUAUGAUUGAUAAUUGUCUCCACAUGUAGUUAGACAAAAUCGUCAUUAUCAUCAAAGUGGUUGCAGCUUGAUUUGAAACCGCUUUGAACCUGUUUAAUCUCGUCUCACCACACCAUUGGAUCUUUGAACCAUAAGUCUGAUACCACUUGUUGGGUUCAAAAUCGAGAGAGCGUCAUGCGGAAGUUUUUAGUUUGCAAACCAUAAGAUGAUAAAUCAGACGACACGUGAAAAAUUAAACUAAAAAUAUAUUAUUGGAUAUGGUUUGUCCAAAUGGCCUACAUAUUAAAAAUAAAAUUGAAAAUCUUAAAACUUAUUGGGAGAAAUCUCCCCCUAAACAAAAACUCUUUAAAGACUACAUUGUGGAUAUUAUUGUGUUAUGGUAUGAGAAGGGGGUUCUUCUAUUUAUAGAUGUACAAAAUCUUUCCUCCAAGAAAGAGGUUAGUCAAAUAUGGAAAAGAAUUAUAUUUUUCUUUCAGGAAAAGUAAAAGUAAUUAUGGUAACUUUUAUUUUCCUUAUAAGAAAAAGUAAAACUUAAAUAUAGUAAGAAAAUCAGGGCAAAAAACCUAACAAUCUGUUAAUAAGAGCAAUGUCAAGUAGAGUUUCAUAGAUUGGUGUGUAGGGCCCCACACCCAAUCUUCGUAAGGCUAUGAGGCAUGUUGAAGUCAUUUUCCUUUUUUUUUCUCUCCUUCGUGCCGUCUUAAUCUUGGACUGCUAGAUUGAAUCCAAUUGGUAUCUUAAUAAUUUUGAAUAAAAAUCUAGGAGAUUUCAAUUGAUAUUUGUUAAUAAGGUCUAAAAGUUAUCGUUAAUAGAUAAAGACUUGUGAAAGUUGUAAACUUAUUGAUUGCUUGUGUUUGAUAUUUGGCUAAACUUGUGUUGCUAAAUUUUUGUCAUUGUUGUGAAUUAUUUUUGUUAAGUGUGAAAAUUGACGAAGUUGUUUUUGUUGAUAAAUGUGAUGGAAUUAUUUGAUUUCUUGUUAUUGUGAAACUAGAAAUUCUAUGGUGCUUAUUUAUUUUUGGUACUAUUAUACUGAUGAGAUUGAUGGUAUAAGAAUUGAGAGGAUGGUUUGAGAAUAUGAUGUCAAGAAAAGAUGGUGAAAAGUGAAAUAAAUAAAAGACUGAGGUGAUAUGUGUUUUCUGAAAUGAGAGGUUCUUGUUAAUGAUGUUGUGGCUGGAUCCUUGUGUAGUUAGAUUAUUUGAUAUUAUUUGGGGAUCCUUGUGUGGUCCGGUCAUUGAGAUUGUAUUUAGAAUUUUUCUGCAGUUUUAUUAUUGAAAUUAUAAUGGGUUCCCUGUGAGGACUAGCUAAGUGACAUUAUCUUUGAGUUCCUUAUGUGAACGAAUUCCUAAUGCUUGACAAAAUAAUGAGUUUUAAAUAAAAGUGAUAAAAACUAGUAAAUGUUGUUGAUACCUAUAGAAUUUGAUCGAUGAUUUGUUUGGAAUGUGAUAUUGGUGAUGAGACUGUCAAUGACCUAUAAUCGAUUUAUUUUGUUUGGCCUUGCAUAUGUGCUAGUGGUGUAGGGAUCACUCUUGAAGUGACUAAGAGCUAAGUAAAGCUCUUAAUAAAAAUAUUGUUAGGUAGAAAUAAGAAUGACUUUGUAUAUCUUAAAUUGGUGUUAGUGAUAUAAGAGAGGUUUGGCAUGACCAUGAAGUAUUUUUUGUUGAAAAAUAUUGAGUUAGUGCUUGUCACGACAUAAGUUGUAGCUGCGAAUUUAUGCAUUAGGAAAAAAUUUGAGAAGACAAAUUAUUAUUGACUUGACCUUGUGACUGAAUUAUACAUUUGCAUGUCCACAAAGUUGGCUGAUAUAUGAAACUUUUAGAGGAUAGUAAUUCCUAUGAUAGUGGCAAUGCAAAAUCAAAUGGCUUAGUUACAUUCAUAAAAUAAUUAAGGAUGAUCCUGAAUGGGAGAAUAAAUGAAUUAUUAAAUGACAUGAUUGAUCUUUCCUUGAGUGAUACUUGAUGGAUAUUUCUUAUUGAGUGGUUAAGGUAUGAUGAUUAGAUGAAUAUUAACAAUGUUGUAGAGUAUAAUGUGUCGUAGCGUCUAAUUCUGUGGGACCCGUAAAAUGGCAUGUUUAUACCCCUUUUGAAUUCUAUUGCUUUUCCUCUCUAGUUUAGAUUAAUUGUAGCGUGGUUAUGAUGUAACCUUAUGUUUGGGAUGUGAUUUUAGUAUUUGAAGCAUGAUUUGUAUAUUUAGCCUUAUUGGACUAGUGUGAUAGUCUUGAAAUCGUAAGUUGGGUAGAGUUGACUGGAGUACCUUAUUUCUAGUCGAAGCUACUAUCUUAGGAUUGAAUAUGGCUUACUUAACAUCUAGAAGAUGAACUAGAUCCCUUAUCCAAGUUUGGGACAUAGUGUUCCUAAUUAUGAAAAUUGAGGAUUAGAAGUUGGAUCAUCUGGCUCACUUAGACGUAAACUUGUGUUAAGUCUUGUGGACUUAGUUGUGGAUGUUAGACAUAGAUGAGGCUAGUAAACCUUAGAAUAAGGUUACUUCGCAACUUGAUAACUCGUUUUGAUGUUCCCGGAUUAUGGGUUUUGAGUUAUAGUUAUGAUACUUCCUGUGGAAGUGAUAUUGGGCAUUUAGAGAUAAUAUUCCUCCUAGAUACGUUAUGUGGCCUAUAGAGAUGCUAUUUCCUCUUAAACUUGAUGAUUGGCCCAUAGAGAUGCUAUUUCCUUAUAGAUAUGCAAAUUGGUCUAGAGAGGUGAUAUUCCUCGCAGUCAUGAUGUAUGACCUAUCGAUAUAAGAUAUUCUAUAGACGAUUAUAUGUCUAUCUAUGUUAUGCCUUCAAUAUGCGAGAUACCUCCUAUAUGUAAGACAAUUAGAGAUAUUCUACGACUUAUAAAUAUAAUUUUGAUAUGAGAUUUUGAUAUGUAUAUGGGCCUAAGGCCGUAAAUAUCAUUUUGUGAGUGUUACGGAUAAAUUAAUGGGUCAAGGGUUGUGUUAUGAUAAUGAUUGAAUAUCCGAGGAGUGUUUAUCAAUGUAAAGGAUACAAUUACAGUUUAUGAAUACAUAUAUGUUUGUAUAAACAUCUCUCUGGUAUGGGACAGAGGUAAAUGCGGUAUAUUGCUUACGACUUUAUUGAUUGGAUACUGGUGAUGGCUUGGAAUCUAAUGUAUUAGUUACUGAAUCUUGCUUAGUUUAAACAUGAUAGCUAGCGGUGGUUAAUGCGUGACCUAUAUGGUGAGGUAGGGUCUAGCAUAGGUGAAGAUUACUUGGUAUUAAUGACUAUGUUCGUGAUGUCAAUUAGUCUAUAAACGAGGAAUUGUGUGUUAAUGAGGCUAGAUAAUAAGAGAUGUUUGUCAUAAGAGGUGACUAGUUAAUAACUUUUAAUAGUUGCUAAAUGGUUAACUAAUAAAUAGUUAAACAAGGACUAGUUGGUAAACGAUAGUUAUAUAAUGAAUGGUGUCUAUUUCUAAAAGAUGAUUAGGUGAUAAGUAGUAAUGUAUUGUCUAGCAAUGAUUAACGUAUAUAGGAUGAUUAGUUGAUAAUAAUGAAUGGUGGAUAAAUAACAGUUUUGGUGUAGUGAUGAACCUUGACUAGAUGUUAGAUGUUGUCUAUAAAUAGUGAUUAGUUGCUAUUCCGAAAAUAAGGAUUAUGUUUAGGCUAAUAACUAGAGGUGAUGUGAUGACUAGUAAACUACUGAUUCUAUUAUAAUAGGUGUUAGUUAGCUAAUAAUGAGUAAUUGGAAAGUAUUGAUUAGAUAGAUAUUCUAUGGUGAAUGACUAUUUUUUUGUAUGAGUAUUUUAGUGUAUGUUAUUCGGUAAUGACUAUUACAAUGAUAUGUUUAUACCCGGCAAGGCCGGAGAAUACUGUUGUGAUGAUGUUGAUACUCGGCAAGACCGGAUAAUCUAUUUAUAAUAUGUUGAUACCCGGUAAGGUCGGAGGAUACUAUUGAUGAUGUGUUGAUAUCUGGUAAGGCUGGAGGUUGAUUACGAUGAUGAUGGUCCUGAUGGGUAAAGAAUAUGCCUUGUGUUAUUGUAUACUGAUUGAACCUUCCGUAUCUGGGGCGGUAGGGGUACGCAUAUGCGCAACUAGGUAUUUGGUUAUUCGUAAGUUGAGGACUAAGGAGAUUGCGUCUGUGAAGGUCCAGUGGAAGAAUCAUCCUAUUGAGGAGGCCACUUGGGAGACCGAAGCAGACAUGCAUAGCAAGUAUUCACAUCUUUUUGCGGAUUUAGGUAAUUCCUUGUUUUCCCUUCUUGUCUUGAGUUUGCCCGUUCAGGGAUGAACGGUUGUUUAAUUAGUAUCUGAUGUAACGACCCUCUCGGUCGUUUGUGAAAUUUUCUCAUCUUCUCUAUUUUAGCGUUCUCCAUAGUUUGUAUACGUGGAUUAUGACUCACAGAAUGAGUAGCUACAAUUCUUGAGAUGUUCGGAAAUAAAUUAAGUCAUUAGUUGAAUUAUCGAGUUUUAAUAUAGUUAAACCCGAUAAUGGUCAACCUUUGUCGAGAAGACCUCAGAUUAGUGUCGUAGUAUUUUUAAUAAGUCCGGAAUGUACUUUUAGGUCAAUGUACAUAUCUGAUUUAUUUUCUUGAGGUUUUGAAUAAAUUUUGAUAAUUUAUUAGAAGUUUCAAAAAUUUUAUAUAAUUAGUGAUUUAGUGGAUCAAAAUUAUAAUUUAUUUAUUUAUGUAGCCAAUAUAAUAAAUUAGGUAAAAAAAGGGUUUAAUGAUUAAUAAUAUUAAUACCAUCAGAAAGUUGGGGUUAGGGAAAUACGGCAGUUAGCAUAUUUUCUUCUCCCAUUCACUGUUUCGAAGAGGGCGAUUUCUCCAGGUUAGAGUUAAUUCCUAACAAUUUUACAUUGAUUAAUUAGCAGGGUAAUGACAAAGUAAUGCUGCUAAUCAAUGGACUAAGGGUUGAUUAGCAGCAUAAUUAGUAAAAUUAUUUUGUGCGUGCACUAAAGAGUAGCGCUGCUACUAUUUCUCACAAGAUUUCCACGACAAACUAAGCCUAAUAAGGACGGACUAAUGAUUAAGUUAUCUUCUGGUAGUUAGGUAUAUGUUAACAGAAUUGGGGUAAUGUAAACUCAUCCUUAAUAAGGACAAAAAUUCAUUAUUGACGCUAAUUCAAUAGAGUGACUAGGAUUCUGUAGGUAUUAAAAUGUGUUACUUCUAGUGUCGUUCAUAGAAUUAUCAUGCCAAUUCAGAAUAAUGAUAAAGUAAUAAUUUGUUAGUGAUUGAGAUAUAAUGAGUAAAUUGAUGUUAUUAGAUUCGUAUUCUUAUAAGGAUUGUAUAUUGGAGCAGAUGUUGAUCAUUUAAAGACUGUAAGGAAAGGUAAGACCCUGUAAAUUAGCUUGCACUUGGAUUCUUCGGUUGAGGUAGAUUAGGAUUUAAUGGGAGUUUAGACUCGACAUAAUUGUGUGUAUGCUCUUAAAUUGGAUACUUGUGGAUUGGUAUUCGUACAUGCUCGAAAUGGUUGAUGUUUGGGUUGUUGAUUCAUGUAUAAAUGUUUAUUGAACAUUGACAUGAUAGAAUUGUCUUAUGACUUUAAGUGUACUUGUAAACUUGGUACAUUGUGUUAUAUGUUGUGAGGUUGUGUAAAUUGAUAGUGAUAAUACUUGUUUAUAUUUAUAUUGGAUCGGGUACCACGCCGGUACAUUUAUAUUUAUGUUGGAUCGGGUACCACGCCGGUACGUUUACAUUUAUGUUGGAUCGGGUACCACGUCUGUACGUUUACAUUUAUGUUGGAUCGGGUACCACGCCGGUACGUUUACAUUUAUGUUGGAUCGGGUACCACGCCAGUACGUUUAUAUUUAUGUUGGAUUGGGUGCCACACCGAUACGUUUAUAUUUAUGUUGGAUCGGGUACCACUCCGGUACGGUACAUGAACAUAGAUGGUUCCCUGAAGGUCAUGACUAUUUAGGCAAAAAUAAGUCCCAUAGCAUGUGUGUACGUACUUAUGUUGAUUCUGUGGAUGUUUACCAUAUGAUUGAUACUCUUGAUAGUUAUGUGGCUUGUUUGUGAGUAUUAUUGACCUGUUAUUGUUGUAUUGUUGAUCCAAUGAGAAUUUGUUAUUUGAUGAUGCCUAUCUACUUGUUUUUUUAAUUAUGUUGUGUACAUCCUAUUAAGUUGAGUUGGCCUAUGAUGCCUACCAGUACAUAGUAGUUUGUACUGAUACUACCCUGUACUCUUCUUUUAUUGAGUGCAAAAAGUGUUCUAAAGGCUCAGACAUGUCCUUACCUCUAGAGUUUGAUAGCAGAUCUUGAUCCAAGGGUGAGCACUCCAUCUCCAGUCUGCCAUGGGUCAUCUUAUUUAUUCUUAUCCAUCUUUCGGGCAAUGAAACAUUCUUUAUUUACUUUAUUAUUGGAUAUCUCUUUAGAGAUCAUUACAUAUAGUUUCUGAAACAUUGUUUGCAAAACUGUGGUGGAAUUUCAGAACAUCUACUGGAUUAUUAUGGAGUCAUUAUAGAUGGAACAAAUACUACAAGAAAAAGCAUCCAGUAAUUGCACAAGGUUUUGGAGUUUCUCAGAUAUGGAGAAAGAUGUUGCAGGCCAGAGAGAAGAUUGAACACAACAUCUAUCGGCAGGUCAGGACUGGAGGGAUUAGUUUCUGGUUUGAUAAUUGGACCAAAUUGGGUGCACUAUACUUUCUAGAAGAAGGAAAUAAUACAAAAGAAGAAAUUGAAGUCAAACAGUUUCUAACAGAGAAAGGAGUAUGGAAUGAGGACAAGCUGAAAGAAUAUAUUUCAGAGGACAUGGUACAACAUAUAAUAGAUAAUAUCAAGCCUGGGAGAAGUGAAGAUGGAGGAGACAAAGUAUGGUGGAUGUCAAACACUAAUGGAAAGUUCAUAGUUAAAGAUGCAUAUGAACUUUUGAGAAGUAAAAGAAGAGAAAAUGAGAUCUAUAACAAGAUUGGGAAUAAAGCAUUACCAACAAAAAUAUGUUUUUUUUCUGUGGAGAGCAUGGAAGGGCAGGAUUGCUACUGAUGACAACAUUGCUAGAAUGAGGAUAAGCAUAGUGUCAAGAUAUUGGUGCUGUGAUAAUUAUAAGCAAGAAACAAUGGAGCAUUUAUUUAUAACAGCUCCCAUAGCCUCAUAGCUAUGGAGGCAAUUUGCUGAUUUUACAGGUAUUGAAAUGCAUAGAGCAUAACUAAAUCGUGUAGUUAAAAUCUGGUGGUUUAAAGAAGCCCCACCAAAGUUGCAGCAGGUUUUCAAAGCAGCCCCAGCAAUUAUAAUAUGGGUUUUAUGGAAAAGAAGAAAUAAGAAAAAGCAUGGAGAAAAACAAGGAAUACAAAGCAUGAUCAUCAGGUUUUAACUUUAAUAAAACAACUACUUAGAGUUAAAUUCCCUUGGAUAAUGGACAGCAGAAGCAAUUGGGAUGAUUUGGUGGCUAAGUUAGGGAGGUACAAACCAAGACUAUAUAGCUAUGUAGUUAAGUGAAAGUUACCUAAGCCUGGUAGAAUGAAAUGUAACAUAGAUGGGGUAGCAAAGGGCAAUCUAGGACAGGCUUCUUAUGGUUUUGUGCUGAGAAGAGAUGAUGGAUCUUUUAUAUAUGCACAAGAUGGGAAGCUAGGAAUUACCACCAACAUGGUAGCAGAAAUGACAGCUAUCUUGGAAACAGUUAAGUAUUGUGCUUCAACAGAUGUUACAGAAGUGGAAAUUGAGUCAGAUUUUUUAAUGGUGGUUAAUUUUAUCAGAAAUGUGUGUACUAUACCAUGGGAGUUGACUAAAGUAUUUGAGGUAAUUAGAACUAUAAUGAUCAACAUUAAUGCAAGAAUUAUCCACAUAUACAUGGAAGGGAACAAGUUAGCAGAUGCACUGGCUAAUCUAGGAUUUCAAUCAGAAGAGGCAACAAUCAUCAACACAGUUCAAUAGUUACCAGCAGAUAUUAGAAAGACCAUGAACAUGGACAUCAAAUAGAUCCCUAAUCUGAGAAUUAAAACUACAAGGAUAAAGCCAAAUGUACAAAGAGUUUGGCUAAUACAACACAUUCAUAAUGCAGAUUUUGAGAAGCACAAAUAAUUACAACAUUCUUAGUCCUGUACUAAGGAAGAUUAAAGAUGCUAAAUCAGAUAAUCUAAUCUUUGAUAGUUCAUAAAAGAAAUCACUAAAAACAAAGGAGAUUUGCGUUGAUUUGGUCCAUCAGCUCAGGCGGUCAGUUACAAGCUCAAAUCGGCAAUGGUUAUUUCACUACCUAAAAGGACAAGGAGGUUACAACUUUGUCACGCCUCAAAUCCUAUUGAGGAGGACUGGCACCCGUAACCGAGGAAGCCCAGGAGAACCAGCUCAUAACCUUAUACUUCCCAUGCAUACCUCUAUGACAACCCAAAAUUCAGACAGUAUCAUGUCGCAUAUAAAAGGAAAUAAUCACCUGUAUAAGCUCGAGCACACAUAUAUAUGUAUAUACAAUACUUGGCCGUUGGAGCCAUCACGUCUAUUAAUAAAACACCACCUUGACUGUACAUUAGGUCUACAAAGCCUCUAGACAAUACACAGAGUUGAACUAAGGUCGGGACACACCCCGCCAUAUAACUAACUUCUAUACAAUACCAAAAGUGAUUGGAUAUGACACGAAAAGCCCCGAAGCAAAUUGGAGCUCACCAAAAGCAGCUGGAUAUCCUGGCCCUACUUGUGCAGUGUAUGAGUUGAGGUACCUGUGCCUGCAACAUGAAAUGCAGGUCUCCCCUGGGGGACGUCAGUACAAAAUAUGUACUGAGUAUGUAAAGCUGUAGAUAAUCACAUAUGAUAUAGGAACUCAAUAGAAAUCAGAAACAAGUGAAUAAAUCGUAAUAGGAGUGGACCACACUUACUAGAACUUGUGACAACCUGUACAUUGUAUUUAUUCAAUCACUUUACCUUCGUUCUUAUCAUCUUUGUAAUCAUUACUGUACUGUACUGUGACCAUUAAGCUGAGUACGAAAUAUGUACUGAGUAUGUAAAGCUGUAAAUAAUCACAUAUGAUAUAGGAGCUCAAUAGAAAUCAGAAACAAGUGAAUAAAUCGUAAUAGGAGUGGACCACACUUACUAGAACUUGUGACAACCUGUACAUUGUAUUUAUUCAAUCACUUUACCUUCGUUCUUAUCGUCUUUGUAAUCAUUACUGUACUGUACUGUGACCAUUAGGCUGCCUCCAGUACAUAUCAACUGGGAUCGACCCAUGCUAGGCUUAUGCCCCUGGGAUACCACCCAUAAACACAUAAAUAGGGAUCAACCCAUGAUAAGCUUAUGCCCUUGGGAUACCACCCGAUAAGAGAGAACUUCCAUCACUUAGUUCAAUUAAUCUUUGAGAUUGUUAUUUUGGUCUCCACCGCAUUUUUGAUACUUUGAAACAAUGAUACAUCAAUAAGAGACAUAUAAAUAGACCAUCAAUGCAAUAACAAUGAAGUAAGAACUCAUUGGCACAUCAAUGAAGUGUUUUGGAGUCAUCAAUGCCAUAACAAUGAAGUAGGAACUUAUUUGUAUAUCAAUGAAACGUUUUGGAGUCAUUAAUAGCACAUGGAUCUUGUUUGAGUAACCGGAUACCUUCUGACAUUCAUUAGUGCAAUAAACAUGUAAGAUUUGGAAAACAAGUAAGUAUUGGAAUGUCUUGACAUCUUGUAGGGUGGAAACAAGUUCAUUGGUAACGUAGGACAUCAUACAAAACCAUUAUGGAUCACAUGUUAUUGAAUAACUUUGGAAACUCUCUUACUAGAACAAUUGUUCACUUUCAUGCCAAAGAUAUGGUAUAGAGUAUGCUUUACAUACCUGACUGUCAACCUUCAAUACUAGUCCCAAAUGGACUUCUCGUCUUUUCGGAUUACUUAUCUACAAUGAACAUAUAUAGCAAUCUAGUAUUAGCGACCAAACGUCACAAUUCAAUUAUUUGAAUUCACCAAACUAGUGGUUAAGUAGUAAGCCUUAAUUACACCAUAAAGGGUGUCACUUUAACCCUCUUAUACUCCAAUUACAUUCACAUGCCAUGCAUAUUCAUACAACAUCCUCCAAUAUCAAGUUUGGAUUCAUUUAUCCUUCCAACCAAUCCAUUAAACCAAAUUGAGCCAUAGACAUAAAUAAUCAUCAAUUCAAUAGUAUAUCACCAUAUCCACCUUCCAUAACUCAAUUACCAUAUCCACCUUCCACAAUUCAAUACAACCAAACCAUGCAAAAUAGUCCAUAACCCUAUUUUCAUCACCUUUCAAUAACAACCAAUACAUAUAAUCCUCUAUCACACAUAUACAUAUGGAAGAGAACAAAGGCAAACAAUAUUCAUACCUUAGAAUUCACCUCUUGAUUAUGCAAUCCUGUUUGCACAAAUAAUAGGUGCCGUUCGAAGCUCUCGAGAUGACAAACGCAGUUAUCGGAUUACUUUGGAAUUUCUACGGUUGAAUCAAAAGUAAUUUAAAGGUCAAAUUUGGCUAGGGUUUGUUCUUUCUCAAUGAUUGAUGAUGAAAAUGAGUUUUUGAACUCAUAUACAUGUAUAUAUACACAUAUUCCCGUCCAUAAUAUAAUAGGGAAUGACCAAAAUGCCUUUAAAAUUUAAAUAAUGUCAAAUCUGUCCUUUGGUGGACUGUUUUGAUAAGCUAAAGUAGAUCGACCAUAACUCUUUGUUCCGAUAUCGAAUUUGGGUGAAAUUGGUAUCGUUGGAAGGAUAAUUCAAAGGGAUUUCAUUUCAUAUAAAGUAGGUCACCCAUUUCAUCCUGUACAAGGAGUUAUGGUCGUUUGAAGUUGACCCUAAAAAUCUAUUUUGAUAGGCUGAAGUAAAACGAGUAUAACUCCUUACUUAGAUGUUGGAUUUGGAUGAAACUAAUUGCAUUGGAAAGAAGACUCAAAGAGCUUUAUUUUCAUAGGUCGUAGCUCUCCUAGUUCAUUAUAUUAAGGGAGUUAUGAUCAUUUGAAGUUGACCCAAAAAUUCAGCUGGCCUCAGUAGUUUGUGUGCAGGAAAUUUUCCUGCACAUUUACUAUUCCCAAAUAUCCCGGCCACCGUUUUAUAGUUUCGAACGUGCUCGAUUAUAUCCCAAACCUAUCCGUUUUUGGAAAUCUUUAUAUCGUUGGAAAGCUUAUUCAAUAACUUUCGCAUGGAACCAUCGACGGACAAAUUCUGGUAUAAAUAAAAUAAAAAAAAUUAAUUCCAUAUAAAUAAGACCAAUACACGUACUUGACUAUGCCAAUACACAUACUUGAAUACAGAGUGUUACAAACUUUGUCUCAGACGAUGAGGGAAAUAGUGGUGAGCAUACCUGUGGUACUGCAAACUCCGAAAAUUGUUGCCUUCAAUUUCAUGACAAUGACAACCAAACCACCUGAAAUGGAUGCAAAAAUUAGAAGAAAAAAGAGAAGACGGAGGAAAGAUAGUCAACGAGUACCUUGGUGUCUUGAUAACAGUUCAAUGAAGAAAAACAACAUCUUGAAGAUGGGAACAACAUUAAUCACCCACAAGAAAAGCAAGAUCAGCUGGGCAUACAUGCGGUAGCAACAAGGUAGCAAGGUAGAGAUGAGACGGCAACAAUUGAGAAAGACAACAAAUGUUUAUAAGGACACUUAUAUUGCUAAGGAAAUUAGGAAAGUGGGUUGGCUACCCAACAAUAUUCAGAUUAUGUACAAUUUGGUCUUUGGGCCGAAUAUUUGUCUUUGUUUUUAUUUUAAUUAAUAAAAUGGCAGCAAAGCCACAAAAAAUUAUUUUAAGAGAAAAAAAAGUUAGCUAACUUUUGACUACUAUGUACAUCGCUACACAAGAGAUACGUAUAUAUACAUAUAUACAUUUGAUUGACAAUCAACUUUGAAAUAUGUACUAUAUACAUCACAUACACGAGUAUAUUGACUAUAUACAUAACUACAUGAAAUAUAUAUACGUACAAAACUGAAGUUGUCUAUCGCUCUUUAAAAAAUAUAUAUAUUUAAUUUAAUUUUUUAAAAUAUAAAAAUUAUUAAUUUAAUAGUAAAUUAAAAAUAUCAAAUAUCGAUGGACAGUGUCAUUUUCAUAAAGUUAAUUUUUAUUUAUUUCUAACAAAAGCGAUACUGUCCGUCGUUUUUUGUAAAAAUGCAGAAAAUAAAAAAAUAAUUAAAAAUUACGACGGAUAGCGUCGAUUUUCUAUGAUUAAUAUUUUAAAAAUAAAAAAUUAUAGCGACGUUGUCCCCGAUUUUAAUAAAUAUAAAUAAAAAUAAAAAUUAAAUUUAAAGCCGACGGACAACGUCGUUUUUUAUCAUAAAGUGAAUUUUUAUUUAUUUUUAUAAAAAGCGACACUGGGCGUCGCUUUUUAUAAGAAUACAAAAAAAUAAAUAUAAUUAAAAUUGCGACGGAUAGUGUCAUUUUUUCUAUAAUUAAUAUUUAAAAAAUAAAAAUUAUAGCGACGUUGUCCGUCGAUUUUAAUAAAAAAAAUAAAAUUAAAAAUUAAAUUUCAAAAACAACGGACAACGUCGUUUUUUAAAAAAUUAAUUUUUAUUUAAUUUUAACAAAAGCGACGUUGUCCUUCACUUUUUGUAAAAAAUAUAAAAAAAUAAAAACAAUUACAAAUUGCAAUGGAUAACGUUGCUUUUUUAGAAUUAAUAUUUUUAAAAACAAAAAUUAUAGCGAUGUUGUCCUUCGCUUUUAAUAAAAAUAAAAAUCAAAUUUAAAAAUCGACGGACUACGUCGCUUUUUUAAAAAUUUAUUAUUAUUAGUUUAAAAUAAAUUACGAAGCUAUCCGUCGCAUUUAUUAAAAUAAAUCUAAAUUAUUUUUUAAUUAGUUGGCACAAUAAUCCACGAAAAAAAGUAACGGAUAUUAAAACGUUGACCUUCGAUUUUAAUAAAAAAAUAAAUAAAAAUUAAAAUUAAACUAAAAAAGUGACGGACUGUGUCGCUUUUCUAGUAGCGUACUUCACCUAAUUUUAUUUGCAUCACAUCAAGCACCUCUCAACAAGAAAAUGUUGUUUCUUUCAGUAAUAUGAAUAGUAGUGUCAGAAGAGUGAAACCACAUUGUUACGGGUACAUGGCCAAUAAAUCAAGUUCAAAAUUCAAAAAGUGGCAUAAGAAAAAAAUCAGGCGAACAUUCUUGACUCGAUAAAAUUAGUUGCUUUUGUAAAGUUUUUGCUCAAAAAAUAAAUUUACAAAAAAUUGACUCUCUCUCUCUCUAUAUAUAUGUUGAAUUUAUAGGGUUAUAAAUGUAAUGAUAAGAGCUGUUUGAAGUAAAAAGAAGAAACUGACUUGAUUUAUUUAAAUAAUAAUCCAAUUGCUAAAAAUUUAAAGUGAUAAUUCUUAUUGGGUGUAAAAUAAGAAUAAUGGGAAGAAAUAAAUAAAAUGGCACCCAAUAUUCAUUUCUUCAGUUUGGUUUUGUCUUCAAAGACAAUAAAUUAGCAUAAUUUAAUUUGCUUCAUCUAUUUUUUUUUUAAUUUGAUUAAUUUCUCUAUCUUCAUUUUUGUAAAAUUUGAUUAACUACGAUGCUAGUAGUAGCCCCUGUACCUUGACUUGCGUUGGAUUUGUUGAUGUUGUCUGUUGUUGCUGUUGCUGUGGUCGUUUCUUGCACUGCUUUGGAUUGAGUUAUCGGCUUGGGAAUCUGUUUUUGGGGCUGUGGGUGUUGAGUCCAGUGGUGUUUGCUCUCUAGUUGAGUUUAGUUUCUGCUCCUGGAUUAUUCCUUUGAAUUUGUGUGAGCCUUGUAUUUCUUGCUACUGCUUUGCUGCUACCGUCGUUUAUAUCUUCAUAUUUUCUUAUACUUUCGUGUAGUUGUGGCUGUGGGCGGUAAUGGUUGGAUAGGGUCAUGUCCGAGGGGGUUAGGGCAAUUUAUUGAAUGUAUGUAUAGCCGAAUCUUUUGGCAUGAGAUUGAGUUGGGAAUUACUUAGAGAGAAGUUGAGCUAAGAACCUUUGAUUCAACUAAAUCUUUGUAUUCGAUUUUACAAGGGUAUACUUUGAACCUGUAAAACUUUUGACAUAAGUAGAAUUUUCCAGCUCAAGACCCACCAAAUUGUAGAUAAUUGAGUCAGCUUUCCAACAAUACUAAUUUUUCCUUAAUAUGAUACCCUGAGUAAUAAUUUAUAGCCAUUUUUUUGAGGGAGGCAGUGAGGUCGCACGAUUAGCGUAUGACGCACGCUCCAGUCCAUCUCUAGUUUACAGCUGUUGGUUCUGCGUUUUAAGGGAUUUUAGUCAUUUAUUACCUUAUAACUCCCAGGCCAUGCCUGAUAAUCCUCAAAGGGCUAUAUUCCCCCUCAUUUGAUCCAUUAAAUUUCUCAAAUCCUCUCAAAAACAUAAUCCUAGCUCCUCCUCAAAGAUCAAGAAUUCAAGCCUUUCAAUUCAAGAUUCUCAAGAAAGGUUUCAAGAUUAGGUUUCCUAUCUUCAAAAUAAUCAAUAUAAGGUACGUGGGACUAUCCUAAACCCCAUGGGCAUUGAUUUUCGGCUUUCAAAUUUGUUUUAAAGGAUAUAUAUAUGUAAAUACGAAAUUGUUUCAAGAUCAUUGAUAAACUUGUGUUGAAAUUAUUACAUAAUGAUGAAGUGUUGUGAAAAUUAUGGUAUGAAUCCCUAAUCUUGAAAGGGGAUAGGGCGUUGUGUAAAGACUGUAAAGUCAUCCCGAGUGAGACUCUUUCGACCCAACAUAGGCUCUUGGUUAUGGAUUUGGGUAUGAAGAAGAAUAAAAAGAGGAGGAGUAAGGAGUGUAGACCGAGAAUUAAGUGGGGCGGUUUGACGCCAGUGAAUGCGUGGGAGAUAGGGGAGAGGUUGGCGGGAAUGGGGGUGUGGGAGUGUAGGGGGGACGUGGAUAAUAUGUGGGACAGGGCGGCAGCGUGCAUCAGGGAAAAUGCAAGGGAGGUGUUGGGUGUUUCUAGGGGCCGGGCCGGACAUCAUCGGGGGGAUUGGUGGUGGAAUGAAGAGGUGGGGAAGAAAGUGGAGACCAAGAAAGAGUCGUAUGCUAAGUUGGUGGAAAGUAAGGACGAAGAAGAGAAGCGGGUAAACAGGAAAGAGUACAAGCUAGCGAGGAAGGAGGCGAAGUCAGCGGUCACGGCAGCUAAGACGGCCGCUUUUGAGAGCUUGUAUGCAGGGUUACAGGGGAAAGGAGGGGAGAAAAAGUUGUUCCGACUCGCUAAGGCUAGGGAGAGGAAGGGUCGUGACCUCGAUCAGGUGCGGUGCAUUAAGGGGGAGGACGGUAGAGUGUUGGUGGAGGACGGCCACAUAAAGAAGAGAUGGCAGUCGUACUUUCAUAGGCUCUUGAAUGACGAGGGGGACAGAGCUAUUGUGUUAGGGGAACUGGAGCACUCAGGGGAGUGUCGGGAUUUUAGCUAUUGUAGACGUUUUAAGGUAGACGAGGUUAGACAGGCAGUCCGCAGGAUGCGAAGGGGUAGGGCGACGGGGCCGGAUGAGAUACCGGUGGAGUUUUGGAAGUUCGUUGGAGAGGCUGGUGUAAGGUGGUUGACUGGAUUGUUUAAUGAAAUUUUCAGGACGGCAAAGAUGCCCGAGGCGUGGAGGUGGAGUACCAUGAUCCCUCUCUAUAAGAAUAAGGGGGACAUUCAGUGUUGCAAUAACUAUAGGGGGAUUAAGUUACUGAGUCACUCUAUGAAGAUCUGGGAGAGAGUGGUCGAGGUGAGGCUGAGACGGAUAGUGUCUAUUUCGGAAAACCAGUUCGGAUUUAUGCCCGGCCGCUCGACGACGGAGGCAAUCCACCUGGUACGGAGGUUGGUGGAGCAGUAUAGGGAGAGGAAGAAGGAUCUGCACAUGGUGUUCAUCGACCUGGAAAAGGCGUACGACAAAGUCCCCAGGGAAGUGCUUUGGAGAUGCUUGGAGGUGAGGGGAGUACCGCAGGCAUAUAUCAGAGUAAUUAAGGAUAUGUAUGAGGGAGCGAAAACCCAGGUGAGGACGGCGGGAGGAGACUCAGAGCAUUUCACUGUCCGGACAGGAUUGCAUCAGGGAUCUACUCUUAGUCCCUUUUUGUUUGCGUUAGUAAUGGAUGUGUUGACGCGGCGUAUUCAAGGGGAGGUGCCGUGGUGUAUGCUCUUUGCAGACGAUGUAGUUCUGAUAGAUGAGACUCGAGGGGGUGUAAAUGACAAAUUAGAGAUGUGGAGGCAAACUCUUGAGUCUAAAGGGUUCAGGGUGAGCAGAAGCAAGACAGAGUAUGUGGAAUGUAAGUUUAAUGACGUGAGGCGGGAGAACGAGGUAGUAGUGAAGCUGGAAGCACAGGAGGUAUGUACGAGGGAUAAGUUCAAGUAUCUUGGGUCCGUGAUCCAGAGUAACGGUGAGAUUGACGAGGAUGUCUCGCACCGUAUUGGGGCGGGAUGGAUGAAGUGGAAACUCGCGUCGGGGGUGCUGUGUGAUAAGAAGGUGCCGCCCAAGCUGAAAGGCAAAUUCUACAGGGUGGUAGUCCGUCCGGCCAUGUUGUAUGGAGCGGAGUGUUGGCCAGUUAAGAACUCCCACAUCCAAAAAAUGAAGGUGGCAGAAAUGUGGAUGUUGCGCUGGAUGUGUGGGCUGACUAGAGGGGAUAGAGUUCGGAAUGAGACUAUCCGGGAGAAGGUUGGUGUGACUCCAGUGGAGGGCAAGAUGCGGGAAGCCCGAUUGAGAUGGUUCGGACACGUGAAGAGGAGGGGCAUGGAUGCCCCGGUUCGUAGGGGGGAGAGGCUAGCAUUGGAUGGUUUUAGGCGGGGUAGGGGUAGGCCGAAGAAGUACUGGGGUGAGGUGAUUAGGCGGGACAUGGAGCAGUUACAGCUCACCGAGGACAUGACCCUAGAUAGGAAGGUCUGGAAGACGCGAAUUACAGCAGAGGAUUAGGGCCAGUUUGGGUCGCUAGUGUAGGGAUUAGGGGGUUUUAUUCUUGUUAUGAUUCCGUGUUCCAUGUUUUAUUACGAAUCUGUGUGCUUUCCUCUGUUUUCUAAUACUUAUGGGUGCCGUAUUUAUGUUAUGUAAUCUAGUUCUGUGCUUUACUAUGAGUUUGUGUGGUAUCUCGUGACUUGAGCCGGGGGUCUAUCGGAAACAGCUUUUCUACUUCUUUAGAGGUAGAGGUAUGAACUGCGUACAUCUUACCCCCCAGAUCCCACUAGGUGGGAAUACACUGGGUUUGUUGUUGUUGUUGUUAACCAGGGGAGAAAACUUCUGAAUAUAGUUACUUAUUAUAUUAAAAUUUCUUACAAAUCGCGCGAUGCGCGGAUCAUUUCAUUAGUUAUAAAUAAAUUAUUGUGAAGUUUGGGACAAUGAUGUCACAUGCAAAUGAUCAUGAGUGGUAUCCAUAUUAACCUUUAAAUGAAAGAAUCAUUUAAUACGAACUAUUAUCAAACACUUAGCUAUUUUUAAAACAAGUCAAUUAACUAAUCUACUCAAAAAAUGAAAAUUAUAAGCCAAUCAUCACAUGACAGCUCAAAAUUGACCAGCAUAAAAUGUAAUAUUUUUCUGAUUCUGUGCAACCCUCUGAAACUAACCUAACGUCAUAUCUAUUGGAUGUAUUAUAUUUCUAUUCUGAAACAUUAGUUAAAUAACCUCUUCGUCUUACUUUGGGAUCAAAAUUAUCCUCGUUGUCAUAUUUGAGGCCAAAUUUUACCCUCAAUUUAUACUUAGGGAUCAAAUUUAUCCUUGUUGAUAAGAAACUUUGCACAUGUACUCUUCUUUAACAUAAAAGUCUAAAUCAACAUUAAAUUGAUUAUAUUUUAAAAAUAAAAUACGCCCGAAUCUAACCUACCCGGUCCGACCCGCAAAAAAAUAACAAACAAAUAUAUCCAUUCCUCAGUUCUGUUGAUCAAAUUUUUUCAAUGAUCAAAUAUACUUUUCUUUCAACAUGCAGGUAGAUUUUUUACGAACGAACAAAAAAUAAAAUGGAAUGGAAUAACGUAGAAACAUGGAAUUGGAGAAAAUGUAUAUUACAAACUUUGUUCAUGUUUCAAUUAUAUUCAAAUUUUAAAAUUUAGUAUGUGUGCAUCGAGAUUCUACAAUCAAUGAAUAAAUUUUUUGAGCAAAUGACAUGAUGAAAAAUUUAUUUAGAUCCAAAUUAUAAUAAAGAUAUAAACAUGAAGAUAUGUACACAUCAAAAAAUAUUUAACUCAAUCAUUCAAAGAAAUAUUCAAUAAGCCUAAUUUAUUGAAUUUGACUAUUAAAUAUCAUUUUUGAUGAAUUUCGCAUUGAUUCACAUCCAUAAACUUAGGAAGGAGUACAUUAUAACUGAUAUUAUAGAAGGCACUGAUGCAGAUUUGUAACUGAUAUUAUAAAAAUAUAUAAUUUACAAUCAUACUCAUGACUAGUUUUGCUCACAAAUCUCAAGAUCUUUCCUUUUUAUAUACUCCUCGAUUUCAUUUUAUUUGGCUCCUCACUAAACAUUGUUAUAUUAACUUAUUUGUUAAAUUUAUGAAACUCACCACAAAUUUAUCAUAAUAUUUUAAUAUUAUCUUAUCAUUAAAUAAUUAUUAUUUUAUUUGAUCAAGCUUAUAUUUUGAAUUUUUUUUUCUUAAAAGUUCUUGAAAAAAUUAAUGUGUUUGGCUAAGCUUUUGGAAUAAAAGAAGUAUUUUUGGAAAGUAGCAGAAGCAAUUUUUCAUAAGUUAAAAAAAGUAGCUUCUCUCUAAAUGUAUUUAAAAAAAAACAGUUAUUUUAAGAAAAAUAUACUUAAAAGCACUUUUAAAGUUUGGUCUAACGCUAAUUGAUCUUCAGAAGUAUUUUUUUAAAAUUUAUUAAUCGCCAAACACAAACUGUUUCUCACUAAAUUGACAUUAAAAGUACUUUUUUGAAAAACACUUCUCAAAAUAAGUUGAUUAUAUAAAUUUGAUAAAACAAAUAUUAUAUAUAGAUAUAUUAGUUGUGAAAAAUAGAUUUUGAAGACAUAAUUAAUAUGGUUAAAGGUUAAUCUAAUAAAAUAAAUGUUCAAAGUCAAACAGAUGAAUAUAAAAUUUUCCAAAAAAGGCACACAAGAACUUGGGGGUGGGGUGGGGGACCACAUAUAGGAUAAAAACGAAUCUCAAGGAGUAUUAGAGCCCGUUUGGAUAUGAUUAAAAUGUGGUCAAACCAGCUUUUAAUCUCUUUUUUAGCUUUUUAAGGUGUUUGGUAAAACUAAAAAGUGGUUAAAAAAGGCUAAAAACUGAUUAAAAGAUUCAAAGAAGCUGGGUACCCCGGCUUUUUAUUUUUUAAAUUAAAAUUCUUUUAGGUUUGACCAAAACAUUUAUCUUUUUAUUCCUUUUAUUUUCCUCCAAUUCCAACAAUAUCCUAAACUUGUAGCCCUUAAAUAUAUAGUUUUUUCUUUUUCUCUUUGCCACUUUGCUUUAUCUCUUCCCUCCAAUUUCCUCUUCAUCUUUCUUCUUUAUUUUCAUCGAAUCCAUCAUUAAUCGAAGGUGCACCAUCGGUAUAAAAAAAAGUACACAGGCGGUGCACCAAACUUAAAUUCUUAAUUUUUUAAUCCCUAAAAGUACUACUAAUACUCUUGAGUGUGGUGCACCGCCGAUGUACUUUUUUUUAUACCAUCGGAUACCUUUUAACUGCUGUAGCGGUCAUUCAUUUCUCAGGUAAAAAUGUAAAAAUAAAUGACCUGCUACAACUGGUAAAGUCACCUGAUAGUUAAAAAAAAGUAUACCGAUGAUGCACCAAACUUACACUCAAAGUUUUAGUAGUACUUCCAAGGAUUAAAAAAUUUAAAAGGUAGGUAGGUGAUAUUUAAACGGGAUUUAAGCCCUAAUUGUUUGUACUUAAUGGAGGUCUGAAUCUGAAUGGUUCAGACUUCAGCCCAUUAAGUGCAUUUUUUUUUUCUAAAGAGCCUCUUAAUGUAUCUGAAAACAUUUGAAUGGAUCAGAUAUGAAAAAAAGUCUGAAUAACAUUCAGACUCUUUUUAAAACAUAAUCCCUAACUCUCUCACUUCAUUAUUUCCUCUCUCUUUUCAUGUUAUCUCUCUCCCUCUCUUUUGACGUUAUCUCUCCCUCUCUUCACGUUUCUCCCUCUUUGUCUUCACUUGUUUUCCUUCUCUUUUAGGUAUAAUUCACCAAAAUUUUUUAUAAAUAUUUUAGUUAUCAAUUUGUGUAUUCAUUAUUUGCUAAACUCUAAAUUGUUGCUUGCAAUUUUUUGUUUUGAUUAUAAAAUUUGUAGUUCUUUGGAUAAUAGAAUCUUAUGUGUGUCUGUUCAUAACGUAAUAUUGAACUUACUAAUAAUAUUUUCACUCAGAUUUCAUGGUUAACAAAUAAACAUGUGUCCAUUCUUGUAUUAAUAAGUUAUUCAAAUACUUUAAUAUUUACGCAUCUAAGUAAAAAUUAUAUCUGAUUAAUUAUUUUAGUUUGUUGGAUCAGUUUAAUUGACAGAUUACUUUAUGUUGAAUUUAGUUUUUUAUAAUUACAUCAUAUCACAAUAAUUUUUAAUUGAUAUAUAUAUUUUUAAUAAUUUAAAUAAUUCAAUAAUUAUAUUUAACAUAAUAUAUUUAUCUUUAAAUAUUUUAAUUAUCACUCAAAUAAUAAUUUUGUUGUUUAAUUUAAUACUUUAUGUAAUAUUUUUUUCAUAUAAUAUAAUAUUUUAUUACUUUUUAAAUUUGAAUUGCAUANNNNNNNNNNNNNNNNNNNNNNNNNNNNNNNNNNNNNNNNNNNNNNNNNNNNNNNNNNNNNNNNNNNNNNNNNNNNNNNNNNNNNNNNNNNNNNNNNNNNNNNNNNNNAAAAAUUAUUUGUGUACAUAAUAAAAUAAAAAAUACAAUUCAAAUAAAAAAUUAAUUAUAUAUUAAAAAAGUAUGUAAUUUAAUACAACAAAAUUAUUAGUAUUUGAUUGAGAGAAAAUAUUUAUGUUUGUUAGUGAUAGAGGAGAUGGCUUAUAAUGGUGGUUGCGGUGACGAUGAUUGAUGUUAGUGAUUAAUAAUGUUGGUAGUGAUAAUUGUGAUGGUUGGUAUUGUAGUGACAGUUAUGAUGGUGGCUCUUGAUGGUGUUGGUUUUUGUGAUGUGACGUUGCUUGAUGUUAGUAGUUUAAGGUGUUGAUUGUGUUGGCUGAAACAUGAAUGCAUGGCGACUGACGAUGUGUUGGCGCUAGUUGGAGAUGUUAUUUGUUGUGAUGGUGGAGAUGAUUGUUAGUAGAGACAAAUUGUAGUGAUAGUACUGGUUGAAGUGGUGAUAGAGGUGGCGUUAUUAGUGACAAUGGUGGUGGCGGCCAAAAAAUAUGCAAAGAUUGUGAUGUAUUAGUGGUAGUUAGUGGUGGUGCUGGUUGUGAUAGAUGAGUUGGUUGGUAGUAGGGAUUGGCCGGUAGUGGUUGCUGAUUGUGUUGUUGUUGACGGUAGUGGUGGUGGUGAAUAUAAUUAGAAUAAAAGAGGUAGUAGGUGUGGUAGUGGUUGACAAGUGUGGUUGGAAGCGGUAUUUUUUGUCGAUGGUGGUUGUGAUAGUGGAGGUGGUUGGUGGUGGUAGGUGGUGGUUGACAAUGGUGACGGUGGCAGAGGUGGUUAAUGGUGGUGAUUGUUGAAUAUGAAUAAAGUGGUGAAUAUUAUCUAACACUAGAAUAUCUCUUUAGACCUAUUAAGACUUGGUUCUAAAUCUGAAUGAUUAACACCUAUUUAGACCUAUUAAGAGUUAAAACCUUAAUAGAAAUUAAAUGCACUAAAUGGUCUGAAGUCAUAAUCAUUUAGAUUCAGACCUCCAUUAAGUGCAAACAAAUGAGGCCUAAUCAAUAUCCAUUUAGAUUCAACGUCUUAAUCCUAAAAAAAAAAAAAAAACAAAUGCACCCUUAGUUGCUCCCUCCGUUUAUUGAAAGCCUUCGCAAAGCGAAACGGAACGUGACAAACUAGAAAUGCACGGAUGAAUUAUUAUGAAUUUGUUAACUUCUAUACAUGUAAUAUAAUAUAAGAAUCUUUAGUAAUUUAUAAAUUAUCAGUUACGAAUUUAAAAAUUCUAAAUCAAACAUCAUAUUAAUUUAUAAUUAUCUAAGGUGGUACUUCUGCAAUUUGAUCAGCUAUCAAACGAUUGUUUAAUAGAGCACAUCACAACUGGUACACAAAAAAUAAAAAAAUUGAAGGCUUCCUUGUACUGUAUGUACAACUAGCAAAUUGUAAUACAGCAACAAUUUUUGGAUAACUCUUCUUUCUUCUUAUUGGCUAGCCUUCUUAAUUCUAUUUUUGAUACAACAAAAAUGGCUAAGGAUGAUGAGGUGAUUCUGUUGGGUUUCUGGCCAAGUAUGUUUGGCGUGAGGCCAAGGAUUGCACUUGAUGAAAAAGAGGUAGCAUAUGAGUAUAGAGAAGAAGACUUCAUGGGUAACAACAAAAGUUCACUGCUUUUACAGAUGAAUCCUAUCCACAAGAAAAUACCAGUUUUGAUUCACAAUGGAAAACCAAUCUGUGAGUCUUUUAUUGCAGUUGAGUAUAUUGAUGAAGUGGGGAAGGACAAAGCUCCUUUGCUACCUUCUGAUCCUUAUGAGAGAGCACAAGCUAGAUUCUAGGCUGACUACAUUGACAAAAAGGUAAAAUUCAUACCCUUGUGUUGUUAGAGUUUCACACUGGUUGGUUGAGAGUAUAAAAUGGUAUUUUCUUGUAGUCUUGGUUGAUUGUGGUCAAAUGAGUUAGUUCUUGAGGUUAAAUUAUUAAGUCAAUGCCCAUUUUUGUUAACAUGUUGUUAGAGUUAAAGACUCAUUUUAGUUUUUGUAUAUCUAAUGCUUAUUAUACUAUCCAUGGUCAAGCUGUUUAGUCCUAGGUUUCGCAUUAGUUGUAGAGUAAGUUGCUUGGACUAUUCACUUCCGGUGGCACACCUGUGGCGUUAUGUGUGUGGGUGUGGGAUAUGUACCUGCUCCGGUCAACUUUAGAUUAAGAAGGAUCUAACCUCUAGAUCCACACUUAAGAAUAUGUAGAAAUGGAAUAUUGUCUCGUAACUAGUUCCCCCACACUCCAGAUGCUCAGUCUUAGGCUUGCAGGGUUUUAGAGUUUUAUAUUAGUUGAAGAAAUAGAAUAUUGUCUCCUUAUAUAGUCUUGGUUAAUCCUCACCUCACAAGCUAGGUUUCUUGUGCUUCAUGUUCUCAGUCCUAGGCAUUAUAUAUGGUAUCAAAGUUUUAACCUUAGUUGAAGAAAUAGACAAUUUGUUAUAUAGUCUUGUUAAUCCGAUUAUAUUCCACACUUCAUAAACUAGGUCUCCCCAGCUUGAGAUGCUCAGUCCUAGGCGUGCGGGGUAUUAGAGUUUCAGGUCAGUUGAAGAAAUGGAAUACCUCUAGAUCCUCACUCAAGUCCGACCAACGUAGGUCCUAGAGAUGGAAUAUUGUCUCGGAAUAAAUAGCCUUUGGUAAUCUUCACUUCUUAAGCUAGUUCCCUCGCACUUCCUAGUUCUCCCACACUCCAGAUGCUCAGUCCAAGAUGUGCGGGGUAUUAGAGUUUAACAUUAGUUGAAGAAAUGUGAAUGCUCUCUACUAUAUAUUUUUUGUUAAUCCUUUAUAUGUCCAUUUUCUUUACACGAACAAACUCUUUUAUCUUAGUUUUGGGGCAACAAGCUAAGUGAUCACCAUUUCUUUUUCUGUGUUUGUUGAAAUUUUAGUUGUAUGUUCCUGCAAGGAAGAUACAUUCAACAAAGGGAGAUGAGCAGGAGGCAGCUAAGAAAGAAUCCAUAGAAGUCCUUAAAGUGCUGGAGGGAGUACUUGGAGACAAGACUUAUUUUGGAGGGGAUAACUUUGGUUAUUUGGAUAUUGCUCUGAUUGGGUUCUACUGCUGGUUUCAUACCUAUGAGACGUAUGGUAACUUCUGUUGGGUUCAGAGUAAUGAAAGGGUGUGAAUGGAAAUGUUAAAACAUGCAGAACGCGUGAACAGUGAUUGUUUCGCGUGAACAGUAGCACUGUUUCGCGUGAACAGUGCACUUCUUCAUAAACUGACGCGUGAACAGUGACUGUUUCGCGUGAACAGUAGCACUGUUUCGCGUGAACAGUGCACUGCUUCACGAACUGCUGCAACACUGUUUCGAACUGAUGCAAUGUUUCACGAAAUGGUGUACUGUUUCAGAAAAUUACUGCAAUGAUUUAAGUAAACAGACAUGUAUUUUCAGGAAAAGACACACACUUCUAAAUUGAACCAAUGCCACCUUUCAAAGGGGCAUGUUGUGGCUAUAAAUAACCUGCUUUCUUCCACAGGUUAAGACAGAAAUUUUUUUCAGAAUUACAAGCUUCUUUUUCUUAAAAAUACUCUAAGUGUGAUCAUACAAACCGUUAGUGUGUUCGAAGAAUCNNNNNNNNNNNNNNNNNNNNNNNNNNNNNNNNNNNNNNNNNNNNNNNNNNNNNNNNNNNNNNNNNNNNNNNNNNNNNNNNNNNNNNNNNNNNNNNNNNNNNNNNNNNNNNNNNNNNNNNNNNNNNNNNNNNNNNNNNNNNNNNNNNNNNNNNNNNNNNNNNNNNNNNNNNNNNNNNNNNNNNNNNNNNNNNNNNNNNNNNNNNNNNNNNNNNNNNNNNNNNNNNNNNNNNNNNNNNNNNNNNNNNNNNNNNNNNNNNNNNNNNNNNNNNNNNNNNNNUUUUGGAGAUUAAAGCUUAGGCUUUCUACUCCGCUUGAAUUUAACUAGUGAUUAGAAGACAUAAAAUCUUCAUCACAAGUUAAGGUUCACUCGGUUGAUGAUUCGAAGUAAUAAAAACUUCAUUGUUAACUAGAAACAAGAAGAAGAGUUUAAAGUUAUUUAACUUUAUUUAUAGUAUUCUGAAAAAUACUAAUUUUUCUUUCUUGUGGUGAUAGGAAAAAUGACAACUGAAAGUCAAAUGAUGGAUGCGACAAUGUCUAUGGGGGAAAAUAAUAUUGCCAUAUCAAGUCGCACAAAUGCUCCGCCAACGAUGGCACCGGCGGAGAAGCCCGAAAAUUUUUUUGGCAUUGACUUCAAGCGGUGGCAACAAAAGAUGUUCUUUUACCUCACCACUUUAUGUCUACAAUGGUUCACUAGAGAAGACGCUCCCGAGGUGCCCGAGGGAACCUCGGACAAAGACCGCUUCGUUAUUGUAGAAGCUUGGAAACAUUCGAAUUUCCUUUGCAGGAAUUAUAUUCUGAGUGGUCUCCAAGACGACCUCUAUAAUGUCUAUAGUGGAACCAAGACAUCAAAGGAACUGUGGGGGGAACUUGAACAGGAUUAUAAAACGGAGGAUGCGGGAAUCAAGAAAUUCCUUGUUGCACGGUUCCUGGACUUCAAAAUGAUUGAUAGCAAAUCUAUUGUCUCUCAAGUACAGGAGUUGCAAGUCAUCACACAUGAUCUCCUAGCAGAAGGUUUAAUUGUGAAUGAUGUUUUCCAAGUAGCAGCAAUAGCUAAGAAGCUACCACCUUUGUGGAAAGACUUCAAAAACUACUUAAAGCAUAAGCGCAAGAAGAUGACCGCUGAAGAUCUUAUCGUCCGUCUUCGUAUUGAAGAGGACAAUAAAGUUGCCGAAAGAAGGUCAAAGGAAAAUUCUACAAUGAGUGGAGCACAUAUUGUAGAGGAUGUCCAAAACAACUCGAAGAAACGAAAGAAAGAUAAACAUGGAAGCAAUCAACCCAAGAAACGUUCAAGGGAAAAUGCUUCAAUUGUGGCAAAAUUGGCCACAAUUCCACAGAUUGUCGAGUCCCGAAGAAAGGCAAGAAAAAGUACCAAGCGAAUAUGAUUGAGUCCAACAAAGAAUAUGAUGAUUUGUGUGCUAUGUUCACGGAAUGCAACUUGGUGGGGAAUCCACGCGAAUGGUGGAUGGAUUCUGGCGCCACACGCCAUGUUUGCGCAAACAAAGAGUUGUUCUCGUCAUUUGCUCCGGCUCAAGUAGAAGAAAUGCUCUACAUGGCCAACUCCGCUACUGGUAAGGUGGAGGAAACAGGAAAAAUUUGCUAAAAGAUGACUUCCGGCAAGGUCUUGACACUAAACAAUGUGCUAUAUGUUCCAGAGUUAUGUAGAAACUUAAUUUCUGUUUCACUCCUAGAUAAGAACGGAUUCAAAUGUGUAACCGUUUCUGGAAAAAUUGUAGUUAGCAAAGGAGAAAUGUAUGUAGGAAAAGGCUAUCUNNNNNNNNNNNNNNNNNNNNNNNNNNNNNNNNNNNNNNNNNNNNNNNNNNNNNNNNNNNNNNNNNNNAUCCUUAUAAGUCCGUUGAAAGGAAUCCAAUCUCUUAGACUUAAUACACACUGACAUUUGUGAUAUGAAGUCAAUACCAUCUCGUGGUGGGAAAAAGUAUUUCAUAACUUUUAUUGACGAUUGCACUAGAUAUUGUUAUGUCUACUUGCUAAAUAGUAAGGACGAAGCAAUAAAUGCGUUUAGGCAGUAUAAAACUGAAGUUGAAAAUCAGUUAGACAAAAAGAUCAAAAUGAUAAGAAGUGAUAGGAGCGGAGAAUAUGAAUCUCCCUUUGCUCAGAUAUGUGUAGAGAAUGGAAUAAUCCAUCAAACUACGGCCCCGUAUUCACCCCAAUCUAAUGGAAUUGCAGAAAGGAAAAACCGAACUUUGAAGGAAAUAAUGAAUGCCUUACUUAUAAGUUCUGGUUUACCGCAAAACUUAUGGGGGGAGGCUAUCCUUACGGCCAAUCGUAUACUCAAAAGAGUUCCCCAUAGUAAGACACAAUCAAUUCCUUACGAAAAAUGGAAAGGAAGAAAACCUAACUUGAAAUAUUUUAAAGUGUGGGGGUGUCUAGCAAAGGUACAAGUUCCUAUACCUAAAAGGGUUAAGAUAGGACCUAAAAUGGUGGAUUGCGUGUUCAUAGGAUAUGCUAAAAGUAGUGAAGCAUGUCGAUUUUUGGUUCAUAAAUCUGAACAUCCGGAUAUUAGUGAAAAUACGGUAAUUGAAUCAGACAAUGCUGAAUUCUUUGAAAAUAUUUACCCGCAUAAAAUUAGAUAUGAACAAUCUAGUGGAGGAUCUAAACGACCUCGAGAUGAACCAAGUGAGAAUGUACAUAAUGAAGAAAAUCCAAGAUGUAGUACAUGUCAAAGAACGUCAACUUCGUUUGGGUCGAAUUUUGUAAUAUUUCUCUUAGAAAAUGAGCCUCAAAUAUUUAAAAAAGCGAUGUCUUCGUCAGACUUAUCCUUUUGGCAAGAGGCAGUCAAUAGUGAGAUUGAUUCAAUCUUAAACAACCAUACAUAGGAAUUGGUUGACCUUCCUCCCGAAAAUAAACCUUUAGGUUCUAAAUGGAUCUUCAAAAGAAAAAUGAAGGCGGAUGGUACUAUUGACAAAUACAAGGCAAGACUUGUAGUAAAAGNNNNNNNNNNNNNNNNNNNNNNNNNNNNNNNNNNNNNNNNNNNNNNNNNNNNNNNNNNNNNNNNNNNNNNNNNNNNNNNNNNNNNNNNNNNNNNNNNNNNNNNNNNNNNNNNNNNNNNNNNNNNNNNNNNNNNNNNNNNNNNNNNNNNNNNNNNNNNNNNNNNNNNNNNNNNNNNNNNNNNNNNNNNNNNNNNNNNNNNNNNNNNNNNNNNNNNNNNNNNNNNNNNNNNNNNNNNNNNNNNNNNNNNNNNNNNNNNNNNNNNNNNNNNNNNNNNNNNNNNNNNNNNNNNNNNNNNNNNNNNNNNNNNNNNNNNNNNNNNNNNNNNNNNNNNNNNNNNNNNNNNNNNNNNNNNNNNNNNNNNNNNNNNNNNNNNNNNNNNNNNNNNNNNNNNNNNNNNNNNNNNNNNNNNNNNNNNNNNNNNNNNNNNNNNNNNNNNNNNNNNNNNNNNNNNNNNNNNNNNNNNNNNNNNNNNNNNNNNNNNNNNNNNNNNNNNNNNNNNNNNNNNNNNNNNNNNNNNNNNNNNNNNNNNNNNNNNNNNNNNNNNNNNNNNNNNNNNNNNNNNNNNNNNNNNNNNNNNNNNNNNNNNNNNNNNNNNNNNNNNNNNNNNNNNNNNNNNNNNNNNNNNNNNNNNNNNNNNNNNNNNNNNNNNNNNNNNNNNNNNNNNNNNNNNNNNNNNNNNNNNNNNNNNNNNNNNNNNNNNNNNNNNNNNNNNNNNNNNNNNNNNNNNNNNNNNNNNNNNNNNNNNNNNNNNNNNNNNNNNNNNNNNNNNNNNNNNNNNNNNNNNNNNNNNNNNNNNNNNNNNNNNNNNNNNNNNNNNNUAGCAGACUAGAGAUCCCAAGAGCUAGGUUCAAAGAGAUCAAACAAAGUUGUGUAUGACAGGUUCAACAUUGUCAAUUACCCAACCCAUUCUCAUGAUGUAGACAAUGUAUAGUAAACAAGGAUAAGACUUAAGGUGAAAAGUCUUUUAACGAUUAUCUAAAUUUGGCAAAUUUGACCAAAUAGUUUAAUCUAUAGGAUUGAACGUUUAGAAAUCACCUAUGUGUGGGCAAAGUGGAAGCCGCUUCAAAGAGAAUGUUAGUAAAGGCCUAUUCUCUAAGCUCUCAUGAAAACCGGGACGUGUUUAUGGCUGAAAAGAACAAAACCGUGAGAACCAUAGACGGUAAAAGGCUGGUUGUGUGACAUGUGUUGUCUAGGUGUACAUUAAAGCUCGACGUUUUAAAGAUAUCAAAUCUACCGAUUGACCGAGUGCAUCCGAUGCAUGUUCACUACGGAAAGUUCAAAGGAAACCCACUUAUCCAGAUGCAAUCAGUCUUUACUUGAUGAUCACAUACUUGUUCGUAAAAGUUUUACGAAAAUAAUAGUCAUUCCCCAUUUGGGGGAUUGUUGGGUUCAUAGUAAUAAAAGGGUUUGAAUGGAAAUGUUAAAACAAGCAGGAACGCGCGAACAGUGAAUGUUUCGCGUGAACAGUAGCACUGUUACGUGAACAGUAGCAUUGUUUCGCGUGAACAGUGCACUUCUUCAUAAACUGACGCGUGAACAGUGACUGUUUCGCGUGAACAGUAGCACUGUUAUGUGAAUAGUAGCACUGUUUCGCGUGAACAGUGCACUGCUUCACGAACUGCUGCAACACUGUUUCGAACUGAUGCAAUGUUUCACGAAAUGAUGUACUGUUUCAGAAAAUUACUGCAAUGAUUUAAGUAAACAGACAUGUAUUUUCAGGAAAAGACACACACUUCUAAAUUGAACCAAUGCCACCUUUCUCGUUAGUGUGUUCGAAGAAUCCGCCUAUUUGAGGUACUGCUAUAAUCGGAUUGAAGGCCAUUUUAUCAUGGGAGGAAGAUUCCAUAACCUCGGGUACAGUGAGGGGAAUUAUUCCUUAUGGAAAGUCCGUGAAUUCGGACGACUUAGCCUUAACAAUUUCUGUUUCAUCUAUAUUUCUGAAAUAUAAAAUACACCUCUUGUAAAGAUCAUUUUGAUCUUGUGUUGAGGGUAUUUGUUCAACUUCAUUGUGUUCUUGUUCAUACUUGAACUCGAGUUGAAGUUGUUAUUCUAUUAUACAGAUUCUACGUACUCGUAUUGUGGAAGAUAACAACUUCAGCAUAGAGGCUGAGUGCCCAAAGAUUGUGGCUUGGGGCAAGAGGUUCAUGCAGAGGGACAGUGUUGCUAAGACUUUGCCAGACCAACAGAAGGUCCUUGAGUUUGGAAAAGUUAUUAGGCAGAUAUAUGGACUUGAAUAAACAUAUGCAUAUGCAAUCAUGUAUUAAAAAAAGGCAUUUCGUUGUGCCUUCUUGAGUUGUUGUUUCAAGAUUAAAAAUGUUUGUUUGGUCAUUGUGUAAGUUCUACGUUUAUUACUUGUAAUAAAGGGACUCUUUGCUUGUGUCCAGUUGAGGGUUAGCUUUCGUAGUCCUUGUUUGUAAUGGGAAAUGAUCACUUUUUUCAUGAGCAUCAUCUACUAUAAUAACACUUCGUCCCAUUUUAUGUGUCGUUAUUUGAUCGGAUACGGAGUUUAAGAAAUAAGUGAUGACUUUGUAAAGUUUACAAAAUUGUCCCUCUUAAAGUUAUUUUAAUAUUUACUUUUUAAUUAUCUUUUCUUAAUAAGGGGAUUUACUAAGGAUAAAAUAGAAAUGAUGUCAUUAAAUAGUUACCAAAUAAUGAAAGAUGAUAUUUUUUUGGGAUGGACCAAAAAGAAAAUAGCGACACAUAAAAUGGGACGGAAGCGACUCAGUUCCAAACCAAGUUGGUACGGUAGACAUGAGUGAAUAUUUUUGUUAGUACUGUUAAAACUUCACUCAAAAUUGACGUGCCAAAAAUAUUUGAGUAUCUGUCACCAAACGCUUACUAUAACUCAAAAACUUUCUUAACAAGCCAAAUAAAUUGAAACUAAGGGAGUAUUUGUUUUUGCUCACAAGUCACAAAUUUCAAGAUCCCUUGAAUUUAUAUGACUAUUUGUUGGUGUAAUAUAUCACAAUAAUUAAAUUAUACUUGAAAAGGUAAAAAUUAACAUAAGUGAAUAAAAGAUAUAUUCAGACUGAGGCACGAAUAACUUGCUCUUUUUAAGUAGAUUCAGGUCCACUGUGGCAUAAUCCACACCGAUCCAGUAAUAUAUAUCUUGACUUGUCCUUUUCAGGAUACAACAGCCAACAACGUCGUACAACUCAAGCAACUCCAAAUUAUUUGAAGAGUCCAAAACUCCACCAUAAGAACACCUUCCUUUUAACAUUAUAUUACUCUCAUUUAUAAAGUGAAUAUAGUUGUAGACUUGAAAUAUUUUCCUUUAUCUCAAUUCUGACUUUCAUUACUACCCACUAUAAUAUUUUUCAUACUUAUCAUUUUUUUACAACUUCUCACACAGAAAGAAACAUACUAUUUAUAAGUGAUGAAUCUUCCUUGGAUUGAAUAGGAAGAAUAAAAGAUAGUAAAGAGAAAAAAUCAAUUGUCUUUAGAUUACAAGAGAUAAGAAAAUAAUAGCUAUCAGAGUUACAACAAAAUAAUGCUCAAAAGUUAUAAGAAAAUUGCACAUCCAUGCAUGCACCACCGACAUGCAGCAGCCAAAUGAGAUUGGAAGAAUUGAAACUUGUAGGAGUAAAUGACAUAAAAUGUCAUUAGUAAAUUGGAAGUUUAAGUGCUGUACUAAUGAGCAGGCAACGGAUUAGAGUAUUAGUGUUGCAAGAGGAAAUGUAACUUCAACCGUUAAGCUCCAAAAGGAGUAAUGCAACAUUGAGCAAUUCUAAUAAAUUGCUCGAAUGAACCAUCACCAAUAAAUUUAGUCGAAUAAAGAACAUUGGGGGAGCCUACAUUGCUGUACUACGUGACGAAAGCAGUGACAUAACAUAGGAUACAAACAUUAUUACCAACUUCAACUUACUAUUAAAAUAACUCAACUAUGUGAAGUCAUCCACGUGCUAUCUAUACAUAGGACUGUGCAUCCAAUUACAACAAACAAAUCAGUACUAGGCAAUUUUGGAAACUGCUUCUUUCUUUUCCUUGUUGCUUUUUUCUUCUUUCAUACAACAAAAAUGGCUAACGAUGAGGUGAUUCUGUUGGAUUUCUGGCCUAGUAUGUUUGGCAUGAGGCUUAGGAUUGCACUUGCUGAAAAAGAGGUUAAGUAUGAGUACAAAGAAGAGGAUUUGAGGAACAAAAGUCUUCUGCUAUUACAGAUGAAUCCUAUCCACAAGAAAAUACCAGUUUUGAUUCACAAUGGAAAACCAGUCUGUGAGUCUAAUAUUGCAGUUGAGUACAUUGAUGAAGUGUGGAAGGACAAAGCUCCUUUGCUUCCUUCUGA
rnacentral:lncRNA from 1 species